GGCAUUGAAUGUUACAUGAAGCAAUAUGGUGUCUCUGAGGAACAAGUGUACAGUGAGUUCCACAAGCAAGUUGAGAAUGCAUGGCUGGAUAUUAACCAGGAAUGCCUCAAACCUACUGCCGUUCCAAUGCCUCUCCUCACUCGUGUUGUCAAUCUUUCACGAGUCAUGGAUGUCAUUUACAAGGAGGGAGACGGGUACACACAUGUUGGGAAAGUGAUGAAGGAUAAUAUUGGAUCUGUGCUCAUUGACCCCAUAGUAUGACCAAAUGGAGUUAUUUAUUAUAAAUCAUUAUAAUAAGGUGUGUUAGAGAAAUCCGUAGAAUAAAAGAACUUUCUGAAGAAUGGUUUGUUACUGCAACUCUACCAGGAUUAUUACAAAUGGUCUCUUAAAUACAGUUUUAGUGGUCAAGAUCUAGUACUGAGUUUUUUCUUGUUCUGUUUUCAACAACUUAAUAACAACCUGUAACAGCAAGCUAGUACUGAGAUCCUCAACUCUGAGUUUGUGUCUUAAGGCUGGAAAAUUGGAAGUAGAGAUGGCCUUUAUGAGAACAUCAGCUAUUUGAUCUUGAGAUUGCACAUGAUGAACUUCUAGCUCCUUUUGCAUCACUUUCUCUCUAGCAAAGUAGAGAUCCAAUUCAAUAUGCUUUAUUCUGGCAUGUAGUACUCGAGUGUAAGCUAACAUGAUAGUACUCAGGUUGUCAUUAGGAACCUGUAAUUCAAACAACAAUGAUUGUAACCAAGAUAAUUUUGUUGUUAAGUUGGCCAAACUGCUACACCCAUCUUGGCUUUGGACAAAAGAUCUGCUAUAUACUUAGUUUGGGAAAGAUGCAAAGCUUCUGAAGUUUGCUUGACUUGUAUUCCCAAAACAUAAUCAACUAAGCCAAGAUCUUUUAGAGUAAAAUGAUCAUGGAGCUUAUCAUUCAACUUUUGUACUUUUAUGUCAUUGCUUCCUGUUACAGACUAAGAUAAAAGUGCAUGGAAUGUUGUGGAGUGAUGCUUACAAAGAGAGACUGAUCUGAAUUUGCUGACUUGAAUCCAAGCAUGAGUAGAGCUUUAUACAAUUUUUCAAAUCAAGCUCUUGGAGCUUGUUUAAGACCAUAAAGGGAUUUGCACAAACAACAAACCAUUAUAAUUUGAUAGGGAUCUUGAGAACCAUAUGGCUACAGCAUAUAUACUUCUUCUUGCAAAUCUCCGUUGAAAAAUGCAUUAUUAACAUCUAAUUGUUUAACCACCCAAUUUCUUGCUACUGCAAUUAAUAGAAUUACUCUUAUAGUAGUUGGUUUCACCAUAGGACUAAACAUUUCAUUAAAGUCAAAGCUUGCAACUUGAUAAAAGCCAAUUUUCGUUUUGUAUUGCUUCAUCAACAAAUUCAAGUUGUACAGCAGAAUAUAGACUUUAGGCUUGUAAAUGACAACCUUGGAUCUUGUAAUCAUGUUGUGUGAAUUGGUGAUAUGCAACCUGUCCUUGUUAGGUAAGACCGAAUCAAACAAGUCAGUAGCAUCAACACAAAUGGCUGAAUUAGGAAUACCAGUACAUAUAGUAGAGUCUGGAGAUUCAACUCGAUGACCAAGAGUUUCUUGAAAUUGGUUGAAAACUAGAAGAUGAAGAAGUAGAGUUGGAUGGUUUUAUAGAAGUCAAAAUUAGAAGUUUGGCUAGUGUGCAAUGUGAGUGAAAGUAGAGGCAGCACAGGGUUCUAUUAUAAACAACAUUUUCUCGACUUUCAUAUUAAUUUUUUUUUAAAUAUCGUAAACUCUUUGAACAAUAUUAAACAAUGAAAUAUAGAAACUCUAAUGAAACUGUGGACCCCGCAUUUCGUACGAUGCAUUCCCACUCGAUGUCGAGCUCAAUUUUUUUAUUUGAAAAUGAUUUUAUUUACUAAAAUAAUGACUUGGAGUCGCCACUUAUUUUUGUUUUAUUUUUAAAAGGGCAAACAAAAUAAGAAAGAAAACCUUAAGUGUGACUCCUUAUUUUGGAAAAUGUGAUCUGUGAAAAAUCGGAUCAGGCUCGAGGGUCAAGUUACUUAUCGGGAAGGUACGAUAAAGGCCGUAGCACCCCUCUAAGUCCCUAAAGUCGGGUCUCUACUAAUAAAAUGAAGUUGGCGUGACAAUCAAUAGGAAAAUCAAUGGAUACUCAGGGUGAUCAUGCACAUGGGAGAAUCAAAACACUCAAUAAAGGACGACCGAAGUGAGAACGGGGCAUACCUUGGCAUCAAUCGAUCAAUGCGCUAUCAAGAAAGAGGGUUAGUAUACAAUUAAAAGAAUAAUCUCAUGCAUGUCAUAGAGCAAAAUGAAUCAAUCAUGUGUGAUAAUCAAAUCAAUCAAUCAUAAAAUCACUUAUGUAGGGCCCCCACCAAAGCCCGUUUAUUUUGCAUGAAUUAAUGUCAUAGAUUCCAUUAUUCUGGAAUUAUGAAAAAUUCAUUCAUGCUUAUUAAAAUCAAGAGGAGCAGAAGAUUGUUUGAAAACCAAAGUGGAAUUAAAACUAUUUGAGAGAAAAUUGGAUUUUUGAAAUUUAUUCGAAAAAUUUGAGUCUCGAAGAUUACUUGAAAAUUGGAGUUUUAGAGUUUAUUUGAAGAUCGGACUUUUGGAAAUUAAAUGUGAGAAUGAGAAUUUUAGAAAUUACAUUUUGAAAGAGAUUGGAAUUUUGAAAAUGAUUUGAGAGUUCGGGAUUUAAAAAAAAAAAAAUUAAAUUACGAAAAUUGGGACCUUGGAAAUUAAAUUUUGAAAGAAAUCAUAAUUGAAAGUUAUUUGAGAAGCGGAAAUUAUGGAAAUUUAAUUAUAAAAAUUGGAAAUCUUGGAAAUCGCUCGAAGGCAAAAUUUUUAGAAAUGAAUGAAAAUAAUAAUAAUAAUAAUAAUAAUAAUAAUAAUAAUAAUAAUAAUAAUAAUAAGUAACGAAAUAAAUGCGAGAAUUGGAACGUUGGAAACUGGAAAUUAAGUUUAGAGAUGGGAAAAUUGGAAUUUCAGAUAACUAAAUUUAGAAAUCGGAUUAUCUAACCCCGCAUGUCUUAUGGAAGCGCAUUAUAAGUUAUCUAUGCUAUCCAGGUAUGCCCCCAUAACUCCCACCUUCUAAAUUUAGUGAAUAUGUUUAUCAUUGUGAACUAUGCUUAUGAUCGAUAGUGCUUGGGUGUAUUGGUAUUUGUUUCAUUGUUCAAUUAUUUAUGAUAAAGUGCAUGUUGGAUGAUAUAUUAUUUGAACUAACUUUGGUAUCUUGUGAUAGCGCAUAAGAAGCAGUCUAGGUACGCAGUCUAAAUUUCCUUUCUGAUUUGUAAUUGGUUUUCUUGUUUAGCAUGUUAUUUUUUGGAAAUCACCUUAGUCUACCUAGAUACCCUCAAUCAACUUAUUAAUUGUGACAUUCCCCUCAACUUAGUUAGUAGAGACCUUUAUAGGGCUUAGAGGGAUGCUACCUCCUAGACGUACCUUCCCAAUAGGUAACCUGAUCCCCGAACCUAUACUCUGGUUUUUUAAAAGACACGUUUUUCCAAAAAACUAGGGUGUAAUUUUUUUAAGGUUUAAUUUCUUGUUUUAUUUUCCCUUUAAAAUAAAAUAAAAUAAGUAGGGACUCCGACUUUUUCCAAAAAAAAAAAAAAUUCACCAAAUUAAAAGCGAAUCUCACUGAUUGAGUGAGGACACACGUGAAAAAUGCGGGUGCACAAAUUGGCGACUCCACUGGGGAUUUUGAGGAUCAAGCUUGAACACUAGUUGAGGAAAAUGUGGCUUUUAAUUGGUUGACUGGAGGGUACCUCAAUUUUUGUUAGGCAAGGUGAUUUGGCUUGCUUGCUUGAUUUGUUUGCUAUUUUAACAUGUUUGAUAUCCUUGCAUGAUCACUUGAUUGCUUGCUCACUUUAGCAUGAUUCACUCUCACAUAUGCUAAAUAGGACUUUGUUUGUAUGAUACUUGUCUGCUUGGUAUGACUGCUAGUUGCAUGACAACCCUUUCUCUUGCAUGAUUGUAUGAUUGCUUGUCUUUGUUCACUAUCUCACUUUAGAUCUUAGGUUUUUUCAAAUGCACCCACAUCCUUCACUGUACACUUUAGAUUAUCCCUGAGUGUUGAGAGAUGAGAGAGUCUUUGCCAUUAAGAAACCCCCUAGAAACCCGAGGAAGUGCAUGUGUGGAGGUGAUGACCACCUUGCAUGGAAGCACCUCAUCUCCUUGGAGGCAUGCAGAGGGUUACGUACCACCGGAGGGUAUGAUCGCUUCUGCUAGGGAUCCUUUAACCCACUCAUUUUAUUUUUUAGAGCCACCUCAACCUUAUAGGUUAGCCUAGACCCAAUUAGGAUUUCAUUCCUACACGUGGGUGCAUCUGUGAACCUUCAGAGCUGUCUAAGUUACAGUUGGGUUUGAUUACCCUCUCCAUAGUCUCAUUUUGGUAUGAUCAGAUACGAGUAUCAGUUUGGGUAUACAUGGGUUGUAUGCUUGAUUACCUUUUAGUUGGUUCCCAUAGAGCUACUCCUGUAUAGUGUCUCACCCAGUGUUUCCAUGUUCAUAGGAGUAUUUUCGUACCUAAUCUGGAUUCGCCUUCGUAGACUAGAGUUAGAGGCAAGUUGACCAGAGCAUCAGAUCAGCGAAACCAAAGAGUAGAUUAGAGAAAUAUAGACUCACAGGUAGUCACUGUUGACCAGUUUGUCGCAGCCAUGACUUUUGAUUCAAGAGGCCAUAACCGGUAUAGGCCAAAGGAUGGAUGGAUAGCAGAACCAGCAGAUCCCGCCUCAGGAUAACGUGCAGUAUAACCCUGUAGUAUCACCACCACCUCCACUUAGUCAAUUGGUUCCACAUUCUGCACCGUAUGUUUUGCAUAGCCAGACUGAUGUUACUCCACCUCCUACUGUAGCACCCAUUCCGGCCUCAGAGGAUACACAUGCUCGUAUGGAUAAACUCGAGCAGAGGAUGAAACAGAUGAGGGUUUCGGAUGGAGCUAUCGGUUGGGAUGAUUUUGAUGGAGCACUGGUAGCCAGUUUACCGACCUAGUUCAGGAUGCUAGAGAUUGAGAAGUAUACGAGCAUAGGUUGCCCCAAGAUUCAUUUAAGGUUAUAUAGUAGUGUGAUGAGAGCCCAUGGGUUGGAUGAGGCCCACUUGAUUAUGCUUUUCCCCAUGUCCUUGAGUGGUGCAGCAUGACGUUGGUUUGCUUCCUUUGAUGCUUCACGCCGUAGAACUUGGGAUGAUUUAGCCCAAGAGUUUUUGAGACAGUUUGCAUUUAAUACUAUCAUUGACAUCUCGAGGAGAGAGCUAAAGGCCUUGAGAUAGGGACCAGAGAAGUCAGUGACUUCGUUUAUCUCCCAAUGGAGGGAGAAGAUCGCCUAGAUUGUUGAUCGUCCUUCAGAGAAUGAUCAGAUUGGUAUGAUUUUGAGGAGCUUACAACCCAGAUUUUCCAAACAUUUGAUGGGAUUUCCUUAUAAUGAUUUUGGAUCCUUGGUACAGGCUCUAUAUGGUAUAGAAGAGGGCAUUGCUAGAGAAUUGUGGCCCAAGUCUUCUCCUUCUGAUUAAAAGGGAAAGAAACCCUCAAGAAGACAAAGACUAGGAGAUGUGGGUACUAUCAGUUCAAUAGGAUCGAGAUCUCCCUGGUGCUAUCAGACAUUUAGGCAGACUUUAGGAGCCUAUUACCCACAGCGUUAUGUUCAAUAUAGACCACCUAGGCCCAUGACUCCUACAUACCUACACCCGACCCUAGAGUCUGUUUUUGUUGCAUAGGUCUCAAAGAGGCCUCCUACCUUAUUCCCUCAGCCCCGAACCCCACAGACUACUAUUCCUCUCGUACAGAGGUCGACACAACAGUUUUCCUAACUAGGCAUGCCUUUGAGUCAAGCUUUCCAGAAGCUCAUGGAGGGUGGUUUGUUGACUCAGUUGGCUCCUAGGCCUAUACCCUAACCCGUGCCACCGUGCUUUAAGAUGGAUCUGCAUUGUUCCUACCAUCAGGGUCUAGGGCAUGACACAAAUCAUUGCGCCGCCUUGAGACAUGCUAUACAGGACUUGAUAUAUCAGGGUUUGGUUAACUUAGGGCAGCCAAGUGUAACCACAAACCCUCUACUGGCUCACUCUACACAUGCAGUGUAACCACCCCCGAGCGGUAUCCAUCACAUAGAUUUUGUAGAGAAUGACAAUAUACACAUGAUGAGUUGGGAUGAUGGAUUACUAGAGUCGAUUGCUUAGGAUGAUGGUUAUGAGGUUGGCACAAUGGGUUCUCAGACUUCUACUCCGUUUAGUUUGAUUUCAAAUUGGGUACCAUUUGAGUUGACCCCUAUUGCACCUUUGGCUAUGACACGUCAGGGCCCAUCAAUCCCAUUUAUCCUGGUACCAGAUGAUGAUGAUUCAGAGAUGAGAGAUGUACAGAUUGUGACCCACAGUGAGAGAGUAGAUCAGCCCCCACCUCUAGUAGCCAAGCCAUUUGAUGGUGCAGUUUCUCAUGACGAGGUCAGGAGAGAGGAUGAUGGGCUACUGAGGCAGUUACAGAGUACACAGGCCCGCAUAUCUAUCUGGAGUUUGAUAGCACCUUCUAGUACUCAUAGAGAUGCAUUGAUUCGGGCUUUGAGUCAGAUCCGCAUGGAGACCACCACUACCCUAGAGGGGUUGAUUUAUAUGAUGACGGUCGACAGUGCCACAUGUAUUGUGUUUUCAAAUGAUGACUUGCCACCAAAGGGUUCAAACCAUACACGCCCUCUAUAUUACAGUUGGUUGUUCAGGCCACAGAGUUCCAUCCGUCCUAUUGGAUAAUGGCUCGGCCUUGACUAGAACAAAAUAUACAAUUCUUAGGUGAGGGAAUUUGAUUGGGGAAAUUAUGCAAUUCUUGAGUGAAAAGAAAAAAGUAGGAGAGUUUUUAAGAAUAACUUAAAAUCCUUGACAAAAAAUAGUAUUGUACACCCUUGUACAGUUAGUAAAUUUGUCUUGUACAAUUAGUGUAAUCAAUAAUUUAGAAUCUAUAUAUUUCCUUGUGAAUAUAUGUUAAUAGGUUAGUUAACCAUGUUUGCAUUGGUUUGGUUUAAAAGAACAGGAAAAAUUGUUGUACAAUUUUUUUCCACAAUUAUCAUCAAUGGGGUAUAUAUUCAAAUGACCAUAUAUGAGUUAGAUAAAGUGCAUGAGAUGGGUAUAUGAUUAACCAAUCUAUAUGAGGAAUGUCAUCCAUCCCUGAUUGAGGGAAAUAAGCAAAUGAGUUUUUUAGAAUCAUUUAAAAUUUUUCAUAAAUGACAACCUUGUACACCCUUGUACAAUUAGUAUAUUUGCCUUAUAUACUUAGUGUAAAUACAUUGUAUAGUGAACCAAAUUACAUAUACCUCUUACUCAAUGUGUGUCCAUAGAUAGGUUACCUAUGUUUCCACUAGUUUAGUUCACAAAAUAGUGGAGGACGUAAAAACAAAAUUUUUCCUCAAGCAUCAUUAGUGAAAUAAGUAUUUGAAUUGUCAUGUAAAAGUUAAAUAAAAUGCAUGAGUUGGGUGUGUGAUAGAGGAAUGUGAGUCAUGAGAGUGUGCAAUCCUUAAAUGGCAAGACAAAAAAAAAAAAAAGUUGCUUAAAGUCAACUGAAAUCAUUGACAAAAGGGUAACCUUUUAUACCCCUUGUACAAUUUGUAGUACCCCAAACCCAAUUUAGGGGUAAAAUCAUAAUUUAAAAAAUAAUUAAUUAAAUUAAUUAAUUAAUCUAAUAAGGGUAUAUAAGUCUUUUUGCUUUUAAAAGCCUUAGGUAUAAAUUAGAUUUUCUAUAUUUUCUCUAUUCACAAAAGCCUUUCACAUGGAUAUAAAAAAUAUCAGAGAGCAUAGGGUUGAAGAUUUGGAGGUUUAGGGUUUGAAGAUCAACUUUUCAGGUAAGAUUUUAAUAAUCGGAUUAGUAUUUUAUAUUCAUUAAUUAGAUUUGAAUACUUUAGAAAUCCCAAUCUAAAUUAGGGUUUGCUUAUUUAAUUUUUUUAGACCAAAAUAUUGGAAAUUUAUGAAUGCAGAUUAAUUUAUUGAUGAAAGUAGGAAAAUUUCAAUUGAAUAAAAAAUAAAUGAAAGAAAAAUCAGUGGAAGAAAAGAAAUCUUAGAUUGAGAAAAUAAAUAAAUAAAUUGUUUGUGGAGGAUUUAGAUUGGAAUAAUAAUAACAAUAAUAAUAAUAAUUGUAGGGUUUUUGGAUAGGGGCGACAAUUAAAAAAAAAAAACGAAUAUGAGAUUGUUGAGUGAAAAAAAAAAAAUCAAUCUAACUGUGAGAGCCAAAGGGUGAAAGAGUGGUAGUGAAAUAAAUAAUAAUAAUAAUAAUAAUAAUAAUAAUAAUAAUAAUAAUAAUAAUAAUAAUGAGUGGAGUUGGUGGGGUUGUUGGAGUUGUUAAAGGUACAUGGGUAGUUUGUUAAGUAAGAGAGGAUAUUGAGAUUAAUAAUAAUAAUAAUAAUAACUUUUGUACAAACUUUAAUUUAAUUUAAGUAUAUAAAGAAAUAAAUAGUUAGGAUAAAUUUAGGGAGGAAUAUGAAUUUUAUAAAAAUUUGAAAACUUAUUAAAUUAAUUUGUUAUUGUUUCGGAAGUUGAAAAUAAUUUUAUCUGUAAUAAGGUUAACAUAGGAAAUUAAUUAGAAUUGUUGAGAACUAUAUAAAAUAUUGUUAGGAUUGUCAAAUCUAUAUCUCUAGAUAAAUAAUCAGUAAUAAAUGUUGUGUAUGAUAUUAUAUUAGAUGAAGAGUAAAUUCUUCAAGCUAAAUUCUUCAAGAUUUUGAGUGUUUUUUCAAGGUAAGGGAAAUUAAUGUAGAUUUUGUAAAAGAAAAUAAUUUUCUUUUUAUAUUAUAUUUUAAAAUGUGUAAAAAUAUUAUUUUUAUCUUUAUGCAUGGAUCAAAUAUAUGUUUUGUAUGAAAAAUAUAUUUGAACAUUUUAUUUGUUUAUGAAAAAUGAAAAUUGUGGAGAUGAUAUUUUGUUUUGUAAGUUUGAAUUAAUGAAAUGAAGUGUUUGAUUAUGGUUUCUAUGACCCUAGUCAACGGGUUAUAAUUGUUGACAUAUUCGACUCUAAUCAACGGGUUAUAAUAGUUGAUAUUAUAUGACCUUAAUCAACGGAUUAUAAUAGUUGACCUUAUGACCCUAGUCAAUGGGUUAUAAUUGUUGAUUUUCGGUUUUGUUCACCUUAAAUGAACAAAUUUGAAAUUAACCACUCAUUUGUAAAGCCCUACUUAAUUGAGCAACAUUUGUUAUAUAAUAACUAGAGUAAAAAUAUUUGAAAUGUGUUUGAUUUGGAUUUGAUAUGAAAUGAUUUUGAUAUAUAUGAAAAUGUUUGGUUAAACACUUUAAAAUGCAUUAGCAUAUUUGUACUCAAACGUUUUUAUGAAAAUGAUUUUACACUAAAUCUUCUAUUUGUAACCAUGAUUGAAACUAUUUGAUCCAUGAAACUGUAUUAAUGUUCCUUAUUGGGCUUUGAGCUCAUGCCCAUUCGUUGAUAAUUUUUUAGGUACCCUUAGUCUGAGCGAGAAGUGAUGGCUAGGCUGGAGAAUUUUUUCUUUGUUAGGAUUUUGGUUCAAACUUUAUUAUGGACAUUGUUUAGAUGUUAAAAUUUAAUUCAUGUUUGGAUGAUUUGAGUUUAGAGUUAUUUGGACAAUAACACUUCGGUUGAUGUGUUAAUUUUUUUUAAAGUUGAGAACUGGGGAUUAUAGAAUUUGUUUAUUUUACUACUUUGAAUAUGAAUUUGGUAAUUGAUAAUUUCUAGUUACAAGAUAAAUGUUUGUAUUGUUUUCACUUUGAGCAUUCGGGCUUGAGGUGUGAAAUGAUUGUCAUGUCCAUGUAGUAAGUUUUGGGGUGUGACACAAUUAGUACAUUUUCAUUGUACAGUUAGUAUAACACUCUCGUACAAUGAUGCAAAUUUCAUCCACAUGCAUACAUUAUGUGUCCAUAUGGGAUAUGUGAACCAUAUUUCCAAUGAUAUUUUUUAGAAAAUGGUGUAAGACGUAAAAAUAAAUUUUUUCCCUAAACAUCAUUAUUGGAGUAAGUAUUCGAAUUAUUAUAUGUGAGUUAAAUAAAAUGCAUGUGAUGAAGGAAUUUGAGGUAGGAGAGUGUGCAGUUCUUGGAUGACAAGAAAAAAAAAUAGUUGUUCAAAAUUGACUAAAAUCCUCCACAAAUGGUAGCCUUGUACAUUUAGUGUUUUUACCUUAUACAAUUAGUGUAAUACCCUUUUAUAAUGGUUUUAAUUUCAUACAUAUAUAUAAAGUAUGUUCACAUGAGUGUAUGAACUAUAUUUCUAAUGGUUUAACAUUUAAAAUGACUGAAAUAAAUAAAAUGUUAUUUUAUUUUAUUUUCAAUGCAAAAUAUAAUUAAAAAUAAGACAAAGAAAUUAUUUAAAAACUAUUAUUUAACUUAAAUUUAUUUAUUUAUUUAUUUCCUUUUAUUUUUGGAAAUAAAGAAAAAAGAAUAGAAAAUUUAUUUAACCAUAAAAAAUAUAAAUAUAAACUAUGUUAGAAAAUAUAAAUAAGCUCAAAUUUAUUUAUUUAUUUAAUUUUAUUUUUGGAAUUAAAGAAAAAAAGAAUAAAAAGUUUAUUUAACCAUUAAAAAUAUUAAUAUAAGAUAGGUUAGAAAAUAAAAAUAACUUCAAAUUUAUUUACUUAUUUCAUUUUAUUUAUUUAAAUUAGAAAGUAAUUUAUUUUAGUAGAUCAAAAUUUGCACAAUUAAUCUAUUAUUUUGUUAAUUAUGGAUAUAUUAAAAUUUUCAAUUAUACAAAAAAACUAAUAGAGAAAAUAAAAUUAAAAAGACCAAUAAAUAUAUAUAAUUUAGUUAUUUAAUUAUUUUUUUAUGUGAAAGAUAGACAAAAAACACAUAAUUGACUAAUUCAUUUGUUUAAUUGUAAAUAUACAUUUUUUUAUUAUUAAAAUAACUAAAGGAAAAAAAUAAAAAUGGAUAAUCAAUAAAUGAAAUUUAAUUUUUUUUUUUCAUAUAAAAAAUAGUAUCAAACAAAGUUUUCAAUAUUCAUUUUUAAAAAUAGUAUUCAUUUUUUUAAUUAAACGUAUUCCUAAAUAAUAAAAAAAUAAAAAUAAAAAUCAUGUUACCAUAUUUUUUUAAGUAAUUUUCAAAAUAGUUUUUAAAUAAUUAAUGUAAUUUUUCUUUAUUUAUAAUUUAAAAUGGAAAAUAAUACCAAUUUUUAAUUAUUUAGGAAAAAGUUUUUAAAAAAUAAUGAAAAAUCUGAACUGUUAAAAUAAAAUUGUGUUGGGUAUGUGAAUGACGGUGAAAUAAAAAUAAAAUUGUGUUGGGUAUGUUAAUGACGGUGCAAUAAAAAUAAAAGAGUUUAAUAAACGAUGAGUAUCAUAAAAACUAGUAUGAAUAUGGAAUAAGUCAAGUGGAUAUUUUAUUGCAUCAUUAAUUUAUAUUCUUACUAUUAAUUAUAGGUGAUAUAAGGAAAUUGGGCCAAUUUUCAUGGCCACCAAAUCUCGAAGCACAAUUCUCCCUUAUUUUUUUAGGCGAUGAAAAGGACUUUAGACUUGCAAUCAGUAAACCGAUAAGAGUUCAGGAAAUGUUUGAACAAUGAACUAAGAAUGUGGCUUGAAAUGAGUCAACACAUGACGGUGGAUUACAAAAUAUUAAACAAUGAGUAACACUAUGACUUUCAUGAGAAGUGAUGAACACGCGAGGUUGAAGAAGACAUGGUUUUUGAGUAGGUUGUACAUUUUAUGAUAUUCAACUACAAAAAUAUUAAACAAUGAGUAAGACUAUGACUUUUAUGAGGAGUCAACACACGAGGUUCAAGAAGACAUUGUGUUUUAGUAGGUUGUACAUUUUAUGAUAUUCAACUAUUUUGUGGAGGACUUGUCAAUGGAAGUGGUUAUGGUUUAUUAUUUAUUUUUAGAAAUUUAUGCAAGAAUGGACUAUGAUUAUACAACGAAAGAAAUAUAAUAAAUAUUUUUAAAUUAAGAAAAAUAAAUAUCAUUUCUUAAAUUACAAGAAUCAAAUAUUAUUAAUAUUUGAUUAUUUUUUAUUUAUGAAAAUAUUUACUAAAGUGGAUUCUUAUCAUUAUGCAUGUGAUUUUAUGUAUCUCUUUUAUUAUUUUAAUUCUGAAUCAUGUCAUUUUGUUUCCUAUCAUCCUAUAUAUUCUCUCUUUUUUUCUUUCACUUAAUAUCUAAGAAUUCUUAUAUUUUAUGUUAAAGUUAUACGUAUUUUUUGUUUUUUCACAAAAGAAAUAUAUCCUGAAUUUUUAACUAAAUAAUAGGUUGAUUAAUCGAGUGUUAGCUCUGACACCUUAUACUGUAGCAUCAAAAAUUUCGCUUGAGAAACCCCACCCCCCCCCCCCCCCCCCCCCCCNNNNNNNNNNNNNNNNNNNNNNNNNNNNNNNNNNNNNNNNNNNNNNNNNNNNNNNNNNNNNNNNNNNNNNNNNNNNNNNNNNNNNNNNNNNNNNNNNNNNAAAAAAAAAUUUUUUUUUUUAAAUUAAAAAAAAAAAAAUUUUUUAAUUUUUUUUUUUUUUUUUUUUUAAAAAAUUUUUAAAAAAGGGGUUUUUUUUCUUUUAGCAGGGGGUUUUAGUUUUUUUUUUUUUUUUUUUAAUUUGAAAAACGGCCUUUUUUUUUCCUUACCUCCAAAUAUUUUUUUUUUUUUUUUUUUCCCUUAAAUUUAAAAAAUUUUUUUUUUUUUUUUAAAAUUUUUUGUUUUUUUUUUUUUUUUCCAAAAAAAAAAUUUCCCCAAUUUUUUAAAAAAAAAAAGGGUUUUUUUAAGGGGGUUUUUUUUUACCCCCUUUUUUUGGGACAAAAAAAAUUUUCCUAGAAAAACCCCCCCCCCCCCCCCCCCCCCCCCCCCCCUCUUUUUUUUUUUUCAAAAAGCAAACAUAUAAACCUCCCCAUGUGCAUAUUCACAUGGAAUCACUAGAAAUAGAUCGUUGAAGAUAUCGUAUUGAUGAACAAAAAUGGAGAAUACUCAACCAUACGGUUACAACUGCAAUAAAGGAUUCCUAGGAUCCCUCAAUCAUUGUUUUCUUUAGUUUCUAUUUCAUCUAGUUUCUUUAUUUAAAUUUAAUUUCUAUUUAGUUUNNNNNNNNNNNNNNNNNNNNNNNNNNNNNNNNNNNNNNNNNNNNNNNNNNNNNNNNNNNNNNNNNNNNNNNNNNNNNNNNNNNNNNNNNNNNNNNNNNNNAAAUUUUUUUUUUUUUUUUAAAAUUUUCAUGUUUUUUUUUUUUUUUCAAAAAAAAAAUUUUCCGGGAUUUUUUUAAAAAAAAAGGGGGGUGUUUUAGGGGGGUUUUUUUUCCCCCCUUUUUAGGGGGCCCAAAAAAUUGGGGGGGGGAAACCCCCCCCCCCCCCCCCCCCCCCCCCCCCCCUCUUUUUUUUUUUUCAAAAAGCAAACAUAUAAACCUCCCCAUGUGCAUAUUCACAUGGAAUCACUAGAAAUAGAUCGUUGAAGAUAUCGUAUUGAUGAACAAAAAUGGAGAAUACUCAACCAUACGGUUACAACUGCAAUAAAGGAUUCCUAGGAUCCCUCAAUCAUUGUUUUCUUUAGUUUCUAUUUCAUCUAGUUUCUUUAUUUAAAUUUAAUUUCUAUUUAGUUUAGUUUCCUUGCCUUGUCUAUCCUCUAUAAGAUAUAUAGCUUAUAUAAAAUAAGGAGAAUGUAAUAGAGAAAGACAUGGAAAAGAAUCUUCCUAAAAAAAACCUAGAAUUUGUUCUCUCAAGUUAAAUCUUCUCCUUCGAUUAUAAGAUUUGGUAUCAAAGCACAGUCUUGGCACUAAUCUUGACAAAAGGGACUAGAGUGCAAGAACAAUGUAGACAUGAAGGGACUUGAGUGCAAGAAUAAUGUAGACUUGAAGACAUAUUGCAUCUAACCAAAACUUGAUAUAAUAUUUAUAUAAUAAUUAUAGUUUAUAUUAUUAUGGACUCAUAGACAUUUUUCAUGUGUGUUCCUAUUCGAUGACGAUACUCAUUUAUUGUGAAAAAUGAUUAUUUAAAAACCCUUUUUAGGUUUUUUUUUUUAAAAAUCAUCACUUAUUUUAUUUAUUUUUAAUAAAGAAAAAUAAAAUAAGAAAGAAAAUUUUAGAUGAUUCCUUUUUUUAAAAAAAAUAAAAAUAAAAAAGACAAGUUUGUGAAUUAGGAAUGAGUUUGGGAAUCAGGUUACCAAGGCAUAGGAAUAAGUUGUACGUAACAUCCCUCUAAACCUGUAUAUCUAUGAUCUCUACUAAGCAAGUGAAAUGAAUUAUGAUGAUUAAAUAAUCUAUUAUAGAUACACAAAAAAAGAACACAAAUAUAAAACAAGUCAUGAUGUUUGUCAUGUUACAAGAAUGUAUAAAACAAAUGAUAAAAGAAUUUGCAUAAAUUUAUUUAUGAAAUUAAUAAAUAAAAAACUUGGGUUUAAUUAUUUCUAAAUUCAAAGGAUUAAAAAAAGUUUAUUUACAUAAAAAAAAAGAGAAGAAGUUAUUCCAAUUUGAUGAUUCCAAUCUAUUUUAAGUACAAAAGAAAGUUUGAUUUUUUUUUUUUAUUUACCAAAAAUGCUCCAAAGUACUUUUCUUAAAAAUAAUAAUAAAAAAAAGAAUAAUUUUCACAAAAUCUAUUUACCAACAUUCCAAUUUGAUUUUCGUGUAGAGAGAAACUGUUUCUAUAAUUUUUAUUAGAACAUGAUUUUUACAAUUUUUUUUCAAAGUAUCCAAAUCUAAUCUUAUGUCCAAGAGAACUUUUACAAAUUCUUUAAGAAAAGGAUUUUUUUAAUUUUGUUUAAAAAUUUGAUAUUUACAAAUUACUUUUAAAAAAGAUUUUUUUUACAAAUUUAUUUAGAAAAUAAUAAAUAUUCGGAUCCAAUUUUAAUUACAAAAUUUUUUUUUUUAGUUUUCAUUGAAAAUAAGAUUUUUACAAUUUUAUUUACAUAAGUAUGAAAAUUCAAAUCCGUUUUAUUUACUAAAAUGCAUUUUUUUUUUACUAUUUUUAUUUAGACAUGAUUUUUACAAUUUUUUUUUUUUUAAAAAAAAAGUUUAUGAUUUUAUCAAAAAAGAAAAGGUUUUGCAAUUUAUUUUUUUUAACAAAGGUUUUAAUGUUUUAUUAAAACAAAAUGCUUUCUAGAUUUUAUUUUAUUUUUAAAUGAUUUUCACAAGUUAAAAAAAAAAAAAAAAAAAACAAAAACGAAAACUUUACAUUUUUAUUUAUUUAUUUUUAAAUGAUUUUCCAACUGUAUUUACAAUUUAUUUAAAAACAGAUUUCACAGUUUUAUUUAAAAAUACAUUUUAUGUUUUAUUUCAAUCUUACAUUUUUUUUCUUAUUUUUAGAAAAAAAAAAAAAGAGAAGUCCAAAUUUAUUUUUCCCCUCUCUCUCUCCCUCCACACGCUCAUUAAUUUUAAUGUUAAGGUAUCAGCCCAAUUGACUUGAUUUAUAUCAACUUAAACUUUUGGUCUACUAGGUACCUUGAUACAACGGCAAAGCCUUGAUUUAUACAGGAGGUCUUGAAGGUAAACUGUGAACCUUACUUAUGUGUACCCAAACCCUACCAUUUAUUUAUAAUAUAGUCAUCAUAAUAUUUAAAUAUGGGACAUUUUAUGCAUUCAUCAUGUGAAGAUCAAAGAAAACAACAGAGAUCGAUACAACAAAUCCACGUUACAUAAUAAAAAGCAAUAUCAAACCGAGGCAAACCAACCUUAAUAGACCAAAGCCACCAAGCAGCAAUUGAAAAAACCACAAAGGGUUUAUCCCCAUACAUAGUAUACUUUGAAAAAUGAAACAGAAGCUAGAAUAUACCAUCUUUAUUUGUGUAAUAUAUCUCCACUCUCAUAUUGGCACAGGGUCUAUGAGCAGCAUUGAAAUAUUAUUUUUCAUCACUUCUCCAAGAUGUGUGAAUUCAUCUUUCUGCCCCUUGUACAUCACAUCUGCUGCUCGAGCAAAAUUGAGAAGACGACUAAGGAGAAGCAUUGGAACUGCAGUAGGUUUGAGGCACUCUUCAUUUAUAUCCUUCCAUGCAUUCUCGAGUUGCUUGUGAAAUUCCCCGUAUGCCUGUUGCUCGGAGACACCAUGUUGCUUCAUGUAACAUUCGAUACUUGAUGCAAUAUGCCCUCUCUCUUGCUCAAACUGCAUACAUAGUAAUAUAAGAUGUUAAAAAGAAAUUGGCAUAUAUAUAUAAUAGAUUUUCUUUAAGAUCCCUUUGUUUUUAUGUGAUUGAUAUCCAAGUAUCUUGUGCGUAGGAAGUGUUGUUUCAUUGUACCUUGUGCGUAGCCAUGUCAUCCAUGAGCCUAAUGACUUUGGAGGAAGCUCUAACAAUCUUAGGGUUUUGUUGCAGCCAAUCAAAGACUUCCUUGGUUGCAAUCUCUCCCAUGCCAAUAAAAGAGAUGAAUGUUAACACGGGGGCACCAAUACUUACCAAUGCAACACGCAUGUACUCUUCUAUUGUUGGUAUGUAUUUUCCAUGGAACCAUUUGGCUUCAACCAAGUAAGCUUGGACCAAGUUUUUCAUCUAGGAUAAAAAUUCAGCCAAGUAAAUAUAUCAUGCAAGUGUUAUAUAUGGCAUUUUAUUUACAAUACUAUAUAGGAUAUCAUAAACACAAUGGAGUUCAGAGAAUCCUACUGCAUCUUUUGCUUUGUGCACAGAGUGUGAUCUUUCUGUGUUUUCCAUCUCCUCAAUUUCUUUGUAGGCAUCGAAGACUGCCUGAUAGCAUGGCUUCAUGUAUUCAGGAAGCUGAUGUGUGCUGUCAAUAUCCCACCUGAAACCAAGUUCCCUUUUAAAGUUCAAGUAUGAAAUCAAUUAAUUGGUUGUGGGUAAUUUUAAUCUUGCAUAUAUCAAACCUCCCAAUUGCCUCUGUAAAGAGCUCCAGUUCUUCGAGUGUUCCAUAUGCAUCAAAUAUGUCAUCCGUAGUUGUGAUCAGAGCAUGUAAUUUGGUUUGUAUUCUUCUAGCAUAUGAAUACUGGGGCUCAAAACAAGCUGUUGCUAUCCAAAAGUACCCUUCCACCAAUCUAUCUCUUACAAAAGGUAGCUUUGAAGAAAAAUCUAGGUCUUUCCACCACCUGAGAAAAUACAUUAAUUCACAUACCGUAAACAGCUUUAACAUAAGUUCAUACAUGAUUUGAAAACUAACCCCAAGAUAUUGCUUAGCUCUUUUUUAUACAGUGACUGCAGUUGGUUGAAGUCUAACUUUGCAAGCUUCAGUAAAGCUUUACUAUGUGACGCUUCAUCCUCGUAGAUAGACAUGAAAGGCCUUGCCUCUAGCCUCUCCAAGCCUUUCCUCAAGGGCCUGUAUAGGGCAUGAGUUACUUGUGCUGCAAGAGGGUAUUCUAAAUGUUCUACCAUAGACUUGAGGUGAGUGGUGGUGAAAGCAAGUGCUUCAUCUAGUAUGUCUUCUUCCCCCACCCUGAGAUGUGCAGCUUCAUACAAGCCUAGUAGGCCACAUGCAUCAUUGAUCAAAGACUCCUUGAACCUUCCCUUUUCAUCUGUGUACCUGUUGAAUAUAUCUGUAGUCAUCACCAAAACAUAGAAUGUUAUAUGUGAGCUUUGCUAGAUGAUAUUCAAGCACCUUAUAAUACAUGAUAUUCAUGAGGCUUACCACAUGAAAUAUUGAAGCCUUGCUGUCUUAGUAGUCGAAAUCGAAGCGCAACAUCAUAGAGAUCAUCAUUUAUGUCAUCAAUACAAUGAUAGUUAUCAUAGGUAUUUUGUAAUGCUUCUUCUAUCUCCUUUUCAAAGUGGUAUGCCACCCCAAGCCGUUGAACUGCAUCGAUAAACUUCAGCUGUUUUGAAGGGUUACUAGCUGCAGCCAUCAGCUCUCUUCUAACUUCCUCCUUUAGAUCUUCCAACUGCUGCUCUUUAUGGGCCAGAGUUAUCUGUAUCAAUAAAUUGCAAGAACAAAACGUGAGAAAAUCUUUAGGUCUUGUUAUGCAAACUACAUACAUGAUCAGAAAAUCACCUCAUCCUCAGGAGUGUGGCUCACGAUGAAGGUAUUGCCCCAAAUGCUAGGCUGAUAAUUUGCAGUUCGGCGAUUAGUCUCUGGAUUAGCAACUGGGGCUGGAGAAGACCCGUUGCUGGUAGCGAGAAUUAAGGCCAUGUGUAAACUCACUCGAGCACUCAACAUCUGAAUCAGAUGACUUGCAAUGCUCGGUAUUUAUAGGAUGGGAAAUGGUAUGUGGGAUUUGGUUUAGUUUUGGGGCCCACGGUGUGAAACAGUCGUGCUCAGAAUAGACUAUAAAAUACUGGUGUGAAAAUGGACUAAGUUUGUUCAACGAAUGCGGUAGAUUUCCUUGCUAAAAAGGUGUGUUAAGUUCGAAUUUCUUCCACAAUUCUUUUUAAAUUUUGAACUUAAUUUGAAUUUCUUCCACAGUUCUUUUGAAAAUUAGAAAUUAAGUUGAAUUUCUUCCACAAAGAGAAACCCCUUGCCUAAAUUCACGCAAAAGCCCAAACCAUUAUGGGCGGCUAAGGUAUGAAUUUGACCUUUUUUCUUUUCUUUUUUCCCUUUUUUUUUAAUGGACCCAAUUUUGAGUCUCUUGUCCUUUUUUUAUGUACUAUUUACUAAAAUUAGAAAGUUUCCCACAGGGUGAUUUUUGGGUUUAGGAAUUUGGGCUAGAGAAAGAAUUGGUCAGUACCAUCCAGCGGUUGUAUUCAAUUGAAUGGUAUGUGGGAUUUGGUUUAGUUUUGGGGCCCACGGUGUGAAAUUCACUCAGGAUAUCCAAACCAAUAUCAAUCCGUAGGUAUUUAAUUCAAACAACGUGCUAAGUUGAUUGGGAAAAUGGACUAAGUUUGUUCAACGAAUGCGGUAGAUUUCCUUGCCAAAAAGGUGUGUUAAGUUCGAAUUUCUUCCACAAUUCUUUUUAAAUUUUGAACUUAAUUUGAAUUUCUUCCACAGUUCUUUUGAAAAUUAGAAAUUAAGUUGCAUUUCUUCCACAAAGAGAUUAGCAACUGGGGCUGGAGAAGACCCGUUGCUGGUAGCGAGAAUUAAGGCCAUGUGUAACUCACUCGAGCACUCAAUAUAUGAAUCAGAUGACUUGCAAUGCUCGGUAUUUAUAGGAUGGGAAAUGGUUCAUUACAAUUAAUUCAAGAUCACCUAUCAUAUUUAAACCACGUUUAUUAAAAAUUAAAUAUUUAAAAUAUGUUUUUUGUUCUCUUAGAAAUACGAAAAGUGUAUCUUAUUCCCUUAAUAAUUCUCAACAUUCAACCAGCCGCCAAACAGUGAUUAAGACUUUUUCACGUGAAGAUAAAACUUAUGAUUGAUCUUAUUUUUAUAAAAACACUAAAAAACGAUUUUUUUGAUCUUUAACUUAAAAAUGGUUUUUAAAAAUAAUUUUUAGAAAACAUGAUCAAGCAGACUCUUAGGGUUUCAUUUGAGAAAUAAAUGAAGAAGAUCACAAAAAAAAAUUGAAAAUAAAUAAAGAAGAUGAUAUUUUAAUCUUUAUUUAAUAUCUUAUUUUUAUUAUCUAAAAUUAUUUAAUUAUUCUAAUUAAUGAUAUUUUGAGUUUAAUUAUGAUUAAAAUAUAUAAUUAAAUUAACUAUAUAUAAAAGUUUUAAAUUGAGAUAAGUUGCUUAAUGAUUGAUUGUGGAUUGAAAUUUUACUCCCAAAAUAUGCAUGUGGCUUUCGCUUGAAAAGGCAUAUGUUGGGAAGCAGUUAUGCUUGGUUAUGAGUUCUAUAAGCUUACGAUUUUAGAUUUGCAUGAUUAUCUUAAUUUGGAUUAGACAGCUACGGAGAAGGGGCCUUUAUUCAAACUGUUUGUCUUAUUCUCAACAAAGGAAGCAUUUUAUUUAAGACAGAACACUCUAAAACUAUGAAAAACUAACAGCCAAAUUAAAACAAUAUUGAAUAAAAAAAUAUUGAAUAGAAACAGAAGAAUUUUUUACAGGGCUAUCUGCAUGUAUAGCGAAAUUGCAUACACAAACUAUUGCUUAGAAAAACAUUGGAUGGUUAAGAUGUGUUAUGUGUGUAUAUAUAUGUCAAAAAUUACCUCAUCAGCUAACGAACCUCUCACCCCAUAUGCUAGGGGCAAAAUCUGCCUUUGGACGAUUAACCACUCGUUUAGCAUUUUGAUCAGAAGAACAUGCUGAUAUUUUAAUGGCCAUGUUGGUUGAAACAAGAAUGGGACAACAGGUGAUGAACCGCUGACCCCAAUUUCUAGAGUGGGAGUUCUCCUAGGUUUCUUACCUAUUAUAGUUGGAUAGGCUUGUCUUUUGCUGAAAGGCAAAAGAUAUUUGAAAAAAUAAGGCUUAGAUUAUAAUAGUGAUGCAAUUCUUCAAUUUGGUUUAAGAUAAUAGUUCCGAAGUCUGUAGUCAAUUUCAAGUAAAUAGGUAACUAUACAAUUAUUGUAUCCACAUAUGCCUAUAAUUAUGUGUUAUUAACAUUUGAUAUAUAAAGAAGUUUGAGGAAUGUAAACAACCCUAAGUUCAUUCUAAAUGACUUUGCCAAUUAUUUUAUAUAAUCAUAAUUUUGUGAUUUUUUUUCACUAGGUAAAAAAAUUCAAAUUAAAUUCAGGGAAAAUUUUCCAUUUCCUAUUUUCUAUUUCAUUCAGGCUUGAUAUAUGCAAAAUUACCCACAUCCAAUGAUUUAUUUUAUUUUUAUUUUAUUUUUAUAUAUUUGAACUUUAGAAGGGAACUUGGUACUUGAUUUCCAGGUGGGAUAUUAACAACAUAUAUCAGCUUCCGGAAUACAUGAAGCCAUGCUAUCAAGCAGUCUUGGAUGCCUACAAAGAAAUUGAGCAGAUGGAGAACAAAAGAAGAUCCUGUUGUGUUCACUACGCAAAAGAGGCAGUAAGGGUCUCUGAGUUCUAUCUGUGCCCCUAUAACAUGUAAUGUACACUAGAAUAAUUAUUUGUUGGCAAUGGUAUAACAUAUUUCAGAUGAAAAGGUCUGUUCGAGCUUACUUCAAUGAAGCCAAAUGGCUACAUGAAGAAUAUGCACCUACGAUAGAAGAGUAUUUGAGUGUUGCACAAGUCACCUCUGAGGUCACCUUGUUCACUGUCAUCUGCUUUGUUGGAAUGGGAAGGAUGGCACCAAAGAGGUCUUUAAAUGGGUGUGGAAUGACCCAAAGAUCGUCGGAGCUUCCUCCAAAAUUAUGAGGCUCAUGGAUGAUAUGGCUUCACACAAGGUACUAUGUUAUAUUACAUAUCUCAAAGACAACGAGGUCUUCAUAAGAAUUUAAUUACCCUUUUGGUAAACAUUUCCUGUUGGCUUUUGUGUAGUUUGAGCAAGAGAGAGGACAUAGUGCAUCAAGUGUUGAAUGUUACAUGAAGCAACAUGGUGUCUCAGAGCAACAUGCAUACCAAGAGCUUAACAAGCAAGUCGAGAAUACAUGGAAAGAUGUAAUCCAGGGCUGCCUUAAACCUCCUGCUAUUCCAAUCCCUCUCCUUAAACGGGUUCUUAAUUUCGCACGCACCGGGGAUUUCAUGUACAAAGGCCGUGAUUAUAGGUUCACGAAUGUUGGAGAUGUGAUGAAAUAUAGUAUUGCAUCACUAUUCAUGGACCCUAUGCCAAUAUGAGCCUGGAGAUUUGCAAUGCUAAUAAGCUUUCUGGCUUCUGUUUUAUAAUUAGCCCUUCUAGUUUGGGGUCUAUGUUGGAGAGUAUGAUAUAUAUAUAUAUAUAUAUACAAAAUUCUCAACCAUAUUAAGGCAAUGACAAAGUCACAGUGGGAAAUGGUAAGAAUCUGUUAAUCACACAUGUUGGAUCCAAGACACUACAUUCUCAUCACCAAGCUUUUCAUCUGAAAACCAUCUAUAACGUUCCUUAGCUUACCACAAACCUUAUCAGUGUAUGAAAGUUUUGUUCAGAUAAUCACAUAUUCAUUGAAUUCGAUCCUACUUUCUUUUGUGUCAAGGACCAAGCCACCAAGAAGAUUCUGAUCCCAGGCACUAUUGAACAUGGGCUCUACAAAUUUCCUAGCUCUUCUCUUCCACCAUCAUCUUCCUCAAUGGCUCUUACUGCUCAGUCUACUGCUGACAUCUCCCUAUGGCACCAAAGGUGUGGUCACCCGACAGCUCCAACAUUAAGACAUAUCCUAACCUCUUGUAAUGUUCCUUAUUCUACAAACAAGUUCAAUCAAAUUUGUUGUGCUUGUCAGCUUGCUAAAAGUCACAAGCUACCCUUCCCGCUUUUUUCUUCUCGUGCUUCCCAAUCUCUUGCACUCAUUCAUGCAAACUUAUGGGGACCAGCCCAUACUCUUGCAACAAACGGUGCCAAAUAUUUUUUAGUGUUUGUUGAUGAUUUCUCUAGAUUUUCAUGGAUCUAUAUGCUGCAUUCCAAAGAUCAAGUGUCCUCUUAUUUUGUUCAAUUUCAAUCAUUUGUUGAAAAACAAUUUGAACUUCCUAUCGAGUGCCUUUAGUCUGAUACUGGAGGAGAGUUCAAGGCUCUCACUCAAUUUCUGGUUAAACAGGGUAUUCUUUAUCAAACUUCUUGCCCCUAUACACCUGAACAGCAUGGGAGAGCUGAGCGUAAGAUUUGACACAUAACCGAAACUGGACUUGCUCUUCUCACUACUGCUUCUUUGCCUCUCACCUUCUGGUCCUACACCUUCCAAACUGCAGUGGCUCUCAUCAACUGCGUGCCCACUCCUCUACAUUCCUAUGCUUCUCCCUAUCAGGUUCUUUAUAAAAAAUCUCCAGCUCAUCAUCUAUUUUGAGGUUUUGGAUGUCUCUGCUACCUAUAUCUCAGACCUUAUAACCCUCACAAGUUUGUCCCUCGUUCAACCCAAUGUAUAUUUCUCGGCUAUAAUUCCACUAACAAAGGAUAUCUGUGUUUGCAUCCUUCUUCGAGGCAUGUUUAUGGCACAAGACAUGUUGCCUUUGAUGAGAUUACCUUCCCCUUUCACCAAUUGUCCUCCGUCGCCUCUCACUCUUCUCCUGUUGUGGAAAAACUCCUGCCUUUCCUGCACCUCCUCAUUCUUCCCUACCACCUCUAUCUCCUAGUUCCAAUUCCCUACCACCUGCCACUACAUCAUCUAUCCAGUUUCUACCUCCUCUAAUUCAGGAUCCCUCUACUGCCUCCCCCACCUCUGCUCCACCCUUACCUUCCUUCCUCAAUACUCAUCCCAUGGUAACCCGUUCAAGGCAGGCAUCACAAAACCCAAGGCUCUUCUUGCAUCUACUCCCACUAAACCCAACACUUUUCGACAUGAUAUUAAGGAUCCUCAAUGAGAACUGGCAAUGGUUGUUGAAUAUCAAGCUUUACUCCGUAAUAACACUUGGUCCCUUGUUCAUCUCCCUUCUCAUGGGAAUAUUAUUGGAUGCAAAUGGGUAUUUCAAUAUUGAUCAUCACAAGGCAUAUCUUGUGGCCAAGGGUUUCACCGAAACUCAGGGAAUUGACUAUUUUGAUACCUUCAACCCUAUAGUGAAGCCGACCACCAUUCUUAUUGUUCUCACUCUUGCACUUUCAUCCCAAUGGCCCAUUUGACAACUGAACAUUCAAAAUGCAUUUCUAAAUGGUGACCUUCACAACCAGGUCUUCAUGCAACAACCCCUUGGCUUUGUUCAUCCUCAACACCCAUCUUACGUCUGCCAUCUUCACAAAGCCCUUUGUGGGCUUAAACAAGCUCCAAGAGCUUGGUUCCACAAACUCAGUACCUCUCUUACCACUUGGGGAUUUGAAUCUUCUUGCGCACACACCUCUUUAUUCUUCAAACAUGCAACAUCUGAUGUUCUCCUCAUUCUUGUCUACGUUGAUGACAUCCUCGUCACUAGUAGUUGUGCCUCUCAGGUUACCUUUUUUUAUCUCUCAGCUCAGCUCCACCUUUGCUCUUCGUGACCUUGGUUCCCUUUACUAUUUCUUUGGCAUUGGGGUUACUCACAGUACUGAUUCUCUUCAUCUCUGCCAACAAAAAUAUGUGCAUGACCUGCUCACUCGUACUGCCAUAACUAAUGCUAAACUUGUUCUUACACUGGGUUCCUUGGCCAAGCCUCUCUCUCUCACUGAUGGUGAUCUACUUCAUAUCGCAACAUUGUUGGCGCAUUACAGUAUGUUACUGUUACACGUCCAAACCUUUCUUUCGCCGUUAACAAGGUAUGCCAGUUUAUGGCUUCCCAACGACCACCCGCUAGCUGGCUGUCAAGAAUAUAAAAAGUAGUUAAAAAUAAAAUGAAAGUAUAGAUUUAAAAUAAAAAAUAAAUUAAAAAUGAAUAAUUAAAAAUUUUAAAAAUGAUAAAUAUUAUUUUUUUUUAAAAAGUUUUCAAAAAAAUCUCGGAUAUUUUCAGAUAAAUUGACGAUGUAUCCGAUAUAUUCGUUGAUAUAUCUGAUACAUCGUUGAUAUAUCUCCAAUAUUUUGAUAGACUUCCUCUAUUGCUUCGCGUGUCGCUUCACACUCGAUUUUUUCAUCGAUUUAUUGAUUUCAAAUUAACCGAAAUAUCGACAUAUUUCGGGGAUUUUUGUGAUGUGUCCGAUAUAUUUGUUGAUAUAUCCGAUAUAUUCGUCGAUAUAUCUGAUAUAUAGUCGAUAUAUCUCCAAUAUUUUGAUAGACUUCCUCUAUUGCUUCGUGCGUCGCUUCACACUCGAUUUUUUCAUCGAUUUAUUGAUUUCAAAUUAACCGAAAUAUCGACAUAUUUCGGGGAUUUUUCUGAUAUUCCUCCCAUUCGAUAAUGUUGCUUAAUAUCCUUUCAGGGUCGUUCGAUAUCCGAUAUAUCGGCGAAAUAUCACCGAUAAAAACCGAUUUUUCAAUCCAUGCUUAAUAGUGGGUUUCCCUUUUGUUUGGCCUCUUGUAGACCCCCAUUUUGGGGCCCGGUUUUUUUUUAUCUCUAUUUUCUUUGCAGGUGUCACCACCCCAAAGAGCCACGUGUUGCCUCUUUGGUGGUUGAUAGGGAAUCAACAUUGCUUUUCGGGGACCUAUGGUAGGUUGACACGUGGAAGAAUAUUCUGGAGAGCUGAUUUCUGUUAUGGGGGAGCGUAUGAGAGUGUUAUGGGGGAGCGUAUGAGAGAGGAUAUUCUGUAGGCACUUUGAUUCUCACAUGUGCAUGAUCACCUUGAGUAUUCAUUGAUUUCCGCAUCAAUUGUCACAUCAGCUUCAUUUUAUUAGUAGAGACCCGACUUUAGGGACUUAGAGGGGUGUUACGGUCUUUACCGUACCUUCCCGAUAAGUAACCUGACCCCCGAGCUCGAUCCGGUUUUUCACGGACCACCUUUUCCAAAUAAGGAGUCACACUUAGGGUUUUCUUUCUUAUUUUGUUUACCCUUUAAAAAUAAAACAAAAUUAAGUGGCGACUCCAAGUCAUUUUUUUUAAUCAGUAAAAUCAUUUUCAAAAUAAAAAUCGAGUUCGCCAUCGAUUGGAAAACGCAUGAGCUGAAAUGCGGGGUCCACACCUCUGUUUUUUUUUUAAAAAAAAAAAAAAAAAAUCCUUUCCGAUUCUAUGGCCUUGAGUGAGCAUUAUGUAUUUCAACUAUUUUGACAUGUUCAAAAUAAAUUACUAAGAAUUUAAAGGGAAUUUGUUCGACAAGUACUUUUUUUUUCACAUAUUUAUUUAUACAUUAUUUAGUUUAGGUUGCAUUAUUCUAUGUAAAUAAUUUAUUGGGUAUGGGAAUUAUUUUUAUAAAUGGCUGAGUAGAUUCAAUUUUAGAUAUUUAUUUAUUGAGCAUGAAAAUUAUUUAUUAAAACAUGGUUUAACAACCAUGCGAUGGAAUCAACCUGUUAAACAAAAUAAACUAAUACUAUAUUAUUUUAACUUAAAUUAUUUCUUGAUGGUAGCAAUGUUGAAAAAACAAAUAUCAAUAAAGACUAACCUUAACAAGAAAAUAGUAAUUAACAUAAUUUUAUAUUGACUUGUAAAAUUGGGUCAACAUAUAAAUAUAUUAAUUGUAACAAGAAGACCUACAUUGAUAAUGAAACGUCAAUAUUAGUCUAUAUUGCCAACUGUAAAAUAUUAAUAUAUGUAUAUAGCGGAUGUUGUCAUUAUGUCUUAUUUAUAUAUAUAUAUAUAUAUAUAUAUAUAUAUAUAUAUAUAUAUAUAUUGAGAUCUCAAUUAAUGAUGCUAACCCUCAAAUCCUUCUUUCUUGGGGUGAAUGUUAGUUCUCAUGUAUGAAGGUAGGUAUGGUUGGUCCAAUCAUCUUAAAGUCCGUGUUAUAUUUGUAACAAAACUUUCGCAUAAAUAAUCGUUUUCAUGAUUAGGAAUUAGAGAAAAUUUUGUAGAAGAUUUUUCCAAAUUUGAAAAUAACCAUGGAAGGAAUUCAACUUAAACACGUUUCUUUGUGGAAGAGUUGCAUUGGCAAGGAAAGAUACACACAUUCAUUGAACAGUCUUAGGCCCAUUUUUCCAAGCAGCCUAGCACGUUGUUUGAAUUAAACCCCUAUGGAUUGAUAUUAAUUGGAUCCAUUACCAGUCAUGCAUUCAAUCCCAAAGCGUUGAUUAUUCUAACUUAGGGAUACUUGGUAAAACUUAAUACUUAUUAUUUAAUAAUUUGAGUUGAUUUUAAAUUAAAUUAUACUUAAAUUGUUGACUUAAAACUUAUUAUUUUAAGUAUUAAGAUAUAAUAUUAACUUAAAAUUUAUUUAAAAUCAUUAAAUUGACAUAUUUAUUUUUAUAAAUUAUAAUUAGAUAAGAAAAGGUUGAGUAAUAAUAGAAGUUAUAGCGUUGCAAAAGAAAUCAUGACGGUAAUUAAGACAAAUAAAGAUAAAAAGAUAAAAUAAAAAUAUAGACUUAAAAAUAAAUUAAUUAUUUUUAUUUAUUACAUAAAAUUAUUUUUUACUUUAAAUCAUAUUAUUAAGUUAUUUUACUAAACAUACUUAAUUUACUUAAUGACUUAAAUUAAGUUAUUAAAUCAUUUUAAGUUAUUAAAUUGAUGUAUCAAAUACCUACUUAUUGAAUGUAAACAUAAAAGGAAAUUAGGAAAGCAAAGUAGAUGGUUUAUUAGGUGAAAGCAUAUCAAAUCCACAUAUCAAUAUAUCACACUUUUACCAAAAACCCACCUCAUGCCAAGCCUAUAAGUUGUCAAGUCCUUGCGAUCCAACAUCCUUCUUAUGGUUCCCAUAUGGAUUUCUAUUAUUAUCAAAACAAAAAGUCUAUAAUAAUUUAUUUAUUUAUUAUUAUAACAAUUAAAUAAAAAGAUAAACUCAUUUGUGGAAUAUAAUUAAUAAAAAAAAAGAGAAGUGUUGGAGUUUUAAAUUAUUAUUAUUUUAUAUUUUUUAUAUUUUAAAUAAAAUAAUAAAUAAUAUAAUUAAAAUAAUGGAUAAAAAAAAAGUGCACUUUCAAGUUUUAUACCUUCAACCUAUACGAGUUGUAAUAUUUUCAAGUUGGUAUUCUUUAACAUAAGUCAAAUUCUAACUUAUUCAACUUUGACAAUUUUAACCUAACCCUCGUAUUGGUACAAAUUAGACUAUUCUACCCUGCUUAAGGUACCGUCCUAAAAAAUUCAUGAGAAUUAUGGACCCAUCUUAUUACGAAUGUUGUAUAUUAAAUUUCCAAAAGUCAUAUUUAAAAAUUAAUAUUUAUGUUUAUAUUUCACAGUACAUAUUUAUCUUUACUUUAAUAUAUAUAUAUAUAGUUGAUAGGCAGAAUUGUCCUUAAUGGCCUUUGUACAUAGAGUACGUACCUGGUCAUAAGAAUACGUGUCAAAUAUAAACAUGCUUUUUAAAUUUAAUCAUUUAUAUUAUAAGUUUAUUAUUAUUAUUAUUAUUAUUAUUAUUAAAAUUUUAUUGUAUACCUUGUAAAAAUAAAAGUUAUGAUCUUACAUAAGGUUGAAAUUUGAAGUUCAAGUUCAUUAAACUGUGCAGAGUUUAGCUUUCUAUUACUCUAUAUACAUAUAUAUAUAUAUAUAUAUAUAUAUAUAUAUAUAUAUAUAAUCAAUUCCAUCAAUUCAUUAUUUUUUAAGAUAUUGAAAAUUACGUAAAUAUUGAUGGUUAUAUUUUACGGAAACAUUGAAACAAAACAAUAAUAAAUUAUUAAAGUUGUUUUACUAAAUAAAAUAAUAUAAUCAUCGUUUUAUAUAUAUAUAAAAGAUCAGUUCAUUAUUUUUUAAGACAUUGAAAAUUAUAAAAAUAUUGAUGAUUAUAUUUUAUGAAAACAUUGAAACAGAAAAAAAAAAAACAUUAUAUAUAUAUUCUUAUACUUUGUUUAUUAAUAAUUUUGUUCUUUUUCAUUUUGACUUAAGAAUCUUUUUAAAUAGUGAUUUACUCUUCAUCGAAGAUUCAAAGUUAUUUUUCAAUUAAUCGAUCAUAGGUAAGUGUGAAAAUGAUUGAGUAAAGACAAGUUAAUCAUCACAAAUAAGUGUGAGAAGGACCGAGUAAAAACAAAGGGUUGAAUUGGAAGUUUUAAUUUACAUAAAAUAUUUUAAUUAAUUUGAAAAGAAUUUUAAAUUGAGAAUUUGAAAAAAAAAAAGAAAUUUCCAAAUAAUAAAAAUAAUUUAGAAAUGAAUUUUAAAUUAAGGAUUUAAAUUUUAAAAUUUGAAAAAGGAAAAUUUUUAUAAAUCUUUUCUAAUUUUAAAUAUGAAAUAUUUCCAAAUCUUUUUAAAACUCUUAAGUUUCUAAAUUGUUUUUAAUAAAAUAUAAUCUUUAAAUUAAUUCCAACUAUAUUAAGUUUUCUCCUAUAUACAUUCUACCUAAAUAUAUAUUUGAUGACAGUAUGACUUGUCUUAUCAUUCCUGAUCUCUAAAGAAAGAAUUCAUUAGAAUGACCUACAUCCCUUCAGAAGCUUAGAGGAGCUGGAACAUUGGAGGUAAUGCGUUGUGGAUGUGGAUUAAGGUGUAAGUGCUAGAGAGUAAAUCAUUAAGGCAAAGCGGUUAGGUAAAUAUGCGUGCUUUGAGUUUAAAUAGUGGAUUGUAAAUUAGAGGUCUUAGACCUUGUGAUUUUUUAUGCCCACAAUUAGUGUUGAUAUUUUCAACUUAAAAUUUCUUGUGUCCCUUAUUUGAUUAUUUUUCUUAUUUUGAUCUUUAAUUAUUUUGAUUAUCCCUAUUAUCUCCUAGUUUAAAUUGAGUUAAUAUUAUUUAACUCUUAUAUUAUUAUCUUUAAAAAUCACCCCACUCUCAAUGUCAUCCUCCUGGACAAAAGCACAUAUAUAAUUCACAAAUCAUGAAAAUAUAUUUAAUAUUAAAAUAUCAUUCCAUGUAAUUUGGAUGUAUUCAAAGAUGUAAAAGAAAUGAUAAUAUAUGUAUAAUUAUUUUUUAUUUAAAAAUGUUAAUAAUUACAUUUGCAACUUUAUUUUGUCCUCUUUAUUUAAUUAAUAUACAAAAAAAUAUGAAAAUAGACUUAUCAAAAGAAUUGUCAUAAUAAAGCUUUAUAUUAUUAAUAAUAAGUUAAAUUAAGGUGAUGUUUAUUUUUUUACUUAAAUCUAAAUGAAAAUUAAUUUAAGUUAAUUGUAAAUAUAACUUAAUAGAAUUAAUUAUUAUAUUGUUUGUUUUUAAUUAUUUUAUUUUUGUUAAGCAUUAAAUAUUAAUUAGGCGAGAGUCCUACUAAGGUUGUGCUUUGAUUGAUUCAAAAAAUUAUUUUGAGUAUUGAGAAAAAAGUUAAAUAUUUUACUUUUAUCUAUUCAUAAAAAAACAACUUAAAAAUUAAUUUUUUGUUAGAAAAUAUGAGAAUUUAUCGAAUUAUGGGAACUUGUGGAUGAUCAUCCAUAUUGAUGUAUAUCUCUUUGUAACUCCCUAUAAAAGGGAGAUACCUCUAAUGAAAAUCUAUUCUAUUCUCUUUCUACAUUUUAAUUUCUCUUUCUUGUUUUCUUCUCCUUUCACUUUAUAAUUUUACAACACGUUAUCAGCAAAAAUAGUCUCUACAAAAUAAAUAAAAAGAUUUUUCUCUAUUCAGAUAAAUAGAAAUACGUUCUUCCCUUCAGAGAAAUAGAAAGACUCUUCCCUAUUCUUUCUCACAAAAAGGUAUGUGAUAAACUUAUAUUAUGAUUUUCUAUUUUAUUACCCUUUGAUCUCUAUUUUCAUUUAUUUUAUUUGAAUACAUAAAUAUGUAUAAUCCCCAUAACCAGAAGUUAUGGGGUAAAUUAUAAAUUGUGGGGUAAAUUCAUAACUAGAAGUUAUGAAAAAUAUGUGCAAUUCCUAUAACCAGAAGUUAUGGGGUAAAUUAUAAAUUGUGGGGUAAAUUCAUAACUAGAAGUUAUGAAAAAUAUGUGCAAUUCCUAUAACUAGAAGUUAUGGGGAAAAAUUACAGAAUUAUAGAUACAUGACCAGAAGUUAUGUAUAUGAUACCUAAUUAUUUAUUUUUAAUUAUACGGUAUAACUGGAUGUUAUACCAAACAAUAUUAUAUAGCAAGAAGGUAUAAAAUAAAUAAAUAAAUAAAUGUUCAUAGCUUGAAGCUAUGUACAAAUUUACAUAAUAAAAGUUCAACCCAAAGUUAUACACAAAUUUACAUAAAAUAAUUCAUAACUUGAAGUUAUAUAUUACGUUGCACAUUUUUAUUAUGAUAAAAUAAUCAUAGCCUGAAGCUAUGAAAAAGAAACAUAUAUAUAUAUAUAUAUAUAUAUAUAUAUAUAUUAAAUUCAUAUUUAUACAUUUUUACCAUAUUUAUAAUUGAUAAAUUUUAGGUCAUUAUAUUUUUAGAUAUUGUUUACUUGAAAUAUUGUUAAAGCAUUUUAUUAAUAGUUUAUUAUAAUAAUUGAAAUAUUUCUCUGAUUAAUAUUAUAUAUAGCUUUCAGAUAAUGUCAAACCUUGCAAAGCUUGAAUUUGUUGUCCUCGAUAUUUUGGACAAGAACUACUUAUCUUGGGUUCUAGAUGUUGAAAUUCAUCUAGAUGUGAAGAAUCUUGGAAAUACCAUUAAAGAAGGAAAUGAUGCAUCCCUGUAGGAUCGCGCCAGAGCUUUGAUAUUCCUUCGCCAUCACAUUGAUGAAGAAUUAAAAGGUGAACACCUUACGUUAAAGAUCCUUUCAUCAUUUGGAAUAAUCUAAGGGAACGAUAUGACCACCAAAAGACCGUAAUCCUUCCAAAGGCACGCUAUGAUUGGAUGCACUUGAGAUUACAAUAUUUCAAGUCUGUUAGUGAAUACAACUCUACCCUAUUCAAAGUUAGCUCACAAUUAAAAUUGUGUGGAGAAAAGGUCACUGAAGAAGAUAUGCUCGAAAAAAAAUUCACGAAUUUUCAUGCCUCGAAUGUGCUCUUACAACAGCAAUAUCGAGAGCGCCGAUUCACUAAAUAUUCAGAAUUGAUCUCAUGUAUUCUUGUGGUUAAACAAAAUAAUGAGCUAUUAUUGAAAAACCAUUAAUCUCGUCCUACCGGGUUUAUGUCAUUGCCUGAAGCCAAUGCCACAUCUGUUCAAACCCUUGGACAUGGACAAAGACAUGGAUAUGGACGAGGUCGAGGACGUAGUCGCGGUCGAGGUUGUGGUAAACACAAUUCUUCUCAUCGUAGUGGUUCUCAAAGUAAAAAAGAACAACUCAAACGACCUGAAAUGAAAUAAUUCAGAGGCACAACCUGAAAAGGGGAUAGAACCACAAAGUAAACAUGCUCGUGAGAAUAAGUGUCAUAGAUGUGGCAUGAAAGAACAUUGGUCACAUACUUGUUGUACUCCAAAACAUUUUGUUGACCAUUAUCAAGCCUCAAUAAAAGCAAAAGGAAAAGAAGUUGAAAUGAACUUCAUUGAUAGUGAUGGCCUAGUAGAUCUAACCCAUUUAGAUGUUUCAGAUUUCUUUGAGAAUCCUAAUGGGAAAAUUGAUCAUCUAAUUGGUGAUAGAAAUGUUUGUUAUGAUUAAAUGUUAUAUUCUUAUUUAGUUCUUUACAAAUAGGUUUAUUUUGUUAUCAUCUUUAAACACAUUUUUAUUAUUCAUCUUUUAUAGUUUAGUUCACAUUUUAUUAUUUCUUAUUUAAAUUCUUCUCUUUAUUUAUACUUGAAGAUACAUGGAUCUUUCUCAUACCGUGGUACAUCAUACGACAUCCAAUGUAGAUGCAUAUCUUGCAGAUUAUGCCACAACACACACAAUCCUUAGUGAUAAAAAAUAUUUUUCCAACAUAUCGUUGGUUAAGUCUAAUGUUAAUACAAUAUUAGGUCCUAUAGACUUGAUUCAAAGCUCCAAAAGAGCAUCUAUUAUUUUACCUAAAGGAACUAAAAUCCACAUUAAUAAUGCCCUUUAUUAUGCUAAAUCCAAAUGAAAUCUUCUUAGUUUCAAGGAUAUUCGUCGAAAUGGAUAUCACAUUGAAACUAUGAAUGAUGAUAGUAAUGAAUACCUUCUCAUUACUUCAAUUAUUUUUGGGGAAAAACACAUCUUGGAAAAGCUUCCUUCUUAUUCUUGUGGGUUAUAUCGAACAAUCAUUAGAUCCACUGAGUCAUAUGUUGUCAUGAACCAAAAGUUUUGUGACUUAAAAACUUUUAUGAUAUGACAUGAACAUCUUGGUCAUCCAGGAUUAUCCAUGAUGUGUCUUAUCAUCAACAAUUCUUUAGGUCAUCCCUUGAAGAACCAGAAGAUUCUGAUGCCCAAUAAUUACAAUUGUGUUGCUUGCUCACAAGACAAAUUAAUUAUUAAACCAUCAUUUACCAAGGUUGAAUAUGAAUCACCAACCUUUCUAAAACGUAUUCAAGGUGAUAUUUGUGGACCUAUCCAUCCACCUAGUGGACCUUUUCGUUAUUUUAUGGUUUUAAUUGAUGCAUCAACUCGUUGGUCUCAUGUUUGUCUUCUUUCAACUAAAAAUAUUGUCUUUGCCAGGUUACUUGCUCAAAUAAUUCGACUCAAGGCACAAUUCCUUGAUCAUCCUAUUAAGACAAUUCGUCUUGAUAAUGCUGGUGAAUUCUCCUCUCAAACAUCUCUUGAUUAUUGUAUGUCGGUUGGUAUUGAUGUUGAAUAUCCUGUUGCUCAUACCCAUACUUAGAAUGGAUUAGCUGAAUCUCUAAUUAAGCGUUUGCAACUAAUUACAAAACCAUUACUCUUGAGAACAAAAUUGCCCUUGUUUGCUUGGGGGCUUGCUGAUUCGUGCCCAAUUGGUGUCUCAGCUGAUUUGUGUUCAGCUGGUGCUCCUUGAUUGAGGGAGUAAUCAACAAAAUUUAUUACCUAUAACACCAUACACUAGGGUAGCAAAGAAAAAGCUACUAUAGUAUAGUGGCUCUAGGGUCGUUCACUGGGAAUGAUUAACAAGCAAUCAAUGAUACCAAUUCCAAGUGAAUUGGUCUUGUUUCAUUUCAAGGUUAGAUUAAGAAGUAAAACACAAACUUUGAUUGGUAAAGGUUUAGACUUAAAAUAACUAACAUAACAGAAGUUUGGAAUAAUUUAGGAAGAAAACAUUCCUUGGAGAGUUAGGUUCACUAGGGUGGUACCUCAUGCAAAAGACACGGCUCUGGUCAGAUGGUUCAUUUCCUUGUGUUAGAGAUUCAACAUAUAGUCAAUUCUCUAACCGGUGUUGUACAGAGACUCCUUCAAUUAGAUUUCACUUUAAUUCUCUCAUUGAUGCAACUUGCAAUGGUUUAAGCCUCUCACUAAGCCUUAACCAUUCAAGGUGAUCUUUAACCUUGGAUUACCCGUCAAAAGCUCGCAAGAGAUAACUAAUGGAUGUCUCCUAGGAGUCCAAAAGCUUAUCAAGUGUUGGCUAUUCUAGAAAAUCCUACCUUGAAAUCACCUACCAGAGGCUCGCAAGGGGUAAACUAGUGCAUUUCCAUGGUUGGAAAUCACUUGCCUUACCAAGUGUUAGCCCAGGUGACUCUAAGGUGUUUUAAGUUAACUAAAAACAUAGAAAUCACUAAAGGAUUUCACUUGCUCUUCAUUAAUAGCUAAAACCACAGAGCUUUGCAUUCUUGCACUUGGAACCUUCCCCGGCAACCUUAGCUCCAAGGAAUUAGAGAUUUAGUUACUCAUUCUCUGGGGAAAACUCCUCAGAGAAUUCAUAACUUAGUAAGAAAUUGAAAAUACAAAGUGAGAAGGUAAGACAGUAGAAAGAAAAUAGACUUUACUUGCUUACCCAAACGUUUACAGAAGGCACUCCUCUCUGAGAACAGGCUCCCGAGAGGUAUAUAUAUGAACAUAAUAUAAAACUAAUUAUUACAUAGAUAUUUAGUCUUUUUACUAACUUAAAAACUAAGGAAUCAUGUAAUUGGUGGUUUACAAGGAGUAUUUUGGGAUUUAGACAACAAAAAUCUAAUAGAAAAUAUCUCCCAAUGUUGGUAGCAAAUAUCGGGAGGCUUCAGGAACCAUUUCGCAGGAGAAAAAUGGUGUCUGCGAAAUUUCGCAGACACUCAAGAGGGCUGCGAAAUUAUUUCGCAACACCAAGCUAUCUUCACAGGGCUGCGAAAUUGGCUUCCACCUUGAGGUUCCCAGCUCCCUUCUCGCGGCAUGGUUCGCGCAUCGUCAGAAGGAGAAACACCUUACUGUACAAAAAUGCUGCGAAAUCACUUCGCAACAAAAGGGUGAUUUCGCAACACUUUGCAAAAUGCUUCCUUCAGCUCGGAGUGAUUGGCUUGUAAUGGCUACAACUUCUUCGUUUCAACUCCGAAUUGCACACCGUUUGAAGCAUUGGAUUGUUGACUUCCUGAGCUUUGAAAUGGUAUAUAGAAUACAUCAUUUGGACUUCAGAAAGUGCUCCAAAAGUGGCUGCUACGACUGUCAUCAAGAAUAGGCUUCAUGGCAGAUUCUCUUUGCUUUUUCUCCUUGCAAUCCGGAUUCACUCUUGGCAAAUGACUUCUAAGCUUUGCCCAAGAUUCCUCAUAGCUCUCCUCAGUCUUGACUUGCUUUGGUGAUCAAAAUACUAACAAAAACACCAAAACUUGCACAAAGUGAUCAAAAUUGCUUUAAAGGAUCCUUAACAUGCCAAUUGAGUUAAAAGGCCUAAACUACUACUCAAAAGUGUUUAAAAGGAUUAAUUAUAGGCUAUCAAAUAGCACUUUUUGAGUAGUAAUCACUCCCCCCAACAGACAUAUUGCUAGUCCCUUAGCAAUAUAGGAGAGAAAAAAAAAAUGAAUAGCUAAUUAUACUAAAAUUUACAACAUCAUGCUGAUAGAAAAUAAUUCUCAAAUGGCAUGAUGAUCUAAUUCUCACAUGAAGCAUUAAAGAAAUACAAACCCAAAUCUCAACAAGAGUCAUAACACCUAUGCUAAACACUGUCAAUCAAGAGAGUGCAUUAUGCAAACUGAAGUUUUAAAACCAUUUCCACUUUCUAAGAACCAAACUUUAAUCUUCCACAAAAAUCUAUGUGUAUUGGUUCCUUAGCUUCCGAGAAUAAUAUGCUAAACUAGUCUCACCCCCCAACCUAUCUCUUUUCAACACUUUAGCAAACUGACCAAAAUCAAUAAGAAAAGAAAACACCUUUUUUUUUUUUUUUCAAGGUAGCUUUAUGGGGUACUCUUUCUGACUUGUCCAUGUAAUGGGGGUCCAUCGAUGACUCCCAACCAAUUAAGGUUUAGGGCACCAAGCUUUAAGGAUCUUUCAACCACUAACUCCUCGGAUUUUUCCCCGGACUUUUAAGAAUGAAUUUCUAAUACCCAAGCAUCUACCAUAUGCUAACUCUACCUAUUCACCCUUGUAACGAGCAUUGAGGUCGGUGACUCCCAACCAAUUAAGGCUUAGGGCACCAGGCUUUAAAGAUUUUCACCAUAUACCCCUCAGACCUUGCUCGGGUUUCAAGGCAAGCAAACAACUUUCUUUAUUUUAAAGGCUCAUUGGCCUUUUGCAGGGUGUUUCAAUUUUUAUCAAGUGAGGUCAAAUAUACCAAGUCCCAAAAUUAUCCUAAGUCAAGAGGGAAAUAGCUUUUCAUCUUAUAAUCGGAAUCUAAUGUGCACAGUGUGUGAAUAGCUUAAAGUGGAAGAACUAAAUUCAAUUUCAAUAGAAGUUUCAACAAUUGAACCACUUUAGUAAGCAUAAUCCAUACUCUAAGUCAAGUGAAAAACAACAGUUCAAUUUCUCUUGGUUUAAUUUGAAAAUUUUUCCUCAAAAUUCAUGGAGAAUAGAGUAACACUAGUAAAAAGUAAAAUCUACAACUAAUUAACCAAUAUAAUUGCAAUACCAAAAAGAUUUAGAAAACUUCCUUCCUCAUACCCCCCAACCGAACUGAGCAUUGUCCUCAAUGUGAUUUGAAUGAUUGUAAUAAAAGGGAGGAAGUGGUACCUCCUUGCUGAUAUCAAAUUCGAAUAUUGAUUGGGGAAAACCACAUGUUUCAAAAAGAAUAGAAUAUGUGAGAAAAAGAAAUAAGAAUAACUUAAUGCUAACUUUUAACAAGAAAUAUUCAACUUGUAUUACUUUGAGUUCAUUUGAUUACAAUGCUAAAGACAAGUAACACAAGGAAUCCCAUAUAUAGUACCAAAAUACUGGGACUUCAUUUCAACUAAAAAAAACAAAAAUGCAUAAAAACAUAAACAAAAAAUAUAUAUAAUGUCUGAUUAGUGGGGUGGUGGUGCUAGACAGAAGGAUCUGCCUCUUCAGUAGGUGGAUCAGCUGGGGCUUCGGGCUCUGGAGGAUGAGACUCUGAAGGCUGAGAGUGUGGCUCUGGUGGAGUAGAAAUGGAGGGCUCUACAGCUUGUGGCAGAUCGAAAUGGACUUGAAGCUGCCUUAAGAUGGCAGCUUGUUGAGCCUGAGAGGCUAACAUCUGCUCUUGGCAUGCUUUGAUGGCUGCCAUCUCCUGAGCAAGAUUGCUCUGAGAAGCUGUAAGAGUCUCCAAUGCACGACACAACUCUCAAUAUUCAGAUAUAGGAAUGACCAUCCUCGGCUCAGCUGAUGUGGAUGGCUGAGAUGAAGCAGGUGCAGCUGGUGGAGCUCUAGGAAUGGCAGGAGCAGCAACUGUUAUACCCUCAGGUAUAUGUCUUGGGGAGGCUCUCCUUGCAGCUGGCUGAGGCUGCCCAGGCUGAUCAACUUUGUAGGCCGUCAUAUUGUUCCAUUUAUCAAGAGUGAAUGGCUCACGGCAUAUUCGCUUUCUCUCCAGCUGAGGCUCUGAGGGGUAUCCCAGAUGCUCCAAAAUUUGGCAUAGCAGCCUUGGGAAGAGGAGGGGAAUACAAUCUGCUCUCUGAAGCUUCUUCUUGUGAACCUUCUCUUCAAAAUAGAGAAGGGCUGCCAUGAUCAGAUGAUGAGGCCCAAAGAAAAAUCCUUCUGACAUCUUGUAAAGAGCUUCCAGGAGAACUCCCCUUCUUUGGGUCCAAUGCUGCAAUGGAUAUAUAUUAUGGCGCAAAAAGGCAUCAAUCAAAAACAUAACUGGAGGAAGCUCCCCCCUCAGCAGAUGUGAUCGAUUUGCAGCUCCUCUGGAAAGGGUGCGAACCAUCUCUAGCUCAGUAGGAUUUGCCCACAAUGAAUCAUGAAGCCUAAUAGACCAAUCUUUUCUGUUGGAAUUCACCACUUUCAUCAAGAUGUUCUUUAUUUCCCUAUUAGCUAGCUCAACUUGCCCGGAAGUCUGAGGAUGAUAAGGUGUGGCCACCUUAUGCUUCACUCCAUACUUGGAUAACAGAGCUUCAAAAGGUUUGUUGCAAAAAUGAGCACCUUCAUCACUGAUUAUGGCUUUGGGCACCCCAAAUCUUGAGAAAAUGUUCUCUUUAAGAAACUUGAGAACCACCCUGUGAUCAUUUUGCUUACAGGGGAUUGCCUCAACCCAUUUAGAAACAUAAUCUACCCCCACCAAGAUGUAAGAAUUACCAAAAGACAUUGGGAAAGGUCCCAUGAAGUCAAUGCCCCAUACAUCAAAUAACUCAACUAUCAGAAUGUGGUUCAUAGGCAUUUGAUUUCUUUUUGUUAGCUUUCCAAGCCUUUGGCAUCUAUUACAAUUCCUACACAUGAUGUGGGCAUCUUUGAAAAGAGAUGGCCAAGUAAACCCUGAUUGCAAUACCUUCAUGGCUGUUUUCUGAGAGGCAAAGUGGCCUCCACAUGCAUUCUCAUGACAAUGAGAUAGAAUCCCUUGCUGCUCAUCUUCAGGGACACACUUCCUAAUAAUCUGAUCUGCACAAUACUUAAAGAGAAAGGGCUCUUCCCAAUAAUAAGCAUGAAUUUUGGCAAAGAAGUGCUUCCUGUCCUGUGCAUUCCACUCACUUGGAAUUUCACCAGUUACUAAAUAAUUAGCAAUAUGAGCAUACCAAGGAGUUUUCACUAGGAACAUGAGUGAUUCUUCAGGAAAAUCAUCAUUGAUAGGCAAGGGAUGGGAAUUAUGUGCUAUAACUAACCUUGACAAGUGGUCAACUACUACAUUCUCCACUCCUUUCUUAUCUUUGAUUUGAAGAUCGAAUUCUUGUAACAAAAGGAUCCAUCUAAUCAACCUUGCUUUUGCAUCUUGCUUUGUCAAUAAAUACUUCAAGGCUGAAUGGUCAGUAAAGACAAUAAUGAAAGACCCCACUAAAUAAGCUCGAAAUUUGUCCAAAGCAAAUACCACAACUAAUAAUUCUUUCUCUGUAGUUGUGUAGUUCCUCUGAGCUUCAUUUAGUGUUUUACUUGCAUAGUAAAUCACAUAGGGCUUCCCAUCUUCUCUUUGGCCAAGCACAGCUCCUAUAGCAAAGUCACUGGCAUCACACAUCAGUUCAAAAGGUAAUUGCCAGUUAGGGGCUCUCACUAUUGGAGUUGUUGUUAAAAAUUUCUUCAGUUGAUCAAAGCUAUUCUGACACCUUUCAUCCCAUAUAAACUUAGCAUCCUUAGCUAACAGCUCACAAAGAGGUUUUGAAAGACUUGAAAAACCUUUUAUAAACCUCCUAUAGAACCCUACAUGGCCAAGGAACUGCCUUACUCCUUUCACAAUUGUUGGAGAUGGUAAUUUGACAAUAAGCUCCACCUUUGCUUUAUCAACUUCAGUGCCUUUUUCAGAGAUGAUAUGGCCAAGGACAAUUCCUUGACGUACCAUAAAAUGGCAUUUCUCCCAGUUCAGCACCAGAUCUUUUUCAAUGCAUCUAUGAAGAACUGCUUCCAAAUUAACCAAGCAUUCCUCAAAUGUACCUCCAUACACGGUGAUGUCAUCCAUGAAAACCUCCAUAAUUCUAUCCACCAUAUCACUGAAAAUACUCAACAUACAUCUUUGAAAUGUAGCAGGUGCAUUGCAUAAACCAAAAGGCAUUCUUCUAUAAGCAUAUGUUCCAAAUGGACAUGUAAAAGUGGUCUUUUCUUGAUCUGCCAAGUCAAUUUCGAUCUGAAAAUACCCUGAAUACCCAUCCAAGAAACAAUAGAAUGGAUGUCCAGAGACUCUCUCCAGCACUUGAUCAAUAAAUGGCAAUGGAAAAUGAUCUUUCCUGGUGACAGCAUUCAGCUUUCUAUAAUCAAUACACACCCUCCAUCCUGAAGUGAGGCGUGUAGUAAUUUCUUCCCCUUUUUCAUUUUUAACCACUGUGAUCCCUGACUUCUUUGGUACCACUUGAGUAGGACUCACCCAAGGGCUAUCAGAAAUAGGGUAGAUGAUUCCUGCUUGAAGUAGCUUCAGCACCUCAGCUCGCACCACCUCUUGUAGAUGAGGAUUCAACAUUCUUUGAAAUUGACGAAUUGGCUUUGCUUCCUCCUCCAUAUAUAUAUGAUGAGUACAAACUAAAGGACUAAUGCCUUUCAAGUCAGAUAUUUGCCAUCCUAUUGCCUUCUUACACCUCCUAAGAACUUCCAUUAAACAAUUCUCUUGAUGACUGGUCAGAGAUGAAGAUAUUACAACAGGACAUUGAUUAUUUUCUUCAAGGUAUGUGUAUUUCAGCUCCACAGGUAAAGGCUUCAGAUUGAGUUUUGGAAUUUCUUUUUCAACAGCUGCCUCCUCUUCCUUAUUGAACAAAGGUAGAAUUCCUUCUAUCUUUCUCCAACUUUGUAAAGUAGCAAGCCCAAUAGGAGAUUCAGAAAAACCUUCCUCAAUAUCCUCAAGACUUUCAUUCGACUUGUCUUGCAUAUGUUGAUUGCAGUGCUCCUCCACCAAAGUAUCGAUUAUACAUAGCUCUUCUGGACCUUCUUCUUCCUCCGGAGUGAUUUGCUUUUUAGAAAUGUAGAAAAUAUUGAGAUCCAGUGUCAUGUUACCAAAAGUGAGUUGCAUAAGCCCAUUUCUACAGUUGAUGAUUGCAUUUGAAGUUGCAAGAAAUGGCCUUCCAAGGAUGAUAGGAACUAAAUUAGCUUCCUUUACAGUAGGAUCUGUAUCAAGAACAAUAAAAUCUACUGGAUAGUAGAAAUUAUCCACUUGAACCAAUACAUCCUCAAUUACCCCUCUUGGAAUUUUCACUGAUCUAUCUGCCAGAGAUAGAGUGAUUGUUGUUGGCUUCAACUCUCCAAGGCCCAAUUGCUUGUAGACAGAGUAUGGAAGCAAAUUCACACUUGCUCCCAAAUCUAGCAAGGCUUUCUCCACUACCUUUCCUCCAAUCAUGACUGAAAUGGUAGGACUUCCAGGGUCUUUGUACUUCAAAGGAGACUUACAUUGUAAGAUUGCACUUACUUGCUCAGUCAAGAAGGCUUUCUUGUUUACAGUCAACCCUCUCUUGAUAGUACAUAAGUCCUUUAGGAAUUUUGCAUACGUUGGAACUUGUUUGAUCAUAUCCAGCAGUGGAAUAUUAACUUUCACUUGUCUCAAUACUUCAAGGAUUUCAGCUGCAUAUCUAAUCCNNNNNNNNNNNNNNNNNNNNNNNNNNNNNNNNNNNNNNNNNNNNNNNNNNNNNNNNNNNNNNNNNNNNNNNNNNNNNNNNNNNNNNNNNNNNNNNNNNNNUCUCCUCCACACAUUGUCUCGAGGAGUUGCUUCAUUGAGGAUGACAUACCAUCAUAAAAAUAGCUCACCAAUAGCUAAGUAUCAAAGCCAUGGUGAGGACAAGCAUUUAUAGCUUCCAUGUAUCUUUCCCAACACUCAUAGAAUUUCUCAUUCUCUUUAGCUGAGAAGUUUGAAAUUUGCCUUUUCAAGCCAUUUGUUCUAUGAGUAGGAAAAAAUUUCUUGAGGAAUUCAGCUUGUAAAUCAGUCCAAGAGCGGAUACUCCUUGGCCUUAAAGAAUUAAGCCAAAUUUUGGCCUUAUCCUUUAAAGUAAAAGGAAAUAAUUUAAGCUUCAUCAAAUCAAUUGAAGCUCCUCCCUCUUGGAAUGUAUUACAAACAUCUUCAAAUUCCUUGAUGUGUGCAUACAGAUUCUCACUUUCCAUCCCAUGGAAAGUUGGUAGAAGUGGAACAAGAUACGGUCUGAUCACUAUCUGCUCUGUAGGGGGCACUAUACAUGAUGGUGCACUCAUACGAGGUGGAUGCAUACGGUCCCUCAUUGAUCUGAAUUCAUUGAGAUUAUCUUGACGACCUUGGUGACUAUGCUGAUCUUCAGGUGUAGCUUCCAUGAUAUUCAAGAUUACUUCAAAUUCUCCCCUCUGAGGUGUAUCACACUUAACAAGCCUUCCUCCACUGUCUCGUAUCCACUUUGGCAUACACAACUAGUAUCUAUCUGCAACUUAAAUAAAAAUAAAGGACAACAAAAGAAACAGGGCUCCUACAACAAAAUUAAACUAAACUAAAUUUUAAAAGAUAAACUUAGAUUAUGAAUAAACAAAGAAAGAAUGAAAAUUAGUAAAGUGAAAGAAACUUUACCAACUUGUGAUGAAAAUCACAAGUGCUCAACAAUGGUAUCACUAUAAACUUGACACUGAUCAUUCCCUAGCAAUGGCGCCAUUUGAUUCGUGCCCAAUUGGUGUCUCAGCUGAUUUGUGUUCAGCUGGUGCUCCUUGAUUGAGGGAGUAAUCAACAAAAUUUAUUACCUAUAACACCAUACACUAGGGUAGCAAAGAAAAAGCUACUAUAGUAUAGUGGCUCUAGGGUCGUUCACUGGGAAUGAUUAACAAGCAAUCAAUGAUACCAAUUCCAAGUGAAUUGGUCUUGUUUCAUUUCAAGGUUAGAUUAAGAAGUAAAACACAAACUUUGAUUGGUAAAGGUUUAGACUUAAACUAACUAACAUAACAGAAGUUUGGAAUAAUUUAGGAAGAAAACAUUCCUUGGAGAGUUAGGUUCACUAGGGUGGUACCUCAUGCAAAAGACACGGCUCUGGUCAGAUGGUUCAUUUCCUUGUGUUAGAGAUUCAACAUAUAGUCAAUUCUCUAACCGGUGUUGUACAGAGACUCCUUCAAUUAGAUUUCACUUUAAUUCUCUCACUGAUGCAACUUGCAAUGGUUUAAGCCUCUCACUAAGCCUUAACCAUUCAAGGUGAUCUUUAACCUUGGAUUACCCGUCAAAAGCUCGCAAGAGAUAACUAAUGGAUGUCUCCUAGGAGUCCAAAAGCUUAUCAAGUGUUGGCUAUUCUAGAAAAUCCUACCUUGAAAUCACCUACCAGAGGCUCGCAAGGGGUAAACUAGUGCAUUUCCAGGGUUGGAAAUCACUUGCCUUACCAAGUGUUGGCCCAGGUGACUCUAAGGUGUUUUAAGUUAACUAAAAACAUAGAAAUCACUAAAGGAUUUCACUUGCUCUUCAUUAAUAGCUAAAACCACAGAGCUUUGCAUUCUUGCACUUGGAACCUUCCCCGGCAACCUUAGCUCCAAGGAAUUAGAGAUUUAGUUACUCAUUCUCUGGGGAAAACUCCUCAGAGAAUUCAUAACUUAGUAAGAAAUUGAAAAUACAAAGUGAGAAGGUAAGACAGUAGAAAGAAAAUAGACUUUACUUGCUUACCCAAACGUUUACAGAAGGCACUCCUCUCUGAGAACAGGCUCCCGAGAGGUAUAUAUAUGAACAUAAUAUAAAACUAAUUAUUACAUAGAUAUUUAGUCUUUUUACUAACUUAAAAACUAAGGAAUCAUGUAAUUGGUGGUUUACAAGGAGUAUUUUGGGAUUUAGACAACAAAAAUCUAAUAGAAAAUAUCUCCCAAUGUUGGUAGCAAAUAUCGGGAGGCUUCAGGAACCAUUUCGCAGGAGAAAAAUGGUGUCUGCGAAAUUUCGCAGACACUCAAGAGGGCUGCGAAAUUAUUUCGCAACACCAAGCUAUCUUCACAGGGCUGCGAAGUUGGCUUCCACCUUGAGGUUCCCAGCUCCCUUCUCGCGGCAUGGUUCGUGCAUCGUCAGAAGGAGAAACACCUUACUGUACAAAAAUGCUGCGAAAUCACUUCGCAACAAAAGGGUGAUUUCGCAACACUUUGCAAAAUGCUUCCUUCAGCUCAGAGUGAUUGGCUUGUAAUGAUUGCAACUUCUUCGUUUCAACUCCGAAUUGCACACCAUUUGAAGCAUUGGAUUGUUGACUUCCUGAGCUUUGAAAUGGUAUAUAGCAUGCAUCAUUUGGACUUCAGAAAGUGCUCCAAAAGUGGCUGCUACGACUGUCAUCAAGAAUAGGCUUCAUGGCAGAUUCUCUUUGCUUUUUCUCCUUGCAAUCCGAAUUCACUCUUGGCAAAUGACUUCUAAGCUUUGCCCAAGAUUCCUCAUAGCUCUCCUUAGUCUUGACUUGCUUUGGUGAUCAAAAUACUAACAAAAACACCAAAACUUGCACAAAGUGAUCAAAAUUGCUUUAAAGGAUCCUUAACAUGCCAAUUGAGUUAAAAGGCCUAAACUACUACUCAAAAGUGUUUAAAAGGAUUAAUUAUAGGCUAUCAAAUAGCACUUUUUGAGUAGUAAUCACUUGCUAUUCUUCAUGCUGCCACUUUAAUUCGAAUUUGCCCUACAACUAAUCUUGAUUGCUCACCUUUACAACUUGCUUUAGGCUCCCAACCAAACGUUUCACAUUUUCAUAUUUUUGGUUGUGUUGUCUAUUUCCCAUAGCUCUACCUCAACGUUCCAAGUUAGGACCUCAACAUCGACUUGGUAUAUAUGUUGAUUUUAAUUCUCCCUUUAUUAUCCGUUAUCUUCUCUUUUCACUUUAUAAUUUUACAACAUUUUUUGUUUUAAUCAAAAUAGUGAAUGGAGUUUGAGCCGAAUUUUAAUUAUUUGGUAAAAUAAUAAAAUUAAUUUUUAUUUAAAAGAAAAAAUAAAGUUAAGUCAAAGAUAUAAAGAUAAUUAUUUUAUUUUAAAUAUAAAAAAAAAAAGAUAAAUGAGCUACAAAUUUUAGGAUUAAUUGAUUAAAAGGGAUGAAAAGAUCCCAAAUUUGUAAACUAACCUCUUCCAUUUUUUAACUUGAAGAGUAACACAUGUUUGACAUAAAUACCCUUCAACAUUUUCAUUAUUUAUAUGUGCCUUUUAAAAGAAAAUGUUACUUUUGUAAGAAAAAAGUGAGAGUAUUCUUAUCCAAAAUGGGUAUUUUUUGGAUGAAAAAAAAUGGUUUGCAAUUUGAUAUUUCUUUCGCCCUUUUUAAUCGGUUAUCCCCAAAUUUUAUUACGGCAAAUACAAAUUCUAAAAAUAUUUGGUUUUAUUGCUAUUUUUAAAUUUAAAUAUAUUUUUACCUUAAUUUUAUUUUUAUUUCAAAAUAAUUGAUGAUGAUUUAGUUGGAUUCUAAUAUUUAAUGGAGUUUUAGUUGAAUUCUAACACUAUAAUAUAAAGUGACUCGAUAAAAUUAUAAAAUCAUUUUUAUUUAAAAAUAAAAUAAAUAAAGUUGAGUUAAAAAUAGUAUUAAAUAAAUUAAAUUUUAAAAAUAAAAAUUAAUAGUUUUAUCUUAAAUAAAAAAUAUUAAAAGAAAAAAAAUUAGAUAGAUAGGCUUUAAAUUUUAUUAAGAGAAACAUAAAUUUUUUUUAAAAAAAUUGUUUUUAUUUAUUUUCAAUUUUAAAAUUUUAUUUCUAUUUUUUAUUUAAAUCUAUUUUCAAAUUUUAUUUUAAUUUUAUCUAAAAAUAGUUAAUAGAGUUUUGGUUGAAUUUUAAGACUAAAAUAAGCGAAUAGAUAAAUUAUAAAAUGAAAUUUUUUUAUUAAAAUGAAAAGAAAGUUAAGUUAAAGAUACUAUAAAUUAUGAUUAGAAGAAUGAAAAUCAAUAAAUAAAAAAAUAGUGGUUUUAUCUUAAAUUAGAAAUAUUUAAAAAAAGAAGAUAAAUGAAUAAUAUAUUGAAAAAUAUGACUUUGUGGUAGAAGAGCAAUGACUAUGCUCUUUGGAAUACCAUAGUUUAUGUUCAUUUUUUUAAAUUUAAAAAGAAUAAACAUCUUUUAGAUAUUAACAAAAAUAAAUUUAAAAUCUUAAAAACAUUUGUUGUUGGCCAAAUAAUCCAACUAUGAGCCCUUUUAUGACAAGUGAACCUUCCAAAUCUUCUGAAGAAUUUUUUAUCUUAGUAUUAAAAUCUAAAAGCAGAAUAUAUAUACUAUGAGUUACCUUUUUAACAACUUAUUUAUUUUAUUUAAUGUAAUAAUAUACAUUAAUAUAAAUUAUAGUUGACUUGAGUUUUUUUUUUUUAAUUUGGCAUAUGCUUGUAUUACUUUGUUAGCUUGGAGGACAAAAAACCUAUACAAAUAAUUAGACGUGAAUUGUAUGUAUCAAUGAAAUUGUAAUUUUUAGAUUGCAAAAAUGAGUACAUACGUUAAUAUAUAUGAAAAUAUAUAGUGAUUAUGACAUUUGAUAACCUAUUUAUUUUGAAUGAUGGGAAUUAAACUUCGUAAAAUUUUAAGAUAGAUUGGAAGUAAAUUUUUUUGUUACUUAAAAUGUGUACAAAUUCUUCCUUGUAGUUAUGUUAUGUGUAAUAGAACUUCCAUGCACAAUCGUUUUCAUGAUUAGGAAUUGAAUUAGAGAAAUUAAAUUUUGUUGAAGAUUUUUUCAACUUUGAAAAAAUUGCAUGUGGAGGAGUUGCAUUGGCAAGGAAAUCUACACACUCAUUGAAGAGUCUAUGCCCACUUUUCCAAUCAGCCUAGCACGUUUUUUUGAAUUGAAUAACCACGGAUUGAUAUUGAUUGGAUCCAUUAUCAGUCAUUCAAUCCCAAAGCAUUCAUUUGUCAAACUCCAUGAAAUAUAGGUUUGGCCGAGUGGACAUUUCAAUACUAAACUUGUCCAAAUACAUUAAAUUGAUAUUUUUAGUAAAUAUGAUGCGUUGUCUUUUAGAUCCAAAAUGGAUAAUAUUUACAUGUUAGAGAGUCAGUCGUUGCCUUUUAUCUCUAAUCCACCCUCUUAAAUCCCUAACCCAAUCUUGGAGUACCACAGAAAGUUUAAAGAUUAUUAGUGAUUUUAUAAAGGAUAUUGACAAAAAAGAAGAUCAUUAACCACGUACUAAUCAUGUUAUUUAGUGAAUAUUCGAUCUAUUGAAUCAAAUCAUAUCUUUUAUAACAAUAGCUUAACCCUUUUCACUCUUGUACAUAACUUCGACUCAAAUGAUUUUGAAAUUAAACGUAACAUGCUAUUAAGUGAAUAUGGUCACUCAACUCAUAAAAUUUCACAAAAAGAUUAUUUAAAUUCACAUUUUCUUACAUUUUCUUAAUAACAUUUUUUUUUCUUUUCGAUGUAAAGAAAUUGCAUAAAGUUUUUUCACUUGGAGCUACUAGACAUAUUGCAUUCUCAUGGUAAUAAUUUGGGGUUAUUUAAACAUCAUCUUCAUUUAUUAAACAGAAUCAAGAGUUUCUUUAGAAUAAUCUACAAAAUUAAUUGGUAUUGAUAGAUGGGGUUUUAACUUUUAAGAAUUAGACAAAAUUUUGUAGAAAAGUUUUCCAAAUUUUAAAAGAUUUGUAUGUGGAAGUACGAUUUGAUAUGUCUCUUCCUACACGUACGUGAAUUGCAUUGUCCUUCUAGCUAGAUAUUGAUUAAUGACCACAUAAAAAACUUAUCGGCAGGCCAAACUGAUACUCACCAUGUGCCCCAAACUGAUCCAAAUUGGUUUUCAACAAUGUACAACCACUGCAUGACUUUAUGCAUGGUAGAGAAACUUUUUAAAAUGUUCUAUCAAGAAUAAUUCUACCAUAAAUUAGGAUUUCAUGUCCAACUUUUUAUUUAUUUAUUGAAAAGAUAAAAAUUUUAAAUGAAUUCAUUUUUGAGAAGACAAUUACAAAUAAUAAAUUUCUUUUAUUAAAAAAUAAGUUUAAUGUAAAAAAUAAAUUGGCCUUUCGAAUAGACAAUUUAAUUUAAAAAUAAGAUAAUAGACAUAAAUAUGGUAUUAUUAUAUUUAUUUUUCAAAUAACUAUUUUUUAAUAAUAUUUUUUGAAAAUAAUAAAGAAAAUUCCUCCAAUGACACUGGAAGUUCCGCCCUAUAAAUACUAAGGAGCUUGCCAAGCUAUUCCGCUCAUACUUGCCAAUUCAUCAUUUAGGGUGUUCUAUCAUUGUUCCAAGGAAGUAGCAUGUCUAUUCAAGUCUCAACAUGUCCUCUUGUCCAAAUUCCUAAACCCGAACACCGCCCAAGGGCAGAGUUUCACCCUAGCAUUUGGGGUGACCAAUUCAUUGCCUACACUCCCGAAGAUGAGGUAAUUCAAUGAAAAUAUGUGUCAAGAUUAAUGGUUUAUCAAUGUGUUAAUUGGUAAAAUUUGUUGGUACAGGAUACACGUGCUUGCAAAGAGAAGCAAGUUGAAGAUCUGAAAGAGGAAGUCAGAAGGGAGUUAAUGGCUGCUGCCCGUAACCCUUCCCAAUUGUUGAACUUCAUUGAUGCAGUGCAACGGCUUGGGUUGGCAUACCACUUUGAAAGAGAGAUAGAAGAAUCAUACAACAUAUUUAUGAUAGGUUUCAUGAUGCCGAUGAUACAGAUGAUAAUCUCUAUAAUAUUGCUCUUCAAUUUCGACUACUGAGACAACAAGGGUACAAUAUUUCAUGUGGUAAGAGACCCAGGAAUAAAUUAUCAUUUCAUAGGUGAAAAAUGCAACCAUCUUAUCGUACAAAGGGUGGUAUUCAUGCAGGUAUAUUCAACAAGUUCAAGGAUGAAAAAGGUAGCUUCAAGGAGGAUUUGAUCAGCAACAUACAAGGCAUGCUGGGCUUGUAUGAAGCUGCACAUCUCAGGGUUCAUGGAGAGGACAUACUUGAAGAAGCACUUGCUUUCACCACCACUCACCUCAAGGCCACGGUAGAAAGUUUAGGAUAUCCUCUUGCAGAACAAGUUGCUCAUGCCCUGAAGCAUCCCAUUAGGAAAGGUUUGGAGAGGCUAGAGGCAAGAUGGUAUAUAUCUCUCUAUCAAGAUGAAGCUUCCCAUGAUAAAACUUUACUAAAGCUGGCAAAGUUAGAUUUCAAUCUAGUGCAGUCCCUGCACAAAGAAGAGCUAAGCAAUCUUGCACGGUUGGUUUUUAAAUCACCCUUCAUGCACUCGGUCAUUCUUACAGUUGAGUGUGCUAAUUAUAUAUAUUGAUGUAUUUUAGGUGGUGGAAAGAAUUAGACUUUGCUACAAAGCUACCUUUCGCACGGGAUAGAUUUGUGGAAGGCUAUUUUUGGAUACUUGGGGUGUACUUUGAGCCCCAAUAUUCACGCGCUAGAAGAAUUUUAACCAAAUUAUUUGCCAUGGCUUCCAUUAUAGAUGAUAUCUAUGAUGCAUAUGGCACACUUGAAGAACUCCAGCCCUUUACAGAAGCCAUUGAGAGGUUUGAUACACGGAGAUUACCCAACUUGAUUGAGUAUUAUAUGUAAAUAUACUUCUAAUCAGGGUUGGGUAUUUUAUGUUCAGGUGGGAUAUUAGCAGCAUCGAUCACCUUCCGGAGUACAUGAAACUCUUCUAUGUGACACUCUUAGAUCUGUACAAAGAAAUCGACCAAGAGUUGGAGAAAGAUGGAAACCAAUAUCGGGUUUACUAUGCAAAAGAAGUAGUAAGACACCUUUAACUCUAAAUCUCCACAUUUUGCAUUAUGAUAUUUUAAUGAGUCUCAUACACAUAUAGAUAUAGCUAAAACUUGGAUGAAUGUUCUUCAGUUGAAGAGUCAAGUUCGAUCUUACUUUGCUGAGGCGAAAUGGUCCCAUGAAGGAUACAUACCUACAAUAGAAGAGUAUAUGCUUGUUGCACUCGUGACCGCAGGUUCCUGCAUACUUGCAACCUGGUCUUUCAUUGGAAUGGGAGAAAUCAUGACAAAGGAGGCCUUUGAUUGGGUGAUCAGUGAUCCUAAGAUUAUCACAGCUUCAACUGUAAUUUUCAGACUCAUGGAUGACAUCACAACACAUAAGGUAUGGUGAAUGUACAGGAAUUGCUUCCAAAGACAGGAAAUGAGUUAGUAGGGCUGUUGGAUCAAGUUGUCAGCUUGAUAUGUUAACUUAGUGAACUUCAACCCAAUCACCUAAUAACAAAAUUUUUAGGUCAAAUUUUUAUCUUUAGAGUGAGAAAAUAAUAUACUCAUGAUUUUCCUAAACUUUUUUGUUAAUAUUAUGCAUGCAGUUUGAGCAAAAAAGAGGGCAGGUGGCCUCAGGCAUUGAAUGUUACAUGAAGCAAUAUGGUGUCUCUGAGGAACAAGUGUACAGUGAGUUCCACAAGCAAGUUGAGAAUGCAUGGCUGGAUAUUAACCAGGAAUGCCUCAAACCUACUGCCGUUCCAAUGCCUCUCCUCACUCGUGUUGUCAAUCUUUCACGAGUCAUGGAUGUCAUUUACAAGGAGGGAGACGGGUACACACAUGUUGGGAAAGUGAUGAAGGAUAAUAUUGGAUCUGUGCUCAUUGACCCCAUAGUAUGACCAAAUGGAGUUAUUUAUAAUAAAUCAUUAUAAUAAGGUGUGUUAGAGAAAUCCGUAGAAUAAAAGAUCUACGGAUUAUUACAAAUGGUGUCUUAAAUACAGUUUUAGUGGUCAAGAUCUAGGACUGAGUUUUUUCUUGUUCUGUUUUCAACAACUUAAUAACAACCUGUAACAGCAAGCUAGUACUGAGAUCCUCAACUCUGAGUUUGUGUCUUAAGGCUGGAAAAUUGGAAGUAGAGAUGGCCUUUAUGAGAACAUCAGCUAUUUGAUCUUGAGAUUGCACAUGAUGAACUUCUAGCUCCUUUUGCAUCACUUUCUCUCUAGCAAAGUAGAGAUCCAAUUCAAUAUGCUUUAUUCUGGCAUGUAGUACUCGAGUGUAAGCUAACAUGAUAGUACUCAGGUUAUCAUUAGGAACCUGUAAUUCAAACAACAAUGAUUGUAACCAAGAUAAUUUUGUUGUUAAGUUGGCCAAACUGCUACACCCAUCUUGGCUUUGGACAAAAGAUCUGCUAUAUACUUAGUUUGGGAAAGAUGCAAACCUUCUGAAGUUUGCUUGACUUGUAUUCCCAAAACAUAAUCAACUAAGCCAAGAUCUUUUAGAGUAAAAUGAUCAUGGAGCUUAUCAUUCAACUUUUGUACUUUUAUGUCAUUGCUUCCUGUUACAGACUAGAUAAAGUGGAAUGUUGUGGAGUGAUGCUACAAGAGAGACUGAUCUGACUUUGCNNNNNNNNNNNNNNNNNNNNNNNNNNNNNNNNNNNNNNNNNNNNNNNNNNNNNNNNNNNNNNNNNNNNNNNNNNNNNNNNNNNNNNNNNNNNNNNNNNNNCACCAUAGGAUAAACAUUUCAUUAAAGUCAAAGCUUGCAACUUGAUAAAAGCCAAUUUUCGUUUUGUAUUGCUUCAUCAACAAAUUCAAGUUGUACAGCAGAAUAUAGACUUUAGGCUUGUAAAUGACAACCUUGGAUCUUGUAAUCAUGUUGUGUGAAUUGGUGAUAUGCAACCUGUCCUUGUUAGGUAAGACCGAAUCAAACAAGUCAGUAGCAUCAACACAAAUGGCUGAAUUAGGAAUACCAGUACAUAUAGUAGAGUCUGGAGAUUCAACUCGAUGACCAAGAGUUUCUUGAAAUUGGUUGAAAACUAGAAGAUGAAGAAGUAGAGUUGGAUGGUUUUAUAGAAGAAGAUGUCAAAAUUAGAAGUUUGGCUAGUGUGCAAUGUGAGUGAAAGUAGAGGCAGCACAGGGUUCUAUUAUAAACAACAUUUUCUCGACUUUCAUAUUAAUUUUUUUUUAAAUAUUGUAAACUCUUUGAACAAAAUUAAACAAUGAAAUAUAGAAACUCUAAUGAAACUGUGGACCCCACAUUUCGUACGAUACAUUCCCACUCGAUGUCGAGCUCAAUUUUUUUAUUUGAAAAUGAUUUUAUUUACUAAAAUAAUGAUUUGGAGUCGCCACUUAUUUUUGUUUUAUUUUUAAAAGGGCAAACAAAAUAAGAAAGAAAACCUUAAGUGUGACUCCUUAUUUUGGAAAAUGUGAUCUGUGAAAAAUCGGAUCAGGCUCGAGGGUCAGGUUACUUAUCGAGAAGGUACGGUAAAGACCGUAGCACCCCUCUAAGUCCCUAAAGUAGAGUCUCUACUAAUAAAAUGAAGCUGACGUGACAAUCAAUAGGAAAAUCAAUGGAUACUUAGGGUGAUCAUGCACAUGGGAGAAUCAAAACACUCAAUAAAGGACGACAGAAGUGAGAACGAGGCAUACCUUGGCAUCAAUCAAUCAAUGCGCUAUAAAAAAAGAGGGUUAGUAUACAAUUAAAAGAAUAAUCUCAUGCAUGUCAUAGAGCAGAAUGAAUCAAUCAUGUGUGAUAAUCAAAUCAAUCAAUCAAUCAAUCAUAAAAUCACUUAUGUAAGGCCCCCACCGAAGCCCGUUUAUUUUGCAUGAAUUAAUGUCACAGAUUCCAUUAUUCUGGAAUUAUGAAAAAUUCAUUCAUGCUUAUUAAAAUCAAGAGGAGCGGAAGAUUGUUUGAAAACCAGAGUGGAAUUAAAACUAUUUGAGAGAAAAUUGGAUUUUUGAAAUUUAUUCGAAAAAUUUGAGUCUCGAAGAUUACUUGAAAAUUGGAGUUUUAGAGUUUAUUUGAAGAUCGGACUUUUGGAAAUUAAAUGUGAGAAUGAGAAUUUUAGAAAUUACAUUUUGAAAGAGAUUGAAAUUUUGAAAAUGAUUUGAGAGUUCGGGAUUUUUUUAAAAAAAAUUAAAUUACGAAAAUUGGGACCUUGGAAAUUAAAAUUUGAAAGAAAUCAGAAUUGAAAGUUAUUUGAGAAGCAUAAAUUAUGGAAAUUUAAUUAUAAAAAUUGGAAAUCUUGGAAAUCGCUCGAAGGUAGAAUUUUUAGAAAUGAAUGAAAAUAAUAAUAAUAAUAAUAAUAAUAAUAAGUAACGAAAUAAAUGCGAGAAUUGGAACGUUGGAAACUGGAAAUUAAGUUUGGAGAUGGGAAAAUUGGAAUUUCAAAUAACUAAAUUUAGAAAUCGGAAUUUUGAAGAAUUAGAUUUUAAUAAUUGAGAUUUUUAAGAGAAAUAAAUAGGUAAAUAUGGAAUAAUGUUACUAAUUAAUCAAAACGAUAUUUGAAUGGAUGAAAGUGAAUAGUGAGAUUUUUGAGGUUGGAAAUUAAAUUUGGGUGAUUAAGAUAUUUUAAAAGAAACAAACAGAUAAAUAUAGAAUGAUGUUACUAAUUAAUCAAAAACAAUAUUUGGAUGGAUGAAAGUGAAUAGUGAGAUUUUUAGUUGAAAAUUAGAUUUGGAAGUUAGAUUUUUGAUGAACUUUAAUGAUUGGAAUUUUUUUAAAAGAAAUGACUAAAUAAAUAAAUGGAAUCGUAAUAAUAAUGACCAAAAUAAUAUUUAAACGAACGAAAGUGAAUAAUAGAAUUUUUGAGAUUGAAAAUUAAAUUUGGAAGUCAUAUUUUUUUAAGAAUUGAGCUUUAAUGAUUGGAAUUUUUAAAGGAAAUAAAUAAAUGGAAUAAUGCUAAUAAUAACGAAAAUAAUAUUAAUUAAAUAAAUAAGUGUGAAAAGUUGGAAUUGGAAAUUGAAAAUCGGAAUUUUGAAAAAUUGUUUAAAGAUGGGAUUUUUAAAAAUAAAUAAAUAAAUAGAACGAAAAAUUAUUUAAGGGUGAAAUUUUAAAGUGAAUAAAUAAAUAGAAUAAUAAUAACGAAAAUAAAUAAUUAAAUAAAUGAACGUAAAUAUUAGAAUUUUGAAAUAGGAAAUUGAAUUCAGAGGUCGGAAUUUUGAAAAAUUGUUUAAAGAUGAAAUUUUAAAAUAAAUAAGUGAAUGAAUAAAUAGAAUAAUAAUAACAAAAUAAGUAAUUAAAGAAAAGAACGUGAAUAUUAAAAUUUUUGAAACAGGGAAUUAAAUUCGGAAGUCGGGAUUUUGAAAAAUUGUUUAAAGAUGAAAUUUUAAAAUAAAUAAGUGAAUGAAUAAAUAUGAAAAAUUUUUUAAAGAUGGAAUUUUAUUUUUAUUUUUAUUUUAUUUUAAUAAAAGAAAAUUAAAUUUGAAAAUAAUUAAAUUUUAGGAAGUCAAAGUUUUGAAAACUAAAUAUUUUUUGUAAAAAAAAAAAAAAGGAGUUUUUGAAAAAUUAAAUUAAAAUUGGAGCUUUGAGAAAUUAAAUUAAUAUUGGAGUCUUGAAAAAUUACCUUGAAAUUAAAAUUUUGGAAAUGAAAUCUUUGACAUAAGAAAUCGGAGAAAACUAAGGAAGUAAUAACAAUAAUAAUAAAAAGGAAAUGGCCACACCAAACGUGUACAGCAAGUCCAUAAGGAAUAAACAAAUGAAAAGAAAAAAAACAAGCCCAUUCUCCAAUGCACCUCUCUGCCAUACCCACAAUAGCCAUUCACUUAAUGCCCUGAGGAUACUCCAUUUCUUUCCUCUGUUUUCCUCUGUUUUCUCUCAGUUUCUCUCCGAAUCACAGUCAUUCAAGUAUAAAAUAAGACGCCGAUCAAUAAGAUCAUUCUUAAAGUUGACUUGACAGAGCAAGAUUUCCUUAUCAGCUCCCACGAGGAAUUAUUGCUUGGAGAAGAAUCAAGGACAGCUUUGUAUGCAGGAUUUGACAUGGCUGUAGCAGCUAAAACACCAACAAGCUCACCAGCAGGGAAGAAACGCUGGGGGUUAAUUCUAGUCUUCACUCCAUACUCAAAUUGGAUAAUUGAAUUGCUACAAACAUUCCUCACUGUACCAUCAUAACAGAUAACAACAUCUCGAAGAAUAGCCAUUAAGUUUUUAGACAAGGUUCUUGGUUCAGACAAGCCCCUUGAUGAUCGUACAAUUAUUUCUCUUGUGGAAAUUGAAUGGACCAUUUCCUCAUAAGGAUAAAAAUACAUGGGCAUGAUCUCCAAAAAAAAAAACAAUUGCAGUGAUGAAUCUACACUCAGAACAUUCCAAAACGAAAAAUAAAAAUGCACAAGUAGUCUUCAAGUGUCAAAGGAAUCCACAAAUGACAAGAAACAGAGGAGAACAGUUCAAAAUGGGAAAAGUAAAAAAAAAAAAAGGCAGAAACCAUACCUAGACUAAAAGAAUAAGGUCGAAUGGAUCUUCUGAUUCUCCUCAACUUCCUCUCCUCUCUGUCUCGUUCCCCCCUGCACCUUCAAGCUCCCUCUUGACUUUUUCUUUUCACCAAAAAAAAACUCUGUUUUUUUCUUCCUUGGCAAGCCACUACUUGCUUUCCUAUUCAUCCCUCAGCAAGCAUGGCAUUUUUAACCACCAGCAUGGCCGCCAUCUCCCUCUUGCUGCUACCUGUCCAAUGCAGCUGCCUUCCAUGCAUAGGGAGGUCCCCCCCUACUUAAACAAUGGAUGGAAAAUUUCUCCCCCGGGUGGUGCAAAACAAAUGAAAUACAAAACCUUGGUCUUUGAAGGGGUCUACAGAAACCUAAAAAAUAACUUUUGACUUCUCCAAAAUUAAUUCAAAUAGGAGCUACAAGUAUAUUUAAUAAUAACUUUUGGAAAGUUUAAAGUUGUAACUUAUUAUUCGAACUAUUUUCCUUUCUAAAAAAAGGGAAAAAAGAAUAAAGAAAAACAAAGAAGAGGUUGUUUUUGAAGAAAUUUAAAAAUCAGAGAGUUACUUGGAGUGACUUUUUAAAAUGCCACCAAAAUAUUAUUUUGAUUUAUAUCUAAAUACUAACUCACAAUCCACAAAACUCAAAAAGUAUCCCUAAUAGAAGAUAUUAUCAAUAAAAGGGUUGAUGAUAAACACUCAUAUUUAUCAUUUGGAUUUGCAUAUCUAUAGGAUAAACACUCAUAUUUUUCUUCUCUAUUUUAUUUUUAUUAUUAUUUAUUUUCUUUCUUUCCUUUCUCUUUAUCUUCUUAUAGUUUUUAUUUAUUUUAAAAAGCUAUUAUUUUUGUAAAUUUAUAAAAAUUUUAAAAUAAUAUUAUUGUAAUCAUUACCUUUAAAAAAUAUUAAUUAUUAUAUUUCUUAAUUAACUUCUUUGAAAAAAAAAUAGAACAUAAGAAUGAAAGAUAUGUGAUUUUUAAAAGUAUUUUUUGAGGAUUAUAUCUUUUCCCAAGUUUUUAUCAAAUAAAUAAAUAAAAUAUGAAAACAUAUCAUAAUUAUUUUUUAAAAAUCUCUAUAAAAUUAUUUUUAAGAAAAAUUUUAUGAAACUUUAUGUUUUCAAGAAAAAUAAUUUAUUGUUAAGAAUAACUUAAAGAUAUAAUUAUUAUUACAAUAUAAAAAAAAAAAGUAUUGCAGGAUAUCGGGGAAAGUUCUUACUUCUUAGAUGCAUAUAAAUAUUCUUAAUUUUAAAAUUUAUAUUUUAGGGCAGGGGGGGAAAUUACGUGUCUGAAUGAAUUUCUGUGAUUUUCGUUUUACCCAAACAGGUUAGUGUUACCAUUUACCAUUUAGGGAUUUUCUUUCUUACCAAACAGGACAGGGAAAAGGACUGUUAAUUUCCGAGGGUUUGUGGGUUAGAAAAGCACUGUAGGGAUUCGGCAACCACAUCACCGCCAAUCAUCGCCGCCACAGUCAUUCACCAAGGCAACGCACCAUGUCGAGGUAAUUUGUGUGUCUUCUCCUUUCUUCUUCUUCUUUCUAUAAAUGGAUUGAGUGGGGAUGUCUGGGAGAGCCAGAGAAAAGGGAUUUGGAUCUGGACCCAUGGCCAUUUUGGAGGUCCAAGGGCCAAACCGACUUUCCCACCCUGUUUGGUUUGAUCUCAGUUUUACCGUUUGAUUUAAUAACGGUAGCCUUCUGAUCUGAUGAAUUUGAAGCUCAGUAAAGUUAUGCGUAAUUUUUCAGAAAUUUAGUGGUUUAGCAAUGAUAUAAUUACACCCCUUUUCGUUAUAGUGAAAAUCAUUUGGUAGAUAUGUGAUUUCUUUACUCUGAAAACUGUGGUUUAUGUGAUAGGGUUUUUUAAGAUUUAAUGAAAAAUCGAAACUCCAAUAAAUGAUGAGUGAUUUUGAAGAAAUGUGGUCGUUUAACAUGUGAUUUGAUGAUAACCCUUUGAUUAUAUUAUAAACCAUGGAUGGGUUUUGUUGAUAAAGGAUAUGAUUGCAAUGAAAACAGUGAUUUAAUGUGAGUUGAGUGUGAGCUUUGAUUUAAUAUCCAUGCACACAAUAACAUGAUUUAACAUCCAUGCACACAAUAACAUGAUUUAAUAAACUUAUAAACCCAAUCAAAGGCCUCUUUUAUUAUCAUUUCUCCUCUUCCAAAUGAAAGAGAGGGUUGUGGCUAAGCUUACUCGUACAACUUGCAUAUAUUCCUCUAUGGUAGGUACAUGUCCUUCAUGGAACCAUUAUGCUUCGUCAAAGUAAGAGUCAACCUGAAUUUUCAUCUCACAAACAUUCCUCAAUGUUACGUACUUGUGCAUAUGCUUUAAUUUUUUGCUUGAUUCACCUACAUAACUCAAACUUAACACAUUUUUUCACGAGAUCAGAUUGAAUAUAAGUGUAUUUAAGUUAAAUUUAUAUUAACCUACGUAAUCUAUUGACUAAAUAAGUUGUUUUAUACUAACCUGUAUAACACAAAUUUAAUCCGAAUUGAUCUAAUUAUAAGUUCAAUCUAUUUAAUCUGAUUAUUUAAAAUUUGAUUUUGAUAAAUAAAUCAAAUGAGUUAAACAAGUUAUAUGGUGUAUUAUAUGUCGAAUAAUUAGGUUAUGCUUGGGUUUAUGUUUUGAACCCAAUUAUUAUCUGUAUUAUAUUUAAGUUGAUCUGUUUAGUCGAAUGUCUGGCCACUACGGAACACCAUCAAGUAAAAAUGGCACUUACCGCUUCUUUUGCAUAGUGGAAGCAAUUUGCUUUUCCUUCUUUGUCCAUCUCUUCCUCAAUUUCUUUGUAGACAUCUAAGAGUACCUGAUAGAUCACUUCCAUGUAUUCUGGCGGUUGACUGUUGCUUUCAUCCCACCUGAGGAUAAAUGAACAUCCAGGUCUUGAUUAGGUUUAAAUCAACGCAAGUACAUAUUUCAAAAUUGUGGACAAAAUCAAGGUGGAUUAUUUGCAGAGAAGAAACCUCUCAAUCACUUCUGCAAAAAGCUUAUGUUCUUCGAGUGUACCAUAUGCAUCAUACAUGUCAUCUAUAGUGGAUAUUAUGGAAAGUACUUCGGUCUUGAAUAUUGGGGCUCAGAAAACAUAGCAAGCACAAAGAAGUAGCUUUCCACCAGUCUAUCUCGAGCAAAUGGUAUCUUCAUGCCAAGGUGUAACGACCCGCACCCAACCAUGUAGAUAUUGUUCGCUUUAGGCCCAAGGGGGCCCUCACGGCUUUAAAACGCGUCUACUUGGUUAAGAGGAGCCUCUACAUAUAUAGCGCCAGGAACUUGCUCCCCUAUCCGAUGUGGGACAUNNNNNNNNNNNNNNNNNNNNNNNNNNNNNNNNNNNNNNNNNNNNNNNNNNNNNNNNNNNNNNNNNNNNNNNNNNNNNNNNNNNNNNNNNNNNNNNNNNNNGAGCCUCUACAUAUAUAGCGCCAGGAACUUGCUCCCCUAUCCGAUGUGGGACAUUACAAAUACCUCCCCAUGCAGACACAACGUCCUCGUUGUGUCCCAUGGGAUUGCGGGGCCAAACAGACAGACACCCCUUACGGAGCCAAACAAACCCCCACACCGGGGUCGGGGAUCGGCUCUGAUACCAUUUGUAACAACCCGCACCCAACCAUGUAGAUAUUGUCCGUGAAGGCCCAAAUUGUAAUGUCCCACAUCGGAUAGGGGAGAAUGUUCCUAACGCUAUAUAUGGAGAGACUCCUCUUAACCAAGUAGACGCGUUUUAAAGCCGUGAGGGCCCCCUUGGGCCUAAAGCGGACAAUAUCUACAUGGUUGGGUGCGGGUCGUUUCACAAGGUCUAGUUCUUUAUGCCACCUAAAAUAAAUUAACAUGGUUAGCAAUAAGAGAAAGAUUGCUCAGCUCUUCCUAGUGCAGUGACUGCACCAGGUUGAAGUCUAACUUCGCCAGCUUCAGCAAAGCUUUAUCAUGCGAAGCUUCAUGUUGGUAGAUGGAUAUAAACAACCUCGCCUCUAGUCUGUUCAAACCUUUCCUAACGGGCUGCUUCAGGGAAUGAGUAACUUGUUCUGCAAGAGGAUAUUCUAAAUGUUCUACGACCGACUCAAGGUGAGUGGUGGUAAAGACGAAUGCUUCAUCAAGUAUUCCUUCUUCAUGCACUCGGAGAUGUGUGGCUUCAUACAACCCUAGUAUGCCUCUCACAUCAUUGAUCAAAGAUUCCUGGAAGCCCCCUUUUUCAUCCUUGAACUUGUUGAAUAUAUCUACAUUUAUUCACAGAAAUAUGAUAUAAAAGCGUUCCAGAAUAAGAUUGUGAUGAUGUUAUUAAGAUUUCAUUUUACCUAAUAGAUGAUAGUUCAUCCCUUACCACAUGACAUAUUGAAUCCUUGUUGUCUUAGCAGUCAAAAUUAAAGAGAAACAUUGAAUCAAUCAUCAUCUUUAUGAUCAACAUUAUAAUAGAUAUCAUAGAUAUGUUGCAAUGCUUCUUCUAUCUCUCUUUCAAAGUGGUAUGCCACCCCAAGCGGUUGAAUUCGAUUAAAAUAGUUCAAAUGUUGUGUGCGGGUUACCAGCAGCAGCCAUUAGCCCUCUUCUCACUUCCUCUUUCAAAUCUUCAGCCUGCUGCUCUUUAUGGCCACGGGCUAUCUGCAUGUACAGCGAAAUUGCAUACACAAACUAUUGUUUAGAAAAACAUUGGAUGGUUAAGAUGUGUUAUAUGUGUAUAUAUAUAUGUCAGAAAUUACGUCAUCAGCUAGAGUGUAGCUAACGAACCUCUCACCCCAUAUGCUAGGGCCAAAAUCUGCCUUUGAAACCCGUAACCCCAAUUUCUAGAGUGGGAGUUCUCCUAGGUUUCUUACCUAUUAUAGUUGGAUAAGGCUUGUCUUUUGCUGAAAGGCAAAAGAUAUCUGAAAAAAUAAGGCUUACAUUAUAAUAGUGAUGCAAUUCUUCAAUUUGGUUUAAGAUAAUAGUUCCAAAGUCUGUAGUCAAUUUCAAGUAAAUUGGUAACUAUACGAUUAUUGUAUCCACAUAUGCCUAUAAUAAUGUGUUAUUAACAUUUGAUAUAUAAAAAAUAGUAACAACAACGAUAUAUAUAAAGAAGUUUGAGGAAUACAUUAUAUAUGCAAGAGAAUGAAAUAGUAGAAGGCUUUGAGGAAUUAUCAUUGUUGUAGCUAGGAAAUAUACAUACAAGGGUGAGAAGGAAAUAAAUUGCUUUAGCUCAAUUUUAAUUAUGGUGAGUUUGAUAGUUAUUUUAGAAAGUGUUUUUAAUAUUACUAACACUUAAAAUUUUUUAUAUUUCAAAUAUUAGAAAGGUUAUAAAUGCUAUCUAAAAUUACUGUCAAACACACUCUUAAUCAAUUGAAUUAUGCUGAUAUAAAUGAAGAGAAAUAAACGGUGUUUCUAUUUUAUAGACCAAACAGUGGCUAAAUGGUUAUGUGAACAUAUACUAAUAGUUAAUAUUGGUCCCUUGAAUGUAUAAUUUGGUGGAAGGAAGACCAAUUGCAAUAGCUAGUCUUGCAUUGUCAUAUUGGUCUCAAAUGGCGAGCGGGUGAUUUAGUUGGUUAUGGAAAUAGUUGUGUAUGUGAUAUUUUAUAUCGGGUAGAGGAAAAAGUUCUCAAUACUAUAUAAGUAUCAAUUUCUCUUAACUCUAUAGAUGCGUUUUAAAGUUAUGAAAGUUUCUUUAGACUUAAAGUGGAUAAUAACUACAUUGUUGGGUGUGAAUAAUUACAAAUGGUAUUAAAACUGAUCUUCUACUCUAGUGUGAGGGUUUGUUUGAUUCAAUUGGAGGUGUUUGUCUAGUUGACCCUAUAAUUUUAUGGGACAUAAUAAGGACAUCGUGUCCCAAAGUGGACAAUAUUUAUACGACUGGGUGUUGAUCUAUCAGUGCUCCUCAAGAUGGUGAAGAUCAUGCAAUGCAUUGCUAGCUUGAAGCAAAAUUCCGUGAGAACCUUUAUUUCUUGGUGAGGGCUUGGUAAGAAUAUCCUAUACAUUUGAUACUUGAUUCAACGAACAUAUCAUUUUCCAUGUUGUAGUUGAUUAUACAUUUUGAUAAUUGGUUCAAUGAACUUCAUCAUUUUCCAUGUUUUUGUCUAUAUAUUAUACAUUUCAUUAUUGAUUCAAUGUUGUACAACUUUGAUAAUAUAAGAAGACUAGUACCACUUUGCAGUGCCUCGUAGCAUGCUAUAUGUGAGCGGAUGUGAAGUUUGGGAAAAGUCCAAGGGAAAGGAAUCAAAAGUCAAAACGGGAAGAAAAGUAAGCGAAAAGAAAGUGGGAAGGAAAAUGAAAUUAAAUUCAGGGAAUAUGGAAUUAGGAUUGGAAAAUUUUCCAUUUUAAUUAAAAUCAAAAUCCAUUCUUUGAGGAUUUGAUUCUUUUCUUUCAUGUUGUGAUUUAUGUAUUCCAAUUUUCAUUUCGUUUUAUACCAUCAGUAGCUGCUCAAUAAUUUUAUUUAUUUUUUCUAUCGGGGUUCUUUCAUUUUUCAAAAGAAUGAAAAAAGGUGUAAAUAUGAUGUAUUUUUCUUUUAUUUUCUCUCCACUACUUAAAACCGAUACAAGAAAAAAAAAACAUCUUUAAAUAUAAUUUUUUUUUAAAUUGUAUUUAUUUUUAUGAAUUUUUUGAACUUUUUAAAAGUUUUUAAUUAAGCAAAUAGAUUUCAAAUAAAAUAAUGCUUAAUAUAAAAUUUUAUUAAUUUUUAAAAAUAAUUUCAAAAAAAAAAAAUCAAUUCAAUUAGUAUUAAAAUAUCAUAUAACUCAAAACGGAUAAAAUUAACACUAGAAAAUCACAACCCUAAGUUCAUUCUAAAUCCCUUUGCCAAUUAUUUUAUAUAAUCAUAAUUUUGUGAUUUUUUUCACUAGUUAAAAAAUUUCAAAUUAAACAAAAUGUAAGACAAUAAAUUCACUAACCAGUUUAAUAAUUUUUAAAAAUAAUUUAAAAUUCAAAUAAUGAUUCAAUAAAUACCAUAAAUAUAUUAACAAAAAUUGAUAUAAAAUAACUUUAUUUUUUUGUUUUACAUAAAACUAAAUUUUUGUGACUUUGUACACUUAAAAAAUAAACUUCAAAUCAAGCAAAUCUCUAUAUUAAAUUUAAUGAUAAGUUUAAUGAUUAUAUAUAAAAAUACCAUUAAAUGUUUCACUACAAAAGAUUCAUUACAUGUAUGAAUACAAUUUUACUAUUUUUCUUGUACACAAAACAAUAUUUAAAGUAAGAUAUAAUUAAUGUUUUAAAUUCUUUACUGAGUUCUUUUGAUUUUUAAAAAUAAUUUGGAAUUCAAAAAACUGGUUAUAAAGAUUAAAAAAAAUAAAUUAUAGAAUACUUAAUUGAGUAUUAAAUAUGUGCAUAUAAUAAAAAAAAAACUUAGUUCAUGUAUAGGUUCAAAAAUUAAACUUUAUUUGUUUUUAAAAUUUAUUUAAGAUAAAAUAAUAUUAAUAAAUAUGAAUUAAAUUAUUAUUAUUAAAUAUUAUUUAUUUGUACUUACAAAAUAUUUUUUUUUAAUAAGAUUUGAAUUAAAUUCAAUUUACAUUACAUAAGUUGACUUGAUAUGUUUUUUAUAAAAUAAAAUAAAAACAUUUUUAAAAAUAAUUUACCCAAAUGAGUAUUUUAUUUUUUAGAAAGUGUAUAUAAAAUCAACUUACAAAAGGAAUCAAAAUACUUCUUAUAAAAGAUUAAUUGAAAUCUCAUCACUUGAUAGUGAUAUUUCAUUUCUAUAGGAAUAAUUUUUUAUUUGAGUGAAAACAUGAGGGUGAAGGAGAAAAGGAAUAUGAUGUUGAUUUGUGUAAGCCAAACAUUGCCUAAUUGUAAUCAACCAUUUCCCAUCUUAUUCAUUGCAUAAUUGUACGCCAAACAUUACCGAAGAUUGCAAGCUAUCUUAUUCAUAUAUUGAGUGCUUGUGUACUGAGUUACAGUUCUCGUUACCAGCAACAUGUCUACUGAUUACUCAGCCUGUUCUCCAGCCCCAGAUGCUAAUCCAGAGACUAAUCGCCGGGCUGCAAAUUUUAACCCUAGCACGUGGGGCAAUAGUUUCAUCAUGACCAACUCUCCUGAUGAUGAGGUAAUUUUGUGAUAUAUGAAGUUUGCACAACCAUCUAAAGAUUUUCUUAAUUUUUGUUCUUGAAAUUUAUUGAUGCAGAUAACUCUUGCCCAUAAAGAGCAACAGUUGGAAGAUCUGAAGGAGGAAGUGAGAAGAGAGCUAAAGGCUGCAGCUGGUGACCCUUCAAAACAGCUGAAGUUUAUCGAUGCAGUUCAACGGCUUGGGGUGGCAUACCACUUUGAAAAGGAGAUUGAAGAAGCAUUACAAAAUACCUAUGAUAACUAUCAUUGCAUUGAUGACAUAAAAUGAUGAUCUCUAUGAUGUUGCACUUCGAUUUCGACUACUAAGACAACAAGGCUUCAAUAUUUCAUGUGGUAAGCCUCAUGAAUAUCAUGUAUUAUAAGGUGCUUGAAUAUCAUCUAGCAAAGCUCACAUAUAACAUUCUAUGUUUUGGUGAUGAUUACAGAUAUAUUCAACAGGUACACAGAUGAAAAGGGAAGGUUCAAGGAGUCUUUGAUCAAUGAUGCAUGUGGCCUACUAGGCUUGUAUGAAGCUGCACAUCUCAGGGUGUGGGAAGAAGAUAUACUAGAUGAAGCACUUGCUUUCACCACCACUCACCUCAAGUCUAUGGUGGAACUUUUAGAAUACCCUCUUGCAGCACAAGUCACUCAUGCUUUAUACCGGCCCAUUAGGAAAGGCUUAGAGAGGCUAGAGGCAAGGCCUUACAUGUCUAUUUACCAAGAUGAAGCUUCACAUAGUAAAGCUUUACUGAAGCUUGCAAAGUUAGAUUUCAACCUACUUCAGUCACUGUACAAGAAACAGCUAAGCAAUAUCUCGAGGUUAGUUUUCAAAUCGUGUAUGAACUCAAGUUCAAACAGUUUACUAGGUCCUUUAUGUGAGUUAAUGUAUUUUCUCAGGUGGUGGAAAGACCUAGAUUUUUCUUCGAAACUACCUUUUGGAAGAGAUAGAGUGGUGGAAUGCUACUUUUGGAUAGCAACAGCUUGUUUUGAGCCCCAGUAUUCAUAUGCUAGAAGAAUACAGACCAAAAUACUCGCUCUGAUAACAAUUAUUGACGAUAUGUUUGAUGCAUAUGGGACACUGGAAGAACUGGAGCUCUUUACAGAGGCAAUUGGGAGGUUUGAUAUAUGCAAAAUUUACCCACAUCCAAUGAUUUAUUUUAUUUUAUUUUAAUUUUUAUAUGUUUGAACUUUAAAAGGGAACUUGGUACUUGAUUUUCAGGUGGGAUGUUAACAGCAUAUAUCAGCUUCCGGAAUACAUGAAGCCAUGCUAUCAGGCAGUCUUGGAUGCCUACAAAGAAAUUGAGCGGAUGGAGAACAAAGAAGAUCAUAUUGUGUUCACUAUGCAAAAGAGGCAGUAAGGGUCUGAGUUCUAUCUGUGCCCCUAUAACAUGUACUGCACACUAGAGUAAUUAUUUGUUGGCAAUGGUUGAACAUAUUUCAGAUGAAAAGGUCUGUUCGAGCUUACUUCAAUGAAGCCAAAUGGCUACAUGAAGACUAUGUACCUACGAUAGAAGAGUACUUGAGUGUUGCACAAGUUACCUCUGAGGUCACCUUGUUCACUGUCAUCUGCUUUGUUGGAAUGGGAAGGAUGGCAACCAAAGAGGUCUUUGAAUGGGUGUGGAAUGACCCAAAGAUCGUCGGAGCUUCCUCCAAAAUUAUGAGGCUCAUGGAUGAUAUGGCUUCACACAAGGUACUAUGUUAUAUUACAUAUCGCAAAGACAACGGGAUCUUUAUAAGAAUUUAAUUACCUUUUUGGUAAACAUUUCCUGUUGGUUUUUGUGUAGUUUGAGCAAGAGAGAGGACAUAGCGCAUCAAGUGUUGAAUGUUACAUGAAGCAACAUGGUGUCUCAGAGCAGCAUGCAUACCAAGAGCUUAACAAGCAAGUCGAGAAUGCAUGGAAAGAUGUAAACCAGGGCUGCCUUAGACCUCCUGCUAUUCCAAUGCCUCUCCUUACACGGGUUCUUAAUUUCGCACGCACCGGGGAUUUCAUGUACAAAGGCCGUGAUGAUAGGUUCACGAAUGUUGGAGAUGUGAUGAAAGAUAGUAUUGCAUCACUGUUCAUAGACCCUGUGCCAAUAUGAGCCUGGAGAUUUGCAAUAGGCUUUCUGGCUUCUGUUUUAUAAUUAGCCCUUCUAGUUUGGGGUCUAUGUUGGAGAGUAUGAUAUACAUAUAUAUAUUAUGAUAUCAAUGCUAUACAAAAUUCUCAACCAUAUUAAGGCAAUGACAAAGUCACAGUGGGAAAUGGUAAGAAUCUGUUAAUCACACAUGUUGGAUCCAAGACACUACAUUCUCAUCACCAAGCUUUUCAUCUAAAAACCAUCUAUCACGUUCCUCAGCUUACCACAAACCUCAUCAGUGUAUGAAAGUUUUGUUCAGAUAAUCACAUAUUCAUUGAAUUCCAUCCUACUUUCUUUUGUGUCAAGGACCAAGCCACCAAGAAGAUUCUGAUCCAAGGCACUAUUGAACAUGUGCUCUACAAAUUUCCUAGCUCUUCUCUUCCACCAUCAUCUUCCUCCAUGGCUCUCACUGCUUAGUCUACUGCUGACAUCUCCCUAUGGCACCAAAGGUGUUUUCCUAGCUCUUCUCUUCCACCAUCAUCUUCCUCCAUGGCUCUCACUGCUUAGUCUACUGCUGACAUCUCCCUAUGGCACCAAAGGUGUGGUCACCCGACAGCUCCAAUAUUAAGACAUAUCCUAACCUCAUGUAAUGUUCCUUAUUCUACAAACAAGUUCAAUCAAAUUUGUUGUGCUUGUCAGCUUGCUAAAAGUCACAAGCUACUGUUGUGGAAACUCCUGCCUUUCCUGCACCUCUUCAAUAUUCUUCCCUACCACCUCUAUCUCCUAGUUCCAAUUCCCUACCACCUGCCACUACAUCAUCUAUCCAGUUUCUACCUCCUCUAAUUCAGGAUCCCUCUACUGCCUCCCCCACCUCUGCUCCACCCUUACCUUCCUUCCUCAAUACUCAUCCCAUGGUAACCCGUUCAAGGCAGGCAUCACAAAACCCAAGGCUCUUCUUGCAUCUACUCCCACUAAACCCUACACUUUUCGACAGGAUAUUAAGGAUCCUCAAUGGCAACUGGCAAUGGAUGUUGAAUAUCAAGCUUUACUCCGUAAUAACACUUGGUCUGUGGUUCAUCUCCCUUAUCAUGGGAAUAUUAUUGGAUGCAAAUGGGUGUUUCAAUAUUGAUCGUCACAAGGCUUAUCUUGUGGCCAAGGGUUUCACCCAAACUCAGGGAAUUGACUAUUUUGAUACCUUCGAUCAGCCCUAUAGUGAAGUCGACCACCAUUCUUAUUGUUCUCACCCUUGCACUUUCAUCCCAAUGGUCCAUUUGACAACUGAACAUUCAAAACGCAUUUCUAAGUGGUGACCUUCAGAACCAGGUCUUCAUGCAACAACCCCUUGGCUUUGUUCAUCCUCAACACCCAUCUUACGUCUGCUAUCUUCACAAAACCCUUUGUGGUCUUAAAAAAGCUCCAAGAGCUUGGUUCCACAAACUCAAUACCUCUCUUACCACUUGGGGAUUUGAAUCUUCUUGCGCAGACACCUCUUUAUUCUUCAAACAUGCCACAUCUGAUGUUCUCAUUCUUGUCUACGUUGAUGACAUCCUCGUCACUGGUAGUUGUGCCUCUCAGGUUACCUUUUUUAUCUGUCAGCUCNNNNNNNNNNNNNNNNNNNNNNNNNNNNNNNNNNNNNNNNNNNNNNNNNNNNNNNNNNNNNNNNNNNNNNNNNNNNNNNNNNNNNNNNNNNNNNNNNNNNGUAGUUGUGCCUCUCAGGUUACCUUUUUUAUCUCUCAGCUCAGCUCCACCUUUGCUCUUCGUGACCUUGGUUCCCUUUACUAUUUCUUUGGCAUUGGGGUUACUCACAGUACUGAUUCUCUUCAUCUCUGCCAACAAAAGUAUGUGCAUGACCUACUCACUGAUAACCAAACAGACUCUACCCAAACUGCUACCCGAACUGCCCCUCAUUCUGUUGUAACUAAGCAACUGUGUAACCCAACUAAACAACUGUGUAACCUCUCCAAACCCACCCUAACUGAUCACUGUACUGAGCCUAUAAAUACCGGUGUCAAUGUAAUCUUGAAAUAACGAGAAAUAAUUCUCUUUUCUCUCUUCUGCAUAUUUUCUUCUCAGCUACACAAGCUUAGCUGUCAUGGUAUCAGAGCAAGCCCUGUCUUCCACUUGCACAGGCUCCCUUUUCUCAUGCCAUGCUUGCUGCCGCACCAGAUCAUCAAGAUUCUUGGUUCUUUGACACUGGUGCAACUCACCACCUUAGUCAUUCUGCUCAAACUCUCUCUUGUGUUCAGCCAUAUUCAGGUACUGAUCAAGUCACAAUUGGUGAUGGCAAUUCGUUACCCAUUCUUAACACAGGUACCAAGUCAUUCUUCUUCCCUUCCAAGACCUUUUCCUUAAAUCAAGUUCUUCAUGUACCUCAUCUUUCCACCAAUCUCAUCAGUGUCUCCAAAUUCUGCACAGAUAAUGCUGUUUUCUUUGAGUUUCAUUCCUCCUGUUUCUUUGUCAAGGAUCAGGUCACCAAGAAGAUUCUUCUCAAGGGCUGGCUUAGGGACGGUCUGUAUGAGUUCUCCUCCUCAUCUCCUCCUCAUGCGUUUGUGACCACAGGCUCAUUUUCUGAUGGUGCAAUUUGGCAUUCCCGUCUUGGACACCCAGCAGUUCCUAUUCUUUCUAAGGCUUUAGCCUCUUGUAAUCCUUCUGUUACAUUACAGAUUAAUAAAAUUGCUCCAUGUAUCAUUUGUCCAUUGGCUAAGUCUCAUUCCUUACCUUAUUCUUUGUCAUCUUCUCAUGCCUCUCACCCCUUAGCCCUCAUUCACACUGACUUGUGGGGACCUGCUCCUUCUACCUCUAUAACAGGAGCCCGUUACUUUCUUAUUUUUAUUGAUGACUAUUCCAGGCAUACCUGGAUUUAUUUCCUUUCCACCAAGGACCAGGCUCUCCAAUCUUUUAUUACCUUCCGCAAGAUGGUAGAAAACCAGUUACAAACCACCAUCAAAUGCAUUCAGUCUGAAAAUGGUGGAGAAUUCUUGGCCUUCAAACCUUACCUUGAAGCUCAUGGUAUUCUUCAUCAGUUUUCAUGUCCUCAUACACCUCAGCAAAAUGGAAGAGCAGAGAGGAAAAUUAGACAUCUUGUUGAAACCGGUCUUGCUCUUAUGGCUCAAAGUUUCUUACCCUCCAAAUAUUGGACAUAUGCUUUUCAAACAGCAGUAUAUCUUAUUAAUCUUCUACCAGCCAAACUUCUCCAUUUUCAGUCACCCACUCAAACCCUUUUUCAUAAACUUCCCAACUAUCAUCAUCUCCGAGUCUUCGGUUGCCUGUGUUUCCCAUCCUUACGUCCUUAUACACAACAUAAACUCUGCUAUCGCUCCACUGCUUGUGUCUUUCUUGGAUAUGCACCAGCUCAUAAAGGUUACUUAUGUCUUGAUGUCUCCACUAAUCGUAUCUACAUUUCCAGAAAUGUGAUCUUCCAUGAAUCCUCUUUUACAUUUCAGUCUUCAUCUCCUCCAUCUUCACCCUCUCCAGACCUCCCGUCUUCUACACAUGCCUUAAUCAAUUCACCCAGCUUGUCUGCCCCUUCAUCACCAGCUGUGUCCUCCCCUAUCAUCACUUCUGAUUCUAUCCCUCCACUAAUUCCGGUCCCCUUUGCCACCUCCUCUCCAGCUGCUCCUUCACCACCUCCUUUACCUCUCAACACUCAUCCCAUGGUGACCUGAGCAAAAUCUGGCAUUCAUAAGAAACGAAGCUUUAUUGUGCAGCACACAACAGAACCUCGCACUUACAGUCAAGCCUCUAAAAAUGACUCUUGGGUUCAGGCCAUGAACAGUGAAUAUCAAGCUCUUCUUCGCAACAACACCUAGAGUUUGGUUCCUCCACCUUCAUCUGCUCACAUUGUUGGCUGCCGUUGGAUCUACAAGCUCAAAUAUCGCCCUGAUGGAUCCAUUGACAGACACAAAGCUCGUUUAGUUGCCCAGGGAUUCACCCAAACUCCGGGGAUAGACUACUUUGACACAUUCAGUCCAGUUGUGAAGCCUUGCACCAUUCGACUUAUCCUUGCUUUGGCAGUCUCCUUUCAAUGGUCAGUUCGGCAAUUGGAUGUGGAGAAUGCUUUCCUUAAUGGAGAUCUGGAAGAAGAGGUUUUUAUGACUCAGCCUCAGGGUUUUGUCAAUCCCACCUAUCCUACAUAUGUUUGCAAAUUACACAAAGCAUUGUAUGGCCUCAAACAAGCUCCUAGAGCUUGGUUUCAAAAGCUUCGGAUUGCCUUGCUUGACUAUGGUUUCCAAUCUUCUCGUGCAGACACUUCUCUCUUCAUCUUUCACACUGCAACUGAUAUUCUCAUUCUACUGGUAUACGUAGAUGAUAUCCUGGUCACUGGUAGUAAUCCCACGUUGGUUUCUCACUUCAUCUCCUACCUCAGGACUAAGUUUGCACUUCGGGAUCUUGGACCUUUGUCAUAUUUUUUGGGUAUUCAAGCUCAACAACUUGGCUCUGUCUUGCAUCUUAAUCAGCAUAAAUAUAUUGCUGAUCUUCUCAACCGCACUCAGAUGGAGACUUCGAAACCAGCUCCCACUCCAGGACGUCUCGGUCGUACCCUCUCUCAAUCUGAUGGUGUGUCUCUGUCGGAUCCAUCAGAAUAUCGUCGUACCGUAGGAGCCUUACAAUAUGUCACUCUCACCAGGCCCGACAUUGCGUUCGCCGUGAACAAAGCUUGCCAAUUCAUGGCAAAGCCUUCUGAUGUUCAUUGGAUGGCUGUUAAAAGAAUUCUACGGUAUUUAAAAGGCACCAUCCAUCUUGGUCUUCACUUCCAACCUGCUGCUUCAAUGGAGCUUCAAGGAUACAGUGAUGCUGACUGGGCAUCUUGUCCAGAUGAUCGUCGAAGCACCAGCGGCUACUGUGUAUUCCUAGGCUCGAAUCUCAUCUCAUGGUCCUCUUCUAAACAACGACUUGUCUCCAAAAGCAGUGCUGAAUCCGAAUAUAGAGGGUUGGUAUCCCUCACGGCGGAGUUGGUGUGGAUUCAAUCCUUACUUCAAGAGCUCUGCUUGCCUACCUCUCCACCUAUACUAUGGUGUGACAACCAAAGUGCAGCUCAUCUUGCUGCUAAUCCGGUCUUUCACUCCCGUUCCAAACAUAUCGAAUUAGAUUUACACUUCAUCAGAGAAAAGGUGUUACGCCAAGAACUUCAAAUCUGCUAUGUUCCCUCCGGUGAUCAGCUUGCAGAUAUUUUCACAAAGCACCUUCCUAUUACACAAUUUUGUAACCUCCGUAGCAAGCUCACAGUCACCUACCCGCCUCUGAGCUUGAGGGGGGAUGAUAACCAAACAGACUCUACCCAAACUGCUACCCGAACUGCCCCUCAUUCUGUUGUAACUAAGCAACUGUGUAACCCAACUAAACAACUGUGUAACCUCUCCAAACCCACCCUAACUGAUCACUGUACUGAGCCUAUAAAUACCGGUGUCAAUGUAAUCUUGAAAUAACGAGAAAUAAUUCUCUUUUCUCUCUUCUGCAUAUUUUCUUCUCAGCUACACAAGCUUAGCUGUCACUCACUCGUACUGCCAUAACUGAUACUAAACUUGUUCUUACACUGGGUUCCUUGGCUUGGCCAAGCCUCUCUCUCUCACUGAUGGUGAUCUACUUCAUAUCGCAACAUUGUUGGCGCAUUACAGUAUGUUACUGUUACACGUCCAAACCUUUCUUUUGCUGUUAACAAGGUAUGCCAGUUUAUGGCUUCCCAACGACCACCCACUAGCUGGUUGUCAAUAAUAUAAAAAGUAAUUCAAAAUAAAAUGAAAAUAUAGAUUUAAAAUAAAAAUAAAUAAAUUAAACAUUAAUAAUUAAAAUUUUAAAAAAAGAUAAAUAUUUUUUUUUAAAAAAAGUUUUCAAAAAAAUCUCAGAUAUUUUCAGAUAUAUCAGCGAUAUAUCCGAUAUAUUCGUCGAUAUAUUUCCAAUAUUUUAAUAGGCUUCUUCUACUGUUUCGCGCGUCACUUCACGUUUAAUUUUUUUUGUCAAUUUAUCGGUUCUAAACCGAAAUAUCGACGAUAUUUCGAUGAUCUUUUCGAUAUUUUUUCGAUGUUCCUCCCAUUCGAUAAUCGAUGUUCAAUAUCCUUUCGGGGUUGUCCGAUACCCGAUAUAUCGAUGAAAUAUCAUUGAUAAAAACCGAUUUUUCAAUCCAUGCUUAAUAGUGGGUUUCCCUUUUGGCCUCUAUUCUUUUUCUUUUUUAAAAAAGAAUCCUUUCCGAUUCUGUGGCCUUGAGUGAGCACUAUGUAUUUCAACUAUUUUGACAUGUUCAAAAUAAAUUACUAAGAAUUUAAAGGGAAUUUGUUCGACAAGUACUUUUUUUUUAAACAUAUUUAUUUAUACCUUGUUUAGUUUAGAUUGCAUUAUUUUAUGUAAAUAAUUUAUUGGGUUUAUGUAAAUAAUUUAUUGGGUAUGGUAAUUAUUUUUAUAAAUGGCUAAGUAGAUUUAAUUUUAAAUAUUAAUUUAUUGAGCAGGAAAAUUAUUUAUUAAAACAUGGUUUAACAACUAUGCGAUGGACCUAACUUAUUAAACAAAAUAAACCAAUACUAUAUUAUUAUAGCUUAAAUUAUUUUUUAAUGGUAGCAAUGUUGAAAAACCUAACCUAAUGAGAAAAUAGUAAUUAAUUAACAUAAUUUUAUAUUGACUUGUAAAAUUGGGCCAACAUAUAAAUAUAUUGAUGGUAACAAGAAGACCUACGUUGAUAAUGAAUCAUCAAUAUUAGUCUAUGUUGUCAACUUUGGAAUAUUAAUAUAUGUAUAUGAUUUUAACAGGAUGUUGUCAUUAUAUCUUUUAGAUAUAUAUAUAUAUAUAUAUAUAUAUAUAUAUAUAUAUAUAUAUGACAUCUCAAUUAAUUACGCUAACCCUCAUUAUCAAUAUAAGUCAACGUAACCAAAUCCUUCUUCCUUGUAGUGAAUGUUAGUUCUCAUAUAUGGAGGUAGGUAUGGAUGGUCCAAUUAUCUUAAAUUUCGUGUAUCUUUAUUUUAUGAUUUGUUUUAUAUUUUUAUUAUUUUGUCAAUAUAAUCGUUUUCAUGAUUAGGAAUUAGAGAAAAGUUUGUAGAAGAUUUUUCCAAAUUUGAAAAUAACUAUGUAAGAAAUUCAACUUAAACACGUUUCUUUGUGGAAGAGUUGCAUUGGCAAGGAAAUUAGAUACUUGUCUUUGCAUUGGCAAGGAAAUGCUACACACAUUCAUUGAACAAUCUUAGGCCCAUUUUUCCAAGCAGCCUAGCACGUUGAUUGAAUUAAACCCCUAUGGAUUGAUAUUGAUUGGAUCCAUUACCCGUCAUGCAUUCAAUCCCAAAGCGUUGAUUAUUCAAACUCUAUGAAAUAUAGGUUUCGCUGAGUGGAGGAGUUCAAAUACAUUAAAUUGAUAUUUUAAGUAAAUAUAAUGCGGAAAAUGAAACCUACUAGAUCGAUAAUGACCACUAGCUGGCUGUCAAGAAUAUAAAAAGUAGUUAAAAAUAAAAUGAAAAUAUAGAUUCAAAAUAAAAAAUAAAUUAAAAAUAAAUAAUUAAAAAUUUAAAAAAGAAUAAAUAUUUUUUAAAAAAAAAUUUCAAAAAAAUUGCUGAUAUUUUAAGAUAUAUAGGCAAUAUAUCCGAUAUAUUUGUCUAUAUAUCCGAUAUAUUCGUCGAUAUAUCGUUGAUAUAUUUUCGAUAUUUUGACAGACUUUCUCUAUUGCUCCGCGCGUCGCUUCACACAAUUUUUUCUUUGAACUAUUGGUUCCAAAUCAAAAUAUUAAUGAUAUUUCAACGAUUUUCUUAAUAUUUUCCAAUAUUCCUCCCGUUCGAUAAUCGAUGCUCAAUAUCCUUUCGGGACCGUCCUAUAUCCAAUAUAUCGAUAAAAUAUCACCAAUAAAAACCAAAAUUUCAAUCCAUGCUUAAUAGUGAGUUUCCUUUUGUUUGGCCUUCGUUUUUUUUUUUUUUAAAAAAAAAAAAAAUCCUUUUCGGUUCCAUGGCCUUGAGUGAGUACUAUGUAUUUCAACUAUUUUGACACGUUCAAAAUAAAUUACUAAGAAUUUAAAGGGAAUUUGUUCGACAAGUACUUUUUUUUUUAAACAUAUUUAUUUAUACAUUGUUUAGAUUAGGUUGCAUUUUUUUAUGUAAAUAAUUUAUUGGGUAUUUGGGAAUUAUUUUUAUAAAUGGCUAAGUAGAUUCAAUUUUAAAUAUUAAUUUAUUGAGCAUGAAAAUUAUUUAUUAAAAUAUGGUUUAACAACAAUGCGAUGGAAUCGACUUGUUAAACAAAAUAAACUAAUACUAUAUUAUUUUAGCUUAAAUUAUUUCUUAAUGGUAAUAAUGUUGAAAAACAAAUAUCAAUAAAAACUAACCUUAAUGAGAAAAUAGUAAUUAACAUAAUUUAUAUUGACUUGUAAAAUUGGGUCAACAUAUAAACAUAAUUUUAUAUGCAUAAAGUUAUAAUUAAACUUCGUAAAAUUUCAAGGUAGAUUGGAAGUAAAUUUUUUUGUUACUUGAAAUGUUUACAACUUCUUCCUUGUAGUGAUGUUAUUUGUAAUAGAACUUCCCUGCACAAUCGUUUCCAUGACUGGGAUUGAAUUAGAGAAAAUUUUGUGGAAGAUUUUUCCAAAUUUGGAAAAAUCGCAUGUAGAAGAGUUGCAUUGGCAAGGAAAUCUACACACUCAUUGAACAGUCUAUGCCCACUUUUCCAAUCAGCCUAGCACGUUUUUUUUAAUUGAAUAACCACGGAUUGAUAUUGAUUGGAUCCAUUAUCAGUCAUUCAAUCCUAAAGCAUUCAUUUGUCAAACUCCAUGAAAUAUAGGUUUGGCCGAGUGGACAUUUCAAUACUAAACUUGUCCAAAUACAUUAAUUAAAUUGAUAUUUUUAGUAAAUAUGAUGCGCAAAAUGAAACCCACCAGGUCGAUAACGACCACAUUACAAACUGAUCUGCAGGGUAGUUAGGGCAAUCCCUCAAAAUUCAUAAAAAAAGAAAAAAAAAAAGUGAAGCAAAUAGAAUCAAAUAGUAGUUCUUAUGUUAUUUUUUCAAAAAAUAGUUAUCGAGUCUGGAAAUGGGUAUUUUUCAUUUACUUGAAGCAGAUUGAGGAUCUGAAAAAUGAAUUGAAAAUGGAAUUAUACGUAGUGUUGACUAUAAGAAUUUCAGUGGAUUCAAAAAGCCCCAAUUUAUACCUUAGCCGCCCCUAAUAGUUUCGGCUCUUGCUUCAUAAAUUUAGCCAAGGGACUCGUGAAAAAACUUUUUCUUUCACGUCAUCAAUCCCUUUCAUACACUACUUUCAACGUUAUUAUUUUACAUUAUCUUCAACAAUAGAACAUUUAGAAUAUCCUCUUGCGGAACAAGUUGCUCAUGCACUAAAGCAGCCCAUUAGAAAAGGUUUAGAGAGGCUAGAGGCAAGGUGGUAUAUGUCUAUCUACCAGGAUGAAACUUCGCAUGACACAACUUUACUAAAGCUGGCCAAGUUAGAUUUCAAUCUAGUGCAGUCCCUACACAAGGAGGAGCUAAGCAAUAUUGCUAGGUUUGCUUUCAAAUCACUAGCAGAUAUACCUAGUCACCUUCUCAUUUUACCAUGAGCUAAUUGUUUUAAUGAAUUUUAGGUGGUGGAAAGAAUUAGACUUUGCUACAAAGCUACCUUUUGCGAGAGAUAGAUUGGUGGAAGGCUACUUUUGGAUACUUGGGGUGUACUUUGAGCCUCAAUAUGUCCGGGCUAGACGAAUUCUAACCAAAACAAUUUCCAUGACAUCCAUUAUAGAUGAUAUAUAUGACGCAUAUGGCACAUUUGAAGAACUCGAGCUCUUCACCGAGGCCAUUGAGAGGUUUGAUUGAUGCAAAUUACCAACCUUCAUCAUUUAUACUGUAUGUGAUACUUAAAUCAAGCCUGGUUUUAUUUUCAGGUGGGAUAUUAAUAGCAUAGAUCACCUUCCAGAAUACAUGAAACACUGCUAUGUGGCACUCUUAGAUGUGUACAAAGAAAUUGAGGAAGAGAUGGAGAAAAAAGGAAACCAAUAUCGGGUUCAAUAUGCGAUAGAAGCGGUAGGACAUUCUGCAUCGACUUUGUUUUGUAUAGUAACAUAUCGUAAGGAUAUAGAUGUAACCUGAUUGAAUGUUUGACAGAUGAAAAACCUAGUUAGAGCUUAUUUUCAUGAGGCUAAAUGGUUCCAUGAAGGACGCAUACCAACAAUGGAAGAGUAUAUGAGGAUAGCACUGGUAACCUCAGGUUACUACAUGCUUACAACCAUUCUUUCAUUGGUAUGGGAGAAAUUGUAACAAAGGAGGCCUUUGAUUGGGUGAUCAGUGACCCUAAGAUUAUCACAGCAUCAGCUGUAAUUUGUAGGCUCAUGGAUGACAUCAGUUCACAUAAGGUAUUGUGAAUAUAGUAUUACUUGUUAAGCUAUAAUUUGACCUUGACCUUAAAGCUCAAUCAAUUAAACAUAUUUACUGUACUCUUCUUCUUAAACUAUAUAUGCAGUUUGAGCAAAAGAGAGGGCAUGUUGCCUCAGGCAUUGAAUGUUACAUGAAGCAAUAUGGUGCCUCUGAGGAAGAGGUAUACGAUGAGUGUGGACCCGCAUUUUUCACGUGCGUCCCCACUCGAUCAGCGAGACUCGCUUUUUAUUUAUGAAAAAUUAAUUUUAAAAAAAAGUUGGAGUCGCCACUUAUUUUAUUUUUAUUUUAAAGGGAAAAUAAAACAAGAAAGAAAAACCCUAAAAAAGUGACUCCAUAAUUUUUGGAAAAAGCAUGUCUUUGAAAAACCCGAGUCUAAGUCCGGGGAUCAGGUUACCUAUUGGGAAGGUACCUUUAAAAGGUAGCACCCCUCUAAGCCCUCUAAAGGUCUCUACUAACAAAGUUAAGGGAAGUGUGGCCAUUAAUCAGUUAAUUAUGGAUACCUAAGUAGGCUAGGUGAUUUCAAAUAUUGCAUGCCUAAAGAGAAAACAAACCAUAAGAGAGAGUCGAAGUGCGUACCUAAAUGGCUUCUCAAGCGCUAUCAUGAAACAUAAGAGAUUAGUUUGGAAAUAUGACACAACAUUUGUUUUAUCUAAGCAAAUCAAGCAUAUAUCAAAACACCCAAAAAUCACAUCAUGUAUGGAUAUAGUCAUCAAUAACGCAUGUGUCCAUGGAAUUCUCAAAAAUAGGUGUGAAGGAGCGUACCUGGAUGGCGAGCUAAAACGCUACUAUGGGAAACAAGAUUGCUUAAUAAUAGGUGCAUAAUAAUCUCACGUAUCUCAAAGAGAAAGCACAAUUAAUCAAAUGUCAAACAAACACUAUUGAAGAGGAUAUCAUGAAUGUCGGGCCCCCACCAAAGCCCUAAUUAAUUUCGCACGAGUUGAUUCCAUAAAUUCCAUGACUUGGAAUUAUGGAGUUUGUUCGUGCUUGAGAAAAUCGGAAAAAUCAAGAAAAUGGUUGAAAAUAAAAAUAAAUAAUAAAAUAAAAAAAAUAGUGAAAACUUGUGCCAGAAGGAAAAUGGCAGCAAAAGGGUGUUGAAAUCUGGAUUUUAUUGCCUAGAGAAGGUCUAAAGAUGAUUCUCUAAAAUCAGGAUUAUUUGGAUGAAAACGAUUUUGAAAACACAAUUCAAAACACGUAAAAUCAUGAGGAAAACAAGAGGGGUGAGAAGGGAAGAGAGUAGUGUGCACCGAACUGGUCAUGGCGAGUGGGGUUUGGGGGUUUGGCUGUGACUGCGUUGCUGGUGGUUAUAGGCGCUGCUGUCAUUUUCUCUGAAUUUUUCCCUCUACUCUCUCGUAUGCAUUUAAGUGCUUUACAUCACUGUGUUCUUGAGCUUUUCCCCAUUUCUUCUUAUACCUUGACCUGCCACCUCUGCUGGUGUGUUCUGUUGAACUAAGUAAACUUGCUGGCGCGUUCUGUUGAACUGAGUGACACUAUGUCUGCUCUCAAAUUUAAAUCCUUUAACCUUAUCCAUCAAUAGGGAUGCCUGAAUUUCAGGAGCCCGCAACUCAUUCGGCAAUGCUGAGGGAAAUGGCGUUGUAAAUGUUGCUUGAGGAGAAGGCUGCUGUGGAGGAUGUUUUAUUAUAUCCUUGCUGACAUAUUGACAUGGCGUGAGAUGAUACACCAGCAAUUUGAGUAGUUUGUGGUCAGCCCAAUUGAGGUUGCUUUCAAACUUUCGCUACAAAAAAAGAAGAUCGAAGAUGACGAAACCCAUGUGAAUCGCUCUACGGUUCUGGCAGCGAAUGAGGAUUGGACAUGCAGAUUCUGGAGACAGUGACUUGAAGCUUCUUGCGAAUCUGUAGCAAGUUUAAUCAGACCACUCUUGAGGGCAACUUCUUUCUUCAAACAAAGUCAUGCAUUCCAGAGUACGCAGCUUUCCUCUUUCUGAAGUACAGAGCAUGCCUAAGAUCUAUGUUUGGGGGCAAAAUGUUUUCGUAAUCUGCAUGGGAUUGCGCUUUAUUGCUUACAAAAACAUCAUUGAAUCUCACCGUUCCAGAAUGGCACAUAAACAGUAGCGGACUUUGAUGUUAUCUUCAUUCAGCUGUUAAGUGACCAUCAUUAGUCUUGUUUCUAUCUUUUAGAACAUAUACAGGGAUGUGCCUUAGGAAGUCCUGCAUUGCUUGCAUCUCGCUUGACCUUUUGCUCAAUAAUUCAACCUGAGUACGGGGUUGAGACAUCUGGGUUGCAAAGGUGACUAUGGACUGUACAUUCGCUUGUUUCUCUUCCCACUAUUUUCUGAAUCAAAUUACCUGCUGCUGUAUCUAUUGAAGCUGUAGCCUCAUCUAACAAUCUCUCAAAAGGCAUAAAUAUCAGAUUCUUCAACUAUGCUAUUCUCAGAUCACCUCAGCAGUAUAAGGGGUUCUAUGCAUUUAGGAACCAUCAGCAAUGCUUGGAUUUUUGGGAUAUUAUACAGAACAAAGCAAAGUUGUGCGACAUUUCCCUUUGAUUAUGAAGAUGAAGUCGAAGAUGGCAAAAUUUUGUAAAGACUUUCAAGGGGAUUCCCUCCACGUUUGUCAUCAAAGAUGCUUUUUGACGAAUUUCCCAUAGUCAACUUGAUUAAGGCAACAAGAACAACUUUUUGCUUACUCUAUGAUGCAGUAUUAAGCAUGUCAAACAAUGAGUGAGCCACCUGCUUAGCUGACUUAAAAUCUCUGAUAUUCUCAACAUCGAGAGGCUCAAGUGAAGCUCUACUGAAUAUAACAUUUCUUGACUCCAAAUGUAACACAGUUAUCAGUUGAUUCACGGAAUUGAUUGAUGCUUCGCAAUGAAGAAAAUCAGGACUGCUAAAUAGUAUUUUCAACAAUUCAGACACUAUGGCCUUAGAAGGGUCUUGAGGGCUUAAAGACAAGUACUUGGUUAGAGCACCCAAUGCUCCAGCUUCAGCCAUGAUCAGUUUGUUCGCAUCAGACAUUAGUUCAAGGGGUUUGGCACCUUCCCUCACAUGCAUCUCAGAAUGAGCUUUCAUACACUCCCAGUAGAAAUAGUUUCAGAAUCUGCAUUUAUUAUAGUGGCUUUAGUUUCGAUGUCGUCUUUUGAGAGAGUCAUUUUCUACCAAAAUCACAAUCUAAGCAAUCGUCAAGCAUUAGGUUGGAAUUUCCGUCACAAAUGAAUUUCUUGUUAGCAUCAUUAGUAAUCUUCAGCAAUCAAGCUCACUGAAUCGUCUCCUGAGUACCCAUGACAGAAGAAAGCUGAUCAUUCAUGGCACCCAAGACUGAGCCAUGGUGAUAACUAUUUAAAGUAGUGUUUGAAUUAGCUGAUCCGUCAAGACUUUGAUGGGAUGAUACAUUCCUGAUGGGUUAAGUGUCAUCAGUUGACAUGGUACUAUUGCUUACAAAAAAUUAUGAGCCCAGGUUCUUCUUCCUGCUAUUGUCCAAUUCUGUAGGAGUAAUCUGGUCUUUUCCAGUUUAUUAAGCUCCAUCAUGCCUGCCUCAAGAAGGGCCUUUGGCGUAUAUGUCAGUAAGUUCAAGUCUGGACAGUGUCCUAGUAAACAGAUGCCUUCCCUGAUCUCUAUCAGUAUGCAUCCUCUGAUUAGGAUUGAUUUCUGGACUGAUCUGAUCAAAGAUCCUCGAACUGUUUAAAGUCCCAUGAUUCUUUUGGCUUUGAGAGUCUUCUCUGGUUUUCCGUGCUCAAGUAAUCAAGCAAAUUGUCCCACAUGAAUAGAAGAUGCCACAAGUUUAGCAGUGCAUUUUUCAUCAGUAUUCAAAUCAAACAUUGGAAUUUUCUGUAGGUUGGCGGAAUUGUUGGCAAUUUCGACAUCAUAUAUUGCAGCAAGGCCGAAAUUCUGACUUACACUUCUAAGUGUUCCAGAGAACUUAGUCAUGUCUGCCUCCUAUGUCAUCUCUUGAUAAAUCUGGUUCUCUUCAAAUGCUUCCGAAGGUUGAAAUUAGUACCCUUGUUCGUCUCAAGGAAACAAACCGAGAGGUUUGGACAGUAGGAUCUGCACUUUCUCCACAGAACUGGAGCACCUUUUCAGAAGUCCCUUCUUUGGUCUCAGCAAAAGACUUUAGAGCUUCAACAAGAAAAGUAANNNNNNNNNNNNNNNNNNNNNNNNNNNNNNNNNNNNNNNNNNNNNNNNNNNNNNNNNNNNNNNNNNNNNNNNNNNNNNNNNNNNNNNNNNNNNNNNNNNNNNNNNNNNNNNNNNNNNNNNNNNNNNNNNNNNNNNNNNNNNNNNNNNNNNNNNNNNNNNNNNNNNNNNNNNNNNNNNNNNNNNNNNNNNNNNNNNNNNNNNNNNNNNNNNNNNNNNNNNNNNNNNNNNNNNNNNNNNNNNNNNNNNNNNNNNNNNNNNNNNNNNNNNNNNNNNNNNNNNNNNNNNNNNNNNNNNNNNNNNNNNNNNNNNNNNNNNNNNNNNNNNNNNNNNNNNNNNNNNNNNNNNNNNNNNNNNNNNNNNNNNNNNNNNNNNNNNNNNNNNNNNNNNNNNNNNNNNNNNNNNNNNNNNNNNNNNNNNNNNNNNNNNNNNNNNNNNNNNNNNNNNNNNNNNNNNNNNNNNNNNNNNNNNNNNNNNNNNNNNNNNNNNNNNNNNNNNNNNNNNNNNNNNNNNNNNNNNNNNNNNNNNNNNNNNNNNNNNNNNNNNNNNNNNNNNNNNNNNNNNNNNNNNNNNNNNNNNNNNNNNNNNNNNNNNNNNNNNNNNNNNNNNNNNNNNNNNNNNNNNNNNNNNNNNNNNNNNNNNNNNNNNNNNNNNNNNNNNNNNNNNNNNNNNNNNNNNNNNNNNNNNNNNNNNNNNNNNNNNNNNNNNNNNNNNNNNNNNNNNNNNNNNNNNNNNNNNNNNNNNNNNNNNNNNNNNNNNNNNNNNNNNNNNNNNNNNNNNNNNNNNNNNNNNNNNNNNNNNNNNNNNNNNNNNNNNNNNNNNNNNNNNNNNNNNNNNNNNNNNNNNNNNNNNNNNNNNNNNNNNNNNNNNNNNNNNNNNNNNNNNNNNNNNNNNNNNNNNNNNNNNNNNNNNNNNNNNNNNNNNNNNNNNNNNNNNNNNNNNNNNNNNNNNNNNNNNNNNNNNNNNNNNNNNNNNNNNNNNNNNNNNNNNNNNNNNNNNNNNNNNNNNNNNNNNNNNNNNNNNNNNNNNNNNNNNNNNNNNNNNNNNNNNNNNNNNNNNNNNNNNNNNNNNNNNNNNNNNNNNNNNNNNNNNNNNNNNNNNNNNNNNNNACAGAUCAUCAGCCAUAGGAAUACCAUCGGUGGUUGACGUGGAGAGCUUCUCUGCAAUACCCUGAACCUUACCAUGAAUUUUAAGCCUUUUAGUCAUGACUUUCCACAAUUGAUCCCAACUCAUCAGCACAAAUUUGAAAACCUGCAGCUGUUACUUCCUCAGGUGCAAUGUAGUCACUGGACAAACCAUGAAUAAACUGAAGUGCGGCCUGUGAAACUAGAACUGCUACUCUAAACUUCUCCUCAUUGGAACGUCGAAUAGUUUGAGCUUCGAAUCACUUGCUGAGAUUAGCAGUGAAACGGGACCUUCGCUUAGGUUUUUAACAACCCAGCGAAGCUUUCUCCGUGUGAGCUUUAGGUGGACUUGAAGCCUGAGCUUCCAGAAUUGCUUGGUUAGCUGUCUCAUAAUAACCAGCUGAGCAGCAGAGCUUUGCAUAUUGAAGCCAGCAAUCACCAACUUGAGCACCAAGACCGCUUGCACCAAGAACCAAUCUUUGUAAAGCCAGAAGUGACUCUCUUGCCCAAAGGGAUGGCUGUGUAAAUCUGAGCUGAUCUCCCCAAUUUUCCAUCAUUUUUGUGAAUCUCAGAUCAGCCAAAUCGAUUGAUUUCAGCAACAGCUAGAAGAGCAAUCAGAGCUCGUUUGGACAGAGCAAUUUUCUCAGCAACUGAGAAUUGGUCUUUCUUUAUCAGGGCCUGAGGAAUUUUCACAACAUCCAUGUCAAAGGAAGCAUUAUUCUCAGAGCUGCUGCAAAGUAAACCUUCCUUGUCAGUCCCAUCAAGGUACUCAUCCAUCAAUUCCCACUUGCUAAGCCUCCAUGCUGCCUAAACACCUUGUAUGCACCAAGUUUUCUUGUAUUUAUGAAUUUUAGCUAUUAAACCAUCCACGUGAAUAACCAUAGUCUGAAAGUGGCACAUGUCAGUAAACAAUUAAGAACAUCUGAAUGCCUCUGUACUGAGGUAGGCUCCAUCUGCAAAGCCUGCUCUGAAGAAGUUAAAACUUCUGCCCAGUUUCCUGCUUUCUUGUUGAUUAGAAAGCUGGUCUUGCAAACUUAAUGACGUGUGCAAACANNNNNNNNNNNNNNNNNNNNNNNNNNNNNNNNNNNNNNNNNNNNNNNNNNNNNNNNNNNNNNNNNNNNNNNNNNNNNNNNNNNNNNNNNNNNNNNNNNNNNNNNNNNNNNNNNNNNNNNNNNNNNNNNNNNNNNNNNNNNNNNNNNNNNNNNNNNNNNNNNNNNNNNNNNNNNNNNNNNNNNNNNNNNNNNNNNNNNNNNNNNNNNNNNNNNNNNNNNNNNNNNNNNNNNNNNNNNNNNNNNNNNNNNNNNNNNNNNNNNNNNNNNNNNNNNNNNNNNNNNNNNNNNNNNNNNNNNNNNNNNNNNNNNNNNNNNNNNNNNNNNNNNNNNNNNNNNNNNNNNNNNNNNNNNNNNNNNNNNNNNNNNNNNNNNNNNNNNNNNNNNNNNNNNNNNNNNNNNNNNNNNNNNNNNNNNNNNNNNNNNNNNNNNNNNNNNNNNNNNNNNNNNNNNNNNNNNNNNNNNNNNNNNNNNNNNNNNNNNNNNNNNNNNNNNNNNNNNNNNNNNNNNNNNNNNNNNNNNNNNNNNNNNNNNNNNNNNNNNNNNNNNNNNNNNNNNNNNNNNNNNNNNNNNNNNNNNNNNNNNNNNNNNNNNNNNNNNNNNNNNNNNNNNNNNNNNNNNNNNNNNNNNNNNNNNNNNNNNNNNNNNNNNNNNNNNNNNNNNNNNNNNNNNNNNNNNNNNNNNNNNNNNNNNNNNNNNNNNNNNNNNNNNNNNNNNNNNNNNNNNNNNNNNNNNNNNNNNNNNNNNNNNNNNNNNNNNNNNNNNNNNNNNNNNNNNNNNNNNNNNNNNNNNNNNNNNNNNNNNNNNNNNNNNNNNNNNNNNNNNNNNNNNNNNNNNNNNNNNNNNNNNNNNNNNNNNNNNNNNNNNNNNNNNNNNNNNNNNNNNNNNNNNNNNNNNNNNNNNNNNNNNNNNNNNNNNNNNNNNNNNNNNNNNNNNNNNNNNNNNNNNNNNNNNNNNNNNNNNNNNNNNNNNNNNNNNNNNNNNNNNNNNNNNNNNNNNNNNNNNNNNNNNNNNNNNNNNNNNNNNNNNNNNNNNNNNNNNNNNNNNNNNNNNNNNNNNNNNNNNNNNNNNNNNNNNNNNNNNNNNNNNNNNNNNNNNNNNNNNNNNNNNNNNNNNNNNNNNNNNNNNNNNNNNNNNNNNNNNNNNNNNNNNNNNNNNNNNNNNNNNNNNNNNNNNNNNNNNNNNNNNNNNNNNNNNNNNNNNNNNNNNNNNNNNNNNNNNNNNNNNNNNNNNNNNNNNNNNNNNNNNNNNNNNNNNNNNNNNNNNNNNNNNNNNNNNNNNNNNNNNNNNNNNNNNNNNNNNNNNNNNNNNNNNNNNNNNNNNNNNNNNNNNNNNNNNNNNNNNNNNNNNNNNNNNNNNNNNNNNNNNNNNNNNNNNNNNNNNNNNNNNNNNNNNNNNNNNNNNNNNNNNNNNNNNNNNNNNNNNNNNNNNNNNNNNNNNNNNNNNNNNNNNNNNNNNNNNNNNNNNNNNNNNNNNNNNNNNNNNNNNNNNNNNNNNNNNNNNNNNNNNNNNNNNNNNNNNNNNNNNNNNNNNNNNNNNNNNNNNNNNNNNNNNNNNNNNNNNNNNNNNNNNNNNNNNNNNNNNNNNNNNNNNNNNNNNNNNNNNNNNNNNNNNNNNNNNNNNNNNNNNNNNNNNNNNNNNNNNNNNNNNNNNNNNNNNNNNNNNNNNNNNNNNNNNNNNNNNNNNAAAGACCAAAUAACCAGCAGAAAGAUCCUCUAUUUCCAGAACCAUGCUUCUCAAUCUGUCCUUAAUCUGCAUAUCCUUAACAAGCGAAUAAACAGCCGACAAGCUAGAAUUUUGAAACGUUUGUUCUCUUUGCUGAAUCUCAUGACUGCAUGCCCAAGCUUUGGAAUCACCCCCAUAUAAAGAAUUGAUGGCCAUAGGACGGAUAGGAAGAAAAGCAAAAACAAGUAUGGUAGAGAAUAGCGGAAACGAUGGGAAAACGGACAUGGGAGAUUAAAAGAAAAUAAAGCCACAUCUCAUAAUUUUUCAAUAGGCUCUGGUUAGUGGGAAUAGGCACAGAGAUAUAUGCUUCCGAAGGCAUUAAUGACAUCCAAAAUCAAAACAAGGCAAACAGGCAAGUAACCAAUCUCAACAAAGCAAAUUGUGGCCCUUUUCAUCCACACAAAAAUCAACAAAACAAUUAUAUAUUCAGGAAUCGAACUCACGGAAAAAAAUCAAAUAUAGGUAAGAAUUCCGAAAGCAACGAGGUGCAUACCUGGACAGCUUUGGUUGCAAUGGCUCGGCUUCUGGCUAUCUUUUCUCUUCCUUCUGAGGACAAUUCCCAGAUAAAAAUCCUCUUUUUUGCUUGUUCUUUCUUCCUCCUCCUCCCUCUCUAGACUCCAAUACGUGCUCUGCCCCCAAGAAAAAUCCUCCCUUAAUAAAAAAAAGCUCCCCUUUUUCUCCUUCCUCUCUCACGUAUAUAUACGCCUUUCCCUAAAACUAAAUCUCCCUAAAAAAAGGCCAAAUCCCCUAUUUUCUCUCUUCUUUUCUCCUUAUCCUUUUUUAAAUCUUCCAAUUCAAAAGCAAUCUUCCCAACUUCAAAUUCUCCUCCAAAACCUUCCAAGGAGAGUCCCACUUUCCUUAAACUCCAAUGGUAAGUUUCCUUGCAAAAACAUGAAAUUUUAGAAGUUAAAUAAUUGCAUGAAUAGAUAAAUAAGUAAAUAAAUUAGAAAAUGGUAAAAAUAAUAAAUAAAUAAAUAAGUUGAGGAAAAUAAUAUAAAGAGGAAAACGAAAUAAAAUAAAAUAAAAUUAAACAAAUUAACAAAAAAAAUGGACCCUACAAGCCAUGCAAACACGCAAGUCAAAUAAGUCACGCUAAAAAUGUCCAAAUGGGUCAAGUGUGCCUAAACGGGCCUAUGAUGAGACUAAGCGGGCCUAGGGUGGUGCCUAAUGGGCCAAGUGUAUCUAAAGGCUAUCCUAAAAAAACAAGAAAAGCCUAAGUCUAAAUUAGGGCUGCCAAGGGUCACGAUAAGGGAUCAAAUAAUCCUUUAACCAAAGUCUCCAAGGUGACUCAGAAAAAGGUAAGUCGUACGAGUAGUAAUGGGCCACCAAGGAACUACCGUGGAGCACUGGAAGUGGAUUUAAAGACAUGUGCUAAAAGGGCAAAAUUGAGGGUCUACAAUGAGUUUCAGAAGCAAGUUGUGGAUGCAUGGAGGGAUAUUAACGAGGAGUUCCUACGACCUACAGUUGUUCCGAUGCCUCUCCUAAUGUGUGUGCUUAAUCUUUCUCGAGUGAUGGAUGUGAUCUACACGGGGGGAGAUGGGUACACUCAUGUUGGAAAAGUGAUGAAGAAUAAUGUUGCAUCACUGCUCAUUCACUCUAUUGUAUGACCAAAUGGAUCAAGUUGAUCACCAUCUACAUAUUCUGCCUUACCUAGGGAGUAGGAUGAAUAAAAAUUAUUGUAAUAGUAUGGGAGAGACCUAUAAUGUUUGCUACUCUAUCUCGGUUUGGUGGUGUUUUACAUCAUACUAUCAUUUGGGCCAAAGGUAUUAAUGUUAUUGCGUUCUAAAAACUCCAUCCUAAGAUGCAAACAUAAGCAGGUUUUUUUUUAUUGAUUUUCGUUUUCUAUUUCUUGCAUCCAUUUUAAUAUAUGUUUAAAACACAUGGAUCAAGUUUGAAACUUUUUUGUUAUUCAAAAAUCGUGUCAUGGAGAAAAUUCUCCAUGGCAAAUCACUUGAUGGAGAAAAUUCAAAAUACAUCAUCAUCAUGAUGUAGAAAAUCACUUGACCGAGAAAAUUCAAGUAUAAAAAUCACAUGGUGUAGAAAAUUCUCCAUAGAAAAUCACAAGAAAAUUCAAAAUACAUCAGCAUCAUGAUGUAGAAAAUUACUUGACGGAGAAAAUUCAAGUAUAAAAAUCACAUGGUGUAGAAAAUUCUCCAUAGAAAAUCACGAGAAAAUUCAAAAAACAUCGUCAUCGUUGUCAUCAUCCUCCUCCUCCUCCUCCUCCUCCUCCUCCUCAUCAUCAUCAUCAUCAUCACUAGACAUGCUAAAAGUUUUGUUUCAUCAUCAUCAUCACCAGACAUGCUAAAAUGCUAAAAGUUUUGUUAUAUACCAUGUAAAAAAUAUAAGUUAUGAUCUUAUAUAAGGUACCAUGCAAAGUUUAAAUUUUUGCAAAACGAAAAGAGAAAAAAAAGGAAGUUAUGAAGAAUCAAAUCAAUCAACUCAUCAUUUUCCAAGCAAGGAUUAAGAUAUUAAAAAUUACAUAAAGAUGAUGAUUAUAUUUUUAAAAACAUUAGAAAAAAAAAAUAAUAAAUAUAUUGAAGUUGUUUUUUUACAUAAAACAAUAUAUGUAUAAUAACAUAAAUACAUUUAAUUAUAAAAUAUAUAUGAUUCCAUGUAAUUUGAAAAUAUUCAAGGAUGUAAAAGAAAUAAUAAAUAUUUUUUUUACAAACAAAUAUUUAUAAUUUCAUUUACAACUUUAUUUCUUCCUUUUAUUUAAUUAAUAUAGACAAGGAAUAACAAAAGACUUACUAAAAGAACUAUCAUGAGCACGUUUUAUAUUUUUAACAAUAAGUUCAAAUAAAUUUUAAAAAUAAGACAAUUAAAUUAAUAUAUUUUUUAACAUUUUAUUUAAUAUUUAAUUUUGUGCAUAGAUAUGUCAUAAAAUUAGGUUAAAUAUAGUACAUGUAAUUAUAAACAAUAAGGGCAAGCAGCUCAGGUGGCAAAGUAGCCACCUCCCUUCCAACAUGCACCUUCAAGUUUUUUUAGCAUACUGAUGUAGCGAAUUACGGGAGAAAGUCACCAUAUAUUGCCAAAAUUAGUGAUUAAUCGAAAAAAUAAGAAAAGAACAUGAUUAAUCGAGGUAGAUUAUGAAAAUUUGAUAAAAAUUCAUUAAGUGAAAUUCCUCCAUAAUUUUCUAUAUCGGUGAUAUUUCAUGAACACUAAUCAUGAUUUCCAAGUUCAUGAGUUUACCGUAUCUACAAAUUGGUAUGUCAAAGAAGUUCAAGAAUAAUUUUUAGAUGAUUAUAAGUGUUUUUUAAUAAUUAAAUUCAUUUUACAAAUAACUACAUGUUUAAUUAAGAUUAUAUCCUAAUGGUGCUGAAAACAAAUUAAGACAGACGUCAAAUCACAUUUACUUUGCAUUGAAACAAAUUAUGCUUAAUAGACAUAUUUAUGUUUUUGAAGAUGAUGGAUGUUAAUUUCAGAUUUUGCUCUCAAAUUAAGCCACCUAACACAGUUGUCUUUUAAACACUUAAGCGAACACAACUUCAAAUCACCAAUAAUUCACGGUAGCACAACUUCAAAUUAAGCCAAAAACCCAUCAACCCUCACCACCGUCGAUAGCAUCGCCGGCAAGCCGUUACCGGUUGGCAACCCCCUCCUCCCCUCUCAUUCUCCCCUUCCACCCACCUCUCCUCUCACUACUUUCUCUCUCUUUCCUUUUCAUUUCUUUCUCCUCAACUCCAUUGCCACCCUUCAACAACCCUUCAUCCAUGGUCUCAAAAAAAAAUAAUAAAAAAUAUCCCCAUGUCGAUAGCCCUAGUUUAAACUUUCCAAGUGAAUCACUAAAAUACAACACAAUUAGCUAUCACAAAACAAAAUAAAUUCAAUUAGGCCUAAAUUUAAUAUCUUAUAAUCCAAACUUAAUUUAAUACACAAAUUCAAAUUCACAAUCAAAAUCAAGUCCAAUUUAAUAUAUAAAGCUCAAAUGUAACAAAAUUAUACUAUAAUAUUAAUUCAUGUCCAAAUUAAACUAUUCAAAUGGGCAAAAUUCAUUCACCAACGACAAAUAGGCCCAAAUUUCAUAUUAAUUAACAUCCCCAAAACAAAAUUUAUUGGACCAAUUUGAAGUUUGGAUUUGAGUUUGAAUAAUUAUUUUGGACUUUACAUAUUUUUGGAUAUUUACCUUUGGGCUAUUUUUGUUUUUUCAUGAGCCCAUUUUACAAUUCUGUUGACUGAGCACAAAUUUGUGAUGCGUAGAGGGUUAAAUUUCAUGAAAAAAAAUGUGGCUCAUGAAGGCUGUAAAUUGAGCAUUAAGCUUGCUAUAGCCUUGUUUGGAUAUAUUUUAUUUCCCCACUUUUAUUUAGUUCUAUUUUUAUUGUCCUGUAAAUAUUCUUUCUUAUAUAUUUCUUGGGUGUAUACAAAGUUGAACAAUUGAUAACUCAUGAACUUUGUUUUAAUAAAAUAAAUAGUUCAGUAAUCUUUUUUUUUUUUAAUAAAAACAAUUGCUUAGAAAUUAUUUUUUUUUAAUAAAAAAAGGUUUUUUUUAUAAAAAUUCAAAAAAAUGUUUUUAAGAAAAUCCGAAAAAUCAUUUAAAUAAGAAUAUGUAUCACUUAAAUCACCUGAAUAUAUUAUUUAUUAUAUUAUAUUCUUUAAUACAUAUGUAUUAUUGUCAUUCAACUUGAGGAGUAUUGAUACUGAGUCUUAAAAUACAUAUGUAUGUAGAAUACAUGCCUACAACAAAUCUGGAUCUCCUUGUUAAUAUGUAAUGGUGUUUUGGAGUACUACAAUACUCACCAAAUAACUUCUUUACACUUUAUAAUGGACACUGACUGGUGAGUUUAUAGUUAAUUAAAUAUUUAACUCUAUAGCAAAUUAUUAUUAUUAUAAUUAUUGUUGCUAGCGUUAUUAUUAUUUAAUUCAUUAUUAUGAAAAUUAUUAGUAUUAUUACUAUUUAAUUAUUAUUAUUAGCUAUUAAUUUUAGUUUUUUCUUUUUCAUCUUUUCUUUUUUGUUGUUUCUUAUAUACUUCAUAAAAUUAUAAGUUAUGAUCUUUUAUUAGGUUGAAAUUGGAAGUUCAAGUUCACUAAAGUAUGACACAGUUAACUUAGGUUCACUAAUUUUGUAAAAAAUUCAAUGCAUUUAUAGGAUAAUUAAAUAAUUCAACGAACUUAUCAUUUUAUUAAUUAAGGUUUUUUUUUUUUUUAACCUUUUUUACAUGUAAGAAUACAAAAAUUUAUGGUUCAAUGUGAAACUUUGGAAUUGCAUGAAUAAGAAAGUGAAAUUUGUUGGUGUCGUUCCCAACGAGAGUUAGGUUCAUCCAACUUCAUUGGAGUCAGGUGGGUUGCUUCCCUUGUUCGUGCUUCUUAAGAAGUCCGUCCAGUUGUAUUGGAAUUAGAUAGACUUCUUCCCUGCACAAAAGAAUGUCCAGACAGGUGGUUCGAACAUGCCCCUCCCAAACUUAAGUUAGUUAAGGAUAACUCUAACUUAUUUUUAUGGUAGAAAAUGAGCGUAUGUGCAUGCCUACCUUGUUUGUGCCUUUUGAGGGGUUUAUAUAGAGCUUAUGACACUGUCACUAUAGUGCUGACUAUACACUCUAGUCUUUCUUGUGAUGAUGAUUACCCUUACGGCGGUUGGGCAAUCAUAUCAGAUAAGGGAGGUUGAUUGGUGCCAUCUACUGACAUGCCAAAUCUCGGACCAUGCAACUGAUUGUCCAUUUAGCUUGCCAAUGUCUGGGAUUGUGUGUAACAAUUAAUUGACAUUGACUUUUGGGUGUAAAUGGAGUCCCGUCCACCGCUUAGAUGUCAGACGUCUAAUCCAUAGCUCAAAUGUCAUGUGUCUAGGCCAACGCUCAAACAUCAAGCAUGGUUGAUCAUGCAUGCCAGAAAUCCUGAGGACUUGAUUUGACUAAUUUUUUCGUCGGAGAGUCUAGCGAUCCCAGCUUGUCGAUUCUGUCUGACCUUGUGGAAGAAGAGAAACCUCUCACUUUUGGUGUCAGAUAGAACUUAUCUUGGUCUAGAUGGAUUGAUCCUAGACGGGUUACAAGUUUGUCCUGGUCGGCCAAGGGGUCUUGAGCUUGAAAAUGACAAGUGAAGGGAAAUCCCCCACAAUGCCCCCUUAAUCUGUCUACCUCUAUCCAGAUGAAGAGGAGAUGUUUUUGGAGCGUCCAGUUAGUCUCCUAUCUAAACAAGAAUUCCGGGAUCGUUUCCAUAUUCCGGAUAAUAUCCCUAUCCUUCUAAUAGACGACGAGGCGUUAUCUUCCGUUGACCUGCCCAACAACAUGAUGUAUUUUACUAAGGAACAAUUCGUUGCGGGGCUCCGUCUACCUAUCCCCUCUCUCUUCAAGCAGUUCUUUCAUUUUAUGUAAAUCCCUUCAACUUUUCUUCAUCCGAACGUUGUCCGGUUAUUGAUGGGAUGUAGUGUUCUGGACAUGCUCUUUCAGUUGGAUCUCUCCUUACUGGAAGUCUUAUUUGUUUACACUAUCAAAAUGAGCUGGAAGGAAAGGUUAAGAUUUUCUUCCCAUAUUCCUUCCUUACAGCCGGUGACUGGCCUUCCAGAUUCAUGCAAAUGCUAGGUGAAGGGGCAUGUCCUAGUCUCCAGUCCUUGGAGUGGUUCAUCUAAGAAACUAGACGAGGUCUUUUCUCCACAACAUUUGUUGGGGAUUCCGAGUAAGAUACGCUUUCGUCACUUUCUCUACAUUUUUCAAUUAUUUCUUCCUCGUUGUGAAUUUACUGCUGAUCCUUUUGUUUAUGUGAUACAAGCAAGGAGAGGCGGGGACGCCUUGUAGAGUGGGUAGACAAGGCUUCUUUCACCCGACUCAACAAGUUGUUCGAAAUAGACGCGUUCGAAUGGGCCCCCAAAGUUUUUCUGCCAAACAAUAACUUACUAGCACUGAUCGAUAAUCCAAAGUCGUUCAUCAUCCCCGUAUUUUCUCGUCUGGCUCCCCCAUCUUUGGUGCUUGGUGAACAUUUCGUGCUAAAGGAUUUGUAUUUCUAUGAGGUUGCCUGUCUAGCAGAUUCUAAGGCACGCUAGGCCCGUUUAGAGGAGCGUGAGGAAAAACAUCAGGAAGGGACAUUGAGGCAAGCUUCGACUGUUGGUGGUCUAUCCUUUAGAUCCGUUGUUUGUCUUCUCACUAAAAAGAGGAAGAAACCUACUACUCUGCCUAUCCAGAGAUAAGGACUCCGCCUCCUUUAUUUUUUUUCUUCUCCAUCAGCUUCAUCAUCUUCAUCAUCUCCAUCUUCUUCAUCUUCCAAUGGCGAGCCAGAAGCAUGGGUUGACCAGGUAGUGUCCCCUAUUAUUUGCGAUGAGUAAAAAGAAGAGGAUAUGGCUUCAAACUUGAGGGCCGAAUUUCGUGAGAGACAGUGCAAGCACCUGUCCAAAUCCAUUGCUGUCAAUCCUACUCCCUCCAAGAAAGCUUGUUCAAAACCUGCUUUUGCUCCUACACUCAUGUCGGUUCCUCCUACUAUUGCUACAGUCUUGACCCCUGAGCUAGAUAAGAAAUUUCCUUCUACUAAUGAACAUACUUAUCAUGAGAUGAGGAGAUCCUUCAUCAACUCGGACAACUUCAGCAAAGAAUCGUUCAAAUACAUGACUUCUUUUUCUCCUCAUUCGAAGUCAACCUAUGUCCACAAUCGGGAGGAGGUAUCUGAGCUUUUGAAGCGAAUCCCUUUCUUCACCGAGGAGAGUCCUCGGUACAAAACAUGGGAGUACUCUUUCCACCUACUCAGCAAAUCCCAAUUGAGAUAGACAAUGAUCCCAGUCGAUCUUUCAUGGCAUGGCUUUUGUACGGCACUCCGAACACCGCCAUUUCUCACAUUAUUCCCAUGCAAGACUAUAAGGCUUUUGAAACGACAAAAAUGGUAAGCCACCUAUCCUUUUCUGCUCAUUUUGCCUUAGCCUCUUGUUUCACAACGAUUUCUCUAUUGCCUCUUCAGAUGAUAGUCGGAGUCUAAAACCUCAUGUGGCAGCACGCUCCCCUUUUCUACCGAUUGGAAACAGUCGAGACCAUGAGGGCAUACUUUGCCCAUAAUAUGAACAAGAAUGAGGAUCUUUUUGCCAACUUGGAGACAACGUAGAGUGAAGCCGUUGCUGCCCAAAAGCUUGUUGAAGAAGAAGCCAAUCUAUUGAGGAAAGCCGAGGAAGAAAAGGAGACAGUUCAAAUUGAAGCUCGUCGGCUGGCUGAAAAGAAGAAAACCAUGGCGGUCGACAAAAAUAAGCCUGAAAAAAAGGCUGCCUGAUUCGUGCCCAAUUGGUGUCUCAGCUGAUUCGUGUCCAGCUGGUGCUCCUUGAUUGAGGGAGUAAUCAACAAAAUUUAUAACCUAUUACACCAUAUACUAGGGUAGCAAAGACAAAGCUACUAUAGCAUAGUGGCUCUAGGAUCGUCCAUUGGGAUGGGUUUUCACUUCACAAUUGAUAUUAAUUCAAAGAUGAAUUGGUGCCUUUUCAUUUCAAGGUUAGCUUUAAAAGAAAACAUAAACUUGUUUGAAAGAAAAAGGUUUGGUUUUAAACUAACCACAAAUAGUAACUAAUUUUACUUACAAAGAAAAGAUGUUUCUUGGAGUUCAGAUCACUAGGCUCAGAUUCCUCAUACAAAAAGGGAGUUCCGGUCACUUGUUUCUUUUCCUCGUAUUAGAGAAUUAACAUAUAGUUAAUUCUCCAACCGGUGUUGUACAGAUGCUCCCCAUUAAUGGGUUCAAACACUAAAUCCCUCUCACUGAUGCAUCUUGCAAUGACUCAUACCUCUCACCUAGCACUUGCCAUUCAAGGUGAUCUUUAACCUUGGAUUACCCGUCAAAAGCUCGCAAGAGAUAACUAAUGGAUGUCUCCUUGGAGUCCAAAAGCUUACCAAGUGUUGGCUAUUCUAGAAAAUCCUACCUUCAAGUCACCUCCCAAAGGCUCGCAAGGGGUAAACUAGUGCAUUUCCAUGGUUGGAAAUCACUUGUCUUACCAAGUGUUGGCCCAGGUGACCCUAAGGUGUUUUAAGUUAACUAAAAACAUAGAAAUCACUAACGGGUUACACUUUCUCUUCAUUAAAAACUAAAACAACAAAACUUCCAAAUUAUGCAUGUGGAAACUUACCCGGCUUUCCUCACUCCAAGAGACAAAAAGCUUAGCCUCUCAUCCUCUGUGGAAAAAUCCUCAGAGUUUGGUUGGCUAGAAAAUGAAAAUGAAAGAGAAGACAAGAAUAUAUAUCAAAAACAGAGCAAGUGCUCUGUUCGUUGAUUCUAUAUAUUGGAUUACAUGAUAUCACAUACUUCCCCCCAGCGUCUCCUGAGAGUGUUUACAAGAGAGUUUAUAUAAGAAGGUAAUUUACCCUUCCUUGGAUACUUCCUAGCUAAGGAAUUACAUGAGUGGUUGAAUACAAGGAGAAAAUGGAAAUUUAGACACAAAAAUCUGAAGAAAAAUAUCUAAAAGAGUCGGUGCAAAAAUAUCGGGAUGCUUCGGGAACCAUUUCGCAAGAGAAAAUGGUGUCUGCGAGAUUUCGCAGACACUCAAGAGGGGCUGCGAAAUCACUUCGCAACAUCAAGCUAUUCUCACAGGGCUACGAAAUUGGCUUCCUCCUUGAGGUUCUCAGCGUUCCAGCUUGCGUCAUGUAUCGGGUAGCUUCAGGAGGAAUUUCAUAGCACUGUACAAAAAGGCUGCGGAAUUCUCGCAACAAAAGGCUGAUUUCGCAACACUUUGGAGUGAUCUGCUUUCAAUGGCUGUAACUCCUUCGUUUCAACUCCGAAUCGCGCACCGUUUGAAGCAUUGGAUUCUUGACUUCCUGAGCUUUGAAAUGGUAUAUAGAAUGUAGAAAAUGGACUUCGGAAAGUGCUCCAAAAGUGCAAAAGAAUACUGCAGCUAGCUUUCCUCUGUUUUCUUCACUCUGUUUUUCCUCUCUCCUUGCUUCUCUCCUUGCAUACUUUGAACGACUUUGGCAAAGGGAUAUGGGGCUCCAAAGCUUGGUUUCUUCAUGAAUUUGAGCUCUUCAUUGCUUUGCCAUGAAUUCCAAAUAACUCUCCUCAAUCUUGGAUUGUUUUGGUGAUCAAAUUACUAACAAAAACACCAAAACUUACACAAUUUGAUUAGAAUUGAUUGCAAGGGUCCUUAACAUGUUAAUUGGGUUAAAAGACAAUAACUACUACUCAAAAGUGUUUAAAAGGAUUAAUUACAAGCUACAAAAUAGCACUUUUUGAGUAGUAAUCACUGCCCAGCUGAGGCAUGAGCUACAAGAUCUCCGAGUGGGGUUUGCCGCUUGAAAAGAAGACUUGGAGGUUGACUACCAAAAGCAAGUGGAUGAUAUAUUCCUGUACGAAUAUCGUUGUUAUAUAAAGAAGCAUGGCAUCAUCCAUGAUGCUCCCACCUUUCCUUCGGAUGACGAGAAUGAGUUUUUAGGCGACCCUUCCCAAAAAGGAGGAGAUGUUUUCGAAGGCGGUCCCUUUGGCGAGUAGGCUUGAUAUUUUGUUUGUAUUUAUUUAUUAUGGUUGGAUGUGGCUUGGACUGCUACAUCUAUAAAGACAAUGGAUGCUUUAUUUAUUUGAAUAUAUUUACUUUAGUCAUUUGUCUCUCAUACAUUGUUUUCAUAAGCAAACUUUAUUGAAAUUACUACUUUAAAUUGGAUACAUUCAAAGAGUAGAGCAGGGGUACGACGUCCAAUAUUUGAAGAUGGUAUGUCCCUGAGUCUCUAGCCUUAGUUACAAUAUAUGACCCUUCUCAGUUAGCUUGUAGAACUAUAAUACUUUGGUUUAUACAUUUAAGGUUAUAUAAAGUGUUAAUUCAAAUUAGUGAUGUUAUGUUGUUCACCCGUUUCCUUGAUAAUUUAAACAAAUAAAACUCAAAUGCAUCCUAAAGUCUAAAUGAAAGAAAUUCUAACUAAACAAAUUAUUACAACCAUUACCUAUUUUUCUUUCAUAUAAUUAAAAAAUUAUACAUUUUAACCAAGACAUAAGUUCAAAUCACACUUAAUAAGAAAUAACCUAAAAUCAUAAUCAUUGGCAUUAAUUUUCAUAUGAAAAUAUAAAUUUUUAAAAUAAUAUAAACAAUUUCUUUAGUUAUUUUAAAAUUUUAAAAUACUAUAAAUAAAUAAUUUUCUUUAGUUCAUAUGUGAAAAUAUUCAUAAAACAAAUAAAUAUUUUAUUUAUCAUAAAUAUAUAAAUUUUUAUGGGAAUGCAUGUAGACCAAAUUAUUUUCUCAAAAUUUUAAGGAAAAUAUGAAAAAAUAAAGAUAAAAUAUAUAUAUUUGUAAUAGAACUUUCGCAUGCACAUUGUUUUCACGAUUAGGAAUUAGAGAUAGAAGAUUUUUAUAGAUUUGAAAAGAAUCAUGGAAGAAACUCAACUUAAUUUCCAAUUUUGAAAAGAAUUGUGGAAGAAAUUAAACUUAAUUUCUAAUUUUAAAAAAGAAUUGUGAAAUAAAAUCAAUUUAAUUUCCAAAAUUAAAAAGAAUUGUGGAAGAAAUUCAAAUUAAUUUCUAAUUUUAAAAAAGAAUUGUGAAAUAAAAUCAAAUUAAUUUCAAAUUUUAAAAUGAAUUGUGGAAGAAAUUCGAACAAUUAACACACCUUUGUGGCAAGGGAAUCUACCGCAUUCGUUGAACAGACUUAGUCCCAUUUUCCCAAUCAACUUAGCACGUUGUUUGAAUUAAAUACCUACGGAUUGAUAUUGUUUGAAACUCAAGCAAACCAAUAUUUUAUAGUCUAUUCUGAGCACGACUAUUUCACACCUUGGGCCCCAAAACUAAACCAAAUCCCACAUACCAUUCAACUUAACACAACCUUAGCCGCCCCUAACGGUUUGGGCUUUUGCGUGAAUUUAGGCAAGGGGUUUCUCUUUCAUGUCAUCAAUCUCUUUCAUACAUUAUAUUCAACAACAUACAGCUUCUGGAGGCCAUUGCUGCCCUAUAAAUGCAAUGGAGCUUCCCAAGCUUUUGCACUCAUACUUUCCAAGUCAGUUUUCAAAGAAGUGUUCUACUACCAUUCCAAAAAAUUAACAUGUCGGGUCAAGUCUUAGCAAGCCCUCUAGGCCAAUUUCCGGAACUGGAAAAUCGUCCGGUGGUCCAGUAUCACCCUAGCAUUUGGGGUGACCAGUUCUUAUCCUACACUCCCGAGGACGAGGUAAUCGAAUGAAAAUCUGUGUUAAAUACCUGUAUAUUCGAAAGUUGUUUUUCUUGAUGUGUUGUUUAGUAAAAUUACUUGGUUGCCAUAGGUAACACGUGCCUGCAAAGAGAAGCAGCUUGAAGAUCUGAAAGAGGAAAUUCGAAGGAAGCUAAUGAAUACAGCUGGUAACACUUCCCAACAACUAAAAUUUAUCGAUGCUGUGCAACGUCUUGGGGUGGCAUACCACUUUGAAAGAGAGAUAGAAGAAGUGUUACAACAUAUUUAUGAUAGCUAUCCUAAUGGCGAUGAUAUGGAAGGUGAUAUCUAUAAUGUUGCUCUUCAAUUUCGGUUACUAAGACAAGCUGGGUUCAAUAUUUCAUGUGGUAAGAGCCCAAAGAAUUAUCAUGUAUAAGCUAAAAUGUAUCCUUCUCAUAAGUCCAAUCUUAUGUAUGUUUAAAUUACGGUAUUUAUGUAGGCUUGUUCAAUGAGUUCAAGGAUGAAAAGGGUAACUUCAAGAAAGCUUUAGUCAGUGAUGUAAGAGGCAUGCUAGGCUUGUAUGAGGCUGCACAUCUCAGAGUUCAUGGAGAGGACAUACUUGCAAAAGCACUUGCUUUCACCACCACUCACCUCAAGGCCAUGGUAGAAAGUUUAGGAUAUCAUCUUGCAGAACAAGUUGCUCAUGCCCUGAACCGGCCCAUUAGAAAAGGUUUGGAGAGGCUAGAGGCAAGAUGGUAUAUAUCUGUCUACCAAGAUGAAGCUUUCCAUGAUAAAACUUUACUAGAGCUAGCAAAAUUAGAUUUCAAUCUAGUGCAGUCACUGCACAAGGAAGAGCUAAGCAAUCUUGCAAGGUUGGUUUUAGAUCACCCCACAUGUACUUGGCCAUUGUUAUCACUUUCCUGUAUGCUGAUCAUAUUAAUGUCUUUUAGGUGGUGGAAAGAACUAGACUUUGCUACAAAGUUACCUUUUGCACGAGACAGAUUGGUUGAAUGCUACUUUUGGAUGCUUGGGGUGUAUUUUGAGCCUCAAUACUUACGGGCUAGACGAAUUCUAACCAAAGUAAUUGCCAUGAUAUCCAUUCUAGAUGAUAUCCAUGAUGCAUAUGGCACACCUGAAGAACUCAAGCUCUUCAUAGAAGCCAUUGAGAGGUUUGCUCCUUGCACAUUACCAACCUUGAUUGUGUAUAAUAGAUGUAUUUAUAUAUACUUAAAUCAAGGAUCAUUAUUUUAUUUUCAGGUGGGAUAUUAACAGCAUAGAUCAGCUUCCAGAAUACAUGAAACUCUGCUAUGCGGCACUCUUAGAUGUGUACAAAGAAAUCGAGGAAGAGAUGGAGAAAGAAGGAAACCAAUAUCGGGUUCACUAUGCCAAAGAAGUAGUAGGACAUCUUUAACUCUGGAUCCCCACCUUUUUCAUUGAUGAUAUUUUAUAUGGUCUCAUAUAUACAUAGAUAUAACUUGGAUGAAUGUUCUUUAGAUGAAGAAUCAAGUUCGAGCUUACUUUGCUGAGGCCAAAUGGUUACAUGAAGAACACGUACCAACAUUUGAAGAGUACAUGCGUGUUGCACUAGUAAGCUCUGGAUACUGCAUACUUGCAACCACGUCCUUUGUGGGAAUGGGAGAAAUAGCAACAAAGGAGGCCUUUGAUUGGGUGACCAGCAAUCCUAAGAUUAUGUCAUCUUCAAAUUUCAUUGCGAGGCUCAUGGAUGACAUCAAAUCACAUAAGGUAUGAAGAAUAUAUGAUUCAAAUGGGGAGAAUAUAACACACUGGUUUUUUCUCAACUUUUGUAUUAUACAUGCAGUUUGAGCAAAAGAGAGGGCAUGUGGCCUCAGCUGUUGAAUGUUACAUGAAGCAAUAUGGUGUCUCUGAGGAACAAGUAUACAAAGAAUUUCAAAAGCAAAUUGAGAAUGCAUGGCUGGAUAUUAACCAGGAAUGCCUCAAACCUACUGCUGUUUCAAUGCCUCUCCUUGCUCGUAUUCUCAAUCUUACACGAGCCGCGGAUGUCGUUUACAAAGAGCAAGAUUCGUACACACAUGUUGGGAAAGUGAUGAGGGAUAACAUUGCGUCUGUCUUGAUCAACGCUGUAAUAUAACCAAAUGGAGUAGUUGAUUGCCUUGUGGAAGCCGUAAUAUCUAAUAAAUCACUAUAAAAGGAAAAAAGAAAAGAAAAAAGGUCCAAUUCAUACCUUAGCCGCCCCUAAUGGUUUGGGCUUUUGCGUGAAUAAAAACUAUUGUAAUAAUAUGGGAGAGACAUAUAAUGUUUCCUACUAGUUUCUCUCUCGGUUUGGUAGUGCUUUACAUCAUACUAUCACUUGGCUAAAUGUAUUAAUGUUGCUGCGUUGUAAAAACUCCAUCCUAAGAUGCAAACAUAACCAGGUUUGAUAUUGAUUUUCCUUUUCUAUUUCUUGCAUCCAUUUUAAUAUAUGUUUAAAACACUUUGAUCAAGUUUGACACUUUUCUAUUAUUCAAAGAUCACGUGAUGGAGAAAAUUCUCCAUAGAAAAUCACUUCUUGUAGAAAUGGUCUAGAACAUACAAAAGAGAUAAAAAAAUCUUAAGAAUUCAUCCUAACGGGUAAAAUAUUAUUAUUAUUAUUAUUAUUAGACAUGCUAAAAGUUUUAUUAUAUACCUGUUAAAAAUAAAAGUUAUGAUAUUAUAUGAGGUUGGAAUUUGAAGUUCAUUUGCAACUUUUUUUCUUCCUCGUUAUUUUUUUAAUAUACGUAAAGUAUUUUUUUUUAAAAAAAAGACUUACUAAAAGAAUUGUCAUGAGAAGGUUUUAUUUUUAUUUUUUAAUAAUAAGUUAAAAUAAAUUUGAAAAAAAAAAUAAAUUAAUAUUUUUUAACAUUUUAUUUUAAUAUUUAAUUUUGUGCAUGGAUAUGUCAUAAGAUUAGGUUACGUACAUAUAGUACAUGUAAUUAUAAACACUAAGGGAAAGUAGCUCAGGUGCAAAGUUGUCACCUCCCUUCCUACAUGCACUUUCAAGUUUUUUUCAGCAAGCUGAUGUAGCCACUUACGAGAUAAGAUUACCAUAAAUUGCAAAAAAUUAGUGAUGAAUAAAAAAAAAAUAACAAAAUGUCAUGAUUAAUCAAGAUAGAUUAUCAAAAUUUCAACAAAAAAUCAUUGAGUGAAAUUCUUUCAUAAUUUCCUAUACCAGUAAUAUUUCGAAUAUAUUAAUCACGAUUUCCAAGUUUACAAGUUUACCAUAUCUACAAAUUAACAUGUUGAAGAAGUUCGAGAAUAAUUUUUAGAGGAUUAUAAAUGUCUUUUAUUAUUAAAUUUACUUUACAAAUAGCCACAUGUUUAAUUAAGAGUAUAUUCUAAUGGUGCUGAAAACAAAUUAAGACAGGCUUCAAAUCAAAUGUACUUUGCAAUAAAGACUUUAGUGAAUGCAACUUCAAAUGACCAAUAAUGCACGGUAGCAGUACAUUAAUUUUGACUUCAAGGCAUUAAUUCGUAUUUUAUCCAUUACACAACAGAAUAUAUAUAAAUAUCCUUAUAAAAAAUAUAUAUGAUAUUUAUAGGUAACAGCUUUCUUCUUAAGCAAAGCAGCCAAGUAAGACUACAAAAUCUAUACCAAACAGAAUAUCUACUAGGACAAAUUUGGAUAAUUAUUUCCAACACUUAAAUUGAUUGGGCUUAGGUUAAAGUAUUCUUCAACUCCUAGUCAGUUUUAGUUGGGCUCUUACCAAGGUUGUGACAUCUCGAAUCUAACCAAAAGUUUAUAUAAUAUUUAUAUAAUAAUUAUAAUUUAUAUUAUUAUGGACUCAUGCACAUUUUUCACAUGUGCCUACUCAAUGAGGAUACUCAUUUAUUAUGAAAAAUGAUUAUUUGAAAACCCUUUUUAGGUUUUUUAGAGUGAACAUUUAUUUAAAAAAAAAAAAAAAACACAAUAAGAAAAAAAGAAGAGAAAAACCUUAUAUAACUCCUUAUUUGAAAAAAAGAAAAAGAAAAAAGACAAGUUCAUAAACCAAGAUUGAGUUAAAAGUCAAAUUACCUACUGAGAAAAUACGACGAUAAGUCAUACAAAACAACCCUCUAAGCUUAUAUACCUAUAAUCUUUACUAAGCAAAUGAACUGAAUUAUGACGAUUAAAUAAUUGAUUAUGGAUACUCAAGAAAAGAAAAACACAAUUAUAAAACAAGUCAUGGUGUUUGUUAUGUUACAAAAAUGUAAAAAAACAAAUGAUAAGAGAAUUUGCAUAAGUUGAUUUACGAAACUAAUUAAAAACAUGGGUUUAAUUAUUUCUAAAUUCAAAGGAUUAAAAAAGUUAUUUCAAUUUGAUGAUUUCAAUCGAUUUUAAGUACAAAAGAAAGUUUUGAUUUCAUUUUUUUUUUAAAGAAAAAAAUGCUUCAAAUUAUUCUAUUUAUAAAGAAAUGAUUUUUAUUUACUUUUUCUUAAAAAAAAAAAAUAUAAUUUACACAAAUUUUAUUUACCUUAACAUUCCUUUUUGAUUUUUAUGCAAAAGAGAAUACUUUUAUAAUUUUUGCUACAACAUGAUUUUUACAAUUUUAUUUUAAAAGAAAGUAUCCAAAUCUAAUCUUAUGUGCAAGAGAAUCUUUUUACAAAUUAUUUAGGAAAAGGAUUUUUAAAAAUUUAUUUACAAUUUUAUUUAAAAAAAUAUUUACAAAUUACUUUAAAAAAGAUUUGUACAAAUUUAUUAACAAAAAAUAAAUAUUCAGAUCCAAUUUUAUUUACAGAAAAAAAAAGAUUUUUUUUUAUAGUUUUUAUUGAAAAUAAGACUUUUACAAUUUUAUUUAAUUAGUAUGAAAAUCCAAUGUCAUUUUAUUAAUACUAGAAAAAAUUUAUUAUUAUUUUUAUUAAGACAUGAUUUUUAAAAUGUCAUUUACAAAAAAAAAAAAAAAAAAAAAAAGUUUACAAUUUUAUUUUAAAAAAUAUUUUGCAAUUUUUUUAAAAAAAAUGGUUUCAAUGUUUUAUUUAAAACAAAUUGCUUUUUAGAUUUUAUUUUAAAAAAUGAUUUUCACAAGUUAAAAAAAAAUUAUAGUUUUAUUUUUUUACAAAAAAUAAUGAAUUUCCAAAUGUAUUUAAAAUUUAUUUAAAAAUGGAUUUUAUAGUUUUAUUUAGAAAAACACUUUAUUGUUUUAUUUCAAUCUUAUUGUUUAUUUUUUUCUUUAAAAAAAAAAGUUCAAAUUUCUCUCUCUUUCUCCCUCUCUCUGUCCAUACGCUCAUUAAUUUUGAUGUUAAGGUAUCAGCCCAAUUGACAUGAUUUAUACUGACUUAGUCUUUUGGUCUAAUAGGUAACUUAAUGUAAUAUAGGAGGUCAUGAAGGUGAACUGUGAACCUUACUGAUAUUACGCAAACCCUACCAUUUAUUUAUAAUAUUGUUGUCAUAAUAUUGAAAUAUGGGAAAUUUUAAUAGACCAGACAGACACCAAUAGACCAAAGCCACCAAGCAAGAAUUGAAGAAACCAGAAAGCGUUUGUUCCAAACAUAGUAUACUGUAGAACAUGAAACAGAAGCUAGAGUAUACUAUCUUUAUUUGUGUCACAUAUAUCUCCACUCUCAUAUUGGCACAAGGUCUAUGAGCAGCAUUGAAAUAUUAUUUUUUGUCACUUCUCCAGGAUGUGUGAAUAUAUCAUUGUGGCUCUUGUACAUCACAUCUCCUGAUCGAGCAAAAUUGAGAAGACGACUAAGGAGAAGCAUUGGAACUGCAGUAGGUCUGAGGCACUCUUCAUUUAUAUCCUUCCAUGCAUUCUCGAUUUGUUUGUGAAACUCAUCAUAUGCUUGCUGCUCCGACACACCAUGUUGCUUCAUGUAACAUUCGAUGCUUGAUGCAAUAUGCUCUCCCUCUUGCUCAAAUUGCAGAAAUAGAUAGUAAUAGAAGGUGUUAAAAAGAAAUUGAUAUACAUUAGAUUUUCUUUAUCUUUAAGGGAUUGAUAUCCAAGUAUCAGUAGAAAGUGUUGUUUCAUUGUACCUUGUGGGAAGCCAUGUCAUCCAUGAGCCUAAUGAUUAUGUAGGUAGCUCUAACAAUCUUAGGGUUUUGUAGCAGCCAAUCAAAGACUUCCUUGGUUGCAGUCUCUCUCAUGCCAAUAAAAGACAUGAUUGUUAAUCUUCAAAUUGAUAAAUGGUAGUUUUUUCAUUCAUUCUUUCAUUCAUUCAUGUACAGAAUAUAUAUAGAGGGUAAUCACCAUUCUAAGAAUGUGAAAGAAUGAUACAAGGAAAUAAUGAUAUAAGGAAAUAACAACUAAUAUCCUAAUAUCUCAACAUUCUUAAUAUCUCUACUUUCCUAAUAUCUAAACAUUCCUAAUAUCUCAACACUGAAUGAUAUAAGAAAAGAAUGAUAUAAGGAAAACAUUCAUAAUAUCUCAACACUCCCCCUCAAGUUGGUGCAUAGAUGUCACACAUGCCCAACUUGUCUAAAAAAUUUGAGAACACUUGAUUUGAGACAGCUUUGGUGAGGACAUCGGCCAAUUGAUCUUUUGAUCAAAUCUUACGCAAUUCCACAAUCUUAUCAUCCAACUUUUCCUUAAUGAAAAAUCUAUCCACAUCGACAUGCUUUAUACGAUCAUGUUGUACUGGAUUAUGAGCAAUGUCACAUGCGACUUUAUUGUCACAAAACAAUCGGAUUGGUUGCCUAGAUAGGUAACCUAAAUCUUGUAAGAGGAGUCUUAGCCAUAAUGCCUCACAAAGUCCUAGAGCCAUACCUUUAAAUUCCGUUUCUACACUUAAACAAGCGACGACAUUCUGUUUCUUACUUUUCCAUGUCACAAGAUUACCACCUACAAAGGUAAAGUAACCAGAUAUAGAUCGCCUAUCAUCCACUGCACCGGCCCAAUCAGCAUUAAUAUAUACUUCUAUACUCUGAUGAUCAACAUUUUUAGCGAACAAAAUUCCCCUCCUAGGAGCAUUCUUCAAAUACCUCAAAAUACGCAUGACUGCAUUCAUAUGUUGCUCUCCAGGAUUAUGCAUGUAUUGACUCACUACACUCAAUGCAUAAGCAAGAUCUAGUAUUGUAUGAGCUAAGUACAUUAAUCUCCCCACAAGUCUCUGGUAUCUUCCCUUAUCGGUUGAUACUUGAUUAGGCUCAACACAUAAUUUCAGACCUUCUUCUAUUGGUGUAUUAAUAAGUUGACAUCCCGACAUUCUAGUCUCCUGUAAAAGAUCUAAAACAUACUUUCUUUGAGACAGAAAAAUUCCUUCACUUAAUCGAGAAACUUCAAUCCCAAGAAAGUAUUUCAGAGAACCUAAAUCUUUCAUUUCGAAUUCUAUAGAUAGAUAAUUUUGCAGAGCUUUUCUUUCUUUAGGAUCAUUUCCUUUAACUACCAUGUCAUCCACAUAUACAAUGAGUGUCAUAAUCUUACCAUGUUGCUUUUUCAGGAACAAAGUGUGAUUUGAAUUACUUUGACGAUAGCUAAAAGCUCUCAUUAACUUUGUGAACCUUCCAAACCAUGCUCUCGGGGAUUGCUUCAACCCAUACAAUAACUUCUUCAAUUUGCACACCUUCUGACAUUGCUUUUCUGACACCAUGCAUCCUGGUGGAAGAUCCAUAUAUACUUCUUCAGAUCACUCGCCAUACAGAAAGGCAUUUUUGAUAUCGAACUGUUGUAAUGGCCAAUCUAGGUUUGCAGCUAAAGACAGUAAUACUCGAACUGUGUUGAUCUUAGCUACAGGUGCAAAUGCCUCUGUGUAGUCAAUUCCAUAAAUUUGAGUGUACCCUUUUGCUACUAAUCUUGCUUUAUCGUUCAAUACUACCAUCUGCCUUGUACUUCACAGUAUAGAUCCAACGACACCUAACUGGUUUCUUUCCUGGUGGACAUUCUACAAGGUCCCUUGUUUCAUUCUUCUGCAAUGAUUUCAUCUCUUCAUUCAUGACUGCUUUCCACCUUGGAUUAGCUAAGGCUUCCUGCACACUGUUAGGAAUAGCUACAGUAGAUAAUUGAUUUACAAAUGACUUAUUUGAUUCAGACAAAUGAUGGUUAGACACAUAGUUGCUCAUGGGAUAUUUGACUUUGGUAGACAAUUUAGGUUCAUAUGUGGGUUUAGGAAUACCUCUAUUAUGACGGUAUGGUAACCGUUUCAUGAAUAGAUCAGGUUCCAAAUUAAGAACACCCUCAACAGACGAUGAUUGGUUUGGUAUUUCAGUGAAGACAUCUUCGGACCCAAAUUGUUGACCACUCAUAUCCAACUCACCCGCUUCCUGGUUCACUAGUUCAGAUUGUCCAGAUUCAUCCUCCUCAGAGAUAUGAUAAUCAUAAUUGAGAGUUUGAAUUUCCUUAUGGUACUCCCCCUGAAGUUCAGACUCAGAUGAAAAAUGCAUCAAAUCUUCAUGAAACACCGCAUCCAUUGUAAUAUACAUUCAUUGAGUUGGAGGAUGAUAACAUCAAUAUCCCUUUUUGUGUAAUGCAUAUCCAACAAACACACAUUGCAAUGCAUGGGAAGUUAACUUGGUGCAUUGGUGUUUGUGUAGAUGCACAAAUGCCACGCAACCAAAAACACGAGGAGGUAGAUUUGGGGUAGUUGGGACAACUACGACAUUAGUAAGAGCUUGGAGAGGUGUUUGGAAGUUAAUUGAGCUGGAAGGAAGUCGAUUGAUCAACUAUGCAGCAGAUGUGAUUGCUUCUCCCCAAUAAGAUAUCGAUGUUUUUGCUGCUAUCAAGUAAGCACAGACAACCUCUAACAAGUGCCGAUUUUUUCGUUCAGCACAACCUAAGCCUUACUCUUUCAAGGGAAUGUUCCUAAGUCCUAUUGGGGAGAAGUUGUUCUUACUACCACAUACAUGAUAAAUAGAAUUCCGUCACGAGUUUUAGACAACAAAAGCCUCGUAGAGAUACUUAAGAGUUUCUAUCCACACUUCAGAACCUCAAAUGGGCUCACUCCUAGGGUAUUUGGGUGCACUGCAUUUGUUCAUGUCCACAGCCAACAUAGAGACAAGCUAGACCCCCGAGUCAUAAAAAUUGUCUUUCUUGGUUACUCAUCCACUCAAAAAGGAUACAAGUGUUACAAUCCCACAACAAAAAUUUUUUACAUCUCUGCAGAUGUCACCUUCACAGAAAAUAAACCUUUUUUCCCAAAGUCCUAUUUUUAGGGGGAGAUUUCAAUGAUAGAAGAUAGUCCUGAGUCCUUUGAACCUCUUGACCUUCCUCAUGUCUCAACCCAUGGUGAUGAAAUACCUAAGUCAUCCGAGUCAAUCACACUUGAGUCACCCAAUUUUACCACUAAACCCGUGUCAUCUAAUGUUCCAGCCAGUGUCACUCACAAUUUUCCAUAGUUUCCUAAGGUGUAUUCAAGGGAAAAGGCCAUUCCAGAACAAAAGUAUGUCCAAAAAUCCAACUUAGACCCUGGGAAUGAAAUCACGCUAAGAUCAGACCCACCUUUACAUACACAACCUGGUGAAACUUCUACUAACUCAACCUAGACCUAGACCUUCCCAUUGCUAUCAGAAAAGGCACCAGAGAAUGCACUAAUUGACCACUCUAUCCACUAUCACACUAUGUGUCUCUUAAGCACCUAUCACUAGCCCACAAAAAUUUAAUUGUGAGUCUAAACACCACUAUCAUCCCUAACACUGUUUCUAAGGCAUUGACAAAAAGGGAAUGAAAUGAUGCUAUGAGAGAGGAGAUGAGUGCCUUAGAAAAGAAUAAAACAUGGGAGAUUGUUGAAAGACCGAAAGGGAAAAACAUUGUUGAUUGCAAGUGGAUUUUCACACUGAAAUAUAAGACUGAUGGAUCUCUUGAGAGACAUAAAGCAAGAUUAGUAGCCAAAGGGUACACUCAAACUUAUGGAGUAGAUUAUCAGGAGACUUUUGCUCCAGUUGCAAAAAUAAAUGCUAUAAGAAUCCUACUGUCAUUGGCUGCCCACUACAAUUUGGAACUCCUAUAGUAUGAUGUUAAGAAUGCAUUUCUUCAUGAUGAUUUAGAUGAAGAGAUUUACAUGAACAUCCCCCCGAGAUUUGAGGGAAACACGGGUAAUAAGGUGUGCAAGCUAAAAAAGGCCCUUUAUGGGCUAAAACAAUCUCCUAGGGCUUGGUUUGGGAGAUUUGCAAAAGUCAUGAAAGAGUCUGGGUACAAACAAAGCCAAGGUGACCACACUCUCUUCAUUAAGCACUCGGUUGCAGGGGGAGUAACUGCUCUUCUAGUCUAUGUUGAUGACAUCAUAGUGACUGGAAAUGAUGAGAGAGAAAAACAUGAAGUGAAGCAGAGAUUAGCAAUAAAGUUUGAAAUAAAGGAACUAGGGAAACUAAAGUACUUCCUUGGUAUUGAGGUGGCAUAUUCCACACAAGGGAUCUUCAUCUCUCAACAAAAAGUAUGUGAAUGAUUUAUUGGCAGAAACAGGGAAGAUUGGGUGUAAACCAGUGUCUACCCCAAUGGAUCCAAACCACAAGUUGGGAGAAGCUAAAGAAGAACUAGUGGUGGAUAAAGAAUGUACCAGAGGCUGGUUGGUAGGCUCAUAUACCUUGUUCACACUUGGCCAGACAUCGCCUACUCGGUGAGCAUGAUCAGUCAAUUCAUGCAUGCUACAAGAGAACCUCAUCUUCAAGCUGCUUAUAGGGUGCUGCAUUACUUGAAAGGCAACCUCGGGAAAGGAAUUUUGUUCAAGAAGAACAAUACUCUUGCUCUAGAGUAUACACUGACGCUGACUAUGCAAGUUCCUUAGUGGAUCGAAGAUCAACUACAGGGUAUUGUACUUUUCUUGGAGGUAAUUAGGUAACAUGGAGAAGUAAAAAGUAGAAUGUGGUAGCAAAAUCGUCUGUAGAAUCAAAGUUUAGGGUCAUUGCUCAAGGGUUGUGUGAACUACUUUGGCUGAAGAUUAUUCUAGAUGAUUUGAGAAUCAAGUGGGAUGGUCCUAUGAAACUCUAUUGUGAUAACAAGUCAACUAUCAAUAUUGCUCAUAACCCUAUACUACACGAUAGGACAAAACAAAAUAAGAUCGAUAGGCAUUUCAUCAAAGAAAAAUUGGAGAAAGGAGUAGUGUGUAUGUCCUAUGUUGCAUCAGAACAUCAAUUAGUUGAUAUCCUAACAAAAGGGCUGAACAGUUCAAUGUUUCACAGUCUUGUAUUCAAGCUGGGAAUGGAAGACAUCUAUUCCUCAGCUUGAGGGGGAGUGUUGAGCUAUAAAUAGAUAGGAGAAUUAUUUUCCUAUUAUGUUAGUUUCCUAUUUAUGUAAAUAGAUAGUUUUAUUAGUUUCCUAAUUCUGUAAAUAGAUAGUUUUAUUAGUUUUCUAUUUCUAUAAAUAGAUAGUUUUAUGAUUUAGGAAUAAAUUAGUUUUCUAUUAUGUCUCUUGUUUUCUAUUUCUUCUCUUGUAAUCUUCUAUAUAAACUGUGUGUAUGGUCAAUCUAAGAGACAAAAAUUAUUAUUUUCCAUCCCAUAUUUCGUAUCAAGAUGCAUGCCAUAAAAAUGGUAAGAUGAACAACAACAAGCCAAGCAACAAAAAAAAAAAAAAAAUGGAGUUUUUCCACCUUGUCCUCAUUGCAAGAAGACAAAUCAUUCUCCACAAAAAUGUUGGUGGAGACCAGAUGUGAAAUGCAACAAGUGUGGUAAACAAGGACAUGUGAAGAGGAUUUGCAAAAAUCAACAACAAAAAGAAACUAGUGCAACAAUUGACUAUUGUCAAGAGGAGCAAUUAUUUGCAGCAACGUGUUUUGCUAAUAAAAGCACCUCUGAAAGCUAGCUUGUGGAUAGUAGUUGUACAAACCACAUGACAAAUAAUCAAGAUCUCUUUAGAGAACUUGAUAGAACAACUAUUUCCAAAGUCAGAAUUGGAAAUGGUGAGUAUAUUCCAGUUAAGGGCAAAUGAACGGUUGCUAUCAAAAGCCAAAUAGGUUUGAAACUCAUUUAUGAUGUUUUGUUUAUGCUUGACGUUGACCAAAACUUACUCAGUGUUGGACAGCUCGUUGAGAAAUGAUUUAAAGUUUAUUUUGAAGAUAGGAAUUGCAUUAUCAAGGAUGUUGAAGGCAAAGAGGUGUUUAACAUAAAAAUGAAGGGCACGAGUUUUGCCUUGAAUUUACUAUAAGAUGAGCAUGCUGCUAUUUUACAACAAUAUAGCACAACAAUGCUUUGGCACAGAAGGCUUGGGCACUUUCAUCAUGAUGUUGUGCUCUACAUGAAGAAAAAUAAAAUAGCUGAAAGACUUCCCGACUUAGAAAAAGAUCUUCCUAUAACUGCUACUUGUCAAUAUGGGAAGCAAACUAAACUUUCCUUUCCAAAGAAAACAUCCUAGAGAGCAACCCAAAAAUUGCAACUAGUGCAUACUGAUAUUGGUGGACCUCAAAAGACGUCAUCCUUGAAAGGGAAUGUAGGCAUUGUUCACCAGCUCACUGCACCAUAUAAUCCACAACAAAAUGGAGUCGUAAAGAGAAAAAAUAGAACGAUUUUGGAGAUAACAAAAUGCCUUCUGCAUGAAAAAGAUCUACCUAAAGUUUUUUGGGCUGAAGCUACAAGUACAGUAGUAUAUUUGCUUAACAAAUUGCCAACAAAAACGUUAAAGAAGCAGACCCCUUUUGAAGUUUGGUUUGAGUUUCUACGUGGAAGACUUGGAGUUUGCAUCUACUAAGUCAAGAAGGAGUGUUGAAUUUUGACCUAGUAUCUACUAGAAUUUGAAUUUUGAAGUUAAAUAUUGCAGUUGGAGUCUUGCACAAAAUCUAUAACAUCCAAAUAUUUUCUUGUUUUUAUUUGGUCAAGAUUUGGUUUCUAUUUUAUAGGAAGUAGUUGUUCAUCAUCUAGUAGCUUGAUUUUAUGCUAUUCUAAUGUCAUUUCAGUUACAAGCUCAUGUAUAAAUUCAACACUCUUCAUCAAUAAAAUGUGUGUUCCAGCAACCCAAAAUAUAUAUUCUGCAUAAGUGUUUAAAUCUUAGACCAACACAUCCUCGUCACUAGUAGUUGUGCCUCUCAGGUUACCUUUUUUAUCUCUCAGCUCAGCUCCACCUUUGCUCUUCAUGAUCUUGGUUCCCUUUACUAUUUCUUUGGCAUUGGGGUUUCUCAUAGUACUGAUUCUCUUCAUCUCUGCCAACAAAAAUAUGUGAAUGACCUGCUCACUCGUACUGCCAUAACUGAUGCUAAACUUGUUCUUACAUUGGGUUCCUUGGCCAAACCUCUCUCUCUCACUGACGGUGAUCUACUUCAUAUCAUAACAUUGUUGGCGCAUUACAGUAUGUUACUGUUACAUGUCCAAACCUUUCUUUUGCAGUUAACAAGGUAUGCCAGUUUAUGGCUUCCCAACGACUACCCACUAGCUAGCUUUCAAGAAUAUAAAAAGUAGUUAAAAAUAAAAUAAAAAUAUAGACUUAAAAUAAAAAAUAAAUUAAAAAUGAAUAAUUAAAAAUUUUAAAAAUGAUAAAUAUUUUUUUUUUUUUUAAAGUUUUCAAAAAAAUCUCAGAUAUUUUCAGAUAUAUCGGCAAUGUAUCCGAUAUAUCUCUAAUAUUUUGAUAGACUUCCUCUAUUGCUUUGUGCGUCACUUCACACUCGAUUUUUUCGCCGAUUUAUCGAUUUCAAAUUAACCGAAAUAUCAACAUAUUUCGGGGAUUUUUCUGAUAUUCCUCCGUUCAAUAAUGUUGCUUAAUAUCCUUUUAGGGUAGUCCGAUAUCCGAUAUAUUGGCGAAAUAUCACCGAUAAAAACCGAUUUUUCAAUCCAUGCUUAAUAGUGGGUUUCCCUUUUGUUUGGCCUCUUGUAGACCCCCAUUUUGGGGCUCGGUUUUUUUUAUCUCUAUUUUCUUUGUAGGUGUCACCACCCCAGGGAGCCAUGCGUCGCCUCUUUGGUGGUUGAUAGGGAAUCAACAUUGCUUUUCGGGGACCUAUGGUAGGUUGACACGUGGAAGAAUAUUCUGGAGAGCUAAUUUCCGUUAUGGGGGAGCAUAUGAGAGAGGAUAUUCUGCAGGCAUUUUGAUUCUCACAUGUGCAUGAUCACUUUGAGUAUUCAUUGAUUUCCGCAUCAAUUGUCACAUCAGCUUCAUUUUAUUUGUAGAGACCCGACUUUAGGGACUUAGAGGGGUGCUACGGUCUUUACCGUACCUUCCCGAUAAGUAAUCUGACCCCCGAGCUCAAUCCAGUUUUUCACGGACCACCUUUUCCAAAUAAGGAGUCACACUUAGGGUUUUCUUUCUUAUUUUAUUUACCCUUUAAAAAUAAAACAAAAUUAAGUGGCGACUCCAAGUCAUUUUUCUUAAUCAGUAAAAUCAUUUUCAAAAUAAAAAUUGAGCUCGCCAUCGAGUGAAAAACGCAUUAGCUGAAAUGCGGGGUCCACACCUCUGUUUUUUUUAUAAAAAAAAAAAAAAAUCCUUUCCCAUUCUAUGGCCUUGAGUGAGCAUUACGUAUUUCAACUAUUUUGACAUGUUCAAAAUAAAAUACUAAGAAUUUAAAGGGAAUUUGUUCGACAAGUACUUUUUUUUUAACAUAUUUAUUUAUACAUUAUUUAGUUUAGGUUGCAUUAUUCUAUGUAAAUAAUUUAUUGGGUAUGGGAAUUAUUUUUAUAAAUGGCUGAGUAGAUUCAAUUUUAGAUAUUUAUUUAUUGAUCAUGAAAAAUAUUUAUUAAAACAUGGUUUAACAACCAUGCGAUGGAAUCAACCUAUUAAAAAAAAUAAACUAAUACUAUAUUAUUUUAACUUAAAUUAUUUCUUGAUGGUAGCAAUGUUGAAAAAACAAAUAUCAAUAAAGACUAAUCUUAACGAGAAAAUAGUAAUUAACAUAAUUUUAUAUUAACUUGUAAAAUUGGGUCAACAUAUAAAUAUAUUAAUUGUAACAAGAAGACCUACAUUGAUAAUGAAACGUCAAUAUUAGUCUAUAUUGCCAACUUUGAAAUAUUAAUAUAUGUAUAUAGCAUAUGUUUUCAUGAUUAGGAAUUAGAGAAAAUUUUGUAGAAGAUUUUUCCAAAUUUGAAAAUAACUAUGGAAGAAAUUCAACUUAAACACGUUUCUUUGUGGAAGAGUUGCAUGUCUACUCAAGUCUCAGCAUGUUCCCUAGCCCAAAUUUCUAAACCCAAAAAUCACCCUGUGGCAAGCUUGAAGGUAAUUCAAUGAAAAUAUGCUUAAAGCUCAACGGCUAAUUUACUUAUUUGGAAGUCAUUUUUCUCUAUGUGUUGGAUGAUAAAAUUUGUUGGUCUAGGUUACACGUUCCUGCAAAGAAGAGCAGACGGAGGAUCUGAAAAAUGAAUUGAAACUGGAAUUAAUACGUAGUGUUAUUAUAUAUCGAUGGAAAUUAGUUUAAAGUUGGAUAUAUUAAUACUUAGGAUGUUUGGUAAAACUUAAUACUUAUUAUUUAAUUAUUUGAGUUGACUUUAAAUUAAAUUAUACUUAAAUUACUUACUUAAAACUUAUUACUUUAAGUAUUAAGAUAUAAAAUUAACUUAAAGUUUAUUUAAAAUCAUUAAGUUGACAUAUUUAUUCUUAUAAAUUAUAAUUAGAAUAGAAAAAGUUGAGUUUAUAGAGUUGUAAAAGAGAUCAUGAAGGUAAUUAAGACAAAUAAAGAUAAAAAGAUAAAAUGAAAAUAUAAAAUUAAAAAUAAAUUAAUUAUUUUUACUUAUUAUUUAAAGUUAUUUUUUUUACUUUAAAUCAUAUUAUCAAGUUAUUUUAUUAAAUAUGCUUAAUUUACUUAAUGACUUAAAUUAAGUUAUUAAAUUAUUUUAAGUUAUUAAGUUGAUUUAUCAAAUUUCUACUUAUUGAAUACAAAUAUAGAAGGAAAUUAGGAAAGCAAAGUAGAUGGGUUAUUAGGUGAAAGCUUAUCAAAUCCGCCUAUCAACAUAUCACACUUUUACCAAAAACCCACCUCAUGCCAAGCCUAUAAGUUGUCAAGUCCUUAUGAUCCAACAACUUUCUUAUGGUUCCCACACGGAUUUCUAUUGUUAUCAAAACAAAAAGUUUAUAAUAAAAUAUAUAUAUAUAUAUAUAUAUAUAUAUAUAUAUAUAUAUAUAUUAUAAUUCAUAAAUAAUCUGACAAUUAAAUAAAAAGAUAAACUCAUUUGUGGAAUAUAAUUAAUAAAAAAAAAAGAGAAGUGUUAAGAGUUUUAAAUUAUUAUUAUUUUAUAUUUUUUAUAUUUUAAAUAAAUAUAAUUAAAAUAAUGGAUAAAAAAUGUGCACUUUGUACCUUCAACCUAUAAGAGUUGUAAUAUUUUCAAGUUGGUAUUCUUUAACAUAAGUCAAAUUCUAACUUAUUCAACUUUGACAAUUUUAACCUAAUCCUCAUAUUGGUACAAAUUAGACUAUUCUACCUUAUUUAAGUUUUAGUCCUAAAAAAAUCAUGAGAAUUAUGGACCGAAUGAUGUAUAUUAAAUUUCUAAGAUUCAUAUUUUAAAAUUAAUAAAAUUGAAGUAUUUUCCUUCUGGAGAUUAUUUAUUAUGAUUUAUCUUUACUUUAAUUAAUUAAUUAAUAUAUAUAUAUAUAUAUAUAUAUAUAUUUCAUUGGUAGAAUUGUCCUUAAUGGCCUUUGUACAUAGAGUACAUUCCUGGUCAUAAGAAUACGUGUCAAAUAUAAAUAUGCUUUUCAAAUUUAAUCAUUCUUAUUAUAAGUUUAUUAUUAUUAUUAUUAUUUUAUUAUAUACCUUGUAAAAAUAAAAGUUAUGAUCUUACGUAAGGUCGCAAUUUGAAGUUCAAGUUCAUUAAACUGUGCAGAGUUUAGCUUUCUAUAUAUAUAUAUAAAGAAUCAAUUCCAUCAAUUCAUUAUUUUUUAAGAAUUGAAAAUUACAUAAAUAUUGAUGGUUAUAUUUUACAAAAACAUUGAAACAAAACAAUAAUAUAUUAUUAAAGUUGUUUUACUAAAUAAAAUAAUAUAAUCAUCGUUAUAUAUAUUCUUGUACUUUGUUUAUUAACAAUUUUAUUAUAUUUUCAUUUUAACUUAAGAUAAAGACAAAGGGUUGAAUUGAAAAUUUUAAUUUGCAUAAUUUAAUUAAUUUGAAAAGAAUUUUAAAUUGAGAAUUUGAAAAACAAAUUCCAAAUAAUAAAAAUAAUUUGGAAAUGAAUUUUAAAUUAAGGAUUUAAAAUUUAAAAUUUGCAAAAGGAAAUUUUUUAUAAAUCUUUUCUAAUUUUAAAUAUGAAAUAUUUCCAAAUCUUUUUAAAACUCUUAAGUUUCUAAAUUGUUUUUCAUAAAAUAUAAUCUUUAAAUUAAUUGCAACUAUAUAAAGUUUUCUCCUAUAUAUAUCCUACCUAAAUGUAUAUUUGAUGACGGUCUGACUUGUUUUUCUAUUCUUAAUCUCUAAAGAAAGAAUUCAUUACAAGUACCUACAUCCCCUCAGAAGCUUAGAGGAGUUAGAGCAUUUGGAGGUACUACAUUGUGGAUGUGGAUUAAGGUGUAGGUUCUAGCUAGUGAAUCAUUAAGGUAAAACGGUUAUUAAAUAUGUGUACUUUAAUUUCAAAUAGUGGAUUAUAAAUUAGAGGUUUUAAAUCUUGUGAUUUUUUAUGCCCACAAUUAGCAUUGAUAUUUUCAAAUUAAAAUUUCUUGUGUCCCUUAUUUGAUUAUUUUUAUUAUUUUGAUUAUCCCUAUUAUCUCUUAGUUUAAAUUGAGUUAAUAUUAUUUAACUCUUAUAUUAUUUUCUUUAAAAAUCACCCCACUCUCAAUGUCAUCCUCUUGGACAAAAGCGUGUAUAUAUAUAUAUAUAAUUCACAAAUCUUGAAAAUAUAUUUAAUAUUAAAAUAUCAUUCCAUGUAAUUUGGAAGUAUUCAAAGAUGUAAAAGAUAUGAUAAUAUAUGUAUAAUUAUUUUUUAUUUAAAAAUAUUAAUAAUUACAUUUGCAACUUUAUUUUGUCCUCAUUAUUUAAUUAAUAUACAAAAAGAUAUGGGAAUAGAAUUAUCAAAAGAAUUGUCAUAAUAAAGCUUUAUAUUCUUCAUAAUAAGUUAAAUUAAGGUGAUAUUUAUUUAUUUUACUUAAAUCUAAAUAAAAAUUAAUUUAACUUAAUUGUAAAUAUAACUUAAUAGAAUUAAUUAUUAUAUUUUUUUGUUUUUUAUAAUUUUAUUUUUGUUAAGCGUUAAAUAUUAAUUGGGUGAGAGUCCUACUAAGGUUGUGCUUUGACUUAUUCAAAAAAUUAUUUUUAGUAAUGAGCAAAAAGUUAAAUAUUUUACUUUUAUCUAUUCAUUAAAAAAAUCUUAAAAAUUAAUUUUUUUUUUGUUUUAUUUAAAAUAGUGAAUGGAGUUUGAGUCGAAUUUUAAUUAUUUGGUAAAAUAAUAAAAUUAGUUUUUUAUUUAAAAGAAAAAAUAAAGGUAAGUCAAAGAUAUAAAGAUAAUUAUUUUAUUUUAAAUAAGAAAGAUUCAAAUAAAUAAAAAAAGAAAAAGUUAAUGAGCUACAAAUUUUAGGAUUAAUUGAUUAAAAUGGGUGAAAAUAUCUCAAAUUUGUAAAACUAAUCUCUUCCAUUUUUUAACUUAAAGAGUAACACUUGUUUGACAUAAAUACCCUUCAACAUUUUCAUUAUUUACAUAUGUAUUUUAAAAGAAAAUGUAAUUUUUGUAAGAAAAAAGUGAGAGUAUUCUUAUGUAUUUUUUGGAUGAAAAAAAAUGGUUUGCAAUUUGAUAUUUCUUUUGUCCUUUUUAAUCGGUUAUCCCCAAAUUUUUUUUACGGAAAAUACAAAUUCUAAAAAUAUUUGGUUUUAUUGCUAUUUUUAAAUUUAAAUAUAUUUUUACCUUAAUUAUAUUUUUAUUUCAAAAUAAUUGAUGAUGAUUUAGUUGAAUUCUAACAUUUAAUGGAGUUUUAGUUGAAUUCUAACACUAUAAUAUAAAGUGACCCGAUAAAAUUAUAAAAUCAAUUUUAUUUAAAAAUAAAUAAAGUUGAGUUAAAAAUAGUAUUAAAUAAAUUAAAUUUUAAAAAUAAAAUUUAAUAGUUUUACCUUAAAUAAAAAAUAUUAAAAGAAAAAAUAAUUAGAUAGAUAGGCUUUAAAUUUUAUUAAGAGAAACAUAAAUUUUUUUUUUUAAAAUUGUUUUUAUUUAUUUUCAAUUUUAAAAUUUUAUUUCUAUUUUUUAUUUAAAUGUAUUUUCAAAUUUUAUCUAAAAAUAGUUAAUAGAGUUUUGGUUGAAUUUUAAGACUAUAAGAUAAGCGAAUAGUUGAAAUUAUAAAAUGAAAUUUUUUAUUAAAAUGAAAAGAAAGUUAAGUUAAAGAUACUAUAAAUUAUGAUUAGAAGAAUGAAAAUCAAUAUAAAAAAAAAAAUGGUUUUAUCUUAAAUUAGAAAUAUUUAAAAAAAAAAAGAAUAAUGUAUUGAAAAAUAUAACUUUGUGGUAGAAGAGCAAUGACUAUGCUCUUUUGAAUACCCUAGUUUAUGUUCAUUUUUUAAAAUUUAAAAAGAAUAAACAUCUUUUAGAUAUUAACAAAAAUAAAUUUAAAUAGAUUCUUUAACAUAAAACCUAAAAAACAUUUGUUGUUGGCCAAAAAAUCCAACUAUGAGCCCUUUUAUGACAAGUGAAACUUCCAAAUCUUCUGAAGAGUUUUUUAUCUUAGUAUUAAAAUCUAAAAGCAGAAUAUUUAUACUAUGAGUUGUCUUUUUAACAACUAAUUUAUUUUAUUAAAUGUAAUAAUAUACAUUAAUAUGUUGUAAAUGAAAAGUAAUGAAUGACCACAUUGAUGGCCAUUAUGAACUCCAUUUACUCAUCUUUAAGAUGAGUAAUGGGAGUUCAUAUUAUGAAGCCUAUAAAAGGCUUCUUACCCCCCCAUGUAAAAGGAUCCCGAGAAAAGAAAGAAAGUUCUUCCUCUCAUUCUCUCUCUCUCUCUUUCUUUCACUUUCUCGAUUCUCUUAUUUGAUUCCUUCUUCCAUAUUAUAUAUCAAAGUAAGAUAUAUUUUAUCUCUACUACUUUGAUUUGCAUUAUAUUUGUCCUUGUUUUACAACACGUUAUCAGCACGAAUUGCUCUGAAGGUAAUUCUCGUAUCUUAAACUUGAAGUUAUUUAUAUAAAAUAAAAUUUUACAUAUUUAUAUUAUUGUUGAUUUGUUUUGUUACAUAUUGUUAAAAGUUAUAAACAAAUUAUUUGAUUUUGUUUAUAAUCAAAGUUAUACCAAUGCUAUCAAGUUAUUAUAACUGAUUUUAAUAAUAUUGUUUUGUCAUAUAUAUGAAGUUAUUUGACAAUGUCGAAUAUUACAAAACUCGAAUUUGUGGCACUUGACAUUUCGGGAAAGAACUAUCUAUCUUGGAUCCUUGAUGCUGAAUUACAUCUUGAUGCAAUGAACCUUGGAGCUACGAUCAAACAAGGAAAUCAAGCAUCCCUGCAGGAUCGCGCAAAAGCAUUGAUUUUCCUUCAUCAUCACCUCCAUGAAGGUUUAAAAAAUGAGUAUCUUACGGUAAAGGACCCUUUUACUCUAUGGAGUAAUUUGAAAGAAAGAUAUGACCACUAGAAAACUGUGAUUCUCCCAAAAGCUCGAUAUGAUUGGAUGCACCUAAGGUUGCAAGAUUUUAAAACUGUUAGUGAAUACAACUCUGCACUUUUCAAAAUCAGCUCUCAAUUAAAGCUGUGUGGAGAAAAAAUCACAGAGGAAGACAUGUUAGAGAAAACUUUUACUACGUUUCAUGCCUCGAAUGUGCUCCUGCAGCAGUAAUAUCGAGAGCGUAGAUUUACAAAAUAUUCUGAAUUAAUAUCAUGUCUUCUUGUUGCUGAACAAAAUAAUGAGCUUUUGAUGAGAAAUCACCAGUCUCGUCCAACUGGAUCUGAACCAUUCCCUGAAGUGAAUGCAAUAUCGUCCCAAACUCGUGGACGUGGACGAGGACGAGGACGUGGUCGUGGUCAUGGAAGAAAUCCUCGAUACCAUGGUUCUUAUAGUAAUAAUUCUCAUAAAAUGAAAGCCUCAUUGCACCACCAGAAGUGGAACAAUACUGAGACAAUACAAGAAAAUGGGAAGCGUUUACAAGAUAAACCUCCUAAGAACCAUGAGAAUAAUUGUUAUAUAUGUGGUAUGAAGGGGCAUUGGUCGCGUACCUGUCGUACGCCCAAACAUUUGGUCGACCUUUACCAAGCAUCAAUAAAAGCUAAAGGAAAAGAGAUAGAGAUGAACUUUACCGAUGGUGAUGGAUUGGACCUAACCUACUAUGACAUUGAUUUCUUUGGAGGUCCCAAUGAAAAACCAGACCAUUUGAUAAAUGAUGAAAAAAUUAACAUUGAUUGAUGUUACUCUAUAUAUACAAUAAUAUAUUAUUAUGUCUUAUAUUUACAUCUGAUUUACUUUGUUAUUUACAUUAUGCCUUUUUUUUUGUUAUAUCUGAAAUCCAUGUGUUAUUUGGUCUCAAGAUGAAUGAGGAUGAUGUAUGUCUCGCAGACUGUGCGACCACGCACACAAUUCUUCAAGAUAAAAGAUAUUUCCUUGAAUUGACAUUAAUAAAAGCUAAUGUAAGUACCAUAUCUGGUACUACAAACUUAGUUGAAGGCUCUGGAAGAGCAAACAUAACAUUGCCAAAUGGAACUAGAUUCCAUAUAAAUGACGCGUUAUAUUCUAGCAAAUCCAGAAGAAAUUUGCUCAGUUUUAAAGAUAUCCGCAGAAAUGGAUAUCAUAUUGAAACUAUGAAUGAAGAUAAUGUAGAAUAUCUUUACAUUACUUCCAUUAUAUCUGGCCAGAAGCUUAUAAUGGAAAAAUUGCCGGCUUUUUCCUCUGGGUUGUAUCAUACAACUAUAAAGCCUAUUGAAUCAUAUGUUGUCGUGAACCAGAAGUUCAACGACCCAAAAGUUUUUGUCCUUUGNNNNNNNNNNNNNNNNNNNNNNNUGGUCACAUGUUUGUCUCCUUUCUACACGUAACGUAGCCUUUGCUAGACUCCUUGCACAAAUAAUCAGAUUACGAGCACAAUUUCCAGAUUAUCCAAUUAAGACAAUACGUCUUGAUAAUGCUGGCGAAUUUACUUCUCAAACAUUCAUUAACUAUUGCAUGUCAGUAGGGAUAAAUAUUGAGCAUCCUGUUGCUCAUACUCAUACCCAGAAUGGUUUAGCAGAAUCCUUCAUCAAACGUCUCCAAUUAAUAGCUCGACCAUUACUAAUGAAAACCAAAUUACCUACUUCCGCCUAGGGACAUGCUAUUAUGCAUGCUGCAGCUUUAGUCCGUAUUCGACCUUCAACUUACCAUGAAUACUCCCCUUCACAACUUGUGCUUGGAAAACAACCAAAUAUCUCUCACUUACGAAUCUUUGGUUGUGCAGUAUAUGUACCAAUUGCACCUACACAACGCACUAAAAUGGGUCCCCAACGAAGACUUGGGGUUUAUGUAGGUUUUGAUUCUCCAUCUAUCAUAAGAUAUCUUGAACCUUUGACUGGAGAUGUUUUUACAGCCCGCUUUGCAGAUUGUCAUUUUAAUGAGAGUGUUUUCCCAUCAUUAGGGAGAGAAAAGUCGAUUCUUGAAGAACGACGAGAAAUUAGUUGGAAGACAUCUACUAUGACCCAUCUUGAUUCUCGUACAAAUCAAUGUGAACUAGAAGUUCAAAGGAUCAUUCAUUUGCAAAAUCUUGCAAAUCAAUUACCAGAUGCAUUCAUUGAUACAAAGAAAGUGACAAAGUCACAUAUCCCGGCUGCAAAUACUCCAGCACAGAUUGAUGUCCCUGUAGGACAGUUAACAAAUGAAUCUAAGAUACGCCUGAAGCGUGGUAGACCUGUCGGCUCAAAGGAUGUAACUCCCCGGAAGAGGAGAACCCAAGAAAAACUUGGCACUCUAGAAGAUGCCAUCAAAAUGACUGAUCAGUUUAAAAUUGAUAAAUCUAUAGCCCUAGAAGAGGCACAAAUAAUGCAGAAAGCCCCUGAAGAGGUAAAUAUUGAACAAGAAGCCCCCGAAGAGGCACAUAUUGAACAAGAAACCCCUGAAGAUCCACAUAUUGAACGAGAAGCCCCUGAAGAGGCACAGGUACCUGAAAAUUGUGAGAUCUCAGUAAGUUAUGUACAAACGGGAGAAAAAUGGGAUUGAAAUAAUAUUGUUAUUAACAAUAUUUUUGCUUUCCAAGUGACCUUUGAUAUCAUAAGAAAUGAUGAAGAUCCCGAACCACGAAAUGUGGAAGAAUGUCGACAUAGAAAUGAUUGGCCAAAAUGGAAAGAAGCUAUACAGGCAGAAUUAAACUCAUUAACAAAACGAGAAGUUUUUGGACCUGUAGUCCAAACACCUGAAGAUGUAAAGCCUGUUGGGUACAAAUGGGUAUUUGUACGAAAGCGCAAUGAGAAUAAUGAGAUCAUAAGAUAUAAAGCGCGAUUAGUGGCACAAGGUUUCUCGCAGAGACCUGGUAUUGACUACGAGGAAACAUAUUCUCCCGUCAUGGACGUAAUCACAUUUCGUUUCUUAAUUAGUUUGGCAGUCUCAAAAGGACUGGAUAUGCGUCUCAUGGAUGUUAUUACAUCAUAUUUAUACGGAUCCAUGGAUAAUGAUAUAUACAUGAAAAUCCCCAAAGGAUUUAAAUUGCCUGAUGCAAAUAAUACAAAGCCUCGUAGCAUGUACUCAAUCAAGUUACAACGAUCCUUGUAUGGAUUAAAGCAAUCUGGACGCAUGUGGUACAAUCGCCUUAGUGAAUACUUGCUAAAAGAAGGGUAUGUGAAUAACCCUAUAUGCCCAUGCAUCUUCAUUAAGAAAUCAGAAACCGGAUUUGCAAUUAUUGCAGUGUAUGUGGAUAACUUAAAUCUUGUUGGAACUCCUGAAGAGCUCACAAGAACAACAAAUUACUUGAAAAAGGAAUUUGAGAUGAAAGAUCUUGGAAAAACAAAAUUUUGUCUCGGCCUGCAGAUCGAGCAUUUUCCAAAUGGAAUUUUAGUACAUCAAUCAACAUACAUUAAGAAAGUUUUGAAGCGUUUUUAUAUGGAUAAAGCGCAUCCUUUAAGUUCUCCAAUGGUUGUCUGAUCACUUGAUGUGAAAAAAGACCCAUUUCGUCCUUGCGAAAAGGAUGAAGAGUUGCUUGGUCCUGAAGUACCAUAUCUUAGUGCUAUUGGUGCACUUAUGUAUCUUGCCAAUUGUACACGUCCAGACAUUGCUUUUUCUGUCAAUUUAUUAGCAAGAUACAGUUCCGCUCCAACUCGAAGACAUUGGAAUGGUAUCAAACAUAUAUUACGUUAUCUUCGCGGAACUACUGAUAUGGGUUUAUUUUACUCAAGGGAAUCAAAGCAACAAUUGCUUGGAUAUGCAGAUGCAGGAUAUCUUUCAGAUCCACAUAAAGGCAGGUCACAAACAGGGUAUGUGUUUAAUUGUAAUGGUACUGCUAUUUCAUGGAGAUCUGUCAAACAAACAAUGGUAGCCACAUCAUCAAAUCAUUCAGAAAUACUGGCAAUUCAUGAAGCAAGUCGUGAAUGUAUAUGGCUAAGAUCUAUGAUCCAACAUAUUCGGGAAUCAUGUGGACUCUCCUCUAUCAAAGGUGACCCGACAACAUUAUUUGAAGAUAAUGUUGCAUGCAUUGCACAAAUAACAGGGGGUUAUAUUAAAGGAGAUAGAACAAAACACAUUUCACCAAAAUUCUUUUAUACACAUGAACUCCAGAAGAGUGGUGAAAUUGAUGUGCAACAAAUACGCUCAAGUGAUAAUCUAGCAGAUUUAUUCACAAAAUCAUUGCCAACUUCAACAUUCAAGAAGUUAAUACACAGGAUUGGAAUGCGUCAACUCAAGGAUAUCGACAUGAGGGGGAGUAUGCUUGUAAAAGGGUGUUAGUGUACUAUACUCUUUUUUUCCUUCGUCCAGGUUUUGUCCUACUGAGUUUUACUGGCAAGGUUUUUAACGAGGCAGUCCUAAUAUGCCAAGAAAAGAAUAUUGUACUCUUUUUCCUUCGCUAGGUUUUUCCUAUAGGGUUUUUUACUAGCAAGGUUUUAAUGAGGCAUAUUCUUUUAAUAUGGUGGUCAUCCAAGGGGGAGUGUUGUAAAUGAAAAGUAAUGAAUGACCACAUUGAUGGCCAUUAUGAACUCCAUUUACUCAUCUUUAAGAUGAGUAAUGGGAGUUCAUAUUAUGAAGCCUAUAAAAGGCUUCUUACCCCCCAUGUAAAAGGAUCCCGAGAAAAGAAAGAAAACUCUUCCUCUCAUUCUCUCUCUCUCUCUUUCUUUCACUUUCUCAAUUCUCUUAUUUGAUUCCUUCUUCCAUAUUAUAUAUCAAAGUAAGAUAUAUUUUAUCUCUACUACUUUGAUUUGCAUUAUAUUUGUCCUUGUUUUACAACAAUAAAUUAUAGUUGAGUUUUUUUUUAAAAAAAAAUUGGCAUAUGCUUGUAUUACUUUGUUAGCUUGGAGGACGAAAAGCCUAUACAAAUAAUGAGUUGAAUGAAAUAAGAAGCGAGUAAAUUACAUGUAUCAAUGAAAUUGUAAUUUUUAGAUUACAGAAAUGAGUACAUGCAUUAAUAUAUAUGAAAAUAUAUAGUGAUUAUGAGAUUUGAGAAUCUAUUUAUUUUGAAUGAUGGGAAUUAAACUUCGUAAAAUUUCAAUGUAGAUCGGAAGUAAAUUUUUUUGUUACUUGAAAUAUUCACAACUUCUUUCCUGUAGUGAUGUUAUUUUGUAAUAGAACUUCCCUGGACAAUCGUUUUCAUGACUGGGAAUUGAAUUAGAGAAAAUUUUGUAGAAGAUUUUUUCAAAUUUGGAAAAAUCGCAUGUAGAAGAGUUGAAUUGGCAAGGAAAUCUACACACUCGUUGAACAGUCUAGGCCCACUUUUCCAAUCAGCCUAGCACGUUUUUUUGAAUUGAAUAACCACGGAUUGAUAUUGAUUGGAUCCAUUAUCAGUCAUUCAAUCCUAAAGCAUUCAUUUGUCAAACUCCAAGGAAUAUAGGUUUGGCCGAGUGAACAUUUCAAUACUAAACUUGUCCAAAUACAUUAAUUUGAUAUUUUUAGUAAAUAUGAUGCGCAAAAUGAAACCUACUUGGUCGAUAAUGACCUAGUGGUUAGGGCAAUCCCUCAAAAUUCAUAAAAAAAGAAGAUGCAAAUAGAAUCAAAUAGUAGUUCUUAUGUUAUUUUUUCAAAAAAUAGUUAUCGAGUCUGGAAAUGGGUAUUUUUCAUUUACGAAGCUUAAUCCUAUGGGAUUUAAUUUUCAUCGACUAGGAGAAUAAUUUGAUCCUAGCCACACCUAAUGUUAACGACUUGUUUAGGUAUUUUGAGUGAAGAGGACAACGGUUCCACACCGUGGGCCCCAAAACUGAACCAAAUCCCUCAUACUAUUCAACUACAUACUACCACUGCAUGCCAAGCCGUCUCUCUCAUACUUACCAAUUCUUUCUCUAGUCCAGAUUCUUAAACCCCAACAUUUGGGGUGACCAAUUUAUUACCUACACUCCCGAAGAAAGUUAAUUCAAUGAAAUUAUGUUUAUAUACUUAUUUGGAAGUUAUUUUUCUUAGGAUGAUAAAAUUUGCUGGUCUAGGUUACAAGUGCCUACAAAGAGGAGCAGAUUGAGGAUCUGAAAAAUGAAUUGAAAAUGGAAUUAUACAUGGUGUUGACUAUAAGAAUUUCAGUGGAUUCAAAAAGCCCCAAUUUAUACCUUAGCCGCCCCUAAUAGUUUCGGCUCUUGCUUCAUAAAUUUAGCCAAGGGACUCAUGAAAAAACUUUUUCUUUCACGUCAUCAAUCCCUUUCAUACACUACUUUCAACGUUUUUAUUUUACAUUAUCUUCAACAAUAGAACAUUUAGAAUAUCCUCUUGCGGAACAAGUUGCUCAUGCACUAAAGCAGCCCAUUAGAAAAGGUUUAGAGAGGCUAGAGGCAAGGUGGUAUAUGUCUAUCUACCAGGAUGAAACUUCGCAUGACACAACUUUACUAAAGCUGGCCAAGUUAGAUUUCAAUCUAGUGCAGUCCCUACACAAGGAGGAGCUAAGCAAUAUUGCUAGGUUUGCUUUCAAAUCACUAGCAGAUAUACCUAGUCACCUUCUCAUUUUACCAUGAGCUAAUUGUUUUAAUGAAUUUUAGGUGGUGGAAAGAAUUAGACUUUGCUACAAAGCUACCUUUUGCGAGAGAUAGAUUGGUGGAAGGCUACUUUUGGAUACUUGGGGUGUACUUUGAGCCUCAAUAUGUCCGGGCUAGACGAAUUCUAACCAAAACAAUUUCCAUGACAUCCAUUAUAGAUGAUAUAUAUGACGCAUAUGGCACAUUUGAAGAACUCGAGCUCUUCACCGAGGCCAUUGAGAGGUUUGAUUGAUGCAAAUUACCAACCUUCAUCAUUUAUACUGUAUGUGAUACUUAAAUCAAGCCUGGUUUUAUUUUCAGGUGGGAUAUUAAUAGCAUAGAUCACCUUCCAGAAUACAUGAAACACUGCUAUGUGGCACUCUUAGAUGUGUACAAAGAAAUUGAGGAAGAGAUGGAGAAAAAAGGAAACCAAUAUCGGGUUCAAUAUGCGAUAGAAGCGGUAGGACAUUCUGCAUCGACUUUGUUUUGUAUAGUAACAUAUCGUAAGGAUAUAGAUGUAACCUGAUUGAAUGUUUGACAGAUGAAAAACCUAGUUAGAGCUUAAUUUCAUGAGGCUAAAUGGUUCCAUGAAGGACGCAUACCAACAAUGGAAGAGUAUAUGAUAAUAAUAGGUUUAUCUUAGGGAAUCAAUAAUUAUUUUUGUAUGUUAUAAAGAUUACAUUUAUACUUGAAUUAUUUUUAAUUUAUUAUAUCAUAUAAAUUUUUUAUCUUAUAAUAUUGUAAAUUUUAAUUAUAUUAGGAAAUCAAUGAAUGCUUUUAUAACUAUUUAAAUGAUGUUAGUUAUGAGAUAAUUUUAUUUUAUUAUUGUUUUUUUACCUUAUUUACUUGUACCUAUUUUUUAAUAAUUUACAUAAUAUUUUUAUAAUUUUUAAAAUUUUCUAAUUAUCAUAUUUUUUUGUAUAUGACACUUAAAUCAAGCCUGGUUUUAUUUUCUGGUGGGAUGUUAACAGCAUAGAUCACCUUCCAGAAUACAUGAAACACUGCUAUGUGGCACUCUUAGAUGUGUACAAAGAAAUUGAGGAAGAGAUGGAGAAAGAAGGAAACCAAUAUCGGGUUCAAAAUGCGAUAGAAGCAGUAGGACAUUCUGCAUUGACUUUGUUUUGUAUAGUAACAUAUCGUAAGGAGAUAGAUGUAACUUGAUUGAAUGUUUGACAGAUGAAAAACCUAGUUAGAGCUUAUUUUCAUGAGGCUAAAUGGUUCCAUGAAGGAAGCAUACCAACAAUGGAAGAGUAUAUGGGGAUAGCACUGGUAACCUCAGGUUACUACAUGCUUACAACCAUGUCUUUCAUUGGUAUGGGAGAAAUUGUAACAAAGGAGGCCUUUGAUUGGGUGAUUAGUGACCCUAAGAUUAUCACAGCAUCAGCUGUAAUUUGCAGGCUCACGGAUGACAUCAGUUCAUAUAAGGUAUUGUGAAUAUAGUAUUUCUUGUUAAGCUAUAAUUUGACCUUGACCUUAAAGCUCAAUCAAUUAAACAUAUUUAUUGUACUCAUUUGUGCGAUUCUUUUUCUUGGUAUCCAUGAUUAAUUAACAAAGGUAUUGUUUUUUUUUUUUUGGAAAAAAAAAAAGAGAAGUUCAAAUUUAUUUUUUUCCUCUCUCUCUCUCUCUCUCCCUCCACACGCUCAUUAAUUUUAAUGUUAAGAUAUCAGCCCAAUUGACUUGAUUUAUAUUAACUUAAAACUUUUGUUCUAAUAGGUACCUUCAUAUAACGGUAAAGCCUUGAUUUUUAUAGGAGGUCAUGGAGGUGAACUGUGAACCUUACUGAUGUGUACCCAAACCAUACCAUUUAUUUAUAAUAUUGUCAUCAUAAUAUUUAAAUAUGGGACAUUUUAUGCAUUCAUUAUGUAGAUAUCCCUUUGUAAUAUACAUUCGUUGAGUUGGAGGAUGGUAACAUCGAUAUCCCUUUUUGUGUAAUGCAUAUCCAACAAACACACAUUGCAAUGCAUGGGAAGUUAACUUGGUGCGUUGGUGUUUAUGUAGAUGCACAAAUGCCACGCAACCAAAAACACGAGGAGGUAGAUUUGGGACAGUUGGGACAACUACGGCAUUAGUAAGAGUUUGGAGAGGUGUUUGGAAGUUAAUUGAGCUGGAAGGUACCCGAUUGAUCAAGUAUGCGGCAUGACUCGUGCCCAAUUGGUGUCUCAGCUGAUUUGUGUUCAGCUGGUGCUCCUUGAUUGAGGAAGUGAUCAACAAAAUUUAUACCUAUAACACCAUACACUAGGGUAGCAAAUACAAAGCUACUAUAGUAUAGUGGCUCUAAGGAUCGUUCACUGGGAAUGAUGAACAAGCAAUCAAGGAUACCAAUUCCAAGUGAAUUGGUUUUGUUUCAUUUCACGGUUAGCUUAAGGAAUAAAACACAAACUUUGAUUGGUAAAGGUUUAGACUUAAACUAACUAACUUAACAGAAGUUUGGAAUAAUUUAGGAAGAAAAGCAUUCCUUGGAGAAUUAGGUUCACUGGGGUGGUUCCUCAUGCAAAAGACAUAGCUCCGGUCAGAUGGUUCAUUUCCUCGCAUUAGAGAUUCAACUUAGAGUCAAUUCUCUAACCGGUGAUGUACAGAGACUCCUUCAAUUAGAUUUCACUUUAAUUCUCUCACUGAUACAACUUGCAAUGGUUCAUGCCUCUCACGAGCACUUACCAUUCAAGGUGAUCUUUAACCUUGGAUUCCCCUUCACAAACUCGCAAGAGAUAACUAAUGGAUGUCUCCUAGGAGUCCAAAAGCUUACCAAGUGUUGGUAAUUCCAGAAAAUCCUACCUUGAAGUCACCUACCAAAGGCUCGCAAGGGGUAAACUAGUGCAUUUCCACGGUUAGAAAUCACUUGCCUUACCAAGUGUUGGCCCAGGUGACUCCAAAGUGUUUUAAGUUAACUAAAAACAUUGAAAUCACUAAAGGAUUUCACUUCCUCUUCAUUACUAGCUAAAACCACAAAGCUUUGCAUUCUUGCACUUGGAACCUUCCCCGGCAACCUUAGCUCCAAGGAAUUGGAGGUUUAGUUACUCAUUCUCUGGGGAAAACUCCUCAGAGAAUUCAUAACUUAGAAAUAAAAUGAAAAUAUAAAGUGAGAAGGUAAGGCAGUAGAAAGAAAAGACUUUUACUUGCUUACCAAAAAACGAUUACAGAAGGAACUCCUCUCUGAGAACAUGCUCUCGAGAGGUAUUUAUAUUAAAGCAAUAUAAAACUAAUUCUUACACUGAUAUUUGGUCUUUUUACUAACUUAAAAACUAAGGAAUCAUGUAAUUGGUGGUUUACAAGGAGUAUUUUGGAAUUUAGACAACAAAAAUCUAAUGGAAAAUAUCUCCCAAUGUCGGUAGCAAGCUUCGGGAGGCUUCAGGAGCCAUUUCGCAGGAGAAAAGUGGUGCCUGCGAAAUUUCGCAGACACCCAAGAGGGCUGCGAAAUUAUUUCGCAAGACCAAGCUAUCUUCACCAGGCUGCAAAGUUGGCUUCCAUCUUGAAGUUUCCAGCUCCCUUCUCGCGGCAUGGUUCGUGCAUCGUCAGAAGGAGAAACACCUUACUGUACAAAAGCGUUGCGAAAAUCUCGCAACAAAAGGCUGAUUCCGCAGCACUUUAGAGUGACUGGCUUGUAAUGGCUGCAACUUCUUCGUUUCAACUCCAAAUCGCGCACCGUUUGAAGCAUUGGAUUGUUGACUUCCUGAGCUUUGAAAUGGUAUAUAGCUUGCAUCAUUUGGACUUCAGAAAGUGCUCCAAAAGUGGCUGCUACGACUGUCAUCAAGAAUAGGCUUCAUGACUGAUCCUCUUUGCUUUUUCUCCUUGCAAUCCGGAUUCACUCUUGGCAAUUGAAUUCUAAGCUUUUCCCAUGAUUCCUCAUAGCUCUCCUCAUUCUUGACUUGCUUUGGUGAUCAAAAUACUAACAAAAACACCAAAACUUGCACAAAGUGAUCAAAAUUGCUUUAAAGGAUCCUUAACAUGCCAAUUGAGUUAAAAGGCCUAAACUACUACUCAAAAGUGUUAAAAAGGAUUAAUUAAAGGCUAUCAAAUAGCACUUUUUGAGUAGUAAUCACGGCAGAUGUGAUUGCUUCUCCCCAAUAAGAUAUCGAUGUUUUUGCUGCUAUCAAGUAAGCACGAACAACCUCUAACAAGUGCCGAUUUUUUCGUUCAGCACAACCCGAGCCUUACUCUUUCAAGGGAAUGUUCCUAAGUCCUAUUGAGGAGAAGUUGUUCUUACUGCCACAUACAUGAUAAAUAGAAUUCCGUCACGAGUUUUAGAAAACAAAAGCCUCAUAGAGAUACUUAAGAGUUUCUAUCCACACUUCAGAACCUCAAAUGGGCUCACUCCUAGGGUAUUUGGGUGCACAACAUUUGUUCAUGUCCACAACCAACAUAGAGACAGCUAGACCCCCGAGUCAUAAAAUUUGUCUUUCUUGGUUACUUCAUCCACUAAAAAGGAAACAAAUGUACAUCCCNNNNNNNNNNNNNNNNNNNNNNNNNNNNNNNNNNNNNNNNNNNNNNNNNNNNNNNNNNNNNNNNNNNNNNNNNNNNNNNNNNNNNNNNNNNNNNNNNNNNUGUUACAAUCCCAUAACAAAAAUUUUUUACAUCUUUGCAGAUGUCACCUUCACAGAAAAUAAACCUUUUUUCCCAAAGUCCUCUUUUUAGGGGGAGAUUUCAAUGAUAGAAGAUAGUCCUGAGUCCUUUGAACCUCUUGACCUUCCUCAUGUCUCAACCCAUGGUGAUGAAAUACCUGAGUCAUCCGAGUCAAUCACACCUGAGUCACCCAAUUUUGCCACUAAACCCGUGUCAUCCCAUGUUCCAAGCAGUGUCACUCGCAAUUUUCCAUAGUUUCCUAAGGUGUAUUCAAGGGAAAAGGCCAUUCCAGAACAAAAGUAUGUCCAAGAAUCCAACUCAGACCCUGGGAAUGAAAUCACGCUAAGAUCAGACCCACCUUUACAUACACAACCUGGUGAAACUUCUACUAACUCAACAGACAACCUAGACCUAGACCUUCCCAUUGCUAUCAGAAGAGGCACCAAAGAAUGCACUAAUUGACCACUCUAUCCACUAUCACACUAUGUGUCUCUUAAGCACCUAUCACUAGCCCACAAAAAUUUCAUUGUGAGUCUAAACACCACUAUCAUCCCUAACACUGUUUCUAAGGCAUUGACAAAAAGGGAAUGAAAUGAUGCUAUGAGAGAGGAGAUGAGUGCAUUAGAAAAGAAUAAAACAUGGGAGAUUGUUGAAAGACCGAAAGGGAAAAACAUUGUUGAUUGCAAGUGGAUUUUCACACUGAAAUAUAAGACUGAUGGAUCUCUUGAGAGACAUAAAGCAAGAUUGGUAGCCAAAUGGUACACUCAAACUUAUGGAGUAGAUUAUCAGGAGACUUUUGCUCCAGUUGCAAAAAUAAAUACUAUGAGAAUCCUAGUCAUUGGCUGCCCACUACAAUUGGAAACUCCUAUAAUAUGAUGUUAAGAAUGCAUUUCUUCAUGAUGAUUUAGAUGAAGAGAUUUACAUGAACAUCCCCCCGGGAUUUGAGGGAAACACUGGUAAUAAGGUGUGCAAACUGAAAAAGGCCCUUUAUGGGCUAAAACAAUCUCUUAGGGCUUGGUUUGAGAGAUUUGCAAAAGUCAUGAAAGAGUCUGGGUACAAACAAAGCCAAGGUGACCACACUCUCUUCAUUAAGCACUCGGUUGCAGGGGGAGUAACUGCUCUUCUAGUCUAUGUUGAUGACAUCAUAGUGACUGGAAAUGAUGAGAGAGAAAAACAUGAAGUGAAGCAGAGAUUAGCAAUAAAGUUUGAGAUAAAGGAACUAGGGAAACUAAAGUACUUCCUUGGUAUUGAGGUGGCAUAUUCCACACAAGGGAUCUUCAUUUCUCAACAAAAGUAUGUGACUGAUUUAUUGGCAGAAACAGGGAAGAUUGGGUGUAAACCAGUCUCUACCCCCAAUGGAUCCAAACCACAAGUUGGGAAAAGCUAAAGAAAAACUAGUGUUGGAUAAAAGAAUGUACCAGAGGCUGGUUGGUAGGCUCAUAUACCUUGUUCACACUCGGCCAGACAUCGCCUACUCGGUGAGCAUGAUCAGUCAAUUCAUGCAUGAUACAAGAGAACCUCAUCUUCAAGCUGCUUAUAGGGUGCUACAUUACUUGAAAGGCAACCCCGGGAAAGGAAUUUUGUUCAGGAAGAACAAUACUCUUGCUCUAGAGCAUACACUAACACUGACUAUGCAAGUUCCUUAGUGGAUCGAAGAUCAACUACAGGGUAUUGUACUUUUCUUGGAGGUAAUCUGGUAACAUGGAGAAGUAAAAAGUAGAAUUUGGUAGCAAGAUCGUCUGUAGAAUCAAAGUUUAGGGUCAUUGCUCAAGGGUUGUGUGAACUACUUUGGCUGAAGAUUAUUCUAGAUGAUUUGAGAAUCAAGUGGGAUGGUCCUAUGAAACUCUAUUGUGAUAAUAAGUCAACUAUCAAUAUUGCUCAUAACCCUAUACUACACGAUAGGACAAAACAUAAUAAGAUCGAUAGGCAUUUCAUCAAAGAAAAAUUGGAGAAAGGAGUAGUGUGUAUGUCCUAUGUUGCAUCAGAACAUCAAUUAGUUGAUAUCCUAACAAAAGGGCUGAACAGUUCAAUGUUUCACAGUCUUGUAUUCAAGCUGGGAAUGGAAAACAUCUAUUCCUCAGCUUGAGGAGGAGUGUUGAGCUAUAAAUAGAUAGUAGAAUUAUUUUCCUAUUAUGUUAGUUUCCUAUUUAUGUAAAUAGAUAGUUUUAUUAGUUUCCUAAUUCUGUAAAUAGAUAGUUUUAUUACUUUCCUAUUUCUAUAAAUAGAUAGUUUUAUGAUUUAGGAAUAAAUUAGUUUUCUAUUAUGUCUCUUGUUUCCUAUUUCUUCUCUUGUAAUCUCCUAUAUAAACUGUGUAUGGUCAAUAUAAGAAACAAAAAUUAUUAUUUUCCAUCCCAUAUUUCGUAUCAAGAUGCAUGCCAUAAAAAUGGUAAGAUGAACAACAACAAGCCAAGCAACAAAAAAAAAAAAAAUGGAGUUUUUCCACCUUGUCCUCAUUGCAAGAAGACAAAUCAUUCUCCACAAAAAUGUUGGUGGAGACCAGAUGUGAAAUGCAACAAGUGUGGUAAACAAGGACAUGUGGAAAGGAUUUGCAAAAAUCAACAACAAAAAGAAACUAGUGCAGCAGUUGACUAUUGUCAGGAGGAGCAAUUAUUUGCAGCAACGUGUUUUGCUAAUAAAAGCACCUCUGAAAGCUAGCUUGUGGAUAGUAGUUGUACAAACCACAUGACAAAUAAUCAAGAUCUCUUUAGAGAACUUGAUAGAACAGCUAUUUCCUAAGUCAGAAUUGGAAAUGGUGAGUAUAUUCCAAUGAAGGGCAAAUGAACGGUUGCUAUCGAAAGCCAAAUAGGUUUGAAACUCAUUUAUGAUGUUUUGUUUGUGCCUGACGUUGACCAAAACUUACUCAGUGUUGGACAGCUCGUUGAGAAAUGAUUUAAAGUUUAUUUUGAAGAUAGGAAUUGCAUUAUCAAGGAAGCUGAAGGCAAAGAGGUGUUUAACAUAAAAAUGAAGGGCAAGAGUUUUGCCUUGAAUUUACUAGAAGAUGAGCAUGCUGUUGUUUUACAAUAAGAUAGAACAACAAUGCUUUGGCAUAGAAGGUUUGGGCACUUUCAUCAUGAUGUUGUGCUCUACAUGAAGAAAAAUCAAAUAGCUGAAAGACUUCCCGACUUAGAAAAAGAUCUUCCUAUAACUGCUACUUGUUAAUAUGGGAAGCAAACUAAACUUUCCUUUCCAAAGAAAACAUCCUAGAGAGCAACCCAAAAAUUGCAACUAGUGCAUACUGAUAUUGGUGGACCUCAAAAGACGUCAUCCUUGAAAGAGAAUGUAGGCAUUGUUCACCAACUCACUGCACCAUAUAAUCCACAACAAAAUAGAGUCGUGGAGAGGAAAAAUAGAACGAUUUUGGAGAUGACAAAAUGCCUUCUACAUGAAAAAGAUCUACCUAAAGUUUUUUGGGCUGAAGCUACAAGUACAGUAGUAUAUUUGCUGAACAAAUUGCCAACAAAAACGUUAAAGAAGCAGACCCCUUUCGAAGUUUGGUUUGAGUUUCUACGUGGAAGACUUGGAGUUUGCAUCUACUAAGUCAAGAAGGAGUGUUGAAUUUUGACCUAGUAUCUGCUAGAAUUUGAAUUUUGAAGUUAAAUAUUGCAGCUGGAGUCUUGCACAAAAUCUAUAACAUCCAAAUAUUUUUCUUGUUGUUAUUUGGUCAAGAUUUGGUUUCUAUUUUAUAGGAAGUAGUUGUUCAUCAUCUAGUAGCUUGAUUUUCUGCUAUUCUAAUGUCAUUUCAGUUACAAGCUCAUGUAUAAAUUCAACACUCUUCAUCAAUAAAAUGUGUGUUUCAGCAACCCAAAAUAUAUAUUCUGCAUAAGUGUUUAAAUCUUAGACCAACACAUCCUCGUCACUAGUAGUUGUGCCUCUCAGGUUACCUUUUUUAUCUCUCAGCUCAGCUCCACCUUUGCUCUUCGUGACCUUGGUUCCCUUUACUAUUUCUUUGGCAUUGGGGUUACUCAUAGUACUGAUUCUCUUCAUCUCUGCCAACAAAAAUAUGUGCAUGACUUGCUCACUCGUACUGCCAUAACUGAUGCUAAACUUGUUCUUACAUUGGGUUCCUUGGCCAAACCUCUCUCUCUCAUUGAUGGUGAUCUACUUAUAUCGCAACAUUGUUGGCGCAUUACAGUAUGUUACUGUUACAUGUCCAAACCUUUCUUUUGCCGUUAACAAGGUAUGCCAGUUUAUGGCUUCCCAACGACUACCCACUAACUAGAUGUCAAGAAUAUAAAAAGUAGUUAAAAAUAAAAUAAAAAUAUAGAUUUAAAAUAAAAAAUAAAAUAAAUAUGAAUAAUUAAAAAUUUUAAAAAUGAUAAAUAUUUUUUUUUAAAAAAAGUUUUCAAAAAAAUCUCAGAUAUUUUCAGAUAUAUCGGCAAUGUAUCCAAUAUAUCCGAUAUAUCGUCGAUAUAUCUCCAAUAUUUUGAUAGACUUCCUCUAUUGCUUCGCGCGUCGCUUCACACUCGAUUUUUUCGCUGAUUUAUCGAUUUCAAAUUAACCGAAAUGUCAACAUAUUUCGGGGAUUUUUUUGAUAUUCCUCUCGUUCGAUAAUGUUGCUUAAUAUCCUUUCAGGGUUGUCCGAUAUCCGAUAUAUUGGUGAAAUAUCAUCGAUAAAAACCGAUUUUUCAAUCCAUGCUUAAUAGUGGGUUUCCCUUUUGUUUGGCCUCUUGUAGACCCCCAUUUUGGGGCUCGGUUUUUUUUAUCUCUAUUUUCUUUGUAGGUGUCACCAUCCCAGAGAGCCAUGUGUCGCCUCUUUGGUGGUUGAUAGGGAAUCAACAUUGCUUUUCGGGGACUUAUGGUAGGUUGACACGUGGAAGAAUAUUCUGGAGAGCUGAUUUCCAUUAUGGGGGAGCAUAUGAGAGAGGAUAUUCUACAGGCAUUUUGAUUCUCACAUGUGCAUGAUCACCUUGAGUAUUCAUUGAUUUUGGCAUCAAUUGUCACAUAAACUUCAUUUUAUUAGUAGAGACCCGACUUUAAGGACUUAGAGGGGUGCUACGGUCUUUACCGUACCUUCCCGAUAAAUAAUUUGACCCCCGAACUCGAUCCGGUUUUUCACGGACCACCUUUUCCAAAUAAGGAGUCACACUUAGGAUUUUCUUUCUUAUUUUAUUUACCCUUUAAAAAUAAAACAAAAUUAAGUGGCGACUCCAAGUCAUUUUUUUUAAUCAGUAAAAUCAUUUUCAAAAUAAAAAUCGAGCUCACUAUCGAGUGAAAAACGCAUUAGCCGAAAUACGGGGUCCACACCUCUAUUUAUUUAAAAAAAAAAAAAAAAAUCCUUUCCCAUUCUAUGGCCUUGAGUGAGCAUUAUGUAUUUCAACUAUUUUGACAUGUUCAAAAUAAAUUACUAAGAAUUUAAAGGGAAUUUGUUCGACAAGUACUUUUUUUUUAACAUAUUUAUUUAUACAUUAUUUAGUUUAGGUUGCAUUAUUCUAUGUAAAUAAUUUAUUGGGUAUGGGAAUUACUUUUAUAAAUGGCUGAGUAGAUUCAAUUUUAGAUAUUUAUUUAUUGAGCAUGAAAAUUAUUUAUUAAAACAUGGUUUAACGACCAUGCGAUGGAAUCAACCUGUUAAAAAAAAUAAACUAAUACUAUAUUAUUUUAACUUAAAUUAUUUCUUGAUUGUAGCAAUGUUGAAAAAACAAAUAUCAAUAAAAGACUAACCUUAACGGGAAAAUAGUAAUUAACAUAAUUUUAUAUUGACUUGUAAAAUUGGGUCAACAUAUAAAUAUAUUAAUUGUAACAAGAAGACCUACAUUGAUAAUGAAACGUCAAUAUUAGUCUAUAUUGCCAACUUUGAAAUAUUAAUAUAUGUAUAUAGCAGAUGUUUUCAUGAUUAGGAAUUAGAGAAAAUUUUGUAGAAGAUUUUUCCAAAUUUGAAAAUAACUAUGGAAGAAAUUCAACUUAAACACGUUUCUUUGUGGAAGAGUUGCAUUGGCAAGGAAAGCUACACACAUUCAUUGAACAGUCUUAGGCCCAUUUUUCCAAGCAGCCUAGCAAGUUGUCUGAAUUAAACCCCUAUGGAUUGAAAUUGAUUGGAUCCAUUACCCGUCAUGCAUUCAAUCCCAAAGCGUUGAUUAUUCAAACUCUAUGAAAUAUAGGUUUCGCUGAGUAGAGGAGUUCAAAUACAUUAAAUCGAUAUUUUAAGUAAAUAUAAUGUGGAAAAUGAAACCUACUAGAUCGAUAAUGACCACAUUACAAACCGAUCUCCAGGCUAGUUAGGGCAAUCCCCUCAAAAUUCAAAAAAUAAUUAAGUAAAUAAAAUGUAAUUAUUAAUAUUUUUAAAAAGUAGUUAUGGACUCGAAAUGGGUAUUUUUUAUAUAUGAAGUUUAAUCAAGUAGUAGUUCUUAUCCUAGCCACACCUAAUAUUAACAACUUGUUAGGAUAUUCUGAUUGAAUUUAGCCAAAGAGACUCUAGAAGGCCAAUAUUUUUCUUAUCAUCACUCUCUUCCGAGCACAACUCUUCCACACCAUGGGCCCCAAAACUAAACCAAAUUCCACAUACUUUUUAACUACAUACAGCCACUGCAUUCCAGGCUGUCUCUCAUACUCACCAAUUCAUCACUGAAGGUAUAGGACUGUUCUAUCAUUGUUCCAAGUAAUUGGCAUCUCUACUCAAGUCUCAGCAUGUUCCCUAGCCCAAAUUUCUAAACCCAAAAAUCACCCUGUGGCAAGCUUGAAGGUAAUUCAAUGAAAAUAUGCUUAAAGCUCAACGGCUAAUUUACUUAUUUGGAAGUCAUUUUUCUUUAUGUGUUGGAUGAUAAAAUUUGUUGGUCUAGGUUACACGUUCCUGCAAAGAAGAGCAGACGGAGGAUCUGAAAAAUGAAUUGAAACUGGAAUUAAUACAUAGUGUUGAUUAUAUAUUGAUGGAAAUUAGUUUAAAGUUGGAUAUAUUAAUUACUUAGGGAUGUUUGGUAAAACUUAAUACUUAUUAUUUAAUUAUUUGAGUUGACUUUAAAUUAAAUUAUACUUAAAUUACUGACUUAAAACUUAUUAUUUUAAGUAUUAAGAUAUAAAAUUAACUUAAAGUUUAUUUAAAAUCAUUAAGUUGACAUAUUUAUUCUUAUAAAUUAUAAUUAGAAUAGAAAAGGUUGAGUAACAAUAGAACUUAUAGAAUUGUAAAAGAGAUCAUGAAGGUAAUUAAGACAAAUAAAGAUAAAAAGAUAAAAUAAAAAUAUAGAAUUAAAAAUAAAUUAAUUAUUUUUACUUAUUAUUUAAAGUUAUUUUUUACUUUAAAUCAUAUUAUUAAGUUAUUUUAUUAAAUAUACUUAAUUUACUUAAUGACUUAAAUUAAGUUAUUAAAUCAUUUUAAGUUAUUAAAUUGAUUAAUCAAAUUCCUACUUAUUGAAUACAAAUAUAGAAGGAAAUUAGGAAAGCAAAGUAGAUGGGUUAUUAGGUGAAAGCUUAUCAAAUCCGCCUAUCAACAUAUCACACUUUUACCAAAAACCCACCUCAUGCCAAGCCUAUAAGUUGUCAAGUCCUUAUGAUCCAACAACUUUCUUAUGGUUCCCACACGGGUUUCUAUUGUUAUCAAAACAAAAAGUUAUAAUAAAAUAUAUAUAUAUAUAUAUAUAUAUAUAUAUAUAUAUAUAUAUAUAUAUAUAUAUAUAUAUUAUAAUUCAUAGAUAAUCUGACAAUUAAAUAAAAAGAUAAACUCAUUUGUGGAAUAUAAUUAAUAAAAAAAAAAAGAGAAGUGUUAAGAGUUUUAAAUUAUUAUUAUUUUAUUAACAAUUUUAUUAUAUUUUCAUUUUAACUUAAGAAUCUAUUGAAAUAGUGACUUACUCUCUAUUAAAGAUUCAAAGUUAUUUUUCAAUCAAUCGAACUAUCAGGUAAGUAUGAAAAUGAUCGAGUAAAGACAAGUUAAUUGUCACAAAUAAGUGUGAAAAGGAUCGAGUAAAGACAAAGGGUUGAAUUGAAAAUUUUAAUUUGCAUAAAAUGUUUUAAUUAAUUUGAAAAGAAUUUUAAAUUGAGAAUUUGAAAAAAAAAAUUCCAAAUAAUAAAAAUAAUUUGGAAAUGAAUUUUAAAUUAAGGAUUGAAAAUUUAAAAUUUGUAAAAGGAAAAUUUUUAUAAAUCUUUUCUAAUUUUAAAUAUGAAAUAUUUCCAAAUCUUUUUAAAACUCUUAAGUUUCUAAAUUGUUUUCCAUAAAAUAUAAUCUUUAAAUUAAUUGCAACUAUAUAAAGUUUUCUCCUAUAUAUAUCCUACCUAAAUGUAUAUUUGAUGAGGGUCUGACUUGUUUUUCCAUUCUUAAUCUCUAAAGAAAGAAUUCAUUACAAGUACCUACAUCCCUUCAUAAGCUUAGAGGAGUUAGAGCAUUUGGAGGUACUACAUUGUGGAUGUGGAUUAAGGUGUAGGUGCUAGCUAGUUAAUCAUUAAGGUAAAACGGUUAUUAAAUAUGUGUACUUUAAUUUCAAAUAGUGGAUUAUAAAGGGAGAAUUAUGUUUUGGGGGUAGAUGGGCCCCCAAAUUAACAAAAGGUCCAUGUAACUCUUUAAAUUGAGCCCAAGACCCAAUAAAAGUAUGAAAAUUGAGUUGAAGGAUAUCAUCCUUCAGUAUUUCCAAAAAUGUCAUUUGUUGAUUUUGAGAAAAAAAAAUUAAUAUUUUUGAAAAAUACUUUUAUAUAAUUUAAUAUUUUUUAUUUAAUUUAAUAUUUUUAAAAAAAUACUUUUAUGUAAUUUAAUAUUUUUUUAAAUACUUUUAUUUAAUUAAAUAUUUUUUAAAAAUAAAUUUAUUUAAUUUAAUAUUUUAAAAAAAUAUUUAAUUUAAUAUUUUUUAAAAUACUUUAAUUUAAUUUAAUAUUUUUGAAAAAAAAUUAUUUAAUUUAAUAUUUUUGAAAACUACUUUUAUUUAAUUUAGUAUUUUUGAAAAAAAAUUAUUGAAAAAAAAAUAUUUAACUUAAUUUUAUAAAAUAUUUUAUAUGUGUUCUUAAAGGGUAUACUUGUCCGUUACUAUUUCAUAUCCUUCAACUCAAUUUGAAGAGUUAUAUGGACCUUUUGUUAAUUUGGGGACCCAUCUACCCCCAAAACAUAAUUCUCCCGAUUAUAAAUUAGAGGUUUUAAAUCUUGUGAUUUUUUAUGCCCACAAUUAGCAUUGAUAUUUUCAAAUUAAAAUUUCUUGUGUCCCUUAUUUGAUUAUUUUUAUUAUUUUGAUCUUUAAUUAUUUUGAUUAUCCCUAUUAUCUCUUAGUUUAAAUUGAGUUAAUAUUAUUUAACUCUUAUAUUAUUAUCUUUAAAAAUCACCCCACUCUCAAUGUCAUCCUCUUGGACAAAAGCGUAUAUAUAUAUAUAUAUAUAUAUAUAUAUAUAUAUAUAUAUAUAUAUAUAUAUAUAUAUAUAUAUAUAUAUAUAUAAUUCACAAAUCUUGAAAAUAUAUUUAAUAUUAAAAUAUCAUUCCAUGUAAUUUGGAAGUAUUCAAAGAUGUAAAAGAUAUGAUAAUAUAUGUAUAAUUAUUUUUUAUUUAAAAAUCUUAAUAAUUACAUUUGCAACUUUAUUUUGUCCUCAUUAUUUAAUUAAUAUACAAAAAGAUAUGGGAAUAGAAUUAUCAAAAGAAUUGUCAUAAUAAAGCUUUAUAUUCUUAAUAAUAAGUUAAAUUAAGGUGGCAUUUAUUUAUUUUUACUUAAAUCUAAAUGAAAAUUAAUUUAACUUAAUUGUAAAUAUAACUUAAUAGAAUUAAUUAUUAUAUUUUUUUGUUUUUUAUAAUUUUAUUUUUGUUAAGCGUUAAAUAUUAAUUGGGUGAGAGUCCUACUAAGGUUGUGCUUUGACUGAUUCAAAAAAUUAUUUUUAGUAAUGAGCAAAAAGUUAAAUAUUUUACUUUUAUCUAUUCAUUAAAAAAAUCUUAAAAAUUAAAUUUUUUUUUUGUUUUAUUCAAAAUAGUGAAUGGAGUUUGAGUCGAAUUUUAAUUAUUUGGUAAAAUAAUAAAAUUAGUUUUUUAUUUAAAAGAAAAAAUAAAGGUAAGUCAAAGAUAUAAAGAUAAUUAUUUUAUUUUAAAUAAGAAAGAUUCAAAAAAAAAAAAAAAGAUAAAUGAGCUACAAAUUUUAGGAUUAAUUGAUUAAAAUGGAUGAAAAGAUUUCAAAUUUGUAAAACUAAUCUCUUCCAUUUUUUAACUUGAAAGUAACACUUGUUUGACAUAAAUACCCUUUAACAUUUUCAUUAUUUACAUAUGUAUUUUAAAAGAAAAUGUUAUUUUUGUAAGAAAAAAGUGAGAGUAUUCUUAUGUAUUUUUUGGAUGAAAAAAAAUGGUUUGCAAUUUGAUAUUUCUUUCGUCCUUUUUAAUCGGUUAUCCCCAAAUUUUUUUUACGGAAAAUACAAAUUCUAAAAAUAUUUGGUUUUAUUGCUAUUUUUAAAUUUAAAUAUAUUUUUACCUUAAUUAUAUUUUUAUUUCAAAAUAAUUGAUGAUGAUUUAGUUGAAUUCUAACAUUUAAUGGAGUUUUAGUUGAAUUCUAACACUAUAAUAUAAAGUGACCCGAUAAAAUUAUAAAAUCAAUUUUAUUUAAAAAUAAAUAAAGUUGAGUUAAAAAUAGUAUUAAAUGAAUUAAAAUUUAAAAAUAAAAAUGAAUAGUUUUACCUUAAAUAAAAAAUAUUAAAAGAAAAAAUAAUUAGAUAGAUAGGCUUUAAAUUUUAUUAAGAGAAACAUAAUUUUUUUUAAAAAAAUUGUUUUUAUUUAUUUUCAAUUUUAAAAUUUUAUUUCUAUUUUUUAUUUAAAUGUAUUGUCAAAUUUUAUCUAAAAAUAGUUAAUAGAGUUUUGGUUGAAUUUUAAGACUAUAAGAUAAGCGAAUAGUUGAAAUUAUAAAAUGAAAUUUUUUAUUAAAAUGAAAAGAAAGUUAAGUUAAAGAUACUAUAAAUUAUGAUUAGAAGAAUGAAAAUCAAUAUAAAAAAAAAGUGGUUUUAUCUUAAAUUAGAAAUACUAAAAAAAAAAAAAAGGAAUAAUGUAUUGAAAAAUAUAACUGUGGUAGAAGAGCAAUGACUAUGCUCUUUUGAAUACCCUAGUUUAUGUUCAUUUUUUAAAAUUUAAAAAGAAUAAACAUCUUUUAGAUAUUAACAAAAAUAAAUUUAAAUAGAUUCUUAACAUAAAACCUAAAAAACAUUUGUUGUUGGCCAAAAAAUCCAACUAUGAGCCCUUUUAUGACAAGUGAAACUUCCAAAUCUUCUGAAGAGUUUUUUAUCUUAGUAUUAAAAUCUAAAAGCAGAAUAUUUAUACUAUGAGUUGCCUUUUUAACAACUAAUUUAUUUUAUUUAAUGUAAUAAUAUACAUUAAUAUAAAUUAUAGUUGAGUUUUUUUAUAAAAAAAAAUUGGCAUAUGCUUGUAUUACUUUGUUAGCUUGGAGGACGAAAAGCCUAUACAAAUAAUGAGUUGAAUGAAAUAAGAAGCGAGUAAAUUACAUGUAUCAAUGAAAUUGUAAUUUUUAGAUUACAGAAAUGAGUACAUGCAUUAAUAUAUAUGAAAAUAUAUAGUGAUUAUGAGAUUUGAGAAUCUAUUUAUUUUGAAUGAUGGGAAUUAAACUUCGUAAAAUUUCAAUGUAGAUCGGAAGUAAAUUUUUUUGUUACUUGAAAUAUUUACAACUUCUUUCCAGUAGUGAUGUUAUUUUGUAAUAGAACUUCCCUGGACAAUCGUUUUCAUGACUGGGAAUUGAAAUAGAGAAAAUUUUGUAGAAGAUUUUUUCAAAUUUGGAAAAAUCGCAUGUAGAAGAGUUGAAUUGGCAAGGAAAUCUACACUCAUUGAACAGUCUAUGCCCACUUUUCCAAUCAGCCUAGCACGUUUUUUUGAAUUGAAUAACCACGGAUUGAUAUUGAUUGGAUCCAUUAUCAGUCAUUCAAUCCUAAAACAUUCAUUUGUCAAACUCCAUGGAAUAUAGGUUUGGCCGAGUGGACAUUUCAAUACUAAACUUGUCCAAAUACAUUAAAUUGAUAUUUUUAGUAAAUAUGAUGCGCAAAAUGAAACCCACUAGGUCGAUAAUGACCUAGUGGUUAGGGCAAUCCCUCAAAAUUCAUAAAAAAAGAAGAAGCAAAUAGAAUCAAAUAGUAGUUCUUAUGUUAUUUUUUCAAAAAAUAGUUAUCGAGUCUGGAAAUGGGUAUUUUUCAUUUACGAAGCUUAAUCCUAUGGGAUUUAAUUUUCAUCGACUAGGAGAAUAAUUUGAUCCUAGCCACACCUAAUGUUAACGACUUGUUUAGGUAUUCUGAGUGAAGAGGACAACGGUUCCACACCGUGGGCCCCAAAACUAAACCAAAUCCCUCAUACUAUUCAACUACAUACUACCACUGCAUGCCAAGCCGUCUCUCUCAUACUUACCAAUUCUUUCUCUAGUCCAGAUUCUUAAACCCCAACAUUUGGGGUGACCAAUUUAUUACCUACACUCCCGAAGAAAGUUAAUUCAAUGAAAUUAUGUUUAUAUACUUAUUUGGAAGUUAUUUUUCUUAGGAUGAUAAAAUUUGCUGGUCUAGGUUACAAGUGCCUACAAAGAGGAGCAGAUUGAGGAUCUGAAAAAUGAAUUGAAAAUGGAAUUAUACAUUUUCAUGGACAAGGGAAAGGAACAAGGGAAAGUUGUGUUUUCAUGGACCAAUAUGGUAAUAAUAUUGUUUUUGGAACCCAGGUUUGUGAAAGUAGAAAAACAUCUGUUAAUGUGAAACUUAUAUCAGAUUCAUGCACUUUGAGCCGGUUAUAUUUUUUCUACAUAAAAAAUAAAAAUAAAUAAAAUACAAAAUAAAUCUAUUAGAAGGCGUCUGUCUAUUCUCUGCACCCUCACCGCCAAAGAGUAGAUGAGUUGGCGAGUGUGUUCGCUCCGGAGUCUUUACGCGCCGAAGAUGCCUCUUCUCCGAUCACCUCUGUUCUUCUUUGUUUGAAGCCGCCGACUGUUCGGUACCACGUGCUCCGUUUCGGGCACUAAGAAGAAGAACAAGGAGAAGGUGAUAGUGAUAUCCGGUCCCACCGGCGUCGGAAAGAGUAGGCUUGCAUUGGAGCUGGCGAAGCGCGUCAAUGGAGAAAUUAUCAGUGCGGACUCGGUCCAGGUAAGGCACCGAGUUCUUUUACCGUUUUCCUCUUGGAUUGCCCUCUGUUUGGUUGCCGAGAAAGAAAGGGAAGGACAAUGGGAAGGGAAUUAUGUCUUGUGUUGUUGAUUUGGGUGUUUAGGUUUUGUUUUUUGUUUUCUUGUUUGUUUUUUUUUUUUUCUCUUUCAUUUGUUUGGUUGCUGAGAAAAUAGAGGAUUCAGUCUUCUUUAGAAUGUUCUAUGCUUCUGUUUUUCAAUAGGAAGCUAAUGUUUAUGAAAAUUGUGACGAGGGGCUCAUGGAGAUAUGAUAAUGUUGGAGAAAAGUAGAUAAUCUAUAUAGAAAGUUCAAAACUUCAAGCAAAGUUACUCAAGGGACUAAACCUUUAGCAACAAUUUCUCCCAAGUAUUUUGUUGGUUAGUUACUCAAAAAGGUAAUUUUUUUAAGGGGGAAGAAAAUGACAAUUUGCAUUUUAUUUUUUGGUGAUAGGCAAAUGAGAAAAUAUUUAAAAGCUCCUAAAAGGAGCUGCAACAACUUACAGAUGAUGUAUACAGUAGUCACAUAGUUUAGUCAAGAAGAAGAUAAACAAAAGAAAAAUCCUCUCCUUACUCAAAACUUAUCCAAUCUACAAAGUCUAUCAUAGAUAUUGAGUGGUCCACCUUGUACAUUCUAACCCAAUUUACAAAGUAUAUAUAAAGUCGGAUUUGAUUGCUUGGUUUGACUGCUUAGCUUCAUUCAAAGCUCUCCCUUUUUUUUUUCUUCCAAAGAGUAGAAAAAAAGCAUAAGGGUAUAGUCCUCCAGCAUUUUUUUCAUUGCUUCCCCAUGGAAGAGCCAUGCAAACCCAAAAGGAUCCUUCUACUGAAAAACACAUCCCCAAAACCACUCCAAAGAGAAAAGGAUCAACUACCAAACAUAAUUGCUUUGGCACAGUAGAGAAGCAAGUAAUCUGUCAUUUCUUCCUCGCAUUUGCACAAAUAAACUUAUUAAGCAGAGUCCAUACCAUCUUUUUGGUGCCCAUGUGCUCCACACUACACCUGUUGGGAAAGCUCUCUAUCUCCCUUGGCCAAGGAAGAUUAAAGGGAUCUAAUUGAAAAAUUGCUGCUCUUGGACUCAUUUCAUCUCAAUUCGCCCUCCUUUUCCUUUUUAAUUGACAAUGAUUGCAAAUUCAAUUGGAAAAUCUCCACUUCAUCAAGCUCUCAAUCAUUAAACUGUCUUGAAAAGUGGUGGCUCCAUCCACCCUCUUUCCCAACUUGGUCCCACUCCUCCGCUACCCAUCCAUCUCUGUUGGAUGCAAUAGAGAAUAAGUUAGAGAAGACUUGCUUUUUAUUCCCUUCCACUCAUUUUUUAUGGUUUUCCACACCUCCACUCCAUACCCUUCUCUCAUCCUUCUUGAAGACCACCUGCUUCCUCUUCUCCGAACUUUCCUAUUAUGAUUUGUUUUGAUAAGGACUCCUUGUUAGUAACAAAUCUUCAAUCCUACUUACCAAGCAAGGCCUUGUUAAAGGUUGAAAGAUUGUGAAUACCAAGAUCCCCUUCCUUCCUUGCCAAGUAGACUGUAGUCUAAUCAAUAAAAUGAGGUCUUUUCUCUAGUGCACCUCCUCCUCAUAAAAUGUUUCUUUGGAUCUUCCUGAGUCUUGAAUUGACCUUUCUUGAAAUGACAAAAAGGAUAUAUAAAUUGGAAGGCUUAAUAAUGUGCUUUUAUCAAGGUAAGUCUCCCUUCGAAAUGUAUGGGUGGUAUGGAGUUAUCAUUAAGGUAUGCCUAGCAAUUUUUUUUUUUAAACCAUGUACAGACUCCAGCUACUGCUGCAACUAGUGCUCAAUGAACGCAACAGUGUCAGAGAUACAAUUCUGGCCGCAUGCCAUUUGUGACUUCAUAGUUCAUGAUAAGUUUCUUCCUAUCUGCUGCUACAUACCAAAAUGACCAAGGGUUGAUUCUAGUUUGUCCAAAAUUUAUUAAUUCAUAUCAUGUUGUGUGCUGAUGUGAUUUGUUCCAAUUGUAAAACCAUUAUUUAUGUUCUAUAUGUGAUGUAUCUGAUGAAGUAUUCCACUUCCCAUUGUAACAGUGGCAGUUGGGUUAUGCUGAAUAUGAGGACUUUAUGUACAAGAAUGACCAACAUGUAAGGGAAAGGAAGAGUACCUGGUGAUGCUGCUGCUGGAGCAUAUGGGACGCAGUAACAACAGUGUAAUAGGGCUGUUCAUUUUUCCUUCAAUAUUGUAAAGGAAGGGAGUAGGAACAUGGACAACACUCAGUAUUUGUUCUUUUAUUAUAGUUAAGGGUGCUGGUUAGUGUUGUAUUGGCGAUUGAUUGGACAACAACUAUGAUUGUAAGAUGUGAUCCAAAGUGAUAGGUUUAUUAUGGGGUAUGGUACUAAUUUCAUAAGAGAACAACAAACAUAGACUGUAACUUAUUUGUUUGUACACUGAUGCAGUUUCAGUUUAUCCUUCUAUACUCACAUUAGUAAAUUGUUUGACGGCUUUCCUUUCAUAUUUAGUUAUUGUGUAAGCUUUUACAUAGCAUCUUCUAUUAAUGUUAUUGGUAAGUUGGGAGGUUUGUUUGGUUUGAUUUACUACAUUAGAAACAGUUUGCUGGUAUACCAAUAGUUUGCAAUGGCGCCCUUCAAAUCCUGAUCUACCGGGGUUCAGGACUAUUGCUCAUCCUCAUUGGCAAGGGCUACUCAGGGUUCCUAAAUGAUUGUGCAUUUUGCUAAUUUUGUGUUUCAAACCAUGUACAGGUUGUUAUAGAAAAAAUAAAUGUGGUAGAAAACCAAUAAAUAUUUGCUUCGCAUGAUCACCUUCCAUAUCCAACCAAAACCAUCAUAACUUGACAUAACCAGAAAAAUGAGAAAACAACAGUAUGAUUAAAUAAAUACUGAGGGUGAAAAAUUGUCGGGAGAGCAAAAUUUAUCGAAUAUGGUUUAAGAUAGUGUCAUGCUGCAAUAAGUAAUGAAAUUAACUAAUAAAAAUCUGAAGCCACAGAAUGGCUACAUUUCUCGCAGGUGCGUUAAGGUAAUACUUGAGGUACAUUAAGGUAGUACCUGAAGACCAUUAAGGUAGUACCUUAUGUGCAUUAACGCAGUACCUGACAUUUCUUAUGAUUACAUAAGGUAUAGUUGGAGUAACCUAUAAGAACAUAACAAUGUCAUGCUGUAAUAGGUAAUGAAAUUAACUAAUAAAAAUCUGAAGCCACAGAAUGGCUACAUUUCUCGCAGGUGCGUUAAGGUAGUACCUGAGGUACAUUAAGGUAGUACUUGAAGACCAUUAAGGUAGUACCUUAUGUGCAUUAAGGUAGUACCUGAAAUUUCUUAUGAUUACAUCAGGUCGAUGGAGUCACCUAUGACAACAUAACAACGUCAUGCUACAAUAGGUAAUGAAAUGAACUAAUAAAAAUCUGAAGUCACAUAAUAGCUACAUUUCUCGCAGGUGCGUUAAGGUAGUACUUGAGGUACAUUAAGGUAGUACUUGAAGACCAUUACGGUAGUACCUUAAGUGCAUUAAGGUAGUACCUGAAAUUUCUUAUGAUUACAUAAGCUACCGAUGGAGUCGCCUAUGACAACAUAACAACGUCAUGCUACAAUAGGUAAUGAAAUGAACUAAUUGUGUUUGAAGUCAUAGAAGAGCUACAUUUCUCGCAGGUGCAUUAAGGUAGUACCAGAUGUACAUUAAUGUAGUACCUCAGGACCAUUAAGGUAGUACCUGAGGUGCAUUAAGGUAGUACAUGAAAUUUGUUAUGAUUACAUACGCCACCGAUGGAGUAACCUAUGAGAACAUAACAAUGUCAUGCUGCAAUGUGUAAUGAAAUGAACUAAUUGUGUCUUAAGUCACACAACAACAACAUUUCUCAAAUAUGCACUAAGAUAGUACCUGAUGUACAUUAAUAUAGUACCUCAAGACCAUUAAGGUGGUACAUGUUUUGCAUUAAGGUAGUACCUGAUGCGAUGAAACAAUUAUGUCUUCGUUGACAAAAGAUGUACACUACAAAUUCCAACAAACAUUACAAAUUCACAAACACUAACAACAAUUUCUACUAACCAACACAUAAUUUAUGCAUUUUAAUUUUUAUUAUUAUUAUAAUUUUUAUUUUUAUUCUCAAUAUAUAUGAUUGAAUUAUCAAGUUUUUCGUCAAUAUAUGAUAUUGCCUAAUUAUAUUCAUCAAUCUGAAUAAAUACAUAAGUUUUCCACCCAAUUUCUAAAUAUGUCCACAACAUUUUUCCAUUUCAUGAGUCUCCAAUACACAAAAAUAUUGAGAUCGAACAACCGCUCAUGCUAUCCAAAAUCGACAUUUGCCUCAACCUAUGCCCUCACCAAUGGAGGAAAAAUUGCAAAUACAACAACCACUCGAAAAUCACUCUUCUGCUCCAUUUUAAACAAAAAAAUUAUUAAAAAAACAACCCUAAAUACAAAUUAAUUACCUUCACAUUUGAUGUGAAGGUUACAGAAAAAUGUGAUCCAAUGAGAAGAACACGAGAUUUCUUCUUCAUGAACCCAAUAUAUCAGAGUUGUCGUUUCCAUUCUGAUUCGCUAUCCUAAACCAGAUUUUCAGUCAACACGUACCCGCCUCAAGCCGUCUUCUUAACUCGACCUUGUUUCAAUGAAGUGCUCCAUUUGGUUCUUCACAAUUACCACAGGCAACAAAAAUUUUGAUUCAGGUUUUCAAGUAAAGGUUUAUACUUUCAAAUGUGUGAAAUUUUGCAAAUUUUCACACCCUCUUCGAUCCGGAGGGGUGACGAAAUUGGGAUGAUCGGGUCCAAAUGGUUAGGACUUUGAGAGGAGAAGGGGCUGAAGAUAGAAAACUAGAUUGGAGUUUGGGAUUAAAGGCUUCAGAAAUUAAAUGAGAGAAAUUGUUGAAAUAUACAAGAUUCUCUGCUUUGCCUCGGUGACGGAGUGAAGACAGAUGAGAGGAAUGGCUGACAAAAUGAGAGAGAGGGAAGAAAGAACGGCUGAACGCUAGGGUUUUCUUGUGGGAACCUCUGCUUCGCCUCCAUGACAGAGUGUAGAAAGAUGAGAGGAAUGGGUACCAAAUGAGACAGAGGGAGGAACAACGGUCAGUCGCCUAGGGUGUUUUUUGGUGAGAUGGGCUGCUGACGUGGAUACCUGGAGGGGCAAGCUCGGUAGAAAAAACACAGCCGACUCAGAGUGCAUGAAUCUGAUAUAAGUUUCCACAUUAACAUAUGUUUUUCAUCUUUCACAAACCUGGGUUCCAAAAACAAUAUUAUUACCAUAUUGGCCCAUGAAAACACAACUUUCCCUUUUUUAUAUUAGUAUUAAAAUCUAAAAGCAAAAUAUAUAUAUAUAUAUAUAUAUAUAUAUAUAUAUCAUGAGUUACCUUUUUAAUAACUUAUUUAUUUUAUUUAAUGUAAUAAUAUACAUUAAUAUAAAUUAUAGUUGACUUGAGUUUUUUUUUUCUUUUUCUUUUUUAAUUUGGCAUAUGCGUGUAUUACUUUGUUAGCUUAGAGGACGAAAAACCUAUACAAAUAAUUAGUUGAAUGAAAUAAGAAGAAUGAAAUUGUAAUUUUUAGAUUACAAAAAUGAGUACAUACAUUAAUAUAUAUGAAAAUAUAUAGUGAUUAUGACAUUUGAGAACCUAUUUAUUGGAUCCAUUAUCAGUCAUUCAAUCCUAAGGCAUUCAUUUGUCGAACUCCAUGAAAUAUAGGUUUGGCCGAGUGGACAUUUCAAUACUAAACUUGUCCAAAUACAUUAAAUUGAUAUUUUUAGUAAAUGUGAUGCGCAAAAUGAAACCCACUAGGUCGAUAAUUGCCACAUUACAAACUGAUCUGCAGGCUAGUUAGGGCAAUCCCUCAAAAUUCAAAAAAAAAAAAAAAAAAAAAAAAAGAAAUAAAAAAGUGAAGCAAAUGUUAUUUUUUCAAAAAAUAAUUAUCGAGUCUGGAAAUGGUUAUUUUUCAUUUACGAAGUUUAAUCCUAUGGAAUUUAAUUUUCAUCGACUAGGAGAAUUAUUUGAUCGUAGCCACACCUAAUCUUAACGACUGUUCCACACUGUGGGCCCCAAAACUAAACCAAAUCCCUCCUGCUAUUCAACUACAUACAACCACUGCAUGCCAAGCUGUGUCUCUCAUACUUACCAAUUCUUUCUCUAGUCCAAAUUCCUAAACCCCAACAUUUGGGAUGACCAAUUUAUUACCUACACUCCUGAAGACAAGGUAAUUCAAUGAAAAUAUUUGGAAGUUAUUUUUCUUAAUUUGUUGGAUGAUAAAAUUUGUUGGUCUAGGUUACAAGUGCCUACAAAGAGGAGCAGAUUGAGAUCUGAAAAAUGAAUUGAAAAUGGAAUUAUACAUAGUGUUGACUAUAAGAAUUAGGUAUGCACAAAAUGACAAGGGACUCAAAAUUGGAUACAUUAAAUAAAAGGAAAAAGAAAGAAAAAACCCCAAUUUAUACCUUUUCCUUUCACGUCAUCAAUCCCUUUCCCUUUCACGUCAUCAAUCCCUUUCAUACAUUACUUUCAACAUUAUUGUUUUACAUUAUUUUCAACAAUAUACAAUUUCUGAAGGCCAUUGCUACCCUAUUAAUGCAAUGGAGCUUCCCAAGCUUUUGCACUCAUACUUACCAAGUCAGCUUUCAAAGUAGUGUUCUACUACCGUUCCAAAAAAUUAUCAUGGCGAGUCAAGUCUUAUCAAGCCCUCUAGGCCAAUUUUCUAAACUGGAAAAUCGUCCAGUGGCCAAUUAUCACCCUACCAUUUGGGGUGACCAGUUCAUAUCCUACACUCCUGAAGACGAGGUAAUUGAAUUAAAAUAUGUGUUAAAUCUUAUAUGGCUUAUAAAUGCCUAUAUAUUCGAAAGUUGCUUUUCUUAAUGUGUUGUUUAGUAAAAUUACUUGGUUGCCACAGGCAACACGUGCCUGCAAAGAGAAGCAGGUUGAAGAUCUGAAAGAGGAAAUUUGAAGGAAGCUAAUGAAUGCAGCUGGUAACACUUUCCAACAGCUGAAAUUUAUCGAUGCUGUGCAACGUCUUGGGGUGGCAUACCACUUUGAAAGAGAGAUAGAAGAAGUGUUACAACAUAUUUAUGAUAGCUAUCCUGAUGGUGAUGAUAUGGAAGGUGAUAUCUAUAAUGUUGCUCUUCAAUUUCGGUAACUAAGGCAAGCUGGGUUCAAUAUUUCAUGUGGUAAGAGCCCAAAGAAUGAUCAUGUGUGAGCUAAAAUCCAUCCUUCUCAUAAUUCCAAUCUUAUGUUUAAAUUAUGGUAUUUAUGUAGGCAUGUUCAAUGAGUUCAAGGAUGAAAAGGGUAACUUCAAGAAAGCUUUGGUCAGCGACGUAAGAGGCAUGCUGGGCUUGUAUGAGGCUGUGCAUCUCAGAGUUAAUGGAGAAGACAUACUGGAUGAAGCACUUGCUUUCACCACCACCCAUCUAAGGUCCAUGGUAGAACAUUUAGAAUAUCCUCUUGCGGAAGAAGUUGCUCAUGCACUAAAGCAGCCCAUUAGAAAAGGUUUAGAGAGGCUAGAGGCAAGGUGGUUUAUGUCUAUCUACUAGGAUGCACAACUCUACUAAAGCUGGCCAAGCUAGAUUUCAAUCUAGUGCAGUCCCUACACAAGGAGGAGCUAAGCAAUAUUGCUAGGUUUGCUUUCAAAUCACUAGCAGAUAUACCUAGUCACCUUCUCAUUUUACCAUGAGCUAAUUGUUUUAAUGAAUUUUAGGUGGUGGAAAGAAUUAGACUUUGCUACAAAGCUACCUUUUGCGCGAGAUAGAUUCGUGGAAGGCUACUUUUGGAUAUUUGGGGUGUACCAGGGUUCAAAGUAUUAGCCGAGUCCCAUACGACUCGACCGAGUCGUAUCUGCCUCGACACUUACCACGAUGAGUCCGAUACCAGGUACAAUCCUAUGCACUAACUCAACAUUAAAUCAGUAGGACUCAAUUGGCUUGGCUCAAAUUCCGAGUUAACUUGGUUGAAUCGGUUAAAUUACAAAAUUUUUUCUGAUUCAAAUCAGUGAUUUUUUUUCCCUUUCAAAUUAGAACAUAAAGAUCAUAAAAUUUUCCAAAAAAAUCAAAGGAAGAAGAAACAUUGAAAUUUAAUCGAGCCGUGACUUCUUUUUAAGUCUAGAAGAGGAGAGAUCAGGCAGAUGAGGGCUCACUUACCUCACCACAAUCGACGGAGCAUGAGAGUUUUGGGACCGAUGGAUCACUCCUCAGCGUCGAUUUCAGUGAACUAAGCAUUGGAUACCUUUUCCGGUGACGACGACCAUUCGGGGAGAGCUUUUAUCGCAAGUUUGCAAACUUGUAGUCAAAACAAUAUUUGGGAAAGUAAAUUAAAACUAGAAUGUUAUGAUUUAUAUGCACUAUGAGAUUUAAUGAGAAUAACUUGGAUGGCAUUUUAAUAUUUUUAAUUUAUUAUAUAAUCUAAAUUUUUUGUCUUAUAACAUUCCAAAUUAAAGUAGAAAAUCAAUAAUUAUUUAAAAAAUAUAUUUUUAAAAGAAUCAUAAUUAUAAAAACAACAUUUUAAUAAUAGGUUUAUAUUAGGGAAUCAAUAAUUAUUUUUGUAUGUUAUAAAGAUUACAUUUAUACUUGAAUUAUUUUUAAUUUUUUAUAUCAUAUAAAUUUUUUAUCUUAUAAUAUUGUAAAUUUUAAUUAUAUUAGGAAAUCAAUGAAUGAUUUUAUAACUAUUUAAAUGAUGUUAGUUAUGAGAUAAUUUUUUUUUAUAUUAUUUUUUACCUUAUUUACUUACUUGUACCUAUUUUUUUAAAAUAAUUUACAUAAUAUUUUUAAAAUUUUUAAAAUUUUCUAAUUAUCAUAUUUUGCGUAUCUUCCGAUACCAAACCGAUACACUGAGAUCGAUGUGCCUCAAGAUCGUCCGAGUCAAUGAUCGAUACUGCGACUUUGAAUCAUGAGGUGUACUUUGAGCCUCAAUAUGUCCGGGCUAGAUGAAUUCUAACCAAAACAAUUUCCAUGACAUCCAUUAUAGAUGAUAUAUAUGACACAUAUGGCACAUUUGAAAAACUCGAGCUCUUCACCGAGGCCAUUGAGAGGUUUGAUUGAUGCAAAUUACCAACCUUCAUCAUUUAUAUUGUAUGUGAUACUUAAAUCAAGCCUGGUUUUAUUUUCAGGUGGGAUAUUAACAGCAUAGAUCACCUUCCAGAAUACAUGAAACACUGCUAUGUGGCACUCUUAGAUGUGUACAAGAGAUGGAGAAAAAAGGAAACCAAUAUCGGGUUCAAAAUGCGAUAGAAGCAGUAGGACAUUCUGCAUUGACUUUGUUUUGUAUAGUAACAUAUCGUAAGGAUAUGGAUGUAACUUGAUUGAAUGUUUGACAGAUGAAAAACCUAGUUAGAGCUUAUUUUCAUGAGGCUAAUUGGUUCCAUGAAGGAAGCAUACCAACAAUGGAAGAGUAUAUGAGGAUAGCACUGGUAACCUCAGGUUACUACAUGCUUACAACCAUGUCUUUCAUUGGUAUGGGAGAAAUUGUAACAAAGGAGGCCUUUGAUUGGGUGAUCAGUGACCCUAAGAUUAUCACAGCAUCAGCUGUAAUUUGUAGGCUCAUGGAUGACAUCAGUUCACAUAAGGUAUUGUGAAUAUAGUAUUUCUUGUUAAGCUAUAAUUUGACCUUGACCUUAAAGCUCAAUCAAUUAAACAUAUUUACUGUACUCUUCUUCUAAACUAUAUAUGCAGUUUGAGCAAAAGAGAGGGCAUGUUGCCUCAGGCAUUGAAUGUUACAUGAAGCAAUAUGGUGCCUCUGAGGAAGAGGCAUACGAUGAGUUUCAGAAGCAAGUUGUGGAUGCAUGGAGGGAUAUUAACGAGGAGUUCCUACGACCUACAGUUGUUCCGAUGCCUCUCCUAAUGCGUGUGCUUAAUCUUUCUCGAGUGAUGGAUGUGAUCUACACGGGGGGAGAUGGGUACACUCAUGUUGGAAAAGUGAUGAAGAACAAUGUUGCAUCACUGCUCAUUCACCCUAUUGUAUGACCAAAUGGAUCAAGUUGAUCACCAUCUACAUAUUCUGCCUUACCUAGGGAGUAGGAUGAAUAAAAAUUAUUGUAAUAGUAUGGGAGAGACCUAUAAUGCUGUGACCCUAAGAUUAUCACAGCAUCAGCUGUAAUUUGUAGGCUCAUGGAUGACAUCAGUUCAUAUAAGGUAUUGUGAACAUAGUAUUUCUUGUUAAGCUAUAAUUUGACCUUGACCUUAAAGCUCAAUCAAUUAAACAUAUUUACUGCACUCAUUUGUGCGAUUCUUUUUCUUGGUAUCCAUGAUUAAUUAAUUAAUUGUCAUAAUUCUCUUAAUUCGUUUUGUAGAGAUCAUAUGUAUACGGACUUCAAAGGGUGCUACGGCUCACCAUUGUACAUUCCCAAGUAACCUGAUAAUCGGAUCUAGAUUCGAUUUUUGUAAACAUGUAUUUUUCAAAUAAGAAGUCACACAUGAUUUUCUUUUUAUUUUGUUUUUCCUUAAAAAAAAACUAAAAUAAAUAGCGACUAACUUUUCAAAAAUCAAUUUUUCACAAUGAAAAAGCGAGUCUCGCCAUUUUAAGUGGGGACACACAUGAAAAAUGCGGGUCCAUAAUGAGUUUAAUUAUUUCUAAAUUCAAAGGAUUAUAAAAAUUUAUUUAUAUAAAAAAAGGAUAUUCCAUUUUGAUGAUUCCAAUCUAUUUUAAGUACCAAAGAAAGUUUUGAUUUUUUUUCUUAUUUACAAAAAAAUGCUUCAAAGUUCUUAAUUUUCACAAAUUUUAUUUACCAACAUUCCAAUUUGAUUUUCAUACAGAAAGAAACUAUUUUUAUAAUUUUUAUUAAAAUAUGAUUUUUUUUUCAAUUUUUUUAAAAAAGUAUCUAAAUCUAAUCUUAUGUCCAUGAGAAUACUUUUACAAAUUCUUUAAGAAACGGAUUUUAAAAAUUUAUUUUUAAAAAAAAUUACAAUUUUAUUUAGAAAAUAAUAAAUAUUCGGAUCCAAUUUUAAUUACAUAAAAAAAUUAUUUUUUUAGUUUUUAUUGAAAAUAAGAUUUUUACAAUUUUAUUUACAUAAGUAUGAAAAUCCAAUUCCAUAUUAUUUACUAAAAUGCAUUUUUUUUUUUACUAUUUUUAAUAAGACAUGAUUUUUACAAUUUUUUUUUAAAGUUUACGAUUUUUAUUAAAAAAAAAAAAGUCUUUGCAAUUUUUUUUAACAAAUUUUUUAAUGUUUUAUUAAAACAAAAUGAUUUCUAGAUUUUAUUUUUUUUUAAAAUGAUUUUCAAAAGUUUAAAAAAAAAAAAAAACCUUUACAGUUUUAUUUAAAAAAAAAAAAACGAUUUUCCAACUGUAUUUACAAUUUAUUUAAAAACGGAUUUUACAGUUUAAAAAAAAAUACAUUUUAUUGUUUUAUUUCAAUCUUACUGUUGUUUUUAUUUUUUUGGAAAAAAAAAAAAAAAAAGAGAAGCUCAAAUUUAUUUUUCUCCUCUCUCUCUCUCUCCCUCCACACGCUCAUUAACUUUAAUGUCAAGGUAUCAGCCCAAUUGACUUGAUUUAUAUUAACUUAAAACUUUUGUUCUAAUAGGUACCUUCAUAUAACGGCAAAGCCUUUGAUUUAUAUAGGAAGUCAUGGAGGUGAACUGUGAACCUUAGUGAUGCGUACCCAAACCCUACCAUUUAUUUGUAAUAUAGUCAUCAUAAUAUUUAAAUUAAACAUUUAAAAUAUGUUUUUUGUUCUCUUAGAAAUACGAAAAGUGUAUCUUAUUCCCUUAAUAAUUCUCAACAUUCAACCAGCCGCCAAACAGUGAUUAAGACUUUUUCACGUGAAGAUAAAACUUAUGAUUGAUCUUAUUUUUAUAAAAACACUAAAAAACGAUUUUUUUUAUCUUUAACUUAAAAAUGGUUUUUAAAAAUAAUUUUUAGAAAACAUAAAUUAAACAGACUCUUAGGGUUUCAUUUGAGAAAUAAAUGAAGAAGAUUACAAAAAAAUUGAAAAUAAAUAAAGAAGAUGAUAUUUUAAUUUUUAUUUAAUAUCUUAAUUUUUAUUAUCUAAAAUUAUUUAAUUAUUCUAAUUAAUGAUAUUUUGAGUUUAAUUAUGAUUAAAAUAUAUAAAAGUCUUAAAUUGAGAUAAGUUGCUUAAAUGAUUGAUUGUGGAUUGAAAUUUUACUCACAAAAUAUGCAUGUGGCUUUCGCUUGAAAAGGCAUAUGUUGGGAAGCAGUUAUGCUUGGUUACGAGUUCUAUAAGCUUACGAUUUUAGAUUUGCAUGAUUAUCUUAAUUUGGAUUAGACAGCUACGGAGAAGGGGCCUUUAUUCAAACUGUUUGUCUUAUUCUCAACAAAGGAAGCAUUUUAUUUAAAACAGAACACUCUAAGAAAAACUAACAGCCAAAUUAAAACAAUUAGGCCAUGUUUGGUACGAAGCCAAAGCAAUUAGGUCAUGUUUAGCAUGAAGCCAAAUCACGACCAUGUUUGGUAUAUAGAAAUGAAGAGUAAGAAUAGAUAUGUUAUUUAUUUUCUCAUUCAUUUUCAUAUUUGGAUGAUUUAAGUAUAGUAAAAAUAAAAUAAAAAAUAAUUUCAAAGAAAUGAAACAAGUUAUUCUUAAAAACACUUUUUAAAAGUUAAAAAUCAAAAACUUUUUUAGAUAAGUCCGUUUUAAAAAUAAUUUUUUAUUUUGAUUUUGUAAAAAAGAAAUUAUAAAUUCAAUUUAUAUAAUAUAAAAUUAAUUUAAUUCAAGUCUUAUAAAAAAUAAAAAUAACUUUGUAAUUAUAAAUACAUUUUUAAAUUAAAUAUUUUUUAAUAAAAUAUGAAUAGGAUUAUCAUAAUAUAAUCAUAAAUUAUAUUUUUAAUAAAUAUUAUAAAAAAUAUGGAUAUUAACCUCUUAUAAAAGCAUAAUUGAUUUAUUUUGUUAAAAAUAAAUAAUAAUGAUUUAAAAUUAAUAAUUACUAAUACUAUUUUUUAAAAUUAUUAUACUUACUACUUUGUUUUAAAAAAUUAUUUCUCAAGAACAAUAAUCGAUAGUGGUAUUAAUUUUUAAAAACAAUUUUAUUUUUAAAUGAAAAGCCUAAACAGGUUUUUAUUAUUUAGCAAAAAAAAAAAAAAAAAACACUGUCAAACAUUUUUUUAAAAUGAAAAUAAAAAAAUUAUUUAAAAUGAUGUAUUGUGUAAGAGAUUUUUUUUAAAAUAAAAAUAAAAGAUUAAAGAUACUAUAAAUUAUGAUUAAAAUAAUGAAAAUUAAUAAAAUGAUAUUGGCUUUUUUUUUUAAAUACAUUCGAAAUAUUAAUCUAAAAAAAGAAGAUAAAUGAAUAAUAUAUUGAAAAAUAUAACUUUGUCUUUUUUCUUACAAUAAUUUUCAUAGCUUUAAAAAUAGUGAUCUUUAAUUUUCUUGCUAUUAUUUAUUAUUAGCUGAGUUGUAUAAAUUACAUUGUUAUAGUUUCCUUUAAAACCAAAAUAAAAAUCAAUCCAUGUGGUUCAAUGACAAUAUUGGCUGAAAAAAAAAAAUCACUUAAUUUUCAUCUACUAGAUCCUAGCCGCCACCUAAUAUUUAUGACUUGUUUGGAUAUUUUGAGUGAAUUUAACCAAAGAGACACUAGAAGGCCAAUAGUUUUCUUGCCAUCAGUCUCUUCCAUGCACUACCCUUUCAAAUCAUGGGCCCCAAAACCAAACCAAAUUCCACAUACUUUUCAACUACAUACAACCAAUGAAUGCCAAUGCUGCCCUAUAAAUAUGGAGCUUGCCAAGCUAUUUCUCUCAUACUUACUGUAACGCCGAAGUAUUUUUUUAAGGGUAAUUUAGGAAAUUACUAAUAAUAAUUCAAUUAGUUAAUUAAUUAAUUUAAUAAAGUGGAAGAUGGGUAAAAGUGUAAUUUUAUGAAUAAAUACCCUAGGUAUAAAUUAGAAAUUCUAUUUCUUCCUGUUCUUUUCUGAAUAGAAUUCCUGUUCGCAGAAUUUCAGAGAACGUAGAUUGAAGUUAGAUUUCAGGGUUGAAGAACAGAUCUCUAUAGGUAAGAUUCAGUUUAAUAUUUUAGAUUCAUUGAUUAAUUUCAAACACAUUAGAUAUCUUUUGGAAAACCCAAAUCUAGAUUAGGGUUAGUUUAUUUUAUUUUUUUUAAUUCGUUUUCAUAUCAAUAGUAAAAAAAUAAAAAAAAUAAAAAAAUAAAAAUAAAAAUUUAAGAUUUUGAUUUAUUGUUGGUAUUUAGGAGAUCUUAAGUUUUAUUAGAUGAAAAACAAAAAAAAGGUUCCUUGGAAGGUUUCGAUUUUAUAUUAGGGUUAAUUUUAUUAAAAAAAGAAAAAGGGCGUGCGCCAAAUGAAAGGAAGCCUUAUAUAUAUAUAUAAUGAAUCAUGAUGAUGGCAAUGGAAAAAAAAAAACUUGCUUUUUGGUUUGGUGUACCCGAGACAACUAGGUAAUGGUUGAGUGACUUUUGAAUUGGUUAAUUAAAAUAAUAAUAUUUAGUUUAAGAUUCAUAAUUAAGAUAAUAGUAAUAAUAGUCUUCUUUUUUUUGUAAUAAAUAGAAUGAGAGAUUUAGCAAAAUAUAUAUAUAUAUAUAUAUAUAUAUAUAUAGAAUUUUAUAAUGAAAUAAAAUUGUAAUUUAAUUAAAUUAGUAAUGUGUUAUUAGAAACAAAUUGAGAAUUUAUUAAUUUUAUUUAAAUAAGGAAUAGAUUAGUUAAAUUAUAGAUAAAUAGUAAUAAUUAUUUAUCUUAUGUUAUAUUAGGAGAAGAGUAGAUUUUUCCAGAAUUAUUUUUCUCCCAAGCUUUCAAGGUCUUUGCAUAAUUUGAGGUAAGGGAAGUUAAUGCAAUAUUUAUAAAAUUUAAAUUAUUUUAUAUGUUAUUUUGAAUUGUGGAAAAGAAAAUGAUAUUUUGUUACCAUGCAUGGAUCAAAUUGUUUUGCACUAAAUAUUAUGUUGGAAUAUUUUGUUUUAUUUAUGACACAAAAUAUGGAGAUAUUAUGUUGUGUAAAUUUGAAUACUUGAACAAAAACAUCACUCUGGUUUAUUUGACCCUUGUCAACGAGAUAUAAUAGUUGACUAUUCGGCCCUGUCAACAGGAUAUAAUAGUUGACCUUUACAUUUCAUGGUAAGAAUGUAAUUGAUUUGGACCCCAGCCUCUAGGGGUUUGGUUAGAGGUUACUAGUAGUAGUAGUGUUUGGUUCCGUCCACCAGGAACAACUUGAGGCUAGCCACCCAUUUGAAAAGUCCCACCUAACUGGGCAUUUGAUAUUUGAUAACCAGAGUAAUGAAAAUUGAAUGGAUUUGAUUGAAUCUUAUGUGAAAGUGUUUGAAUUUGAUAUGAAAAUGGUUGGUUGAAUUUUGAAUAUAUUGGUAUUUUUGAAACUCUGAUAUUUGAUGAGAAAAAAAAAUGAUAUCUCCUAUUUGAAAUGAAAAUAUUUUUCCAUGAACUGCAUUAAUAUUCCUUACUGGGCUGUGAGCUCAUUCCCAAUUGUUGAAAACUUUUCAGGUACUCUUAGUUCGGGUGAGGAGUGAUGGCUAGGAUGAGGAAUGGUCAUCAUUAGGAUUUGACUUAGGAUUUUAUGUUGGAUUUUGUUUAACUGUUAGUUAUGUUCAUUUGGACCCUUUGGUAUUUGGAAGUUAUUUGGAUAUUGAUCCUUCAAAUUUUAUGUUAGAUCAAAGUUGAGUUUUGGAGAUUUUGAAAUUUGUUCUAGUACUUGAAUUGUUUAAGUUUGCAAAUAUUUGGAUAAUGGAUUUUGGAUAGUGGAUGUUUUAGUUUUGAAAUUGAAUUUUGAGGAUUUUAGAUUUUGUUCCGCUACUCUGAAUAGGUAUUUGGUAAUUAGUAACUUCCGAUUACAAGAUAAUUGUUUGGGUCGGGUUACACUGUAAGCCUUCGGGUUUGAAGUGUGAAAUGACCGUCACGCUCUUGGAGUGGGUCUUGGGGCGUGACAGAGUGGUAUCAGAGCACUAGGUUUUGAUCUUGAUGGGAAUUUGAAUUGGUUUAGAUUGGGGAUAGAUGAGUGACGCAUUUGUUUAAGUUUUAGUUUCAUUUAGUAUAAAUUCCAAUUCUUUCUUUAUUUGUAAAUUUUCUAAUUGGUUCUUUAGUGACUAAAUUAGUUAUGCCUUAUUAUUUUAGGACAUCAUGCCACCAAGAAGAGCAACUUCUUCACAAAAUAGUCAGAUUAAUGAUGAUGUACCUCCAGUUGAGGGUUUGCCUCCCGUGAGUGCAAAAGGGAUCUAUAGGUAUCUUGGGACACUAGCUGGUUUAGUUGAACGCCAAGCUCGAGCUGUUGGGACUAAUGUUCAGGGACAGACUUCAUCUUCUAGGGGUAACUCUUUUGAUGACUUCAAGAAAUUGGGUCCUCCUUACUUUUCUGGUGCUACAGAUCCCACAGAGGCAGAGGCUUGGAUCCUUAAGGUGGAGAAAUUCUUUGGUGUCAUAGAUUGCUCUGAGGAGCAAAAAGCCUCUUAUGCAGCUUUUAUGUUAGAUAAAGAGGCAGAUCAUUGGUGGCGUAUGACUAGGAGACUUUUGGAGGAUCAGGGACCCAUAACAUGGAGACAAUUUAAGGAGGCUUUCUACAAGAAGUAUUUCCCUGACAGUGUUAGGCGGCAGAAGGUGGGAGAGUUUAUUCAUUUGGAACGGGGAGAUAUGACUGUGGCUCAAUAUGAGGCCAAAUUUACAGAGUUAUCAUGUUUUUCCCCACAGUUGAUUGCUACAGAGGAGGAAAAGGCAUUAAAGUUUCAGGAUGGAUUGAAGCCUUAUUUGAAGAACAAGAUAUCUAUUCUGAAGCUUGGUGUCUAUUCAGAGGUUGUUGACAGAGCCCUUAUAGCAGAGAAAGAUAAUGAGGAGCUUCAUCAGUAUAGGGAACAACAAAGGAAGUGAAAUAGGAGUGAUAGUGCUCAUGGUAAUCAAGCACAGCGAAGGUCUACAUCAGGAAGAAAUCAGAAUAAAGGGAAUGCAACGCAUUAUUUAGAUGGGGCUUGUCCUACUUGUGGUAAGAAGCAUGGGGGUAGGCCAUGCUAUAGAGAGACUGGAGCUUGCUUUGGUUGUGGGAAGCAAGGACAUUUGAUCAGAGAUUGUCUAGAGAAUAGGAAGUUCAUCAAUGGGAAGCCUAAAGAGGAAAAUAAGGAGGAUAAACAGAAACCCAAAGCCCAAGAACGGGUGUUUUCUUUGACUCAUCGAGAUGCUCAGGCCACUUCUGAUGUGGUAACAGGUACUCUCCGAAUCCACACCUUAUUUGCUAGAGUCUUGAUUGAUCCUGGAUCAACACACUCUUUUGUUUCAGUAUCUUUUGCCAGUUUGUUGGGUUUGCCUGUUGCUAGCAUGGACUUUGAUUUGAUUGUUACUACUCUUGUGGGAGAUUCUGUUGUGGUCAGUAGAAUGCUUAGAAAUUGUAUUGUGAUGAUUGGUUAUAGGGAAAUGCCAGUUGACUUAGUACUCCUUGAUCUUUAGGAUUUUGAUGUGAUUUUGGGGAUGGAUUGGUUAGCUUCCUACCAUGCCUCUGUUGACUAUUUUGAGAAAAUGGUGACGUUUAGUAUUCCUGGUCAGCCUAAGUUUAGCUUUGAAGGGAAGCAUGUGGACAGACCACUGCGUAUGAUCUCAGCCUUGCGAGCUAGUAGCUUGCUCAAGAAGGGUUGCCAAGGAUUUUUGGCUAGUGUGAUGAGUAAUGAAAGUGAUUUGAAGUUGGAAAACAUACCCAUAGUAAGGGAGUAUGUUGAUGUCUUUCCAGAGGAUUUGCCUGGCUUGCCACCAGAGAGAGAGGUGGAGUUUACCAUCGAUUUGGUACCAGGAACAGGUCCUAUGUCUAAGGCCCCAUACAAGAUAGCACCUGUGGAGCUUAAGGAGUUGAAAGUUCAGCUUCAAGAGUUAUUAGACAAGGGUUUUAUCAGGCCUAGUGUUUCACCUUGGGGAGCUCCUGUUCUAUUUGUAAAAAAGAAGGAUGGCUCAAGGAGACUUUGCAUUGACUAUAGGGAGUUGAAUAAGGUGACAGUGAAGAACAAGUAUCCCCUUCCUCGGAUUGAUGAUUUGUUUGAUCAGCUAUAAGGUGCUUGUGUGUUCUCUAAGAUAGAUCUUCAAUCGGGUUAUCACCAGUUGAGGGUUAGAGGGGAAGAUGUACCCAAGACUGCUUUUCGAACUAGGUAUGGGCACUAUGAGUUUCUUGUUAUGCCUUUUGGUUUGACUAAUGCACCUGCUACUUUUAUGGACUUGAUGAAUAGGGUAUUCAAACCCUAUUUAGAUCAGUUUGUGGUGGUUUUUGUAGAUGACAUCUUGGUAUACUCAAGAAGUAGAGAGGAGCAUGAGGGCCAUUUGAGUAUUGUAUUACAGACCCUCAGAGAUAAGCAGUUGUAUGCUAAACUGAAGAAGUGUGAGUUUUGGUUAGACCGAAUUNNNNNNNNNNNNNNNNNNNNNNNNNNNNNNNNNNNNNNNNNNNNNNNNNNNNNNNNNNNNNNNNNNNNNNNNNNNNNNNNNNNNNNNNNNNNNNNNNNNNAACGAAGAAGUUGCAGCCAUUACAAGCCAGUCACUCUAAAGUGUUGCGGAAUCAGCCUUUUGUUGCGAGAAUUUCGCAGCACUUUUGUACAGUAAGGUGUUUCUCCUUCUGACGAUGCACGAACCAUGCCGCGAGAAGGGAGCUGGAAACUUCAAGAUGGAAGCCAACUUUGCAGCCUAGUGAAGAUAGCUCGGUCUUGCAAGAUAAUUUCGCAGCCCUCUUGGGUGUCUGCGAAAUUUCGCAGGCCCCACUUUUCACCUGCGAAAUGGCUCCUGAAGCCUCCCGAAGCUUGCUACCGACAUUGGGAGAUAUUUUCCAUUAGAUUUUUGUUGUCUAAAUCCCAAAAUACUCCUUGUAAACCACCAAUUACAUGAUUCCUUAGUUUUUAGGUUAGUAAAAAGACCAAAUAUCUUUGUAAGAAUUAGUUUUAUAUUAGUUUGAUAUAAAUACCUCUCGGGAGCCUGUUCUCGGGGAGGAGUUCCUUCUGUAAACAUUUGGUAAGGAAGUAAAGGUCUUUUCUUUCUACUGCCUUACCUUCUCACUUUGUAUUUUCAUUAUAUUUCUAAGUUAUGAAUUCUCUGAGGAGUUUUCCCCAGAGAAUGAGUAACUAAACCUCCAAUUCCUUGGAGCUAAGGUUGCCGGGGAAGGUUCCAAGUGCAAAAAUGCAAAGCUCUGUGGUUUUAGCUAGUAAUGAAGAGGAAGUGAAAUCCUUUAGUGAUUUCAAUGUUUUUAGUUAACUUAAAACACCUUGGAGUCACCUGGGCCAACACUUGGUAAGGCAAGUGAUUUCCAACCGUGGAAAUGCACUAGUUUACCCCUUGCGAGCCUCUGGUAGGUGACUUCAAGGUAGGAUUUUCCGGAAUUACCAACACUUGGUAAGCUUUUGGACUCCUAGGAGACAUCCAUUAGUUAUCUCUUGCGAGUUUGUGAAGGGAAGUCCAAGGUUAAAGAUCACCUUGAAUGGUAAGUGCUCGUGAGAGGCAUGAACCAUUGCAAGGUGCAUCAGUGAGAGAAUUAAAGUGAAAUCUAAUUGAAGGAGUCUCUGUACAUCACCGGUUAGAGACUUGACUCUAAGUUGAAUCUCUAAUGCGAGGAAAUGAACCAUCUGACCAGAGCUAUGUCUUUUGCAUGAGGAACCACCCCAGUGAACCUAAAUCUCCNNNNNNNNNNNNNNNNNNNNNNNNNNNNNNNNNNNNNNNNNNNNNNNNNNNNNNNNNNNNNNNNNNNNNNNNNNNNNNNNNNNNNNNNNNNNNNNNNNNNAAAUCAAAGUUUGUGUUUUAUUUCUUAAACUAACCGUGAAAUGAAACAAAACCAAUUCACUUGGAAUUGGUAUCCUUGAUUGCUUGCAAAUCAUUCCUAGUGAACGAUCCUUAGAGCCACUAUACUAUAGUAGCUUUGUAUUUGCUACCCUAGUGUAUGGUGUUAUAGGUAUAAAUUUUGUUGAUCACUUCCUCAAUCAAGGAGCACCAGCUGAACACAAAUCAGCUGAGACACCAAUUGGGCAUGAGUCAGAGAUCUUGAGAUUUGGGACUAGACUUUGUGUCCCAAAUGAUGAAGACUUAAGAAGGGAGCUUUUAGAGGAAGCUCAUUGUUCCAAGUUUGCAAUCCACCCAAGAGGGACAAAGAUGUACAAGGAUUUGAGGCAAAACUAUUGGUGGUCAGGUAUGAAGCAUGAUAUUGCACAAUUUGUGGCUCAGUGUUUAGUGUGUCAACAGGUGAAGGCUGAGCAUCAGCGACCAGCAGGGUCUUUGCAGCCACUUGCUAUUCCUGAGUGGAAGUGGGAGCAUAUUACCAUGGAUUUUGUGAUAGGAUUGCCAAGAACCUUAGGGAGUAAUAAUGCUAUUUGAGUGGUUGUUGAUCGGUUGACAAAGUCUGCUCACUUUUUGCCUAUGAAAGUCAACUUUUCUUUAGAUCGUUUAGCUUUUCUUUAUGUGAAGGAGAUUGUGAGAAUGCAUGGAGUACUAGUUUCUAUAGUGUCUGAUAGAGAUCCUCGUUUCACUUCUAGAUUCUGGCAUAGUCUAUAAAAAGCUUUGGGCACUAAGUUGAGUUUUAGUACUGCUUUCCAUCCUCAAACUGAUGGUCAAUCAGAAAGGGUAAUUCAGGUUUUAGAAGACUUGUUGAGAGCUUGUAUUUUGGACUUGCAAGGUAAUUGGGAUGAUCAUUUACCUUUAGUAGAGUUUGCCUAUAACAAUAGUUUUCAAGCUAGCAUUGGGAUGUUACCUUUUGAGGCAUUGUAUGGUAGGAAAUGUCGAUCUCCUAUCUGUUGGAAUGAUGUUGGAGAAAGGAAACUUUUGGGGCCUGAACUUGUGCAGUUGAUUGUUGAAAAAGUUGCUUUGAUUAAAGAAAGAUUAAAAGCAGCUCAAAGUAGACAUAAGAGUUAUGCUAAUCAUCGUAGGCGAGAUUUGGAGUUUGAGGUGGGUGAUAUGUGUUCUUGAAAGUUUCACCUAUGAAGUCUGUGAUGAGAUUUGGGAGAAAAGAAAAACUUAGUCCUCGUUUUGUGGGUUCGUUUGAAAUAUUAGAAAGAGUAGGCACUUUGGCAUAUAAAGUAGCCUUGCCCCCAAGUCUAUCUAAGAUUCAUAAUGUUUUCCAUGUUUCAACCUUGAGGAAGUAUAUUUAUAAUCCAUCUCAUGUUGUGGAGUUGGAGCCUAUUCAAAUUUCGGAGGACUUGACCUAUGAAGAGGUACCCGUUCAAAUUGUGGAUGUGAUGGAUAAGGUACUGCGACAUGUUGUUGUCAAGUUGGUAAAGGUCCAGUGGAGCAAUCAUAGUAUCCGAGAGGCCACUUGGGAGUUAGAAGAAGAGAUGAGAGAAAAACAUCCUCAAUUAUUUCAAGACUCAAGUAUGUCAAGUUUAGAAGACUAAACUUUUGUUAAGAAGGGGAGGAUGUAACGCCCAAGUAUUUUUUUAAGGGUAAUUUAGGAAAUUACUAAUAAUAAUUCAAUUAGUUAAUUAAUUAAUUUAAUAAAGUGGAAGAGGGGUAAAAGUGUAAUUUACAAAUAAAUACCCUAGGUAUAAAUUAGAAAUUCUAUUUCUUCUUGUUCUUUUCUGAAUAGAGUUCCUGUUCGCAUGAAUUUCAGAGAACAUAGGUUGGAGUCAGAUUUCAAGGUUGAAGAACAGAUCUCUAUACGUAAGAUUUUAACCCCUAGUUUAAUAUUUUAGAUUCAUUGAUUAAUUUCAAACACAUUAGAUAUCUUUUGGAAAACCCAAAUCUAGAUUAGGGUUAGUUUUUAUUUUUUUUUUAUUUUUUUUUUUUAAUUCGUUCUAAUAUCAAUAGUAAAAAUAAUAAUAAUAAUAAUAAAAAUUUAAAAAAAAUUUAAGAUUUUGAUUUAUUGUUGGUAUUUGGGAGAUCUUAAGUUUUAUUAGAUGAAAAAAAAAAAAGGUUCCUUGGAAGGUUUCAAUUUUAUAUUAGGGUUAAUUUUAUUAAAAAAAGAAAAGGGGCGUGUGCCAAAUGGAAGGAAGCCUUAUAUAUAUAUAUAUAUAUAUAUAUAAUGAAUCAUGAUGAUGGCAAUGGAAAAAAAAAAAAAAACUUGCUUUUUGGUUUGGUGUACCCAAGACAACUAGGUAAUGGUUGAGUGGCUUUUGAAUUGGUUAAUUAAAAUAAUAAUAUUUAGUUUUAGAUUAAUAAUUAAGAUAAUAGUAAUAAUAGUCUUUUUUUUUUUUGUAAUAAAUAGAAUGAGAGAUUUAGCAAUAUAUAUAUAGAAUUUUAUAAUGAAAUAAAAUUGUAAUUUAAUUAAAUUAGUACUGUGUUAUUAGAAACAAAUUGAGAAUUUAUUAAUUUUAUUUAAAUAAGGAAUAGAUUAGUUAAAUUAUAGAUAAAUAGUAAUAAUUAUUUCUCUUAUGUUAUAUUAGGAGAAGAAUAGAUUUUUCCUGAAUUAUUUUUCUCCCAAGCUUUCAAGGUCUUUGCAUAAUUUGAGGUAAGGGAAGUUAAUGCAAUAUUUAUAAAAUUUAAAUUAUUUUAUAUGUUAUUUUGAAUUGUGGAAAAGAAAAUGAUAUUUUGUUACCAUGCAUGGAUCAAAUUGUUUUGCACUAAAUAUUAUGUUGGAAUAUUUUGUUUUAUUUAUGACACAAAAUAUGAAGAUAUUAUGUUGUGUAAAUUUGAAUACUUGAACAAAAACAUCACUCUGGUUUAUUUGACCCUUGUCAACGAGAUAUAAUAGUUGACUAUUCGGCCCUGUCAACGGGAUAUAAUAGUUGACCUUUACAUUUCAUGGUAAGAAUGUAAUUGAUUUGGACCCCAACCUCUAGGGGUUUGGUUAGAGGUUACUAGUAGUAAUAGUAUUUGGUUCCGUCCACCAAGAACAAUUUGAGGCUAGCCACCCAUUUGAAAAGUCCCACCUAACUGGGCAUUUGAUAUUUGAUAACUAGAGUAAUGAAAAUUGAAUGGAUUUGAUUGAAUCUUAUGUGAAAGUGUUUGAAUUUGAUAUGAAAAUGGUUGGUUGAAUUUUGAAUAUAUUGGUAUUUUUGAAACUCUGAUAUUUGAUGAGAAAAAAAAAAUGAUAUCUCCUAUUUGAAAUGAAAAUAUUUGAUCCAUGAACUGCAUUAAUAUUCCUUAUUGGGUUGUGAGCUCAUUCCCAAUUGUUGAAAAAUUUUCAGGUACUCUUAGUUCGGGUGAGGAAUGAUGGCUAAGCUGAGGAAUGGUCAUCAUUAGGAUUUGACUUAGGAUUUUAUGUUGGAUUUUGUUUAACUGUUUGUUAUGUUCAUUUGGACCCUUUGGUAUUUGGAAGUUAUUUGGAUAUUGAUCCUUCAAAUUUUAUGUUAGACCAAAGGUGAGAUUUGGAGAUUUUGAAAUUUGUUCUAGUACUUGAAUUGUUUAAGUUUGCAAAUAUUUGGACAAUGGAUUUUGGAUAGUGGAUGUUUUAGUUUUGAAAUUGAAUUUUGAGGAUUUUAGAUUUUGUUCCGCUACUCUGAACAGGUAUUUGGUAAUUGGUAACUUCCGAUUACAAGAUAAUUGUUUGGGUCAGGUUACACUGUAAGCCUUCGGGUUUGAAGUGUGAAAUGACCGUCAUGCCCUUGGAGUGGGUCUUGAGGCGUGACACUUACCGAUUCAUCAUUCAAGGUAUAGAACUGUUCUAUCAUUGAUCCAAGGAAUUAACAUGUCUACUCAAGUCUCAGCAUCUUCUCUAGCCCAGAUUCCCAAACCCAAAAAUCGUCCUGGCAAACUUUCACCCCAACAUUUGGGGUGACCAAUUUAUCACCUGCACUCCUGAAGACUAUGCAUCAAUUAUAAAUUUGACAGUUAUUUUUCUUAAUAUGUUGGAUGAUAAAAUUUGUUGGUCAAGGUUACACGUGCUUGCAAAGAGGAGCAGAUUGAGGAUCUGAAAAAGGAAGUGAAAAGGGAAUUAACGGUUGUUGUUGUUGCUAACCCUUCCCAAUUGCUGAACUUCAUUGAUGCAUACCACUUUGAGCAAGAGAUAGAAGAAGCAUUACAACAAAUUUGUAAUAGUUUUCAUGAUUGCAAUGAUAUGGAUGGUGAUCUCUACAAUAUUGCUCUUGGAUUUCGACUACUAAGGCAACAAGGGUACAGUAUUUCAUGUUGUAAGAGACUAAGAAAAAAUUGUUAUGUUAAACCUUCUUAUCAUUCAAAAUCUUAUGUUCAAGUGGUGAUGUUUAUGUAGGUAUAUUGAACAAGUUUACGGAUGAAUGAGGUAGAUUCAAGGAAGCUUUGAUCAACGAUGUAAGAGGCAUGCUAGGCUUGUAUGAAGCUGCACAUCUGAGGGUUCAUGGUGAGGACAUACUUGCAGAAGCACUUACUUUCACCACCACUCACCUCGAGGCCAUGGUAGAAAGUUUAGGAUAUCCUCUUGCAGAACAAGUUGCCCAUGCCCUGAACCGACCAUUAGAAAAGGUUUGGAGAGGUUAGAGGCAAGAUGGUAUUUAUCUGUCUACCAAGUGUUGGUUUAAGGGUAUGGAAACAAAGGACUAACUCAAAAGACACAAACAAAAAACAUAAUGAAUAGUAAGAAAAACUUAUUAGUUGAGGCGUGACAAACACUGUUCUUGAAAUAGAUCCACCCUCUUCGAAAACGAACUGAAUGCACUAAGGUGCCAGUGGUCUACCUCCAGGAUUCAAUAGCCAGAUCUUGCCUUGGGUGCACUCUAUAAGUGAGACAUGUACAACUUGGUUUUGAAAAAAUUCCUCCAAAAAGAUGUAUGAAAGACUCUCUGAAAAAUUGGUAUUCAAAGAGUAAAAGGUGACCUGCUUUUAUAGGUCACCAACACAGUCCUAAUGGGACUCUACUUGUAAUCAGAGGACUCAAAGUGGAAUGAGAUUCUACUUAUAAGUGAAACAGGACUCUAUUAGCACAAUCCCAAUGGGAUUCUUCCCAAAGGUAAAAGACUAAGUCAAAUGGAAUAAAAAUUAAAUAAAAAAAAUUGAAUUUUGUAAAAAUUAGUCAAAUUCGCUAAAACACUUUUUCACAUUUACACUCUUCCUACACCAAGAUGAAGCUUUCCAUGAUAAAACUUUACCAGAGCUAGCCAAAUUAGAUUUCAAUCUAGUGCAGUCACUGCACAAGGAAGAGCUAAGCAAUCUUGUAAGGUUGGUUUUUAAAUCACCCCACAUGUACUUGGCCAUUCUUAUCACUUUCUUGUAUACUGAUCAUAUUAAUGUCUUUUAGGUGGUGGAAAGAAUUAGACUUUGUUACAAAGUUAUCUUUUGCAUGAGACAGAUUGGUUGAAUGCUACUUUUGUAUACAUGGGGUAUAUUUUGAGCCUCAAUACUUACGAGCUAAACGAAUUCUAACCAAAGUAAUUGCUAUGACAUCCAUUCUAGAUGAUAUCUAUGAUGCAUAUGGCACACCUGGUGAACUCAAGCUCUUCACAGAAGCCAUUGAGAGGUUUGCUACUUGCACAUUACCAACCUUGAUUGUGUAUAAUAUAUGUAUUUAUAUAUACCUAAAUCAAGGGUCAUUAUUUUAUUUUCAGGUGGGAUAUUAACAGCAUAGAUCAACUUCCAGAAUACAUGAAACCCUGCUAUGUGGCACUCUUUGAUGUGUACAAAGAAAUCGAGGAAGAGAUGGAGAAAGAAGGAAACCAAUAUAGGGUGCACUAUGCCAAAGAAGUAGUAGGACAUCUUUAACUCUGGAUUCCCACCUUUUGCAUUGAUGAUAUUUUAUAUGGUCUCAUAUAUACAUAGAUAUAACUUGGGUGAAUGUCCAUUAGAUGAAGAAUCAAGUUCGAGGUUACAUGAAGAACACGUACCAACACUUGAAGAGUACAUGUGUGUUGCACUAGUAAGCUUUGGAUACUACAUGCUUGCAACCACAUCCUUGGUGGGAAUGGGAGAAAUAGUAACAAAGGAGGCCUUUGAUUGGGUGACCAGCGAUCCUAAGAUUAUGCCAUCUUCAAAUUUCAUUGCGAGGCUCAUGGAUGACAUCACAUCACAUAAGGUAUGCAGAAUAUGUUAUUCAAGUGGGGAGAAUAUAACACACCGGUUUUUUUUUUUCUCAACUUUUGCAUUAUACAUGCAGUUUGAGCAAAAGAGAAGGCAUGUGGCCUCAGCCAUUGAAUGUUACAUGAAGUAAUAUGGUGUCUCUGAGGAACAAGUAUACAGCGAGCUUCAAAAUCAAAUUGAGAAUGCAUGGUUGGAUGUCAACCAGGAAUGCCUCAAACCUACUACUAUUCCAAUGCCUCUCCUUGCUCCUAUUCUAAAUCUUACACGAGUCUCGGAUGUCAUUUACAAAGAGCAAGAUGCGUACACACAUGUUGGGAAAGUGAUGAAGAAUAACAUUGCGUACACACAUGUAGUUGAUUAUCGUCCCCUAUGUAUUGCCUUGUGGAAGAAGUAAUAUCUAAUAAAUCAUUAUAAUAAGGUGAGGGAACAAUACGUAAUAAAUCAUUGUAAUAUGGAAAGGGGGACACAUCAUAUGUAGCACCUAGUUUCUCUGGGUUCAUAGUGUUUUACUUUUGAAUAUUCCCUGAAUAUUUAAAUAAGAAUAUGUAUUACUUAAAUCACCUGAAUAUAUUAUUUAUUAUAUUAUAUUCUUUAAUACAUAUGUAUUAUUGUGAUUCAACUUGAGGAGUAUUGAUACUGAGUCUUAAAAUACAUAUGUAUGUAGAAUAUAUGUCUACAAAAAAUCCGGAUCUCCUUGUUAAUGUGUAAUGGUGUUUUGGAGUACUACAAUACUCACCAAAUAACUUCUUUACACUUUAUAAUGGACACUGACUGGUGAGUUUAUAGUUAAUUAAAGAUUUCACUCGAUAGCAAAUUAUUAUUAUUAUUAUUAUUAUUGUUAUUGUUGUUGCUAGCGUUAUUAUUAUUUAAUUCAUUAUUAUGAAAAUUAUUAUUAUUAUUACUAUUUAAUUAUUAUUAUUAUUAGCUAUUAAUUUUAGUUUUUUCUUUUUCAUCUUUUCUUUUUUGUUGUUUGUUAUAUACUUCAUAAAAUUAUAAGUUAUGGUCUUUUAUUAGGUUGAAAUUGGAAGUUCAAGUUCAUUAAAGUAUGACACAGUUAACUUAGGUUCACUAAUUUUGUAAAAAAUUUGAUGCAUUUAUAGGAUAAUUAAAUAAUUCAACAAACUUAUCAUUUUACUAAUUAAGGUUUUUUAUUUUAUUUUAUUUUUUAAAAAACUUUUUUACAUGUAAGAAUACAGAAAUUAUGGUUCAAUGUGAAACUUUGGAAUUGCAUGAAUAUGAAAGUGAAAUUUGUUGGUGUCGUUCCCAACUAGAGUUAGGUUCAUCCAACUUCACUGGAGUCAGGUGGACUGCUUCCUUUCUCCAACUCGUGAACUUAGCCGAUACUAAGUUAUGUGAUAACACCCAAUUUUUCCGUUCGUGCUUCUUGAGAAGUCCGUCCAGUUGUAUUGGAAUCAGACAGACUUCUUCCAUGCACAAAAGGAUGUCCAGACAGGUGAUUCGAGCACGUCCCUCCUAAACUUAAGUCAGUUAAGGAUAGUUCUAACUUAUUUUUGUGGCAGAAAAUGAGUUUAUGUGCAUGCCUACCUUGUUCAUGCUUUUUGAGGGGUUUAUAUAGAGUUGAUGAUACUGUCCCUAUAGUGCUGACUAUACACUCUAGUCUUUCUUGUAAUGAUGAUUGCCCUUAGGGCGGUUGAUUGGUGCCAUCUAUUGACGUGCCAAAAUCUCGGACCAGCAACCGAUUGUCCAUUUAGCUUGCCAAUGUCUGGGAUUGUGUGUAACAAUUAAUUGACAUUGACUUUUGGGUGUAAAUGGAGUCCUGUCCACUGCUUAGAUGUCAGGCGUCUAAUCCACUGCUCAAAUGUCCUGUGUCUGGGCCAACGCUCAGACAUCAAGCAUAGUUGAUCAUGCAUGCCAGAAAUCCUGAGGACUUGAUUAGACUGAUUUUUUCGUCUGAGAGUCCAACGAGCCUAGCCUAUCGAUUCCGUUCAACCUUGUGGAAGAAGAGAAACCUCUCACUUCUUGUGUCAGACAUAACUUAUCUUGGUCCAAACGAAUUGAUCCCAGACGGGUUAUAAGUUUGUUCUGGUCGGCCAAGGGGUCUUAAGCUUGAAAAUGACACGUGAAGGGAAACCCCCCACAAUGCCCUUUUAAUCUGUCUACUUCUAUUCAGAUGAAGAGGAGAUGUUUUUGGAGCGUCCAGUUAGUUUCCUAUCUGAACAGGAAUUCUGGGAUCGUUUCCAUAUUCCAGAGAAUAUCCCUAUUCUUCUAAUAGACGACGAGGCGUUAUCCUCCGUUGACCUGCCCAACAACAUGAUGUAUUUUACUAAGGAACAAUUCGUUGCAGGGCUCCGUCUACCUAUCCCCUCUCUCUUCAAGCAGUUUCUUCAUUUUAUGUAAAUCCCUUCAGCUUUUCUUCAUCCGAAUUUUGUCCGGGUAUUGAUGGGAUGUAGUGUUCUAGACAUGCUCUUUCAGUUGAAUCUCUCAUUGUUGGAAGUUUUGCUUGUUUACAUUGUCAAAAUGAGCUGGAAAGAAAGGUUUAGCUUUUCUUCCCAUAUUCCUUACUUGCAGCCAGUGACUGGUCUUUUAGAUUCAUGCAAAGGCUAGGUAAAGGGGCAUGUCCUAGUCUCUGGUCCUUGGAGUGGUUCGUCUGAGGAACCAGAUGGAGUCUUUUAUCCACAACAUUCAUUGGAGAUUCCGAGUAGGAUACGCUUCCAUCACUUUCUCUAUAUUUUGCAAUUAUUUCUUCCUCGCUGUCAAUUUAUUGUUGAUCUUUUUGUUUGUGUGAUAUAGGCAAGGAGAGGUGGGGACGCCUUGUAGAGUGGGUAGACAAGGCUUCUUUCACCUAUUUAACAAGUUGUUCGAAAUAGACGCGUUCAAAUGGGCCCCUAAAGUUCUUUUGUAAGAUAAUAAGUUGCUAACGCUAAUUGAUAAUCCAAAGUCGUUCAUCAUCCCCGUAUUUCCUCGUCUGGCUCCCCCGUCUUUGGUGCCUGGUGAACAUUUCGUGCUAAAGGAUUUGCCAUUCUAUGAGGUUGCUCGUCUGGCAUAUUAUAAGGCAUGUUAGGCCCGUUUAGAGGAGUGAGAGAAAAAACAUCAGGAAGGGACAUUGAGGCAAGCUCUAACUGCUAGUCUUCUAUCCUCCAGUUUUGUUGUCCAUCCUCUCACUAAAAAGAGGACGAAACCUACUGCUUCGCCUAUCUGGAAGGUAAGGACUCUGCCUCCUUCAUCUUUAUCUUCUCCAUCAACUUCAUCAUCUUCGUCAUCUCCAUCUUCUAGUGGCAAGCCAAAAUCAUGGGUUGUCCAGGUAGUGUCCCUUAUUAUUUGCGAGGAGGAAAAAGAAGAGGAUAUGGCUUCAAACUUGAGGGUCGGAUUUCGUGAGAGACAGCGCAAGUGCUUGUCCAAAUCCAUUGUUGUCAAUCCUACCCCCUCUAAGAAAGCUUGUUCAAAACCUACUUCAGCUCUUGCGCUCGUGUCGGUUCCUCUAACUACUGCUACAGUCUUCACCCUUAAGCUAGAUGAGAAACUUCCUUCUGUUGAUGAACAUGUUUAUCAUGAGACGAGGAUACCCUUCAUCAGCACGAACAACUUCAACAAAGAAUCGUUCGAAUACAUGACUUUUUUUUCUCUUUGUUCGAAGUCAACCUAUGUCCCCAAUCGGGAGGAGGUAUCUGAGCUUUUGAAGUGAAUCCCUGUCUUCACCGAAAGAGAGUCCCUGGUACAAAACAUAGGGUACUCUUUCCAGCUACUUAGCAAAUCCCAAUCGAGAUAGACAACGAUCCUAGUCGAUCUUUCAUGACCUGGCUUUUGUAUGACACUCCGAAUAUCGCCAUUUCUCGCAUUAUUCCCAUGCAAGACUAUAAGGCUUUUGAAAUGACAAAUAUGGUAAGUCACCUACCCUUUUCUUCUCAUUUUUCCUUAGCCUCUUGUUUCACAACGAUUUCUUUAUUGCAUCUUCAGGUGAUAGUCGAAGUUUGAAACCUCAUGCGGCAACACACUCCUUUUUUCUACCGAUUGGAAACAAUCGAGACCAUGAGGCCAUACUUUGCCCAUAAUAUGGAUGGGAAUGAGGAUCUUCUUGCCAGCUUGGAGACAAUAAAGAGUGAAGCUGCUGUUGCCCAAAAGCUUGUUAAAGAAGAAAUCGGUCUAUUGAGGAAGGCCGAGGAAGAGAAGGAGACAGUUCAAACUGAAGCUUGCCAACUAGUUGAAAAGAAGGAAACCAUGGUGGUUGACAAAAAAAAAGGCUGAAGAAGAGGCUGCCUAGCUGAGGCAGGAGCUACAGGAUCUCCGAGCAGGGUUUGCCUCUCAGAAAGAAGACUUGGAGGUUCACUACCAAAAGCAAGUGGAUGACAUGUUCUUGUACGACUAUCGUUGUUGUAUGAAGAAGCAUGGCAUCAUCCAUGAUGCUCUGAGUUUUCCUUUGGAUGACGAUGAUGAGUUUUUAGGCGACCCUGCCCAGGGAGGAGGAGAUGUUUUCGGAGACGAUCCUUAUGGCGAGUAGGCUUGAUCUCUUUGUUUGUAUUUAUUUAUUAUGGUUGGACGUGGCCUAGACUGCUAUAUCUAUAAAGACAAUGGAUGCUUUAUUUUUUCAAAUAUAUUUACUUUAUCCGUUUGUCUCUCAUACAUUGUUUUCAUAAGCAAACUUUAUUGAAAGUAAUACUUUAAAUUGGAUACAUUCUAAGAGCAGAGCAGGGGUACGUUGUCUAGUGUUUGAAAAUGGUAUACCCCUAAGUCUCUAGCCUUAGUUACAACAUAUGGCCCUUCCCAGUUAGCUUGAAGCUUUUCGGCUCCUAUUUCAGCUGUGUUCUCAAAUAUUCUUCUGAGGACUAAAGUUCCUAGCCAGAAAAACCAUGGUCGUGUUUUUUUGUUGUAAUGGGUGAUCGUCUUUUGAUGGUAAGAAACCAUUCAGAUAGUUAUGUCUCCUAGCAUUUCAUCUGCCCAAUCCAACUGUCUUAUGAGUUCUUCAUCAUUGUUCCUCUGAUCUUAUACAACUGUUUUAGUGGUAGGCAUGUCAAUUUCAGUUGGAAUAAUGACCUUCAUCCCAUAAGCAAGGGCAAAAGGAGUAGUUCCUAUUGGCCGUUUGGAUGUCGUUUUGUAAGCCCAUAAGAUUCCGAGCAGUUCAUCCACCCAUUUUCCUUUAGCUCCUUCCAGCAUUUUUUUAAUGCAUUCAGUAGGGUUUUGUUUGUCGCCUCAGCUUGCCCGUUACUCUACGGAUAGCAAAGUGUUGAAUACAAAUUCUUGAUGUUUAACUUCAAAUAGAAAGUUCGGAAGACGGUAUUGUAUGAUUGCUCGCAAAACUCCAAAUCGACAUACGAUGUUUUUCUAGACGAACUUGAAGACAUCCUUAUCUUUGAUGCUAGCAUAGUGUCACGGACUUAGUCGUUCACUAAGCUCGUGCGGCACUUAGACAAGCCAAGACGCUUGAUCUUGCUAAGUCAGCCUUGCUCCCAAUACUUAGCUCACCCGGCUAAGACACUCGCGACUCAAAAGCUUAAGAAGCUUGGUAGGCAACUCCUUAAAGAAUGGAAGCUUUCUAUUACUCAAAGAAGCCUUUACAAGUGCUUGGAUGCUCACUUGCUUGGUUAGGAAGUGAUUUUGGGUGGUGCCUUGGCCAAAUGAGGCCCUCACCUAUUUAUAGGCACCAAGGGAACUCUCUAGAACCUUGGAGGGUUCCCUUACAAAUCAAGAAUAUUCUAGAACAUCCUACCCUAUUCUAUGUACAACCCUAUGUACAAGAAUAUACAAGAGAUUCCUAGAAGUCUCUAGAAAGCCUUGGACUCCUCCCAUGCCUUCCACCAUAGUGUAGAGAUGUGUGGACAUCUCUAGGCAUUUCUAGAACCUUCCACACUCUUCCCACCAAUGACUUNNNNNNNNNNNNNNNNNNNNNNNNNNNNNNNNNNNNNNNNNNNNNNNNNNNNNNNNNNNNNNNNNNNNNNNNNNNNNNNNNNNNNNNNNNNNNNNNNNNNNNNNNNNNNNNNNNNNNNNNNNNNNNNNNNNNNNNNNNNNNNNNNNNNNNNNNNNNNNNNNNNNNNNNNNNNNNNNNNNNNNNNNNNNNNNNNNNNNNNNNNNNNNNNNNNNNNNNNNNNNNNNNNNNNNNNNNNNNNNNNNNNNNNNNNNNNNNNNNNNNNNNNNNNNNNNNNNNNNNNNNNNNNNNNNNNNNNNNNNNNNNNNNNNNNNNNNNNNNNNNNNNNNNNNNNNNNNNNNNNNNNNNNNNNNNNNNNNNNNNNNNNNNNNNNNNNNNNNNNNNNNNNNNNNNNNNNNNNNNNNNNNNNNNNNNNNNNNNNNNNNNNNNNNNNNNNNNNNNNNNNNNNNNNNNNNNNNNNNNNNNNNNNNNNNNNNNNNNNNNNNNNNNNNNNNNNNNNNNNNNNNNNNNNNNNNNNNNNNNNNNNNNNNNNNNNNNNNNNNNNNNNNNNNNNNNNNNNNNNNNNNNNNNNNNNNNNNNNNNNNNNNNNNNNNNNNNNNNNNNNNNNNNNNNNNNNNNNNNNNNNNNNNNNNNNNNNNNNNNNNNNNNNNNNNNNNNNNNNNNNNNNNNNNNNNNNNNNNNNNNNNNNNNNNNNNNNNNNNNNNNNNNNNNNNNNNNNNNNNNNNNNNNNNNNNNNNNNNNNNNNNNNNNNNNNNNNNNNNNNNNNNNNNNNNNNNNNNNNNNNNNNNNNNNNNNNNNNNNNNNNNNNNNNNNNNNNNNNNNNNNNNNNNNNNNNNNNNNNNNNNNNNNNNNNNNNNNNNNNNNNNNNNNNNNNNNNNNNNNNNNNNNNNNNNNNNNNNNNNNNNNNNNNNNNNNNNNNNNNNNNNNNNNNNNNNNNNNNNNNNNNNNNNNNNNNNNNNNNNNNNNNNNNNNNNNNNNNNNNNNNNNNNNNNNNNNNNNNNNNNNNNNNNNNNNNNNNNNNNNNNNNNNNNNNNNNNNNNNAGCCGCCUCAUCCGUCAAUGCGAUAGCCUCAAAGUAUCGCUCCAUAUGCCAUAAGAAGUUAUCCAACUCCUUGGCAUCCCGAUUGCCACUAAACCUAUGUGGCUUCGGCACCUCCACCCUAGAUGCCUCUUGUGUGGCCAUGACCCGUGCCGACACAGCAGCCUUGUAGAUGGCCAACUCCUGCCUAACUUCCUGGUCUCGGGACUCCAUUCGAGUGGCCAAGGCCUCUAUCCUUGACUCCAUGCUAGCAAGCAUGCUCAAGACCUUUCCUUGGAAGGACACAAACUCCUCGUGCGACACUGGUUGAACCUGUGAGAUUAGCACCCCCUCGCGAAGGUCUUGGAUCUGCUCCCUUAGAUCCUCUAAGCCCUUCUCCAUGCCUUGCUCGAUCAAGUCCAACCCUUCCCGAGUGUCCGCCAUGGCUAGCUCCACCUUCGCUAACCUUGCCUCCAUGUUGGCAACGGCAUCACGAGAUUUAUCCUUCCUGCCCCUGCCCCGUGCAGUAGGCUCGGUCUCUCUCCCACGGGUUUGCUCACUAGUCUCCUCCACGUUAGAGCCCGACAUGCUUCCUUUGCUAUGCCCACCUCGUAACCGCGCUCUGAUACCACUUGUCACGGACUUAGUCGUUCACUAAGCUCGUGCGGCACUUAGACAAGCCAAGACGCUUGAUCUUGCUAAGUCAGCCUUGCUCCCAAUACUUAGCUCACCCGGCUAAGACACUCGCGACUCAAAAGCUUAAGAAGCUUGGUAGGCAACUCCUUAAAGAAUGGAAGCUUUCUAUUACUCAAAGAAGCCUUUACAAGUGCUUGGAUGCUCACUUGCUUGGUUAGGAAGUGAUUUUGGGUGGUGCCUUGGCCAAAUGAGGCCCUCACCUAUUUAUAGGCACCAAGGGAACUCUCUAGAACCUUGGAGGGUUCCCUUACAAAUCAAGAAUAUUCUAGAACAUCCUACCCUAUUCUAUGUACAACCCUAUGUACAAGAAUAUACAAGAGAUUCCUAGAAGUCUCUAGAAAGCCUUGGACUCCUCCCAUGCCUUCCACCAUAGUGUAGAGAUGUGUGGACAUCUCUAGGCAUUUCUAGAACCUUCCACACUCUUCCCACCAAUGACUUAGUGUAGAUGGCUCCAGGAGUCUCCAGAAGCUUCCCUCCUUCUAUAUAAGCCCAUGGGGAGGGUCAUUUGAAGCAUCCUGUGACAAUAGGCUUCUGUUUCCACCCACUUGCUAAAAUAGUCAGUUGCAACGAGUAAAACUUUUUUUGAGCUAUUGCAACAAGUAAGGGACAAAUUAUGUCGAUCCCCCACUGCGCAAACAACCAAGGGCUUGUGACCAGACUGAGAGCUUCAGAAUGUACACGGGAAAUGGGAGCAUGUCUUUGACACCAGUCACAUCUCUUAAAAUAGUUUUCAGUGUUUUGUUUCAUGGUGGGCCAAUAGUACCCUUGCAUGUAAGCACGAUGUGCCAAGGUUCGUUCGCCUGUAUGAUUUCUAUAUACGCUUUCAUAGAGUUCGGCCAGGACAUACUUGGCUUCUGGCUUGCUCAAACACCUUAGGUAUGGUUCUCUAAAUGAUCAUCUAUAAAGCAGGUCAUUGAUUAAAGUGAAGCGAGAUGUUUGCACGCAGAGUCUGUGCAAUUGCUUCCAAUCUUCUAGUAAUUCUCUCGUCUAAAGGUAUUUUACAAUGUCAUGCAUCCAGCCAAGGUUUGCUUCAUUGGUACUGCACACUAGUUCGGGUGUGGCCUGAAGGUAGAUAGACAACAUCAUUGCCUCUUUUAUAAGGAGAGUGGCAACUAUUCCGGCCAAUGCAUCCGCCUUCAUGUUCUCCUUUCGGGGUACCAGUCUAACAAUCCACUCAUCUAGAUUUUUCAAGUGAUCUUCCACCAUGGCGAGGUAGCGAGCCAUGCGUUCGUCCAUUACUUCAUACUCUCGUUGAAUUUUCCCAACAAUUAGUUAAAAGUCGCUUCUGAUUUUCAAGUUUGUUGCAGCCAGUGUUAAGGCAAGAUCUAGCCUAACUAGGACAAAUUCAUAUCCUACUUUCGUACAAUCUCUCACAAAAUUCAUACACUCUCUCACAAAGUUCCUACCAUCUCUCACAAAGUUCGUACCCUCUCUCACAAAGUUCAUACCACAUCUCACAAAAUUCGUACACUUUCUCACAAAGUUCAUACUAUUUCUCACAAAGUUGGUACCUCUUCUCACAAAGUUCAUACCCUCUAUCACAAAGUUCAUACACUCUCUCACAAAGUUCGUACCAUGUCUCACAAAGUUCGUACAAUCUCUCACAAAGUUCAUACCUCAUCUCACAAAGUCCGUACCACAUCUCACAAUGUUCGUACCCCCUCUCAUAAAGUCCAUACCCCUUCUCACAAGUUCAUACCCCUUCUCACAAAGUUCGUACCCCCUCUUACAAAGUUCGUACCCCCUCUUACAAAGUUAGUACCACCUCUCAUAAAGUUCAUACCCCCCUCUUACAAAGUUUGUACCCCAUCUCACAAAGUUCUUACCACCUCUCAAAAAGUUCGUACCAUCUCUCACAAAGUACGUACCAUCUCUCACAAAGUAAGUACCAUUUCUCACAAAGUUCGUACACUCUCUCACAAAGUUCAUACCCUCUCUCACAAAGUUCGUACCAUCUCUCACAAAGUUUGUACCCCCUCUGAAAAAGUUCGUACCCUCUCUCACAAAGUUCGUACUAUUCCUCACAAAGUUCAUAUCAUCUCUCACAAAGUUCGUACCAUCUCUCACAAAGUUCGUACCCCCUCUAACAAAGUUUGUACCCCCUCUCACAGAAUUUGUACUCUCUCUCACAAAGGUCAUACCCUCUCUCACAAUGUUUGUACCCCUUCUCACAUUGUUUGUAUCAUCUAUCACAAUUUUCGUACCCCCUCUCACAUUGUUCGUACCCCUUCUCACAGUGUUUUCCUUCAAGAUAUAUAAAACUUCAUCUUCAAAUUUAAUCUACAAAUAAACAAAAUAAUAAUAUAAAAAUAUUAAUGACAAUUUAAUAAUAAAUGACUAAAUUGUCUCAAUUUGAUUAAUAAUAACUCAUAAAAAAAAAUUCAAAAAUCUAAAUGUUAUAAAGCAUUACAUAUUGUUCAUACCCUUUCUCACAAUGUUUGUACCCCCUCUCACAUUGUUCGUACCCCUUCUCACAUUGUUUUCCUUCUUCAAGAUAUAUAAAACUUCAUCUUCAAAUUUAAUCUAUAAAUAAACAAAAUAAUAAUGUAAAAAUAUUAAUGACAAUUUCAUAACAAAUGACUAAAUUGUUUCAAUUUGAUUAAUAAUAACUCAUAAAAAAAAUUCAAAAAUCUAAAUGUUGUAAAGCAUUACAUAUUUAAAUGUCAUUUAACAUGACAUUUCUACCUACAAAAUUUAUAUUUAAAUAAAAAAUAUCAAAUAUUACCUUUGACACUUGUAAUCACUUGAAAUCUUUCAUCUUUUUCAUAUAAUAGAAAUUUUAAAUUUUCUCCCUCAAAAAGUUUCAAACUUGAUCUUCAAAUUUGAUUUAUCAAAACACAUCUCACAUAUUUUAUAAUAUGGUAGUUGAAACUAUUUAAUUUUUAUAUUAAAUUAGUAUCCCUUUUUGUAAAUAUGAAUAAUGAGAGUAUAAGGAUAGUUGUUAGAAUUUUCUUUUUUUAGAUAGAAUUAGGUAACAUUAAAUAAUAAAUUAUAUUUGAUAUUUAAUAAUAAAUUAUAAAAAAAUUGUAAUAUUUAGAUAUGUAUGAAUUGCAUGUAAUUAUUUCUCACAAGCAAGCCAUCUUUAUCGGUUUAAUAAGUUUUUAAUUUUUUUUUUUAAGUGGGUAGGUACCCAAAAUAAAGAGUGGGUACCAAAGAACGAUAUAUAUUUUGUCUAUAUUCUGUAAGUGACUGAAUGAUAGAUGCCUGUUGGUGAAAGAGAUGCCUGUACGUCGGCUUAAGAGAUGUUCUUUAUAUCAAACAAUAUAUAUUUAUCUAUAUUCUGUAAGGGGCUGAAUGAUAAGAUGCCUGUUGGUCAAAGAGAUGCCUGUACGUUUGUCUCAAAGAUGCUUGUUUAUAUCUAAGAAACAAAAGAUUCACAUAAAAAAAAAAAAUGAUGCUUAGAUUAUAAUAUUGAUCCUUGUUCUAUUUGGUUUAAGAGAAUAGUUUGACAUACAUGCAUAAGGUAAUUAAUAAAUUCCUGGUCAAGUGUCACGUUCAAACAAAUUCCUGGUCAAGUGUCACGUUCAAACAAGAAGAUUAAUUAAUAAAAAAGGUCAUUUCAAGGAGUAAAAAAAUUAUGAAAAAUAUAUCAGUUUUAACCACUAAUAUUAAUUAUUAGCAAAAGUCACUUUGAACCAUAAAAAAAUAAAAAAUAAAAAAAAUUAAUAACAAAAUAUCACGUUGAACCACAAAUAUUAACUCACAGCAAAAGGUCACCCUACGCCAUACCUACUAACAGAAACAUGUUCAUUAGUUAACAUGUACACCAAACCACCAAGAGAGACAACACCUCAUAAAACAGUUUUUAAGACCAAAUUUUAAGAACAGUUUUUUAUGUUUUUAGAAACAUAAUUGUGUUUGGGAAUUGAAUUUUGAAAAAUACUUUUUAUUUUCAAAAACAAAAAAAAAACAUGUUUAGUUGAGUUAAUAAAAAAAGUUUUUAGAACAAGUAAAACAAAAAAAUAUAUUUGAAAGUUGCUUUUUUUUUUAAUUGAGAAUUUUCUUUAAUUAACUUGAUAUUGUAAUUAUAUACAUAAUUUUUAGAUUUACAUUUCAUUUAAAUUAAAAACUAUUAUAUUAUGAUAUUUAUUUGCAUGAGUUAUAAUUUUUUCAACAAAGGAUUACUUUACCUAAUUGAUGAAGGGUAAUAAAGGGACUCAUAAAUCUGCUCAUCUACAUCAUUUAUUUCAUCUAAUGAAAAGGUAUCAACAACCAUUGAUAUAAUCUACUAGCUAAAACAAAAAUGUAACAACAGCAACAAUUCAAGUAUUGGUACAUUUCAGAUCACUACAAAUUAAAAGACCUUUUGGGUACUUACAGGCGAAGAAUAAAGUGCAAACCAGCAGGAGAUAGACUCAAUAAACGAAUACAACUCAAUGGUGUAUUUAAUACUUAGAUCAGGCCUCCUUCCCCUGGAAGUUGUAAACAUGGAAUGAGCACCUGCAAAUCAAAGCAAGGGAACAGACAAAAACCAUUUUUUGUUACACUACAAGAACUAGACCAAGAGUAGAACCUGUAAAAUCAUAGUAAUCAAACACCAAAGGUCCAAAACCAGUGAUCCAUUUGCUAGAAAAGAGAAAUCAAAUUAAUGAAACACAUAUCACAAUCAUUUUAAAUAGAGCAGAGGUCAUUCAAAACCUAUGAAACUCUAGACGAUGUGUUAAUGAACCAGGAAAUAUUUUAAGAAAUCACACAAAGUGAUCUAUCUUAACCUAGUGUUAAUAUAAAAGAUUCAUAAUCCCAAGAUAGGGAAAAAAACAAAUACGCAGCCGAGAAUCAAACCAAUUAGGUAGAAGACAAAAAAAAAAAAAAACAUUUCAAAUUAAAUAUAUACUCCAAUCCGAAUCUCAAAACCAUAAAUUAUUUUCAUGGAGAAGACAAAGAAAGGAAGAAAAAGACAAUACCUAAAACACUGAGUCUCCUUCUCAUUGAAUCCCCUUGAUGCAAAAGAUGCAAAGGUUAUUCUUAGCUCUUCAUUAGGCAAAGAGAUCCAUAUGUUGCGACAUCUGCAAAAGCCUAACUGUUAUCUCUCUUGCCAAUAUCCAGAGGGUAGAAUAGGCCACCAGCCUAAAAUUCAAAGCUUCAUAACACCAUCAAAUAGCGUACAUACAAGCACAUGAACACAUAGAGAGAGACUUUUUACACGAACAGCACCUUCUCUGGCGGCUAAUACAAGAAUAUCAGCACGUGAGGGUAGGUUGCUUCCAGCUCUUCCUUGAUGGAUUCAAUUAUAUCAAAGCCUUUUAGAGUUUCAUUAGAAAGCGAAUCUUUCUCUGAAUGGAUUCCAAUAUUUUUCUUGCCGUCAGUCUCUUCCGUGCACAACCCUUUCAAAUCAUGGGCCCCAAAAACAAACCAAAUUCCACAUACUUUUCAACUAAAUACAACCAUGAAUGCCAGUGCUGCCCUAUAAAUAAUAUGGAGCUUGCCAAGCUAUUUCUCUCAUACCUACCAAUUCAUCAUUCAAGGUAUAGUACUGUUCUAUCAUUGUUCCAAGGAAUUAACAUGUCUACUCAAGUCUCAGCAUCUUCUCUAGCCCAGAUUCCCAAACCUAAAAAUCGUCCUGUGGCAAACUAUCACCCCAACAUUUGGGGUGACCAGUUUAUCUCCUACAUUCCUGAAGACAAGGUAAUUGAAUGAAAAUAUGCAUCAAGUUUAAUGGCUUACAUACUUAUUUGGCAGUUAUUUUUCUUAAUGUGUUGGAUGAAAAAAAAUUUUGGUCCAGGUUACACGUGCCUGCAAAGAGGAGCAGUUUGUGGAUCUGAAAAAGGAAGUGAAAAGGAAAUUAACGGCUGCUGCUGUUGCUAACCCUUCCCAAUUGCUGAACUUCAUUGAUGCAGUGCAACGUCUUGGGGUGGCAUACCACUUUGAGCAAGAGAUAGAAGAAGCAUUGCAACAUAUUUGUAACAGUUUUCAUGACUGCAAUGAUAUGGAUGGUGAUCUCUACAAUAUUGCUCUUGGAUUUCGACUACUAAGGCAACAAGGGUACAGUAUUUCAUGUGGUAAGAGACUAAGAAAAAAAUGUUAUGUUCAACCUUCUUAUCAUUUAAAUCUUAUGUUCAAGUGGUGAUGUUUGUGUAGGCAUAUUCAACAAGUUUAUGGAUGAACGAGGUAGAUUCAAGGAAGCUUUGAUCAGCGAUGUAAGAGGCAUGCUAUGCUUGUAUGAAGCUGCACAUCUGAGGGUUCAUGGAGAGGACAUAAUUGCAAAAGCACUUGCUUUCACCACCACUCACCUCAAGGCCAUGGUAGAAAGUUUAGGAUACCAUCUUGCAGAACAAGUUGCUCAUGCCCUGAACCGGCCCAUUAGAAAAGGUUUGGAGAGGCUAGAGGCAAGAUGGUAUAUAUCUGUCUACCAAGAUGAAGCUUUCCAUGAUAAAACUUUACUAGAGCUAGCAAAAUUAGAUUUCAAUCUAGUGCAGUCACUGCACAAGGAAGAGCUAAGCAAAUCUUGCAAGGUUGGUUUUUAGAUCACCCCACAUGUACUUGGCCAUUCUUAUCACUUUCCUGUAUGCUGAUCAUAUUAAUGUCUUUUAGGUGGUGGAAAGAAUUAGACUUUGCUACAAAGUUACCUUUUGCACGAGACAGAUUGGUUGAAUGCUACUUUUGGAUACUUGGGGUGUAUUUUGAGCCUCAAUACUUACGGGGUAGACGAAUUCUAACCAAAGUAAUUGCCAUGACAUCCAUUCUAGAUGAUAUCCAUGAUGCAUAUGGCACACCUGAAGAACUCAAGCUCUUCAAGGAAGCCAUUGAGAGGUUUGCUCCUUGCACAUUACCAACCUUGAUUGUGUAUAAUAGAUGUAUUCAUAUAUACCUAAAUCAAGGGUCGUUAUUUUAUUUUCAGGUGGGAUAUUAACAGCAUAGAUCAGCUUCCAGAAUACAUGAAACUCUGCUAUGCGUCACUCUUAGAUGUGUACAAAGAAAUCGAGGAAGAGAUGGAGAAAGAAGGAAACCAAUAUCGGGUUCACUAUGCCAAAGAAGUAGUAGGACAUCUUUAACUCUGGAUCCCCACCUUUUGUAUUGAUGAUAUUUUAUAUGGUCUCAUAUAUACAUAGAUAUAACUUGGAUGAAUGUUCUUUAGAUGAAGAAUCAAGUUCGAGCUUACUUUGCUGAGGCCAAAUGGUUACAUGAAGAACACGUACCAACAAUUGAAGACUACAUGCGUGUUGCACUAGUAAGCUCUGGAUACUGCAUGCUUGUAACCACGUCCUUGGUGGGAAUGGGAGAAAUAGCAACAAAGGAGGCCUUUGAUUGGAUGACCAGCGAUCCUAAGAUUAUGUCAUCUUCAAAUUUCAUUGCGAGGCUCAUGGAUGACAUCAAAUCACAUAAGGUAUGCAGAAUAUGUGAUUCAAAUGGGGAGACUAAAACACUAUGGUUUUUCCUCAACUUUUGUAUUAUACAUGCAGUUUGAGCAAAAGAGACGACAUGUGGCCUCAGCUGUUGAAUGUUACAUGAAGCAAUAUGGUGUCUCUGAGGAACAAGUAUACAGUGAAUUUCAAAAGCAAAUUGAGAAUGCAUGGCUGGAUAUUAACCAGGAAUGCCUCAAACCUACUGCUGUUUCAAUGCCUCUCCUUGCUCGUAUUCUCAAUCUUACACGAACCGCGGAUGUCUUUUACAAAGAGCAAGAUUCGUUCACACAUGUUGGGAAAGUGAUGAGGGAUAACAUUGCGUCUGUCUUCAUUAACGCUGUAAUAUAACCAAAUAGAGUAGUUGAUUACCGUCCCCUAUGUAUUGCCUUGUGGAAGCAGUAAUAUCUAAUAAAUCACUAUAAUAAGGUGAACGAGUGAUAUGUAAUAAAUCAUUGUAAUACGGUAAGGGGACACAUUAUAUGUAGCACCUAGUUUCUCUGGAUUCAUAGUGUUUUACUUUGGAAUAUUACCUGAAUAUUUAAAUAAGAAGAUGUAUUACUUAAAUCACCUAAU
rnacentral:lncRNA from 1 species